AGCCCAAUCCCAUGCUUAUGAAGAACCAUGACAUGUCCCAUUCAUCUUCAUCUUCCUCCUCAUCUUUGUGAUCUUGAUCAUUUAAAGUGGAGCAGUUGGUUGACAAUGGAGGCCCACAAAGUCCCAAGUUCGCCUCAUAAAUGGAUGGAUCGUUGAAUGUCGAGAACUGGUUGGUUUUUGGAAUUGGUCCUGACAGGCGGUUAUGCGAUAGGUUCAAAUGGUUCAAUGAGGUUAUAGAAGACAUGCUCGGAGGAAUUGGGCCUGAAAGGCAGUUGCAUGAGAGGUCAAGAGUUUCUAGCCCUUGCAUGGCUCCAAUCUUCUCAGGUAUCUUUCCAGUCAACUGGUUUCGGGACAAAUUCAAGGUACCCAGGGUCGAGAGAUUUGUGAUCUCUUUUGGGAUCUCUCCCCAAAUGUUAUUGCUAGAAAGAUCUAUCAAAUUCACAAUUGGCAAUAUGCUAUCAAAUUCCAUAUUUUGUCCCUUUACAACUAGCUCCAUGCGCUCCGAAUAGACGACAUGACCAUUGGGGUCGUCAAAAUUUCUGUCUAAUAAGGUCACAAAACUUAAAGCAGUUAAAUUGCCUAAGCAUUGUGGGAUGGAUCCUGAUAAAUUGUUCACUGCAAGAUCCAAAAUGUGGAGAUGAGAAAGCCAACACAAUUUCUCAGGAAUAUCUCCUGUCAACAUGUUACCCCGUAGACGCAGCUGCUCCAGUGAUGGCAUUCUUUCUCCAAUCCAUUUGGGUAUCUCCCCCGAAAACCUGUUAUUUCCAAGAUCAAGGGAGUACAACCCUGUGCAGUUUCGUAAGCUUGGAAAGGGUUCCCCAGAAAGAUUGUUGUCACCCAAUAUCAACUGAGUAAGUGAAGAUUUUGAACACAUCCAACUCGGAAUCCCACCAGACAUUUUGUUCUUGGAUAGAUCUACAGUGUCAAGCCAUGGCAAAUCAUUCCAAUUCUUUGGAAUCUUUCCAGAUAAAUGAUUGUUUGAGAGAUUAAUUACUCCCAAAUACUUCAGUUUACUAAUUGAUGAAGGAAUGCUGCCAUUUAACAAGUUACAAGAAACAUCAAGGAUUUCCAAGCUUGAUAAUUCCCCGAUGUUCAAGGGAAUUGGACCAGAAAAUGAAUUGUUUCCCAGAUACAAAGAUCCCACAUUAAGUCGAAGUGGGAGUGGGCCCCCCAAGUGGUUGAAACUUAAAUCCACCAAUGCGUCUUGGCUAAAGGAUGAUGAGUUGGGAAGCGUUCCAUACAAUUGGUUUCUAGAAAGAUCUAACCACGAAAAAUCUUGUUUCCAAAGCCAUUCGGGUAUUGCAUCUGAAAUCCCCACAUUUUUUAGAAUCAUAAAUCCAAGUCUCUUUUGAGUUCUAAGCCAGUUGGGGAACUUGAGAGAUACAUGGCAGUUGUAAACCUCGAUAGAUUCGAGACUGAAGGGAGGAAUCCAUUCAGGUCUCAAAUGAAAACGGAGAGACUGGUUUUUGGGUGAUACGAGUAAUGAGAAUUCUGUCAGUUUAGUAAGAUUACUGAAAUGAAUUUCAGAUAUUACCCCUUCCCAAGAAUUCCAAUCAAGAUACAACUCAGUUAGCUCUCUAAGUUGUCCGAUACUUUCUGGAAUAGUCCCAUUCAUUAGAUUGUUUGACAAGUGAAGUCUCUUCAUCCGCAGCAAGUUUCCAAUCCAUGUUGGAAUUGGACCUGAGAUGAAGUUUUCAAUCAGAUAAAGAAUCUCUAAGUUGGUAAGGUGUUGAAUUGAAUUGGGGAAGGGACCAACAAAACUAUUGUUCAUCAAGUUCAGGUACUUUAAAUUCUUAAAGAGCCCUAAUGAAUCUGGCAACUGACCACCGAAUUGAUUAUAACCCAAGUUUAACCAUUCCAAGGAAUUAUUAGUGUAUGUUGAUAAACCAUUCACCAAUUCAAUUGCUUCACUUCCAAUAUAAUUGAAUGAGAGAUCUAAGGUCACCAAGUUGCGAAGGCUUCCCAAGUUAACACGGGGAAUCGGACCUUUAAUUGUAGCACCAUUUAAAUAAAGAUCCAUAAGGGUACUGAUAUUAAACAACCAGCCAGGCAAAGUAGUGUUGAAAUUGUUGUUGGAGAGAUCAAUAAGCGAAACAGAAGUCAAAUUAACAAACGGAUUGGAGUACUGAGGGAAGUGACUAAGAUGACAACCGGACAAAUGUAAUUCUAACAAAAAUGGAAGCAUGUUUACAGCUUGCAUCCAAUUUGUGGUUGCUUUACUAAGGUCCACAUACGCCAGAUCAAGGUAUUUUAAAGAAGAAAGACCAGAAAGCCAAUUUAAAUUAGAAACCCUCAUUGGAUAAUCUCCUCCCAAAAGAUCAAGAUAACGUAACUGUGAUAAAUUUCCAAGAUGAGGAGGAAUCAUCCCACCAAAUCGUGCAUUAGAGAGAUUAAGGUAUCUCAACCUUUCAAAUGAGCCCAAGAAAUUUGGAAUUGGAAUUCCUUGAAAAUCAUUAAGACUUAGGUCCAGGUAAGUUAAAUGUUUCAAGUCAAGUAAGGAACUACUUAUCUCACCACCCAAACGUGAGAAGCCACCACCCAAACGUGAGAAGUCACCACCAGAUUUGAGGUCAACCUUGACAACAUGCCCUGUUUGGUUGUUGCAAUCCACACCUUUCCACUUGCAGCAAUCUGCACCAACCCAGGAAGAAAGCCUACCUGAAGGAUCUUUCAGUCCAUUUUUGAAUUCAAGAAGCGCUUUCCGCUCUACCUCAAUGCAGCCCUUGUUCAUACCACCAUCAAUGGAAUUGAUAAUGGUAGCUUGAGCUAGGAGAAGCUCGAGAAACAGAGAAAGGAGAAAAAGAGUAAGAAGUAGAAGGGUGGUUUUCCAACUUGCCAUUUGAUGAAUGCAAAGUUGCAAAGUUAUUAGUGGGUGUUAUAUAAAUAAUAAGAUUGGAGUCUUUGGUCUAAUUUAGUCAACUAUUUUAAGUCUUUUGGCCGCCAUAAAUAUAGAAGAAAUUAUCAAGUUCAAUCACAAUCGGAUCACAUAUCUCUUCUAUCCCUGAGUAAAUUAAUUCAAGACAUUAAUUACCAAGUUUUUGGUCCAAAGAAAAAAAGAAUUUUUUUUAUUCCUAAUUUACACUCAUCUAAUUAUUAACUGGAAUAAAAAAUUUCAAUUAAUUAAAAAAAUAAAAUUUAGAUUUUAAUAUUUUUCCCAAAUUCAAAAUUCAAAAAUUAAUAAAUUAAUCUCAACUAUGUUAUUCAUAAAUCCCAAGAUAGGUUACAUAAAAAUAAGUUUUAACUAAGAAAAUUUCUAACAUUUUAUUAACUACCAAGUAUAAUUAGAAAUCCUAAUUAUUAUGUAAUUAUCAAUUUUCUACUAAUUAUAUAAUUAAUUAUUAUGCAAUUUUAUUAUGCUAAUAAAUUAUGAUAUUUUGGUAUAUUUUAAAAUAUAUUAAAUUACCAUUUUUAUAUUAUUAAUUUUAAAAUCAAAAUAAAAAAUAUAAUAACUAAUUUUUAGAUAUUUUAACAUGUAAACAUAAAUAAGUAUAACAUUUCAAACAUUAAUAAAAACACAAGCAAUUUAACACUUAACAAUAUUUAUAUAAUAAUAAGAAAUAAACAACUUAAACACUUAAUCAGUCUACUAUAUUUAAGUCAAAGUUAUGCCUAUUCAAAUUUCAAACAAAAAAUAAUUAAAUACCACCUUACACUUAUUAUGCAUUACUCAAGCCAUUUAUUUUCAAUAAAUAUAUUUUUUCAAAUAAUUUUCAUAAUAUUUUAUUUUCGUUUAUAGGCUACAAUCAACAUGGAGGAGGAAGCUUCAAGUAGCUUUCUUCAAUUAUUUAAAGUUAGUGACUAUCCAUAGAAGAAAAUUUUGACACGAAUGUAAAAAGAAAAACAAUUUUCACACAAGUCUAAAAAUGUCUUUUAGAGAAACUAUUAAAACAUUAUUUGAAUUUCUCCUCUUGAUUGUUGACUUCAAGGACUUUUGUGACAUGUUGACUGUUGACUGAAACAAAAUCCUUGUUUAUUUGGUGUGAGUUAGGAAAAAAAAAAAGGAAGUUAUAUUUUUUUUAAUGAAAAAAUUUAUUUUUUCUAAAUAAAAAAAUUCUUUUUUUUUUUUAAAUAAAAAAUUUCCUUAUUUAACCAAACCGAUUUUAACCAAUUCAUUGUAGCCUGAUUAGUUCAGUUUUUCAUUUAAAGACGUUUGGUUUAGCUUGAAAAAAAAAAAAAAAAAAAACAAACAAAAACAAAAACAAGGUUAAAUAUUAAGUAUUUAGGUCAUUGUUUUUUUUAUUAAUGCUAAAUAUUUUUAAGUGUUAAAUUGCUUGUUUUUAGUAAUGUAUAAAGGCUUAAACUUAUUUAUUUUUACACAUUAAAAAUAACUAUAAAAUUAGUUGUUGUUAUUAUUAUUAUUUUAAAAUUAAUAAUUUAAGAAAUAGUAAUUUAAUAUAUUUACAACUAUCUCAAAACAUUAUAAUUCAUUACCAUAACAAAAAUUAUAUAAUAAUUAAUUAUGUAAUUUAUAGAAAAUUAAUAAUUAGAUCAUUAUUAGGAUUUUUAGUUAUGCUUGGUUGUUAAGAAAAUGUUAAAAAAUUUCUAAGUUAAAAUUUAUUUUUAUAUAAUAUAUAUUCUGAUUUAAGAAUAUUGUUGAGAUUAAUUUUUUUUUUCUUUUAAAUUUGGGAAAAAUAAGAAAGACUAAAAUUUUAGUUUUCAAAAUUAAUUGGAAUUUUUUUUAUUCUAAUUAAUAAUGACAUGAACGAACCCCAAUUUUUUUAUAAUGACUAAUUAUGCAAAGUGUAGAAAAAUAAUAAUUAGAUAAUUAUUAGGAUUUCUAAUUAUGCUUGGUUGUUAAAAAAUGUUAAAAAAUUUAUAUGUUAAAACUUAUUUUUAUAUAACUAUCUUCAAAUUUAUGAAUAUUGUUGAAAUUAAUGUAUUAAUUUUUAUUUUUAAUUUGGGAAAAAUGUAAAAAUCUAAAUUUUAUUUUUUAAAUUAAUUAGAUUUUUUUUAUUCUAGUUAAUUAUUAAAUGAGGGUAAAUUAGAAAUCUAAGUUCAAGGACAUUAGUCAACCAAACUGACUUCAAACCUAACCAAUCCAAUCUUAUUACUUUUUAUUUCCAUUUAAAGAUGUUUGUUUCUAUUAAAAAAAAAUGAUUACAUUGGUUUAGUGUUCAUGAAGCAAUCAAAGCUAAACCAACCGAAUUUAUCUAUUAUUUAUAAAUAAAAAUAAAAAUAAAAACGAUUACAUUGGUUCGGUAUUCAUUUCAAAACAACGAAUCAAUAGAAAUCGAUCUAAUCGAACCUAUCUAUUAUAUAUUCGACUUAAAAGGUGCAAAAUUUGAAGUUAUUUUUCGACUUCAUAUUUUGCUUCUCAUAAUUUAUUAUAAAUUUAUGAAGUUAUUUUUUAGUUGUCAUAUUUUUUUAAAAUAUUUUAUUUUUUCAAAAUAAAUUCACUAAAUAUUAUAUCACAUGUAUUUGUGGUUCACUAAAUUUUUAAUAAUCAAAUUAAUAAAUUUGUAAAAGAAAAAUAUUAUAUUUUCUCCAUUUUGUUCACUUGAUAAACAUAUCUACCAAAAUGUCAAGCGGAUGUUUGAAAUUUACCUCUAUUUUUUUUGUUGUGUAAUAUUUGGUUGAUUAUAUUUAUAAAGCAUUAUAAAUCCCAAGAAAGUACACAUAGUCCUAAAUUAUUAUGAAUGAAAUAAAAUUAUUAAUUUAAAUUUAGUCUUUAUAUUAAAAAGUUAAAAUAAGUGAAAUGAGUUUAAAAUAGUCUAUAAAAAUAAUUUAUUGAUUUUAAAUCUAUGUUAUAUUUUCCUUCAUUUUUUAUUUUUAUUUUUAUUUUUUGUAUUUUUUCCCUUGUAUUUCCCCCAAAAUUUUGUCCAAACCAAACAUAAACUUGGAAAAUAUGUCAAAUCAAUACUAGUGUUUGAGACUUAAGAAAUUUUUUUAAAAGGAUUGGAUCAAGGUUUAAUCACGAGUACACCACACAUAGCCCUUUUGUCCAUAAGUAAAUUAAUUUAAGAUAUUUUAUUUAUUAAUAUAAUUAUCAAGCUUUUGAAACAUGAAGUUGUUGUUCAUGGAAAGAAAAAGAAAAAGUAUUUUAUUUAUUUAUUUUGCCUAACACACAUAGACUAAGAACUUUUCUUCGAUUAAAAGUCAAGGAAGUCAUUGUGAACAAUUACCAAGAAAAGAAAUUCAAAUAAUGCUUUAAUGAAUGGUGUAUAUAUUUUCUCUAAAAUGCAUUUUUAGACUCCUACUACAAGUUUUUCUCGCAAAAACAAAAAAUAAAAAAUAAAGCUUCAUUUUUUUGCCUAACUCACACGCAAUAGACUAAGGACUUUGUUUCAGUCAAGAGUCAACAUGUCACAAAAGUCGGUGAAUUUAUUGUCUAAAGAAAAUAAUAAAUAAUACUUUAACGUAUGAUGUACAUAUUUUCUCCAAAAGGCAUUUAUAGACUCAUACAAUUUUCUCCUAUCGACCAUUUACCAACUUCAAUUAAUUGAAGAAAGUUAUGUGAAUGAUGGAACUUCCUACUCCAUGUUAAGUGAUAUGGCCUAUCAUGAAAAUUAUUUAAAAUUUUAUAUAUAUUCAAUUAUUUAUUAUUAUUAUUAUUAUUAUUAUUAUACAUGAAAACUGCAUUACAAGUCCAUGCCUUUUGGAAAAAUGUUUAUUAUUAUUACAAAAUAAACAUUUUGUGACGAUUGAUUAUGUAAUAGGUUAACAUUUAUUUUUAUGUAAUGUAUCUUUUGAUUUAUGAAUUUGUAAUUGAAAUUUAAUUUUCAUAUCUGGUGGGAGUGCCAGUCACAAAACAAAAAAGUGAUGAAGACCUUUCGGCCCUUCAUGGGCCAUGUAUCACAAGCAUAUGAGCCAAUCAUGGACCCCAUCCUGUCCUCAACCUCAACUGUUGCUAUAAAUCUAAAUACUGAUGUAGAACCCUAUCCGAAAAUGGUCCAUUCGAUAGGCAUUAGGCACCUACCACAAGAAAAUUAAGGAAAACAAAAAAUAAAAAAUAAAAAAUGAAGCUUCAUUUUUUUGCCUAACUCACACGCAAUAGACUAGUGACUUUGUUUCAGUCAAGAGUCAACAUGUCCCAAAAGUCUUUAAAGUCAUUGUCUAAGGAAAAUAAUCACAAAAAUAAUAAAUAGUAUUAAUAUAAGAUGUUAAUAUCAUAUGUAUAUAUUUUCUUCAAAAGGCAUUUCUAGACUUCUACAAUUUUCUCGGACCACUUAACAACUUCAAUUAAUUGAAGAAAGUAUUAUUAUUAUUAUUAAGGGUUGAAAAAAUGCAUAGCAAGUCUAUGUGGUAUUUAUUUAUUUUUGUCUAAAGUAUGAAUAAACCUAAAUUAUUAUUUUUUAUUUUAAUUCUAAAAUUAAUAAUUUAAGAAAUAGUAAUUUAAUAUAUUAACAAAUAUAUCAAAAUUCUUAAUUUAUUACCAUAAUAAAAAAUUUCUAAAAAUUAAUUAUGUAAUUGGUAGAAAAUUUAUAAUUAGAUAAUGAUUAGGAUUUUUAUUUAUGUUUGGUUGUUAAGAAACUAUUAGAAGUUUUCUAAGCUAAAACUUAUUUUUAUGUAAUGUAUUUUAUGAUUUAAUGAAUGGUGUUGAGAUUAAUUUGUUAACUUUUUAUUUUUAAUUUGGGAAAAAAUUAAAUAUUAAUUUUGGAAAUUAAACAAUGGAUAAUAUAAUGAUAGAAUAAUAUUAUUUUUCAAAUAGUUUUCUUUCAAAUAGAAUAAUAUAAAAUUAAUUUAAUAUAUGAUAGAAUAAUAUAAAAUUAAUUUAAUUUUCGAGAUUUCAAUUUUCAAAUAAAUUUCAAAACUUUAGUUUUCUUUCAAAUAGUUUUAAUUCUACUCCAGUUUUUAUUUUUAUUUUUAUUUUUAAUUCUACCACUUUUCAUCAUUUAUUAGGGUUUUAGGUCACAAAAAAUCCUGAUUUUAAUAAUUUUGCUGUCAUUUUCAUUUUGGCAUGCACUUGUACAAAUUUUCUUCGAUUUUCAAAUAAUUUUCUGUUUCUCUUAAUUUUAAGUAAACAAGAAUGAUUUUUUCAUAAUUCCAAAAUAAUGGAAUUUGUAAGACUAAUUUAUGCAAGAUAAAUUAGGCUUUGGUGGGGGCCCAACAUUCUUAACAUUUCUUUCGAAAAUAAUUCAAGUGAAUUUUAUGAUUAAUAUUAUUUGAUUUUGAUUGGUUUUGUGUGAGAUAUUUUACACUUAUCAUUACGCACUAACCUUGUUUCAUAAUAGUGCUUUAUUACCGGUUGCCAAGGUACGAUCUCACCCCUACUUUGCUUAUUUUUAUACAUGAUUUGUUUUAUUAUUUGAUCAUUUCAUUGAUAUCCAUUGAUUUCUUUAUCAAUUGUCACAUUUCUCACCUUAUUUAGUAGAUGCCUGUUUUUAGGGACUUAGAGGGGUGCUACGGUUUUUUACCGUACCUUCCCAAUAAGUAACUUGACCCCCGAACCCGACUCGGUUUUUCAUAGACUUGUUUUUCCUUCAGGAGUCACACUUAGAGUUUUUCUUUUUUAGUUUAUUUUUCCCUUUAAAAAAAAUUAAAAUAAGUGGCGACUCCAAUUAUUUAAAAAAAAAAAAAUCAAAUUUUUACCAAAUAAAAUAAAAAAAUGAGUUUCACCAUGGAGUGGGAACGCAUCAUGUGAAAUACGGGAUCCACAUAUAGGUUUUUAAACUAUUUCAAAUCUCGGUACCAGUUAUGAAUGUAGGAGAAAUGAAGACCUGUAUGGGCCAUCUUCUCGUGUAAAUAAAAAUAAAACCAGGAUAAUGAAAAAUAAAUCAUUCAUAUAGAAUAAACUUCAAUUCACCAAAUUAAUAAUUAAUAAAUGAUUAAAAUGGGAAAAAAAUAUCUAAUCUAAAUCAGUAGGAUGGGUGUUUAAGACACUAAUUUUCUUUCUAUUAGAUUCAGUUCCAAUCUAACUCAAGGUUAAUAUAUUUUUAAUUUUGAAAAAGUAUAUGAUGCACAAUAAUCUAAAGAAAUAAUUAUAUUUUCUCCAUUUUUUUUUUUUUGUUUUUGGGUCCUAAUGAAACCUCACGAGAGAAAACUUUAUAGGGUUGUAAAAGCAAAAUAAAUCAAAGCUCACAUGUUCAAAGUCAUUUCAUUUCAUACCUUAGUUGUUGCAAUAAAUGGUGUAUAAAUACGUCGUAAUACUUAACAUGAAGUAGGAAGUUUCAUGGACAAUGACUUCAAGGACUUUUGUGACAUCUUGACUCCUAACCAAAACAAAGUUCUUAGUCUAUUCCGUGUAUGUUAGGCAAAAUAAAUAAAUAAAAUAACUUUUUCUUCUUCUUUGGAUGGACAGUAACUUCAUGUUUCAAACACUAGAUAAUUAAUAUCUUGAAUUAACUUUCUUAUGAAUACAAGGGGUGAUCAUGAUUGAACCUUGAUCCAAUCCUUUAUAAAGAAUUUCUAAAUCUCAAACACUAGUAUUGGUCUAACAUAUUUUUUAAGAUUAUAUUUGGUUCCAAAAAAAUUUGAGGGAAAUACAAGGGAAAGAAAAUAAAGAAAAAAUAAAAUAAAAUGAAAAAAAAGUGAAAGAAAAUACAAUAUAGAUUUAAAGUCAAUAAAUUAUUUUUUUAUACUACUUCAAACUCAUUUAGCUUAUUUUAACUUUUUAAAAUUAAGAUUAAAUAAUUUUAAAAUACAUAAAAUUUUAAUUAAUUUUAAUUUAUUAUAUUUUCUUUGAUAUUUUCUAUAAUACACAAUUAAAUAUAUAAAAAUUAUUUUCUGUGUAUGAAUAAAAUGGAGAAAAUAUGAUUCUUUGUUUAGAUUAUUGUGCAUCAUAUGUUUUCUAAAAUUAAAAAAUAUAUGAACCUGAGGAUUGGAACUGAAUCCAAUGGAAAUGAUACCAUUAUUUGAUUGAUCAUAUCUAAUAUAAAGGAAAGUUAAAUAUCAUGAAAAUUAUUUAAAAAUUUAUACAUAUUCAAAUUCUUCCUAAUGGCUAGAAAAAUACAUAACAAAUAUAAGGCGGUGUUUUUUCUUUUUCUUUUUUGUUUAUAAUCUAAAUAAUUAUGUAUUUAACUUAAUCUAAUAAAGUCGAACGUUAUUGGCAUUUUAGCUUGUUUAGUUUUUAUUAUAAAUGUUGUUAAGUGUCAAAUUUUUUGUUUUUAUUAAUGUCUACAGUGUUAAACUUAUUCUUAUGUGUUAAAAAAUCUACAAAAUUAAUUAUCAUAUUUUUAUUUUUAUUUUAAAAUUAAUAAUUUUGAAAAAUAGUAAUUUAAUAUAUUUUCAAAUAUAUCAAAAUAUCACAAUAAUAAACAUUUUGUAAUGAUUGAUUAUGUAAUAGGUUAACAUUUAUUUUUGUGUAAUGUAUCUUUUGAUUUAUGAGUUUUUAAUUGAAAUUUAUUUUUGUAAUGUAUCUUUUGAUUUAUGAAUUUGUAAUUGAAAUUUAAUUUUCAUAUAUGGUGGGAGUGCCAGUCACAAAACAAAAAAGUGAUGAAGACCUUUCGGCCCUUCAUGGGCCAUGUAUCACAAGCAUAUGAGCCAAUCAUGUACCCCAUCCUGUCCUCAACUUUAAGUUUAACCGUGGCUAUAAAUCUAAAUACUGUUGUAGAACCCUAUCUGAAAAAGUCCAUUCGAUAGGCAUUAGGCACCUACCACAAGAAAAUUAAUGAAAACAAAAAAUAAAAAAUAAAAAAUGAAGCUUCAUUUUUUUUGCUUAACUCACACGCAAUAAACUAGUGACUUUGUUUCAGUCAAGAAUCAACAUGUCACAAAAGUCUUUAAAGUCAUUGUCUAAGGAAAAUAAUUACAAAAUAAUAAAUAAUACUUUAAUAUAAGAUGUUAAUAUCAUAUGUAUAUAUUUUCUUCAAAAGGCAUUUCUAGACUUCUACAAUUUUCUCGGACCACUUAACAACUUCAAUUAAUUGAAGAAAGUAUUAUUAUUAUUAUAAAGGAUUAAAAAAAAUGUAUAACAAGUCUAUGUGGUAUUUAUUUAUUUUUGUCUAAAAUCUGAAUAAACCUAAAUUAUUAUUUUUUUAAUUUUAAUUCUAAAAUUAAUAAUUUAAGAAAUAGUAAUUUAAUAUUUUUAAAAAUAUAUCAAAAUUCUUAAUUUAUUACCAUAAUAAACAUUUUUCUAACAAUUAAUUAUGAAAUUAGUAGAAAAUUUAUAAUUAGAUAAUGAUUAUAAUUUUUAUUUAUGUUUGGUUGUUAAGAAACUAUUAGAAUUUUUCUAAGCUAAAACUUAUUUUUAUGUAAUGUAUUUUUCUGAUUUAUGAACAUUGUUGAGAUUAAUUUGUUAACUUUUUAUUUUUAAUUUGGGAAAAAAAUAAAUAUUAAUUUUGGAAAUUAAACAAUGGAUAAUAUAAUGAUAGAAUAAUAUUUUCUCCAUUGUGUUUAUUUAAUAGGUAGUUUCACAAAAUAUAUUGGACUUGUAUUUGAUAUUUAUCAAUUUUUUCAAAUGAUUGGAUUGAUUUGAUGAUAUAUAUUACAUACUCUUCUAUUCAUGAGUAAAUCAAAAGAAUGAUAAAAAUUACCAAGUUUUUCAAACAUCAAGCCAUUGCCGAAAGGGGCAAAAAAAAAAAAAAAAAUCAUUUUUUAUUUUUUGUCUACCUUAGACGACAUAGACUAAGCACUUUGUAUAAGUCAAUAAUUAAGAUGUCAUCAAAGUCCUUCAAGAAAUGUCCAAGGAAAUUUAAAAAAUCAUGAAAAAAAAGUUAUAAAUGAUGUUUUAAUGUAUUAUAUACAUAUUCUCUUUAAAAGGCAAUUUUAAACUCCUCUUAGAAUUUGCUAUUAUGGAAUUCUUUUUCCUUUUUCGUAUCUCAAUUUCAAUACAUUUUAAUUUAACUUAAAUUUAAAUAGUAUGAAAUAUUAAGUGAUUUGUUUUCAUUUUUUUUUCUUUGACUUAAUUCUUAAAAAAUAUUGUUUUAAUAUUAAAGUCAUUUUAAAGAUCGUUUAUUUGUUUAAUUUAUUAUUUUUUAAGACAAUUUGAUCUUAAUAAAAAAAAACUAAUUUAUUGUUUUUCUUUUAUCUUAAAUUUUAAAUUAACUUGUUUUAAGACUUAAGACUUAAGUUAAAAUUAAAAUUAAAAAAAAAAAUAAACCGUUAUAUUUAGUUAUAAAAACAAAUUAAGAAAAAUGAUUUUCUAUUGAUUAGUUUCAUUAUGGAAAUACAAAUAUAUAUAUAUAAUAAAAAUUAAUUAAAAUUUUAUACAUUUUAAAAUUAUUUAAUAAAAAAUAAAUAAAAUGGUUCCAAAAAACAUAUUAAAAUAAUUUAUUUACUUUAAUUUUUUUUUCCUUCAUUUUUUUUUAUCUUUCAUCUAUUUUUCUUCAUUUCUUUCCCUCACUUAUUUCCUCAAAAUUUUAAAUUUAUUUAACCAUUUUAAGUCUUCGUGCCAAUGCUAGUCAUAAACAAACAAUUGAUGAAGACCUUUCAGCCCUUCGGCCCAUGUAUGAUGUAUCACAAGAAUAUAUGAGUUAAUCAUGGACCCCAUCCUGUCCUCAACUUCAACUGUUGCUAUAAAUCUAAAUACUGAUGUAGAACCCUAUCUCAAAAUGGUCCGUUCGAUAGGCACCUACCACAAGACAAUUAAUCAAAACUACAAUAAUGAAAAAAAAUAGAAAAUAAAGCUUGAUUUUUUUGCCUAACUCACACGCAAUAGAUUAAGAACUUUGUUUAAGUCAAGAGUCAACAUGUAACAAAAGUCCUUGAAGUCAUUGUCUAAGGAAAAUAAUCACAAAAUAAUAAAUAAUACUUUAAGAUAUGAUGUAUAUAUUUUCUUCAAAAUGCAUUUCUAGACUAUUACAAUUUUCUUCCAUGAAUCACUUACUAACCUCAAUUAAUUGAAGAAAGCUACAUGAAUGAUGGAACUCCAUGUUAAGUGAUACAUAAAGUAAAAUAUAAUGACAAAUAAAUAAAAAAACGAAUAAAAUAAAGUAAAAUAAUAAAAUAAAUAAAUAAAUAAUCAUAUGAAAGAUGAAUAAAUAAAAUAAUAAAAUUAGGUUAAUAAACAAAUUAAACAAAGCGCAAAAUCCAAUAAUAUGACACGAAUUUUGAUGCUUUCAGCUUUACAAACAUGCUGCUAAAGACUCUGUUCUCCACAUGAUCAGUCUCAUCUCUCUUUCUCCCACUCGAAGCCGUCGGACCCGUACUGUGCCUAGGUCGCUUCGGAUCCGUGAUGGGGUUCAGAGUUUCUUGCCGAAAACCUCCCCUGCCACCGUUAGUGAAGCCUAAGAAAGGCUUUCUUGUGAGAUGAAACUCGGUUCUUCUGUUGAACAAGGACUUAGCUGAAGACGUGUGCGACGAAGCUAAGAGACCAUUUUCCUAAGCAUUGGCUUAUGGGAAGACCAUUCAGAUGAGUGUAUGAGUUUAAUGGAUGUGAGGAAUGGGAAUAUGAGUGAUAGAGCAGGCACCUAGGGCAAGUUAUUAAUGGCGGGUAUGAGGGAUGGGGAUGUGUGUGGUGGAGCAAAUAAGGAGUGGAGGAUGAAACCUGGUAGUGUUGAGGAACUGAACCUGAGUAGUGUCGGGUGGAAAAUAUGGAGCUGGGUUGGGUAAAAUUGAUGAGUAUUUUGGCUUGGGAUUUGGGUCUGAUAGAGAGGCUUUGUAAAAGUGGCCAUGCAGGAGUUAUUCACAUGCUUAUGAAUGGUGGGGGAGGGGGAGGAAACUCAAACCAGAUUUGAAAAUAAGAACAAAUUAUUCCCAAGCCAAAAGCCAAAGUAAAAAUAAAUAAAUAAACCAACAACAGCACACCUAUGAAUGGCUCAGAAAUCCAAUAUAUUCAAACACAUAAUAUGAUGUUCAUGCUUAGCAAACAAUCCACAAAAAGAAAUAGCUAUCAAAAUACUAAAAAAAACUCCACAGAAACCGAGAACUCUGAUCAGUUUAUUGUCCUCCCAUCCAUCUAUAUAUAUAUAUGUAUAUAUCCUAUACACGGAGUCUAAAUUCCUAAAUUGUAUAUGGUAACAUUAACAUUUCCUAUAUGUACAACCAAUUUCAUUCCUAAUUUGUAUAUGGUAACAUUAACAUCCCCCCUCAAAUUGAUGUUGGUAAGUCAACUAGCAACAAUUUGCCAACAAGAAUUGAUGUCGCCGUCGAGUCAAAGCUUUAGUGAAGAUAUUAGCCACUUGGAGAUCAGAAGAGAUGUGAGGAAGAGAUAUCACCCGACUUUCCAAGGUGUCUCGAAUAGAAUGACAAUCAACCUCAAUGUGCUUGGUACGUACAUGAAAAAUGGGAUUGGUGCCAAUCUGAAUAGCACUAGUGUUAUCAGCAUGAAGAGGUGUAGAAGUAGUCUGAGGAAACCCAAGCUCCUUAAGAAGACCGCAUAGCCAUACAAUUUCAGAACAAGUAGUAGACAUGGCAUGAUACUCGGCCUCAAUAGAGGAUUUAGAAACACAAUCUUGUUUCUUACAUCUCCAAGAAAUUAAGGCAUCACCUAAAAACAUACACCAACCCAUAGUAGAUCGACGUGUAUUUGGACACCCACCCCAAUUAGCAUCACUAUAGGCAACAAGUUGAAGAAAUGAGCCGGUAGGAAAGAACAACCCACGAGUAGGUGAACCUUGAAGAUAGCGGAUGAUGCUUUGAACUGCAGCAAGAUGGAGAUGCCGAGGAGAAGUCAUAAAUUGACUGACCUGAUGAACAGCAUAGGAGAUAUCAGGUCGAGUAGUGAUCAAGUAGAUAAGAUUCCCAACUAGGCGCUGAUAGAGAGUAAGACCAUCCAGAAGGUCCCCUUUAUCUUUCCUAUAUUUGACAUUUACCUCCAUAGGAGUAUCAACAGAAGAAGUGUCUUCCAAACCAGCCAAAGUGAUAAGAUCUUGAAUAUACUUAUGCUGGUUCACGAAAAUACCAUUGGCCUGAUGAUGAACUUCCAAUCCUAAGAAGUAUGUGAGUUGUCCAAGAUCUUUCAUAUGGAAAGUUGUAUGUAACAACUGCUGAAGCUUAGUAAUCAAACUACAGUCAGUGCUAGUAAUGAUAAUAUCAUCCACAUAAACCAAGAGAAUGACUAUACUCGACGCAGACUUGUGGAAGAAGAAGGAAUAAUCAUAUUGACUUUAGGUAAAGCUGAAGGAAAGAAUUGUAUUGCGAAACUUCUCAAACCAAGCUCGGGGCGCCUACUUGAGCCCAUACAAAGAAUGAUUUAGCUUACAAACAUCAUGAGGAGAAGAAUUAGUCAUACUAGAGGAAAGCUUCAUGUAAAUCUCUUUUUAGAGAUCACCAUGAAGAAAAGCAUUCUUCACAUCCAUCUGAUGUAGUUGCCAUGACUGUGAAGCGACAAUAGCUAAGAUGGUUUGAACCGUGGUCAUUUUGGCAACAGGAGCAAAUGUCUCCUCAUAAUCAACCCCAUAUUCCUGCUUGUUACUCAAAGCUACGAGACGAGCUUUAUACCGGUCCAAAGAACCAUCAGAACGAAGUUUUACAGAGAAAACCCAUUUACUCCCAAUAGGUUUGACUGUAGGAGGACAAGGAACAAUAUCCCAAGUAUGAUUCUCCUUAAGUUCUUGAAGUUUUGCUUGCAUUGCAUUUUGCCAACACUCAUGUUCCAUGGCCUGUUUGUAGCAAGAGGGAAUAGAAAUAGUGGAUAAAGUAGCAACAAGAGAGACAGGAGAGAAGAAUCCAUACCAAUCAGGGGGUCGAGAAAGACGAGUAGACCGACGAAGAGUGGUGGAAGCAGAAUUAGGAUUAGGCGUCGGGUCAAGAUUGGAAGGGGGCACAAAGGAAGUGGAAUUGGACUCAUGUCGACUACGUCUUUCAUACCUAAAACCAGGUUUGAGCCCUUCCACAAUUGUUGGGGAUUCAGAAAAACUAGGCAGAAGGGAUAUUGAUGCAGAUGGCAGCUCAACAUGAGAUGGAAAGAAAUAUUGAUUUUCAAAGAAAAUUACAUUUCGGGAAACUCGUAUACGACGAGCAUGUGGAUCAUAACAAACAUAACCCUUGUGAAGGAUAGCAUAACCAAGAAAAACACACUUAAUAGACUGAACAGUAAGUUUAUGUCGUUCAUGAGUAGGUAGAUGCACAAAACAAACACAACCAAAUGUACGAAGAUCAGAAUAUAAAGAAGAAUGACCAAACAACUUAGAGAAAGGAGAAACAUGAUUUAACAUAGGAGAGGGUAAGCAAUUGAUCAAAUGAACUGCAGUAGAAAGUGCUUCACACCAAAAACGAGGAGGAAUCGAUGAAUCAAGUAAAAGAGUUUUUACCACAUCAAGAAGGUGGUGAUUUUUCCUCUCAGCAACAACGUUUUGUUGUGGUGUCGAAGGACAAGAACGCUGAGAGAUGAUCCCUUUGCUUUGAAGAAAGUCCUGAAGCUCAUUAGACAUGUAUUCUCCGCCAGAAUCAGAGCACAAGACCUUGAUGUUGGCAGAGAAUUGAGUCUCAAUAAGUGCAAGAAAUCGCUUAAAGACUGAAAAAACUUUAGCCUUAGCUCGGAGAAAGUAAACCCAAGUAAAGCGACUAAAGUCAUCAAUGAAAAUAACAAAGUACUUGUCAUGUGCAUGAGAAACAAUAGGUGCAAUCCCCCAAACAUCACUAUGUAUAAUAUUAAAACAUUGUGAGGCAUGAGAUGUAGAAUGAGGAAAAGGUAGAACUUUACUUUUGCUAAGUUUGCAUGAUGUACAAUCGAAAGAAAGAUCAAGAGAAGAACAUACUUUAAUUCCCAAUAAUCCAUAAUUAAACAAAGUACGAAGUACAUUAGAGUUUGGGUGGCCAAGAUGUCUAUGCCACAUCUUAUGUCCAGAACCAACAACAUUACAUGCAAAGGAAAGUAAAAGAAAACUAGGAAUAAUAGUGGAAGUAGAAACAUGAAGAGGAAAGAGUCGUCCCACUUUAGGCCCCUUUGCGAUUAUCUUCCCGGACACUUGAUCCUGCAUAACACAACCAGAACGGGAGAAAUUGACAUUACAAUUAUUAUCAACCAAUUGACGAACAGAAAGAAGAUUUGUGGAGAGGUUAGGAGACACAAAAACAUCAGUUAAGGAAGAGGAAAAAUCACCAACAACACUGAUAGGCAGAGAACUACCAUCAGUAGUGUUAAUUUUCAAAUUUCCAUCAUAAUUUCUGACAUUGGAAAGAUAAAGAACAAUAUUCGUCAUAUGGUUAGAAGCUCUAGAGUCAAAAUACCAUGGCUUAGAAGAAAUCGUAUGAUUACCUGAGAGCCUAAAACAGAAAAGCAGAAAUGAUCAUUUGUUGUACCAUUUCAGGAGUGAGUGUGUUCGGGUUUGCUAAGGCUGUAGGAGCAAGAAUAGGAACAACCAAAGAGGCAGUUGGCAAUGCAGUAGAACUAGAGGCACCGAUGGAGACAUGAUAAGCAGUACCCUGCUUUCUUUCAGGCCGAAUGGGAUAAGCAGAGAUGAUAUGACCUUGUUUCUUGCAGUAGUUACAAAACUUCUUGGGACAAUCCCGAGCAAUGUGACCAAAAUCUUUACAACUAAAGCACUGGACAGCCCGCAUAUCUCAACCCUUAUUUUGCCCUUGUGCUGCAUAAGCUACAGAAACGGGUGCACUAACAUUAGCCCGAUGUUCCAUGGUAGCUUGAGUUACAAUACGCUGCUCCUCACGCAAAAGUUCACUCAAGCAGACAUCUAGAGAUGGUACAGGAUGACGAUUCAUCAGAUUAGACUGUGCAAUUUCAAAGUCGGGUCGUAGCUUUAUCAAGAAUUGAUAUCUCUUGCUGGUUGUAUGCAUUGCUUGGACAGCAGAGAGAGCUGUAGCGGGAACAUUAGCAUAAACAAUGUCGGAAUAAUCAGUCCAAAGAGUUUGAAAACCAGAAAAAUAUUCCUCAAUUGAGAGACUUCCUUGUGUGAAAUUAGCCAUCUCAUACUAUAAUUGAAAACUCCUAGCAGAGUUGUCUUGAUUGUAAACCGUGUGGAGAUAAUUCCACAUAGCAGCAGCAGUUUUAUAAGGCCUCAGGUUGAGAACAAGGUGAAGUUCAACUGAGCUAAGGAUCUAGGUCAUAACCCGAGCAUCCUUAAUUUCCUACUUGGACAAAGCCUCGGUAUCACGAGGUGCAGGAUUACUCCCAUCAGUAUGACCCCAUAAUUCUUUUCCUUUGACAAAUAAUUUAAAUUGAAACUACCAAGCACAAUAAUUUUUGCCAGUAAAUCUAAUAGGAAACGAUUCCAACUUAUCUGAUGACAUGAUGCAACUGAGAAACAAAGGAAAUAGCCCACCAGAAAAUUGGAAUAGAAACGGCCAAGAUCUAGGUUGCGAUGAACUCGAUCAACACUAUUUUUUAUGCCAAGCAUUUGAUUGGUAGAAGAUCACGAACUCCACUCAGAAGGUGUCGAAACCUUGCUCUGAUACCAUGUCAAAAUACUAAAAAAAACUCCACAGAAACUGAGAACUCUGAGAACUCUGAUCAGUUUAUUGUCCUCCCAUCCAUCUAUAUAUAUAUAUAUAUAUAUAUAUAUAUCCUAUACACGGAGUCUAAAUUCCUUAAUUGUAUAUGGUAACAUUAACAAAUACAUGGUAAGCCAAUUUGUAAAUCUUUUCCUAUAUGUACAGCCAAUUUCAUUCCUAAUUUGUAUAUGGUAACAUUAACAAUAGCAAGAAAGAAGAACGUAUUAUGAAGAAACAUAAUCGAGAAUCGACAACAAUCAUACCUGAGCAAGUUUUCUCGAUUGAAGCUCACCCCAUUUCCAAGCUUUUUUCUUCUUUUCUUUUCAAAACAAAAUGGAUCUCACCUUAGCUUCUUCCUCAUACCUUUCGGUUUCUUCUUCCUAUUCCCUUUUGAUACCCAUUCUUCCCGUUUUUCUUUUCUCCCAAAACCUCACCUACUCCAAACUCUCUCACAUGUCUCUCUCCCGUCCCAUCUUCAGACUUCUUCUCUGCAUCCCCCUCUUCACCGUCCUCCCAUGUUCUUUAUUUUCAUGCAAGUUUCUACCGACUCUUUGCUUCAACCAUCAUUUCAUCUAUUUCGUUCUAGCCAUCCCCCUAUCCAGCUACUCCUCUAUAUGAAAUGCCUAGUUUACCCGGUCUCAAUGAGGGGUGGUAAAAAAAAAAAAAAAAAAAAACCUUUGGUUUAUAAUAGGGUCUACAAAUAUGCCCCUCUUCAGCAGAGUUCGCGAGUGUAAGGAAUAUGAAUACUAGAGUGAAAAGAAAGUGUGAAUAGUGAGUGGAAUGAAGUGAACUCUACAGAAGAAAAAGAAAGACUCUUAAAGGUACACAAGUAUAACACAAACUCGCUCAAACUAACAAAGGACCAAAAGGGGUUCUAAAAUCCUAAGAGAAUGAUAGCUCUCAGAGUGCCUCUAAAGCUGCGCUAUGGAUCCAGGCUCCCUCUAAGAUGCCUACCAAAGUGACUCGAAGAUCAAUGUCAAAGAUGAGUAAUGGUCAAACCACCUAGGAGUAUAGAAAAGAAUGCACCUAAAGGGGACUGCCCUACAUGAACUACAUGAGAACGCUAAGUGUAGGGUGUCGAACAACAUGACCGAAAUAUGUGUCGUGAACUCAAAGGACUAGGUCAUGUGCAGUGGAAAGGGGAGUAUAGAAGAGCAUGAUGAACAAGCGAUAAGCACAAGGUAAUGAGGUGAGGAAAAUGAGGAUGAAUGUAAAAUCGCGAAGACAAAAUGUACGAUGCUAGUGAAUAUGAAUGCCAAGAGCUAUGACUGUGAAUGAAAAGUUGGGGGAAAAAAUGAGUCUGAAUGCCAAAAAAGAGAAAAUGUGGUGACUCAAAAUGUCAGAAUGAGUACGCACAAUGGCUCUCAACAUCAAAACUAAAGAAAGAUGUUGACACCGAAUACCAUGCUGAACAAUGGCUCUAAAUGCCAAAAUGAAGAUGCGGCUUUGAACGCCAAACUGAAAGAGAUAUGGUGGAUCUGAACGCCUAACUGAAGAAAGACAUGAUGACUCUGAAUCCCGAACCGAAGACAUGACUCUAAAUGCCGAACCAAAAAAAUGAUAACACUAAAUACUAAAGACGAAGCUUUGAAUGCCCAAACUAAAUUGACAGAUCUUAACGCUAGGAAUGUAGCUCUGAAGGCCGAAAAAGUGGCAGUGAAUGCUCGAUUAUGAUAGAAUGGUGGCUCUACAUGCCUAACUAAAUAAAGACAUGAUGACUCUGAAUGUCGAACCAAAAAACUGAUAACACUGAAUACUAAAGACGAAGCUCUGAAUGCCCAAACUAAAUUGACAGCUCUGAACGCUAGGGAUGUAGCUCUGAACGUCGAAAAGGUGGCAGUGAAUGCCCAAUCGUAAUAGGAUGGUGGCUUUGAACGCCAAACUAAAGAAAGACAUGACGACUCUGAAUGCUAAACUGGAGAUGCGGCUCUAAAUGCCAAACUGAAAACAUGGCUCUGAAAGCUAAACUGAAAAGGUAUGGCGGUUUUGAACUCCAAACUGAAAAAGAUAAAGGCUUUGAACACCAUAACUGAGAAUUAACAUCUCUGAAUGUCAAACUGAGAAAGACGAAUUUGAACGUCGUAACUAAGAAACAAUGAUGACUCUGAACGUCGAGCUACAAUGAGAUGGUGGCUCUGAAUGCCAAACUGAAAAGAGAUGGUGGUUCUGAACGCCCAAACUGAGAAAAGAUGGUGGGCUUUAAACGCUGAGUUGUAAAGAGACGAUGACUCUGAAUGCCAUAACUAAAAAGAGAUGGUGGCUUUGAAUGCCAAACUGAAAAGAGAUGGUGGCUCUGAACACCCAAAUUGAGAAGGGAUGGUGGCUCUGAACGCCAAACUGAAGAAGAUGAAGGCUCUGAACGCCAUAAUUGAGAACCGACAUCUCUGAAUAUCAAACUGAGAAGGACGACUUUGAAUGUCGUAACUAAAAAGAUAUGACGACUUUGAAUGUCGAGCUAUAAAGAGAUGGUGGCCCCGAACGCCAUAACCAAGAAUGGAUGGUGGCUCCGAAUGCCAAACUGAAAAGAUAUGGUGGCUCUGAACACUCAAACUGAGAAGAGAUGGUGACUCUAAAUGCCGAAACUGAGAAGGAAUGGUGGCUCUAAACGUCGAAACUGAGAAGAGAUAAUGGCUCUGAAUGCAAAACUGAGAAGGAUGGUUCUGAAUGUCGUAACUAAGAAAAUAUGGUGGCUCUGAAUGUCGAUCUACGAGGAAAUGAUGAGGACGGAAAUAUACCCUAGUGUAGCAUGCCGCCACAACUCUCAAUCCACUGGAAGAGUUUGAAAGAAGCUCCCUGAGUCUCAAAAGAUGCUCUACUAGCUAGUCGGAAUGGUCAAAUCAACUAUAAAUAUGGCCUCAUAACCCAUCUGACUAAAUCGUGAGGCCUGACGAAAUGCCACAAUAAGUCAAACAUCUCUAACUCAAAAUGCUCUAUUGGAAGAAUCCAUCAUCAUCUCAAAUGAAUGAUCCAAUAGGGAGUCUCAAGAGAAUAGUCCGUCAGGGUAACUACCGCGACCUCAACACAAAAAUCUAUUGAAAAGUCAUGGAUAGCUGGGCAGCCAAAACCCAGAAGGUCGUGCUCAUUCGAAGGCUCAUCUCGGCCAAAAUCACCAAAACUGUGACCAAUAAUGCAAAGAAAUAUCUCUUGUUCAAGUAAUGAAGAUUGUAAAAGGUCUGUGAGAAAACAAUCAUCUCCAUAGCUAAAAGAGAUAAACAUGCCCCAGUAUAGCAAUUAGGGCAUUUUGUCUGUCCUGAUAACUCGAGAAUAACUCAAUGGGGAUGUGUAAGAGAUUUGACAUGUACUCCAUUGAAAUGAUGACAUGGGAGUCUAUGCGCCUGAGAUAACACUAUCACAGAAUCACGACAAUAUCAGAAAGUAUGAACCUGACUGAAUGACUCAAGAAAAGCUCCACUAGGGAAUCAUCGUAAAAUAAAAACAGAUCAUCAACUCGACAUGUAUCUCGUAAAUGAGGAUGAUCAUGCAAAUCAAUGGAUAUCUACAAAUCUCAACCAAAACAUAAAUAUGCCCCAAUAUGGCAUCAGAUGUGUGGUAGGUCGAAAAAUCAGAUGACACCAAAUCAUCCAUCACCAAGUGUGUAAUCCUAGUCAUCCACGUCCAUAACUAAAUCGGAUUAACAGCUCAAAGAAGUGUCUCCCAAAAGAAGAAACAUGAUGAUAUCUAAAUGCCAAAAAGUGUGAGCUUGAUUGGAUGGCCCAAGAGAGACUCCACUGGGGGAUUGUGAUAAGAUAACAAUAGGCUAUCAACUUAACAUGCAUCUCGUGAGUGAUAAGGAUCAUGUGACUCCAUGAAGAUCUACAAAUCUCAAACGAAAAGGAAAUAUGCCCUAGUAUGGUGUCAAAUGUAUGGUAGAUCAAAAAAUCAAACAACAUUGGAUCAUCCAUCAUCAAAUGUGCAAUCUCGGUCAUCUAUAACCACAACUGAAUCGGGUCCAAAUGUCAAAGAGGCAUCUCCUAGAAGAAAAAGCAUGAUGAUAUCUAAAUAUCAACCAAAUCUCAAAUACCUGUCCAAGUAUGGGCUAUCAAAGACGACAUCUAAUCUUAUGGCCUCAAGGUGGUCUUAAGACACUGUAUGUAAUGUAGGCUAGGGUGAUAAGAUAAUAGAAACAAAGGAAAACUAGGCCUAAAUACCCAAUGAUCACAAUAUGUAUAGAAAAUCUCACGAGCCAUGGACUUAAGGAUCCCCAAUGUGAAUAUGGUAACAAUAAUGAGGUAGUGAAGAAAAUCGAACUGAUAAUGAGAUGCGUAAGGAUGACGCAAGGGAAAUAUCAAACCUGAAAUAGGUUAGUGUAAGAAAAAAACAAGAGGGUGAAACAAAUGGGAUGAAUCAUAAGCAAUGACAAGGAUGAUAGCAAAACAAUGAAUAUACGAAGAAAAGUGAUGAUCAACUCAAAUCAAACAUGGAGUGAAGUCACAUUAACAAUGAAUGUAAUGAUGGAAAGGACAAUGACCUAGAGCUCCUAGGAGAAGGCCACUCAUCUCACUCUCAAAGAAAUAUGACAAAGUGAAUACAAAGAAAAGAGAAUCUUAGAAAGCUCACAUACAAAGUCUCAACAACAAACAUACUCGAUAAAAUGACCAUCAAAUAUCAAUAUACAAGCUCAAUGAUGGAGAAUACUAUGCACAUACACACAUGUGCUUAUUUUUCUUUUCUUUUCAUGUUUUUUUUUUUUUACAUAUAUACAAAUACACAUACCUUGAACAUAAACAAAUGAACCCCAAAUAUGAUAUCAAUAAUGGAUAGACACACUCUCAAGUGCUAAGGAAACAAAAACUUUCUCUAAGGAGAUGAACUUCUCAAACUAAAGAUCUUUAAAUUAGUGUCCGUGGGAUAGAUAGUGAAAAUGAUGUGACUAUCCUCCAUGUAAUGAAUUAAGGAGGAUCACCACUCAGGGUGGAGAGAAAAUGAAGCAAAAUAAGCAUUAGUAGAAUAAAGAAAAAGAGAUGAAGAACACAACCAAUGAGAUAUGAAGGAAUGUAGUAGUACGAUGGUAGGAAAAAUAAUGAGAGAAUGAUGUGCCCGUAGGCCUAAGGCUCAUGAAACUCCUGAAUGAAGCAUGCAUACACUAAAGGGCCCCUAUCCCAGUUGAUUACUACCCAAAAAGUGCUAUUUUGCACCUUUAAUUCAUUAUGUUUUAAGCACUUUUGUAUAGUAGUUCUCCAUUUUUAUUCCAAUUGGCAUGUUAAGGACUUAGCAAUGACUUCUAAUCAUAUUUGUGGCUAGUUUUAGUGUUUUGACAGCUUUUUGGAUCAUUAAGACAAGCCAAGUAAAGGAGAGAAGCAAAGAGGAAAAACAGAGCAAAGAAGCAGUUUUUGUAGCUGUGCACUAUCACUUUGGGAGGCUCUAUUUUGUUCAUCGUGCAAAAUCACCUUUCAAGAAUCCCAUAUUCGGAACCGGCUCGGAAUUGCUGACAAAUCAAGUACCUAUAGUGGUAUAUUUCCAUUCGUAUAAGGAGCUCAAAAUGGCAAAUUUCGCACUUUGUACUAUUCAUGCAAGUGCGAAUUUCGCACCAGCCCAUGCGAGUGCGAAUUUUGCACCUUGUAUUGUUCAUGCGACUUUGGUGCGAAAUCUCCUCUGUUCUGACGACUCCACAUGAGAUCUUUUCUUUUGUAUUUUUUGAUGUAAAUUCCUUUCUUAUCCCUGUAAUUAGCCAAUCACAGGCUUUGCUUUGUAAAGACUAUAAGAGGGGUGGAAAUCAUCUCUCGGAGGGGACUUUUUUAUAUUUUACACUGAGUGAAAUUUUCCUCUUGGGGAGAAAUACAGAGCUCUCUUUGCUUUCCUUUUCUCUCUUCUAUUUUCUUUUUCUUGGAAGCCAAACAACCUCUGAGGAUGUUUUCCCAGAGGAUGAGAGGCUAAACCUUUGGUUUCUUGGAGUGAAGGAAGCUAGGUGAAAAGUCCAGAUGCAAAAGUGGAAAACUCUAGUGCCUUAAAUACAGGUAGUUGGAGUUCAUAAAUGGCUUUUAAAUCUAAAGUUUUGCUUUAAAUCCCUUAGAAUCACUUUGAAUGACCAAUACAUGAUAAGCUUUUAGGUCUCUGUGGAUACUUAUUGCUAGAUCCACAAAAGACCAUUAGUUAUCAUGUACGAGCCAUUGGAAAGUGGCUCAAGGUGAAGACCCAUAGUGUCUAAAGCCAUUAAUGGAACUUGACUACCAUUUCUAUUGACUUUUUAUGGAUUAAAUCUUCAUUGUUAAACCUAUACUGGUUCGGGAAACAACCAUCCUUUAUGUUGUUGUCCCCAAUACGAGGAGAAAAAUCCGGAAUUUCCCACUUUGCAUUCUGAACUUGAUCCUAGCAACUUUUAGCUCCGGGAGACUUUCUUUCUUCCAUUUUUACCUAGUUCUAUGUUAGUUUAGUUCCAAACACCACUUUCAAAACAAAUUUUGUUUUCUUUUAAACUUUAAGUUUCUGACAAAGGAAAUCAUCAGAUUCAAUUUCUAAUCUUGAGUCUAUCACUGGUAGAGUGAAAACCCAUCCCAGAGUUUGACCCUAGAGCUGCUAUACUAUAGUAGCUUUGCUACGCUAGUAUAAGGUCAUAGGAUUUAUAAACAUUUUUUAUUAAAAUACCCAACUGGGCACGAAUCACCAGUGCAGAAAUGUAAGCAAGGCAAUAAGAAAGAAAGACUCUGAUGCAUAUGCGAGACUCAAUGGGCUAGCAACGGUCUGUAUGUCAAAAAGGAAUAACAAGGUAUAUUGCUAACCGAAAUGAUGGCCGCCCAUCCUACGACCAUGGUCUCAAACAUAAUAUUUCUUUAGCUGAUCUACAUUAGUUGACUCCAAGAAUCGGUUUCCAUCUAGAUCCAUCAACCAUGUAACGCCAUCUGGGGUCAGCUCCCUAAUGAAAUAAGGUCUGCUCCAAUUAGGUCUAAACUUCCCUCCGGGAUCUCUGAUCAAUCCCUUGAUGACCUUUAGAACCAAGUCACCUCUCUAUAGCGAUCUAGGCUUGACCCGCUUUUUGAAUGCAUGGGCCAUCUUCCUCUGAUAAGCACGAACAUGGUCUGCUGCCCUCAAUCUCCUCUCAUCUAGGAGAUUGAGCUGGUCUAAUCAAGCCUAGGCCUAAUCUACCUCCGAAAUUUGCUGCUCCAAUGCUACCCUCAACGAACCCAUCUCUAUCUCAACUGGUAGCACUGCCUCCAUACCAUAUACUAAGGAGUAAGGUGUAGCUCCUAUAGAGCUGCGAAAAGAAGUCCGAUAAGCCCAUAAUGCAAACGAAAGCUUCUUUGACCAAUCCCGAUAAAUCUCAAUCAUUCUCCGUAAGAUCCUCUUAAUAUUCUUAUUCACAGCCUCUACCAUUCCGUUUGUCUGCGGCCUGUACGCCAAUGAUCUAUGAUGCUGGAUCUUGUAUCCCUGUAGUAAAGUGUCAACAUCUGCUCUGAAAUGCACUCCUCUAUUUGAAAUCAGCUCAUGAAGGACUCCAUAGUGACAGAUAAUGUGUGAUCUGAUGAAACUAGCAACCCUAGAUGAUGUCAAUCUUGCAUAUGAAGCAGCCUCCACCCACUUGGUGAAGUAAUCAAUGGCGACCAAGAUGACCUCAUGACCACUGGAAGACUUCGGUGAAAUCUUCCCAAUAAUAUUUAUACCCUAUACUGAAAAUGGUGAUGGCGAAGUCAAUGCAUGUAACUGAUUACUACUCAAAAAGGGCUAUUUGAUAGCUUGUAAUUAACUCUUUUAAACACUUUUGAGUAGUAAUUAUUGCCCUUUAACCCAAUUAACAUAUUAAGGACCUUUGCAAUCACUUCUAAUCACUUUGUGUAAGUUUUGGUGUUUUUGUUAGUAAUUUGAUCACCAAAGCAAUCCAAGAUGGAGGAGAGUUAUUUGGAAUCCAUGGUAAAGCAAUAGAAAGCUCAGGAACAUGAAGAAUCAGAGAUUUGAAGCCUUAAAGUCCUUUGCCAUAACCAAUCUGGAUUGCAAGGAGGAGAAGUAAAGAGAGAAUCCACCUUGAAGCAUUCUUGAUGACAGUCAUUUCAGCCACUUUUGGAGUACUUCCUGAAGUCCAAUUUAUGCAUACUUUAUGUCGUUUCGAAGAUCGGGAAGUCAACAAUCCAAUGCUUCAAACGGUUCGCAAAUCAGAGUUGAAAUGAAGAAGUUAGAGCCAAUGGAAGCAGAUCACUCCAAGCUGAAGGCCAAUUUCGCAGGGCUGCGAAAUCAGCCUUUGGCUGCGAAAUCAGCCUUUGGCUGCGAAAUCAGCCUUCGGCUGCGAAAUGAUUUCGCAGCCAUCUUGUUCAUCUGCGAAAUUUCGCAGCCAUUUUGUGCGCCUGCGAAAUUCUCCCGAGUGCUUCCAGAUAUUUGCGACCAUCGUUUUUUGUUAUUUUGCCUCAGAUAUUUGUUGUCUAAAUGCCAAUUCUCUCCUUGUAAUCCACCAAUUAGAUGAUUCCUUAGUUGUUGAGCAAGGAUGCAGGGGUAAACAACCUGAUAUGUAUUGUUUUGUAAUUUUCACUUUAAAAGGUCGGGGAACUUUCCCCAGGAGACGAACUUAUGUAAAUUUUACACUUAGUGAAAUACGAAAUAUCUUUUGCUUUCUUUUUCUCUCUACUACUUUCUAUUUUCUUAGUAGCCAAACAUCCUUGGAGGAUGAAAUCCCCAAGGAUGAGAGGCUAAGACCUUUUGGUUUCUUGAAGUAAUGGAUGCCAUGUGAAGCUCCCGUGUCAGGAUGGAGAUUUCCAAGCCAUGAAUGUAAGUAGUUGAGCAUCAUAAAUGUUUUCAUCCAAAGUAAAACUUUUAAUCCCUCUGACUUGCUUUGAAUGGCCAAUACUUGAUAACCUUUUGGUCUCAGUGGAUUCUUAUUGUUAGAUCCACUGACGUUCAUUAGUUAUCUCCUACGAGCCAUUGUAUUGCAAGUCGAGGAGAUGACCUAUUUCAUUAAAAGAGCAUUUAUGAGGUUCAGCUACCCUUUUUGUAAGUUUUGAAGGACUAAAACUCAGUUGUUAAACACAUACCGGUUCGGGAAGUAAGCAUCACCUGAGUUGCUUCCCCAACUCGAGGUGAAAAGUUCCAAAAUCUCCAUUUUUACACCGUGAGUUAAGCAUGGCUAUCCAAAGCUUUGAGAAACUUAUUUUUCUAUCUUUUAACCUAUUUGCAUGUUAGUUUAGUUUACAACACUUUCAUCUUUUUAUGUUUUCAUCUUAACCUAAUUUUUAUUAAGAAAAGUUCACUCCAUCCUCCGAACUUCAUCAGUUAAAGUAAAAACCCUUCCCAGUGUUCGAUCCUAGAGCCACUAUGCUAUAGUAGCUUUGCUACUUUAGUGUAAGGACGUUAGGUAUAAAUUUUGUUGAUACCCUUACAUGCCAAGCUACCAAGAGUCGGGUUAUCAGGCAUAUCUGCAAAUCCAAUGUUAGCGUACCCAAAACCUCUCUACUUGUACUGUCAUAGGCCCGAACUGUCUGAGAAGAUGGCUUAAAGUUUGAAGGUCCGAAGCCAAGAGCGACUACUGUGGCUAGCGAGCAAAUGUUCAAGGCAUAGCCAUUGUCUAAGAGGACAAAUGGAACUCGAUGCCUAGAACAACCAACAAAAAUGUAGAGAGCGAGGUAGAGUAUGGUUAAAACCUCUAGGGGGUAGAUCAUCAGCAGAGAAGACAAUGCAUGUGGCCCUAUCAGCUGUCAACAUGUGGAUCAAUUCCUCACGAGAGGUAGAUGUCUUAACUCGUAUUUGACUCAAUGCCCUGACUAGUGCCUCCCGAUGGGAUGUAAAUGAUGCAAAAAGACUCUAAAUGGAGAUGCGGGCCCGAGUGCUCUAGAGCUGCCUUAAAAUCUCAUCAUCCUCUUGUCUAGUCUCAUCUCAAGUAGCGUCACUCUCUAAAGGUCUAGUAACUGUGGGAGGCUGCUAUUGUACCACUCUCUCCCCAUAGAUGACAUACUGAACAUACUGAGCAACCGUCUCAUCAGGAUCUCUAUUCAAUAUAAACAGAGACUGAAUGUUAUAGCAUAGGUAAAUCAAUGGCCCAAUCGUGGUCAACUGCAAUGGUGGCAUGCCAGGGACCAAUCUAAAUGGUGCAGAUGCCUGUAAGUUUGAGAUCACUCCAUCAACCUCAUAGUUCUCAUCCACUACUAUGGGCUCCGGCUCAUAAUCAUCCCAACUCAACAUGUGAAUGCGAUCAUUAGGCUUAGUGAAAUCCAUGAAGUGUAUACUACUAGCUGGUGGAGGGACUGCAUGUGUAGUAUGGAUCGGUAAUGGGUUAGGGUUACACUCAGCUGACCCAAGUGAACCAAACCCUAAUCAAUCGAGUCCCAAAUGACAUGUCUUAGAGCAGGACAACGAUCAGUCUCAUGCCCUGGCCCCUAAUAAUAUGCGCAAUAUAAAUCCAUCCUAAACUGUGGCGGGAUGGGUUGAGGCAAUGACCUAGAAGUAAGAUUUGUCAACAAUCCAGCCUCAGUGAGCUUCUAAAGAGCCUGGAUCAACGACAUACCCAACUGUGAAAACUGUCUCUACGUCCUCAAAGCAAAAUGAGUGGAAGUUUGUGGAGCUCUAGGUCUGAGAUAGGAAGCUGGGGGUCUCGCGGCAAUUUGUGCUGCGUAGCAUGGCUAUAUGGGGUAGAAUAGGAAGCUGGAGGUCUCUCUGUGCCUUGUGCGGCGUAAUAAGGCAGUGCUAGUGUGGAAGGCAAGUAGGCCUCAUCAUAUGACCGUGGAGGUGCUUAUGACCUAUACUGUUGAGGUGGUGGUGAGUAUUAGGGUCCAGAAGUCUACCCAAUUGUUUGAUAGCGUCUAGGAGGUCUCAACCCUACUGAACUAACAACACAAACAUCUCAUGAUCUCUGUCAUCCUAAAGACUUCUUCCCUUUAGAGUCAGUAGGGAAAGACUCGGACCAUAAUCCUUUAGCUAUGCUCUCCUCUAUACCAUACAAUGCCUGCACCAAAAAGCCAAAGUCAAUAUGAGGAAAUCCCAUCAAGUGCCUAGCAAAUCGAGGCUGGGAGCUUCUCACGAUCAUACUAAUCUGAUCCCUCUCAGAUAGCCUAUCAAUAACCUAUGUGAUUACUACUCAAAAAGUGCUAUUUUGUAGCUUGUAAUUAACUCUUUUAAACACUCUUGAGUAGCAAUUAUUACAUUUUAACUCAAUUUACAUGUUAAGGACCCUUGCAAUCGCUUCUAAUCAAUUUGUGUUAAGUUUUGGUGUUUUGAUAGCUUUUUGAUCACCAAAGCAAUCCGAGAUUGAGGAGAGUUGUUUGGAAUCUAUGGAAAAGCAAUGGAAAGCUCAGAAACAUGAAGAACCGAAGCUUUGAAGUCCUUUGUCAUAAGCAAAUCCGGAAUGCAAGGAGAGGAAGCAAAGAGAAAUCUGCCAUGAAGCAUUCUUGAUGACAGUCAUGUCAGCCACUUUUGGAGCACUUCCUGGAGUCCAAUUUAUACAUUCUAUAUACCAUUUCAAAUCUCAGGAAGUCAAGAAUCCAAUGCUUCAAACGGUGCGCAAUUCGGAGUUGAAAUGAAGGAGUUACAGCCAUUGCAAGCCGAUCACUCCAAGCUGAAGGAAGAAUUUUGCACAGCGUUGCGAAAUCACCCUUUUGUUGCGAAAUGAUUUCGCAGCCAUUUUGCACAGUGCUGUGGAAUUCCUCCUGAAGUUUCCCGAUAUAUGCGACACGUUGGAAGCUGAGCACCGCAAGCUGAAAGCCAACUUCGCAGCGCUGCAAAAUCAGCCUUUUUCUGCGAAGUGAUUUCGCAGCCCUUUUUGUGCAUCUGCGAAAUCUCGCAGACCUCGUUUUCACCUGCGAAAUGGUCCUUAGUGCUUCCCGAUAUUUGUGCACCGACUCUUUUAGAUCUUUUCUUCAGAUAUUUUUGUAUAAAUUUCCAUUUUCUCCUUGUAUUCAACCACUCAUAUAAUUCCUUAGCUAGGAAGUAUCCAAGGAAGGGUAAAUUACCUUCCUAUAUAAACUCUCUUGUAAACACUAAAAAGAGGACUCUCGGGGAGUUUUAACCAGGAGAUCCAUAUAUAGAAGUAUGUAAUAUAGAUAGAUAUAUAAAUAUAUAGAAUAUACAGAGCCUUGCUCUGUUUUUCCUUCUCUUUCAUUUUCUUUUUCUUUUUCUUUCUAGCCAACCAAACUCUGAGGAUUUUUCCUCAGAGGAUGAGAGGCUAGGCUCUUUGUCUCUUGGAGUGAAGAAAGCCGGGUAAGUUUCCGAAUGAAAAAUUGGAAGUUUUGUUGUUUUAGUUUUUAAUGAAGAGAAAGUGUGACCCGUUAAUGGUUUUUAUCUUUUUAGUUAAUGGUUUUUAUCUUUUUAGUUAACUUAAAACGCCUUUAAAUCACCUGGGCCAAUACUUGGUAAGGCAAGUGAUCUCCAUCCAUGGAGAUUCACUAGUUUAUCUUUUGCGAGCCUUUGGGAGGUGGUUUGAAGGUAGGAUUUUCUAGAAUAGCCAACACUUGGUAAGCUUUUGGACUCCAAGGAGACAUCCAUUAGUUAUCUCUUGCGAGCUUUUGACGGGUAAUCCAAGGUUAAAGAUCACCUUGAAUGGCAAGUGCUAGGUGAGAGGUAUGAGCCAUUGCAAGAUGCAUCAGUGAGAGGGAUUUAGUGUUUGAACCCAUUAAUGGGAGGCAUCUGUACAGCACCGGUUAGAGAAUUAACUAUAUGUUAAUUCUCUAAUGCGAGGAAAAGAAACAAGUGACCAGAACUCUCCUUUUUGUAUGAGGAACCUGAGCCUAGUGAUCUGAACUCCAAGAAACAUUUUUCUUUGUAAGUAAAAUCAGUUACUAUUUUUGGUUAGUUUAAAUUUAAACCUUUUUCAUUCAAACAUCUUUAUGUUUUCUUUUAAAGCUAACCUUGAAAUGAAAAGACACCAAUUCAACUUUGAAUUAAUAUCAUUUGCAAAGUGAAAACCCAUCCCAGUGAACGAUCCUAGAGCCACUAUGCUAUAGUAGCUUUGUCUUUGCUACCCUAGUAUAUGGUGUAAUAGGUUAUAAAUUUUGUUGAUUAAUCCCUCAAUCAAGGAGCACCAGCUGGACACGAAUCAGCUGAGACACCAAUUGGGCACGAAUCACUAUGAAAUCUUUUCCCUCCAACGGGAGAUAAAUGAGGUGAUUGACUCCUCUGGCCUCUGCCUUAAAGCCUCCAACUCUUUCCUCGAAACAUCAAUGACAGUGUUAAAUGCAAACUGUCUCAAAAACUCCUAGGCCAAAUCAUCCCAAGUCCGACGGCGUGAUACAUCUAAUGAAGCAAACUAGCGCUGUGUCGCACCACUCAAGGACAUAGGGAAAAACAUAACCAUCUAGGUCUCAUCCAGUCCAUAGACCCUCAUAAUCAUACUGUAAAGCCUCAAAUGGAUGUGAGGACAGCCAAUGCCCGUGUAUCUCUCGAUCUUAGGCAUCCUAAACUUGGCCGAUAAAUUGGCCACCGGUGCUCCAUCAAAAUCCUCCCAAAUAAUAGCUCCAUCUGAAGCCCUCAUCUGCCUCAACCUCUACUCAAAUUUAUUCAUACGUGCAUGUGGGUCCUCUGAGGUCGGGAUAGGUAAUGCGAUAGGAGGCGGGGCAACCUCGGUCUAACUAUGUAGAGUGAAAGGUAUAGCUGUGGUGUUGAUUCACUGGGUGGAGGGGGUGGGGGUACUAUAGGGUCGUAUUGUGUGCCAUCCUGAGGUGAGAGCUAUUGGGUCUGCUGCCCAUCUAUUAUUUGGCAGAGGCUAGCUAUAGUCUCUUGAAUCGAAGCCAUGGCCGAAGCAAAUUGAUCAACUGUAACCACCUACGAAUCCAUAUCCCUCUUAUCUGAUCUCUGGUCUGAAUGGUCUGAUGCUCUGAUCAAUCUACCCCUAACUUUGAUCCAAGAAGCUGAACCCAGAUCGAAUGUAUCAAUACUCCUACAAUAGUGGAAAUACUAAAUAAGAUACGGUGUAAGAGAAACUCCAUAAGGAAUGUCUAUCAAAUAUGCUGAAAGGUAACCCGAAAGUAAUCAAACCGAUAUCCAAUUCUGAGCAAAUAUAUAAGAGAGUACUACAAAGGUAACUAAACCUAUCACUACUGACCCGGCUCUAAAGGCCCACAGAUGCACCCACAUGCAGGAAAGGAAAUCCUGAUCGAAGAAUCUAAGGCUCAACCUACAAGGUCAAGGCGGCUCUAAAAAGAAAAGAGGUGUUCUUUAAAGGAUCCCUAAUAGAACUGAUCAUACCCUCCGAUGGUACGCAACCCUCUGCACACCUCUGAAGAGACAGGACGCUUCCAUGCAAGGUGGUCAUCAUUUCCACACAUGUACUACCUUGACAUCCUAGGGGGUUUCCUAUGGUGAAAACUGUCAUAACUCUUAGCACUCAGUAGUUGACUAAAGUGCACAGUGAGUGGUGUAGGUGCAUUCGAAAAUCGUAUGAAGCUAAAGUAGAAAAAAAAAAAAAAACAGACUGAUCACAUAAAUAUCCCUAAAAUCUAGCUCUAGGCUAUACAAGUCUUCAAAGGUCGGACUUCAAUCAGCAUCAAUGUGUCAGCCACCUCCAAAAUGCUCCCAAACAUAGAUAUAACCCAUCUUUAGACUCUACUCCUAAUCACUAGCUCAAUCGAAGAGCAAAUAAAGCAACAAGUCUCAUAUCAAAUACGAGAUCAAGGAAAACUAGUUUGAUUGAGACUAGGAACUUGGAGAUAAGAGGAUAGGUGUGUGUCCCACACAGAUAAGCAACUCAUGUAAUCACACGAAAUAAGAGAAGUCAUGCAACAGACAGUCAUGCAAAGCAUAUGUAUAUCACUCAAAUCUACACACAAGCUAGGCAUGAAUAUGAUAAUCGAGAUGAAUAUCUAGCAAGGAUAGCAUGUUCCAUGAUAAUCAAGAUAAUAUACACCAAGAGAAUCAAUCAUGCCAAGAUGAAUGAGAUAAGAAACAAGAAUAAUGUACAUGUCAAGGUGAGCAGAAUAAUCAUGGCAAUAGCAUAAUCGAUCAAUAUCAUUAGCAUGGAUAUAGCGGACAAGCAUGAAAAAUUGUCAUAUCAAAAUCCUCAAUGUGCUAUGAUCACUUAAGUAUAAAAAAGCAUAGAGGGAAUGUAUCCGUUAAUUGCCUAAUCAAACGCCACAUUUGCCUCAUCUUAAGUUCAAGUUUGACCUUCUAAACAUUCCCCAACGGAGUCGCCAUUUGUGGACCCCGAAUUUUGCUCGAUGCGUUCCCAUUUGAUGACGAAACUCGGUUUUUUAUUUAUUUAGUGAAAAUAUGAUUUUUAGAAAAGACUUGGAGUCGUCACUUAUUUUUGUUUUAUUUUUAAGGGAAAACAAAAUAAGAAAGAAAGCCCUAAGUAUGACUCUUUAUUUGGAAAAGACAAUCUGUGGAAAACCGAGUCUGGGUUCGAGGGUUAGAUUACUUGUUGGGAAGGUACGGUAAAGACCGUAGCACCCCUCUAAGCCCCUAAAAAUGGGUUUCUACUAAAUAAGGUGAAGCAAACGUGGCGAUUGAUAAGGAAAUCAAUGGAUAUCAAUAAAAUGAUCAAAUAAUAAAAUGAAUCAUGCGUAAGAAUAAGCAAAAUAAGAGUAGGAUCGUACCUUAGCAGCAAGUAAUAGUGCGCUAUCAUGGAAACAAGGUUAGCUCAAGUAUAAAAUCAUCACAUGCAUAUCAAAGAGCAAGACAAAGAUAAAGCAAUAUUCAUUAAGCAUGACAAUUGGCAAUCAAAAAAGAAAACUCAUAUGUAGGGCCCCCACCAAAGCCCAAUUUAUUUUGCAUGUGUUGGAAAUCAAGCCAGCAUCCUCUAUUUACUUCCCUAAUUAGUGUAAUGUACAGCCUUUAUUAUAAUUGAUUUAGGAGUAAUUCUAGCAAGGUAGUUUAUUCACUUUCCAUGUAAGAGUAGUUUAUUCACUUUCCAUGUAAGAGUAGUUUAUUUACUUUCUAUGUAAGAGUAGUUUAUUUAAUUCCCAUGUAAGAGUUUAUUCACUUUCCAUGUAAGGGAAAUUCCAUUCCAGAAUUGUCUCAUAUCCAUAGGCUAUUUAUUUAUGCUUUCAUUCAUUGUAAAGGGAGGUAUCACAGAAUGAAUUGAGGUGUUCCUCCAUAUUUUGUCUUCAAAUUCCUUCAUAUUUUUCUUCAAAUUCUUCAUGGUAUCAGAGCAGUUUAAUCCUGUCUCAUCGUCUCAUCUUUAGUCAGUUUUUUUACUCNNNNNNNNNNNNNNNNNNNNNNNNNNNNNNNNNNNNNNNNNNNNNNNNNNNNNNNNNNNNNNNNNNNNNNNNNNNNNNNNNNNNNNNNNNNNNNNNNNNNAAAUGACAGUUGGUAGUAAUUCUUUUUCGGUUUCAUGUCAAAAUAACGAUAAUGCAAUUAGGUUGUGGCACUAUCGCUUAGGUCAUCCAAAUGUUAUGUAUCUCAAGCAUUUAUUUCCUUCAUUAUUUAAUAAAAAUCCACAAUCCUUUGAGUGUGAAAUCUGUCAAUUAUCAAAGCAAGUCCGGUCUCAUUUUCCCAUUCAACCCUAUAAAGAGUCUAGUCCAUUCUCAAUGAUUCAUAGCGAUAUCUGGGGUCCAUCAAGAAUAAAAAAUGUAACUGGUACUAGGUGGUUUGUCUCAUUCAUAGAUGAUCACACUAGAUUAACUUGGGUAUUCCUCAUGAAAGAAAAAUCUGAAACGAGUCAAAUUUCAAAAAUUUUAAAAAUAUGAUUCAAACCCAAUUCCAGUCAAAAAUAUAAAUUCUAAAGUCUGAUAAUGCUAGGGAUUAUUUCAACUCCAUUCUAGGAGAAUUUCUAGCACAAGAAGGGAUAGUUCACUUAAGUUCAUGUGUUGAUACCCCACAACAAAACGGAAUCGCUGAAAGGAAAAAUAGGCAUUUGUUAGAGGUGGCUAGAUCACUAAUGUUCUCCAUGAAUGUUCCAAAAUUAUUCUGGGGGCAAGCUGUCCUUACGGCAACCUACCUCAUCAAUAGGAUGCCGUCUAGGGUACUAAAAUUCCAAACACCUUGUCAAACACUCUUAAAAUCCUUUCCGACUACUCGUCUCAUCUCCACCAUCCCACCCAAAAUUUUCGGGUGCUCUGUCUUUGUUCAUAUCAAUCAACAACAUAGAAGUAAACUUGAUCCUAGGUCACUCAAGUGCAUCUUUCUUGGGUAUUCUUCAAAUCAAAAAGGGUAUAAGUGGUACUCUCCGGUCACAAGAAAAUUCUACAAUUCAAUGGAUGUCACCUUUUUUGAAACCCAGCCUUACUAUCCCAAAAACGAUAUUCAGGGAGAGAAUUCAACUCAGGAAUAUCAAUUUUGGGAUCUUGAGUCAUUCAGUGAGUCACCCAUCACCACUGAAAAUCACAUUCCUCCAGAGUCAUUUAAUCAACCCGAGUCCAUUGUUGACUUGUGGGAUAAGGAGCACAUCCAAGAGGAAACGAAGGAAAGAGCACUUUCUCAACAAACCCAUGAGGCAGAACCGGGUCCUAAUCCAAGCAAACUUCCAGGUAACAACGCUCCUGAUGGUACUGUUGAUUCCGAGUUAGAAAAUGAUAUUCUUAAUAUGCCCAUAGCUUGGAGGAAAGGAGUUAGAUCAUGCACUCAGCAUCCCAUUGGAAAUUUUAUUUCUUAUGAUAAGCUAUCACCUACGUUUCGUGCAUUCACUUCUAGCAUCACAGAGAUACAAGUUCCUCAGAAUAUUCAAGAAGCUUUCAAGUAUCCUAAGUGGAAGGCGGCAGUCGAUGAGGAAGUUCGGGCGUUGGAAAAGAAUGGUACGUGGGAAAUUACUGACCUCCCAAGAGGUAAGAAACCAGUUGGGUGUAAGUGGAUUUUCACAGUAAAGUACAAGGCAGAUGGUAAUGUGGACAGGAAUAAGGCUCGGUUGGUCGCCAAAGGAUUCACCCAAUCCUAUGGCAUUGACUAUCAAGAAACUUUUGCUCCAGUUGCCAAGCUCAAUACUGUUCGUGUACUUUUAUCCUUGGCAGCUAAUCUCGAUUGGUCGCUUCACCAACUUGAUGUGAAGAAUGCCUUCCUCAAUGGUGACUUAGAGGAAGAAGUUUACAUGGACAUUCCUGUUGGACUUGAGGCGACAUCAAAUUUCAACAAGGUUUGCAGACUUCGAAAAUCCUUGUAUGGUCUUAAACAAUCUCCCAGGGCCUGGUUUGAACGGUUCACUAAGGUAGUGAAAGGGUACGGAUUCGUUCAAUGUCAAUCCGAUCACACAUUAUUUGUGAAACACUUCCCAGAAGGAAAACUGGCAAUUAUCAUUGUAUAUGUGGACGACAUAAUUUUGACAGGUGAUCAUGAAGAGAAAAUUGACUUACUUAAAAAAUUACUGACAAAGGAAUUUGAGAUCAAGGAUCUUGGAAACCUCAAGUACUUUCUCGGAAUGGAGAUUGCUAGGUCAAAGAAAGGUAUAGCAGUCUCACAACGCAAAUACGUUCUGGACUUAUUGAAUGAAACAGGAAUGCUAGGAUGCAAGCCGGCAGAAACACCUAUGGAUACAACUGUCAAACUGGAAGAAAGUGAUGGAAGUGCGCCAGUUGAUAAAGGAAGAUAUCAACGUCUUGUGGGGAAACUCAUCUAUCUUUCUCAUACAAGGCCAGACAUCGGCUUCUCCGUUAGUGUGGUAAGUCAAUUCAUGAAUAAUCCAACCGAAAAACACAUGACUGCUGUGAUCAGAAUAUUGAGAUACCUCAAGAUGACACCGGGAAAGGGUCUCUUCUUUCAAAGAACAACAAAGAAAGAGAAUGAAAUUUUUUCAGACGCAGAUUGGGCAGGUUCAGUGACUGAUCGGAGAUCAACUUCAGGCUAUUGUUCAUUUGUCUGGGGGAACUUGGUUACAUGGCGAAGCAAGAAACAGUCAGUGGUAGCCUGUAGCAGUACUGAGGCAGAAUUUCGUGCUAUGGCACAAGGUAUCUGCGAGGGAAUCUGGUUGAAUAGGCUGUUAGAAGAAUUACGGGUUCCAUUGAAGCAUCCCAUGGUGUUAUAUUGCAACAAUCAAGCUGCCAUCAGUAUCGCUAAGAAUCCGGUUCAUCAUGAUCGAACUAAGCACGUGGAGAUAGAUCGACACUUUAUCAAGGAAAAGAUUGAAGAAGGAGUUUUCAAAGUCAGCUACACUCCGACAAACUGUCAAACGACUGACAUUCUCACAAAAGCUCUUGCUCGAGUUAACUUCGAAGAUCUGACAGAAAAACUUGGAAUGAUCAACAUCUACAACGCGGCUUGAGGGGGAGUGUUGGAAAUCAAGCCAGCAUCCUCUAUUUACUUCCCUAAUUAGUGUAAUGUACAGCCUUUAUUAUAAUUGAUUUAGGAGUAAUUCUAGUAAGGUAGUUUAUUCACUUUCCAUGUAAGAGUAGUUUAUUCACUUUCCAUGUAAGAGUAGUUUAUUUACUUUCUAUGUAAGAGUAGUUUAUUUAAUUCCCAUGUAAGAGUUUAUUCACUUUCCAUGUAAGGGAAAUUCCAUUCCGGAAUUGUCUCAUAUCCAUAGGCUAUUUAUUUAUGCUUUCAUUCAUUGUAAAGGGAGGUAUCACAGAAUGAAUUGAGGUGUUCCUCCAUAUUUUGUCUUCAAAUUCCUUCAUAUUUUUCUUCAAAUUCUUCAGCAUGAAUUAAUAUCACAAAUUCCAUUAUUUUGGAAUUAUGAAAAAUUCAUUCAUGCUUAUUAAAAAUAUUGAAAAAUGAGAAAAUUAUUAAAAACCAAAUAAAAUCACAACAUGCAUGCCUGAAUAAAAAAAAUGGUGGCAAGUUUAUUAAAAAUUAGGUUUUGGUGAAUCAGGAUUUUAAUGAAGAAAAGAAAAAAAAGAAGAAAAUAACAAUCAUAAUAAUAAUAAUAAUAAUGACAAACAAAUAAAUAAAUGAAUAAAAGAAAGUAAAAUAAUAAAAUAAAUAAAUAAAUAAUUAUAUGAAAUAUGAAUAAAUAAAAUAAUUAAAUUAGGUGAAUAAACAAAUUAAAUAAAUAAAUUUAAAAGAUUUGAAACCAUUUGAAAGACAAAUUUUUGAAAAUCAAGUUUUGAAACUUAUUUGAAAAUUGAAGUUUUAAGAACUAAAUCAUAAAUUUGGAAUUUUAGAAAAAUAAUUUGAAAUUGGAAGUCAUGAAAAUUGGAACUUGGAAAAAUUAUUUGGGAAUGAGAUUUCUUAAAAAUUAAAUCUGAAAAUUAGAAUUUUAGAAAAUUAUUUGAGAAUGGAAAUUUCUAAAAGAAUAAAUUUGAAAAUUGGAAUUUUGAAAAAUUAUUUGAAAAUUAAAGUUUGGAAAAUUAAAUUUGAAAUUUGGAGUUUUAAAAAUUAUUUGAAAGAAAUUGGAGUUCUGAAAAUGAAAUUUGGAAUUUUAGAAUUUUUGGAAAAUUAAAUUUAAAAAUUUGAAUCUUGGAAAACUAAAUUCAAAAUUAGAGUCUUAGAAAAUUAUUUUGAGAAUUGAAUUUUCAAGAAUUAAAUUUUAAAAUUGGAGUUUUGGAAAAUUGAAUUUCGAGAAUUAAAGUUUUGAAAAUUAUUUAAAAAUUGGAAUUUUAAAAAUUAAAUUUAAGAAUUGGAGCUUCAAAAGUUAAAGUUUUGAAGAUCAUUCAAAAGUUAUAGUUUUGAAAAUUAUUUAUGCAAGUGGAAAACACGUGUAUGUGGGCUUGGGACUAAACGAUUAAAUGGCAAGUUGUCUUUGAAUUACAUAAUCGAAAUUUUCAUCGUAACUUCUGGAGGCUGCCAAUUAUGGAGAGUAUCAAAGCUGGGAAUAAAUAAAAGCUGGCCACGUGCACAUUGAAAUGGUUAUACAUAUGGAUUGCAAGCAUAUAGGAGAGAAUAGCAAGGAGCUGGUAGUUAGGUGGGUUAGGUGAUUGAAAAGUGAAGAAAUGAUCUGGAAUGGUUGGAGCUAGGGACCAAAGAUGCCCAACUUUUGCAUGACCCCAUUGAUCACGUUCACAUGUCAUUGCCCAUGCAAGAGUGUUCCCAGUCGUUGGUCAUAUACUCAUGUGUAUCCUCCUGUCUCGCAUUCUGAAGUUCCAAGAUAUGCACCAUGAGUUAGAGAUAAGAUCCUUGGGUGCUAAUAUUCUUCCAGUUGACUGAAGAGCACGACUGACAUGCUUCUGGAUAGCACACAAAGUGCAAAAUCCAACAAUAUGACACGAAUUUUGAUGCUUUCAGUUUUGCAAACAUGUUGCUAAAGACUCUGUUCUCCAUAUGAUCAGUCUCAUAUCUCUUCCUCCCACUCGAAGCCGCCAGACCUAUACUGUGCCUAGGUCACUUCGGAUCCGUGAUGGGGUUCGGAGUCUCUUGUCGAAAACCUCCUCUGUUGUCGUUAGUGAAGCCUAAGAAAGGCUUUCUUGUGAGAUGAAACUCGGUUCUUCUGUAGAACAAGGACCCAACUAAAGACGGGUGCGGCGAAGCUAAGGGACCAUUUUCCUGAGCAUUGGCUUAUGAGAAGACCAUUCAGAUGGGUGUAUGAGUUUAAUGGAUGUGAGGAAUGAGAAUAUGAGUGAUAGAGCAGACACGUAGGGCAAGUUAUUAAUGAAGGUAUGAGGGAUGAGGAUGUGUGUGGUGGAACAAAUAAGGAGUGGAGGAUGAAACCUGGAAGUGUUGAGGAACGGAACCUAAGUAGUGUCGGGUGGGUAAAACUGAUGAAUAUUUGGCUUGGGAUUUGGGUCUGAUAGAGAGGCUUUGAUUGAGGCUUUGCAAAUGUGGCCAUGCAUGAGUUAUUUACAUGCUUAUGAAUGGUGGGGGGUGGGGGGAGGAAACUCAAACCAGAUUUGAAAAUAAGAACAAAUUAUCCCCAAGCCAAAAGCCAAAGUAAAAAUAAAUAAAUAAACCAACAACAACACACCUAUGAAUGACUCAAAAAUCUAAUAAAUUCAAACACAUAACCUGAUGUUCACGCUUAGCAAACAAUCCACAAAAAGAAAUAGCAAGAAAUAAGAAGAAAUUAUUAUGAAGAAGCAGAAUCGAGAAUUGACAACAAUCAUAUCUGAGCAAGUCUUCUCGAUUGAAGCUCACCCCACUUCCAAGCUUUUCUCUUUUUUUCUUUUCAAAACAAAAUGGAUCUCACCUUAGCUUUCUCUUCCUACCUUUCGGUUUCUUCUCCCUGUUCCCUUUUGAUACCCGUUCUCCCCAUUUUUUCCUUCUCCCAAAACCUCACCUGCUCCAAACUCUCUCACACGUCUCUUUCCCGUCCCAUUUUUAGACUUCUUUUCUACAUCCAUUUUUUCACCUUUCUCCCAUGUUCUUUCUUUUCAUGCAAGCUCUAAUCGGCUCCCUGCUUCAACCAUCAUUUCAUCUAUUUUGUUCCAGCCAUCCCCUUCCCCAACAACUCCUUCAAAUGAAAUGCCUAGUUUACUCGGUCUCAAUGAGGGGUGGUAAAAAAUAAAAAUAAAAAAAACCUUUGGUUUAUAAUGGGGUCUAUAGUGGUAUUUAUUUUUUACUUUUCUCUAAAAUUUGAAUAAACCUAAAUUAUUAUUAUUUUUUAUCUUAAUUUUAAAAUGUCAAAAAUCGUUAAUCUAUUUUCUAUUUGUAGUAUGAAGAUUCGAAAAAUUCUUACUUCCCAUAAUGUUUGAACUUAUAUUUACCAUUUUUUUCUUCUUGAUCUAACAACAAGCUUGACUGCACAAACUUAGUCAGCAAUGAGAAUAAAAGUGACGAGGGUGAUAAAGUUCUCCCUAUACUGUAAUCCUGAUGGACUAAAAGGCCCAAAAUUCAUCUUAAUGGGUCAAAGUGAAGCCAUGAGCCUCUUUACAAUAGAUUAAAUUGAUUAUGGCCCAAAAUAAUACCCAUGCACAACCAAACAUAGUUUACAAUAUAUGUAGUCCAAUAACAUAAUUUCAACAUAUGAUUACAUUUUACUCUCCCUUUAAUGUUAAAUGACUUGAAAUAGUAAAAAGUUUUAUUUGAAAAUUUUUAUAUUUUCAAACUCUUGAUUCCUCUUUAUAAAUGUGGAUAAAGUUAAAGUUAGAGAAAUAAUGAAAAGAAUUAUUAAAAUUUAUUAAUCUUGAAGAGAAGUAUAAAAAAUGAAAAAUUAAUGAAAAAUUUUAUUAAAAUUUGCUAAGGUUAAUAUUUUUUUGUUAAUUUAUUUAUUACUUUAUUUUUCUUCAAUGUUAUUUUUCCUAGUAAUAUAAAUGUGGAUUUGGGAAGUACAUAUGCCAUUAUAUGACCCAAAAAUUAUUGGUUAUAGAAUAUUAGAAAUUCCGUAAUAACAUAAUUCACAUACAUUUUAUCUCAAAGUUAAAAUAGUCUUACCAGUUGUUAUAUAUCUAUUAGUGUAGUAGAUUUUGAGCUUGUCUUAAAAGUUCUUGCCUAUUGAUGCCUUUAUCAACUACUUUGCAAACCAAUUAUCCAAACUUGAAACACAAGAUGGUUGGGUGGUCAUCCAUCACAUCGCUUAUGGUUAAGUCAAUGGAUAACAAAAAAAGAAAGUGUUGAGAGUAGAUGCAAAAAUAAAUAUGGGAAUACGAGUGAGAGGAUAUGAUAGAUGAAGCUUAUUCUCUCUACUAGAACUUGAUCGGACCUUUAUAGUUCAUUACGUUAACCUAACCGCUAGGAGGUAAGUAGUUACCAUGUUAAAAAAAUUGGAAAAUAUUAAGGAAUGGAAUUGGUUACUAUUGACUUCCACCUUGAUUGUUGACUUUUGAAAAAUUAAUUUAGAUUGUUGGAUAAAGAUACAAAGAAAUAAGAAAAAAGCAUAAAAGUUCAAAUAAAUUAAACAUGAGAUCUAAAGGUACCAACUAGUGACCAAGACACCGAUUGGUGAUGUCUUUUCAAUAUCUAUAGGAAAAAAAGUACAUUUCGGUAUUAUGGUAAGAUCUUAAAACCCUUCUGUAUGUCUAGUGAUUGUUCAUUUUCUGGGGCGUUGAAAAGAAUUGUUUCUCCAACUAUAUUACUACCAUCACCGAUGUCCUCAUCAGUCAUGAGGCCUAGAUCAAUGACCAGCUUCGAUUCUAUCUUUUCUUCUCCAAAAUACUCUUGUGCAUUUCAAAUUAGGAGCCAAAAUCUGGUCAAAGAGAAACAAUAACCCAAAUUCAAUUCGGUUAACCAGCCAUUGAUGAAAGGUCUCUACAGAUUGUUGUAUUCUUCGCUUCACGGUGAUGAAAUGUAUAUCCGGGGACUGAAUCACUAGCUAUUUAAUUCGGCUUUCAGAUCUCUAGUUUCGGUUCUUAUGCUAGCCAUGUUCGCCACCAUGGCAUUGAUUUAUGUUGUCGACCGGUGAGUUCUCGCACUGUUUUGUAUUGUGAAAUGUUUUUUCGUUUCUUAGUUGUAAUAGUGCUCAUGGUGUGGUUAAUUUCAUUAAUUUAGGUUUUUUUUUUAAUUAUAAUUGGUCUAUUUUUUUUUAAAAAAAAAAAAAUUGUUUUUAUCAAAAUUUGCUAUUGGUAGGCUAUGGUUGGAUUCUAAGAAUAAGGUUUAUUUGAUUAAAGAGCUUGAUAUUGUUAUUCAAUUGUAGCUUCAAAUUUUCUUCCCCAUAGUUUGUUAAUGCAUUUUUUGGGACUAUUUUGUUAUCGUGAUUAAAUUAUAGAAUUAUAAUGAUACAAAUGGGGUUUUGACAUUGUAUAUAUGGAAUCGGAAUCAGUCCAUCAUGAUUUAAAUUAAUUAUAUGUUCUAUAACAUUACAUUGCAAUGCCAAAUAAACUGGUGAUUUGCAUGAGCUCAUUUUUUUUUCUUUUCUUUCAUUAUGUUUUUGUCUUUUUUUUUUUCUUUUAUUGAAAUGCAUUACAUUUCCUAUUUUCAUUUUUCGAAAUUAAUCAUUUAGAGUAAUUGACUAGAUAAUGGGUUUUUCUAUUUUAAUAGUUUUUAGGUACAAUGAGCCAAUGACACAUUGCAAAUUAUAGCAUGCAAGUAAAUAAAUUAUAGCUAUCCUUCCUUCAUGUGGGGUUCUUUUUUUUGGGCUUUUGUUAUAAUAGAUAAAAUAUAAUCUAGAGGUCAUGGUGAUGGUUCUUCAAUUUUAUAAGAACAAUAUAAGAAGUUAGCAGCCCCGUAAGAUGGAGUUAGUUGCAGCAUAACAGGAAGAUUUUAUCUCAAAGAACUUGCUAGAAAAUAAGAAGACGACUCCUAAGAAAAAGCUUUUAGCUAUUGUAGGAAUUAUGACAAAGUUUGGCCACAAGAACAAUAGAGAUGCAAUCCAUAGGGCAUGGAUGCCAACUAGUAUAAUACCCUUCCUUUUGUAAGUUUUGCUCUUUAUUCUUUGUAUGAUUUACAUAGAGAAUAACCCAAUUGCCACUUAACAGAUUGACAUUUCUGUUAUAAGCAUAUAAAGGAAAAAAAAACAGGAAGCUUGUAGGUUGAACUCUUAUUAACAUGAAAACUUUUAGUGGACUACCAUUUCUCUUCUAUUCUUUUUUCAUUGUUUCGUUUAUUUUCUUAGUUUGCAAUAGUCAUAUUUCAAUAGUUUGCAAACUCCAUAAACCAAUUUGAAAAACCUUGAAGUUAACAGGUGCAAAUUAUGAGAAGCUAAAAUCUUGUUUCUCUAGGAUUUUUUUGAAGUUACUCAAUUGAAUGGAGAACAUAAAACUAUCAAGAGGCCCUGCCCCUACCCCUACCCUGCACCCUCUAUACCCCUGUUUACAGAAAUUUUGAGUUUGUCUUUAAAGUAAUAAGGAAGACAAUAGUUUGUAUAAUAAUGAAACAGGAAGUAAUAUUGUGAUUCAUUGCUGCAAAAAGUAAUAUUGACAUAACUUAUGUGUUAAACUACACUUAAAUGCUUAGCACAAAAGUAUGUUAUUCUUCAUUUGAGAGCAUUAAUUUAAACCUUAUAUGUUAGCAUCACUUUUUCCAUAACUAAUUUUUUCCCCCUUAUCCAAGACAAUGCAUAUCGAGUGAUUGAUUCUUAAGUUAAUAGCCUUGGCACCCACAUGGGGUGAAGUUUGAAUCCAGAAUUUCCCAAUAGUCUUAAUACGCUUCCUCGAGUGUGUUCAAACUUAAGACGUCAAUGGUAAACCACCACUUUACCAAACAAUUUUAAGUUACUAAGUAAUAGGCUAGCAAUGGGAUAUUAAGCUUGAGCAAUUCUUUUAUAAUGUUUAAUGGUUUAAACGUUGACAAUUAAAACACUUACAAAAGCAUGAUGACUUACCCAUUAUUUUUGUACAAAUACUUUAAAAGCAACUCUUGCUACUCAUUUGAAUAAGCCUCGAGUUCAUAUUGGGUGUAUGAAAUCAGGCAAAGUUUUCUCAAAUUUGUGAGUAUAAUCAAAGUUUUUUUUUCUUCUAAAGAUGAGAAAACGAGUUGUUUAUGAUAUUCUACUUUCAUAAAAACUAUGAGAAAACAAUCUGUUAAGCAUUGCCAUCAUGGAAGAUAUUGAACCUAAAGUCCAAAAGAUGUAUGAAAGCACAACCAAAGAAAUCGAGGACUGAUCUACACCUUCUCCUAAUCGAGAGAGGAGUGUGAGGUCAUGUGUCAUGGUGAGAUGUGUGGGAUAAAAGAAUGUAAUGAUCAAGCUCUAGUAAGAUAGAAAACACGAAAGUAUCAAAGGUGAAAUGUUUGAGUAAGAAAUGAAAGGUAGGCAGACAUUCGAAAUCAUCCAAGUAUGCCAAGAAGACUAAACCUAAGGUGUCAAUAGCUCCAUAAUCCAUCAAAAGCAGCAAUCAUAAACAAAAAGUCAAGUCUCGAUGUCAAAACAUCUACCAAUCAAUAUCAUCAACAUCCCAAUCAAUCUACUGAAGACUAGGAAGAGAGGGAACUGCAUGUGUAAAAUGUGUAGGCAGGGGAUUGGUGGUCACACUUGGUCCAAACAAGUUGACCAACCUUGAAUCAAUCAAGUCCUUUAUCACAUGAUGGAGCGCCACACAACACUCAGCAUCAUGCCCUUGAAUAUGAUGAUAUAAGCAAUACUCAUGUAAGCAAAAAUGAGGAAGAAUAGGAUACGGCAAAGGGCGUGGUGCCAAAGAAACAAUCACACCAGCGUCUCUGAGUUUUUCAAAAGCUCUAGUCAAAGUCAUGCUCAAUGGAGUGAACUGUAUCGUGAGCCUUGGUGCAUAUGGUCUAGGUAAUAGGGGAGUAGCUCGGAUGUGGUGGCCGUGAUUGCAUGCUAGUCCGAGCAAUGUAAGGCUGCUAAACAUAAAUUGACUGAUACGAUGUUGUGGAUGAGAGAAAUGAGCUCUAAUUGUAGGAGGCCUAUAAAGCGAGUGAUAUGCAAGCCUUUGAUGCUGAUAGCUAAUGGUGUCAACCUCUCCAGACCUACUAGAUAAUCUAACCGGCUUCUUUCCCUUAUUGUUAGGGGAAGGAGCAGUAUUUGUCCAUAAUCCUAGAGCAAUGGCCUCCUCAACACUGAGAGCUGCAUGAACUAGACUCUUAAGAUCCUGAAAUGGAAUGCCCACAAGGCGUCUAACAAACCUUGGCUAUAGGUUCCGAAGAACCAUAUCAAUCUGAUCCCGCUUCUUAGGUCAGUUUAUCAUACCUGCCACAUUUGCCCUCCAACAAUUGACAAAUGAGGAAAUAGACUCGUCUAACCUCUGUCUGGUGGCCUCCAACUCUCGUCUAGAUACAUCAAUGUCAGCACUAAAAGCAAACUGAGUCAAAAAAUCAUGAGCCACAUCCUCUUAGGUGCGAAGUCUCGAAGGCUUAACUAAGGCAAACCAUCUCUAAGCUACUUUACUAAGUGACAAAGGGAAAAAAACCACUAAUUGUGCAUCAUCUAUCCCCUGUGCUCUCAUGACUGUGUUGUAUAGUCUCAAACGGAUCUUGGGACAACCAAUCCCACUAUAACGUUCAAUGUUUAGCAUGCAAAACUUGGUAGGCAAGCUAGCCGUCGGUAUGCCAUCCUUAUCAUCCCAAGUCAAACCUCCAUCCUGUAAUCUAAUCUACCUCAUCUUGGACUCAAGCCUCUCAACCUUGGCCUCAUGCUCGGCCAAUCUAGUAUCAUCAGUAGUAGUAACAAUGGAAGGCGACACUGUGGUAACAUGUGGUGGAGCAGUCUCACAAUGAUUUGAUAGAUGGAAUGAAACGUCAUGUGAAGUCCCAGGUGGAAGAACCUGUGUUGUCUAAGAUGCAUAGGAAACUGUCUCAUCAGUGCUGAUGCCGACUAGAUGAUGAUCUUGGCGAGAACUCUCAAUCUGAUCCAAACGUCUACUAACCCUUGCCAUGAACUCCUAAAUAGAAGCAAGUGUAGAAGCUAGCUCGUCUGACAUCUCAACUAAACUGUUUGAACUUUGAUGUGAAUCUGCUCUGAUCAAUUGACCUCCAAUUCUCCUCCAAGAAUGUGAGUCCAAACUCAACCAACUCCUAAAUUGACUCCCUACAAUGCAAACGAAAUGGAUGGACACAAGAUAGAACCCUAAAAGACAACCAUACAACAUGUAAACACAUGAUCCUGAGGUGGCAAUCCGAAAUCUGGAUGUAUGAUGAGAACUCUGGAGUCAUAAAGGUGUCCACUAUGAGAUGGCUACAAUUGUGACUAGAGAAUUCCUAUCAAUAAUCCAAUAUGAAAGAGGUGUGAGAAACACAAUAUCACAAGAUUGAUGCUCCAUCUAUAACCACAUAUCCUUAACUUAACCUUGAACUUGAGCUCCAUAAAGAGAAAAAAAAAAUACGGUGAUCAAGGCGAAUCUCUGGAAAAAAUGUGACUGUGAAAACAUGUUUUUCACCUUUCCGUAAUGAAAAUGUGAGCAUCGAGUUGAAAAUUGAAUCAAUGAUCAAACAAAGAAUGAGAUAUUGGGCUCGUGAUAGGUGUACAGUGUAAAAAGAUGAUCAUGAUCAACAAACAUAUCCCAAAGCAUCCAACAAGCGACAACAAAAAGAAAGGAUGUGUCAAGCUAAGAAAUAAAUAUGAAAGCCCUAGGGAGAAAACAAGCUAAACUCAAUGAGCGACAAAAAGAAACCAAAACUAUACAGCAAUGGGUGGUCCAACUGAUACUCAAACUUGCAUUGAUCUCUAAGCACUCUCAACUAAAGACCAAAAGAGGGAGUAUUGGAUCCGAACUGUAACUAAAGAGGCUCUAAAAGUUCUUAGAUGCACCCACGUGUAGGGAAAGGAAUCCUAAUUGAAGGAUCUAAGGCUUUACUUAUAAGGUCAAUGUGGCUCUAAAAAGAAGAAAUAUAGGCUUUCAAGGGUCCCUAGUAGAAGCGAUCAUAUCCUUUGGCAGUAUGCAACCCUUUGUAUGCCUCCAAAGAGACAGGGCGCUUCCAUGUAAGGUGGUCAUUACCUCCACACAUGCACUACCUCGCAGCUCAGAGAACUCCUAUGGUGAAGGCUCUCCUAAUGACUGACGUAUCUCACAACUCUGAUCACUCAUCGACAACCUAAGGUGCAUAGUGAGUGGCGUGGGUGCAUCCAAAAAUCCUAUGAAACUAAAAGAAAACACACUGGACACACAAAUAUCCUGAAAUCUAGCUCUAAGCUAUACAAGUCUUCAAAGGUCAUACUCUAAUCAACAUUGUUAGCAGAUCGAAGGGUUGGCUGCGUCCAUCAACUCCCCUUAUGUUCGCCGUGGGCGCUUGGGUGAAUGCAUUAUAAGGGUAGGGUAUGCGUCUUUCCUACAAACAAUUGCUUUUAGGAGAGUUGGUAGCGUCUGAGGUCCUACAAGUGGUAUCAGAGCCAAGGUCACGGGUUCGAACCCUAGGGGUGUCGUUGAGGGGGAGAUUGUUGGCAGAUCGGAGGGUUGGCCGCGUCCAUCAACUCCCCUUGUGUUUGCCGUGGGCGCUUGGGUGAAUGCACUAUAAGGCUAGGGUAUGCACCUUUUCUACAAGCAAUUGCUUUUAGGAGAGUUGGUAGUGCCUGAGGUCCUACAAACAUCAAUGUGUCGACCACCUCCAAAAUGCUCCCAAACAUAGAUAUAACCCAUCGCUAGACCCUACUCCUAACCACUAGCUCAGUCAAAGAACAAACAAAGCAACAAGUCUCAUAUUGAAUACAAGAUCAAGGAAAACAAGGUCAACCAAGACUAGGGACUUGGAGACAAGAGGAUAGGUGUGUGUCCCACAUAGACAAGCAACUCAUGCAAUCACACAGAAUGAGAGAAGUUAUACAACAGAUAGUCAUGCAAAACACAUGUAUAUCAUCCAAAUCUACACACAACCUAAGCAAGAAAUAUGAUAAUCAAGAUAAUAACUAGCAAGAAUAGCAUGCUCCAAGAUGAUCAAGAUAAUAUACAAGCAAGAGAGCCAACACUAAGAUAAACAAGACAUACAACAAUGUGAAUAUACAUGUCAAAGUGAGCAAGAAAAUCAUGGCAAGAGUAGAUUCAAUCAAUAUCAUCAGCAUGCCAAUGUCGCAAAUGGAUAUAGCAAUCAAACAUAGAAAGUCACCACAUCAAAAUCCUCAAUGUGCUAUGAUCACUCAAGCAUAGAGAAGCACAAAGGGAGGGUAUCCAUCAACCGAAUAAUCAAAUGCCACAUUUGCCUUAACUUGAAUUCAAGUUCGACCCUCAAAAAUUCCCUAGUGGAGUCGCCAUUUUGUGUACCCCACAUUUCUAGCACGAUGCUUUCCCACUCGAUGAUGCGACUCGCUUUUUAUUUAUUCAAUGAAAAUAUGAUUUUUAGAAAAAAAAAACUUGGAGUCGUCACUUAUUUUUGUUUUAUUUUUUUUAAGGAAAAAUAAAAUAAGAAAGAAAACCCUAAGUGUGACUCCUUAUUUGGAAAAGACGGUCUGUGAAAAACCAAAUCUAGGUUCGAGGGUUAGAUUUCCUAGUGGGAAGGUACGGUGGUGAGACGUAACACCCCUCUAAGCCCUAUAAUAAGGUCUCUACUAAUAAGGUGAGACAGAUGUGACAAUUGAUAAGGAAAUCAAUGGAUACCAAUGAAAUGAUCAAAUAAUAAAACGAAUCAUGCAUAAGAAUAAGUGGGAGUAAGAUCGUACCUUAGCAGCAAGUAAUAGUGCGCUAUCAUGGAGACAAAGUUAGCUCAAGUAUAAUAUUAUCACAUGCAUAUCAAAGAACAAGACAAAGAUCAAACAAUAUUCAUUAAGCAUAACUGUUGACAAUCAAAAGAGAAAACUUAUAUGUAGGGCCCCCACUAAAGCCCAAUUUAUUUUGUUAUGAAUUAAUUAUCAUAAAUUCCACUAUUUUGGAAUUAUGAAAAUUUAUUCAUUUUUAUAUUUAAAAUUUUGAAAAUGAGAGCUUUGAAAAUUAAACUUGAAAUUGGAAUUUUGAAAAUUUAUUUGAAAAUGAAAGUUUUGAAAAUUAAAUUUUAAAAAUUGGAAUUUUGAAGAAUUAUUCAAAAAUUAAAUUUAAGAUGAAAAUUGGAAUUUUUGAAAAUUAUUUGAAAAUGAAAGUUUUGAAAAUUAAAAUUUAAAAUUGGAAAUUUGAAGAAUUAUUCGAAAAUGAAAGUUUUGAAAAUUAAAUUUGAGAUGAAAAUUGGGAUUUUGGAAAAUUAUUUGAAAAUGGAAGUUUUGAAAAUUAAAUUUUAAAAUUGGAAUUUUGAAGAAUUAUUUGAAAAUGAAAGUUUUGAAAAUUAAACUUGGAAAUUGGAAUUUUGGAAAAUUAUUCGAGGAAGUUUUGAAAAUUAGAUUUGGAAAUUGGAAUUAAAAAAAAAAUUAUUUGAGAAUGAAAUUUUUGAAAAUUGGAAUUUUGAAAAAACAACAUUUCAAGAUUAAAGUUUGAGAUUAAAUUUUUGUUGGUUUGUAGCCACACAAUUUCAAAGUCCACUAGUGUGUUACAAUUGGACACAAAAUCCCACAACCUUAAUCUUGAAUCUGACUGCACUCUGAAGAUUUAAUAAUAGCACCAAAAUGACUUCUGCAACUAAUGAUAGCACUAACAAUGAUGGUCGACAGCCAAACUGCAACUAUUGCCCCACCUCCAUAGAUAAAAAUUGUGGAUUUGUUUUUUAGUGCAUCCCACAUUUCCAUCAAAUCCGAGAAUGUCCUGCAUCAACUGGACCAGAUUCAUCUAAAGAGGCGUUGAUCUGGAGUGAGGAAAACCUAUUGGAAUCUUCUCGUGAGAGAUCCGUUUGACAUGGAUGACCCGUUUUUGGCAGUAAACUUGAACGACUUUCCCUUCUCGGCCCUUGAAGGUUCCCCGAACGACCUGGACCUCGUCGUCCUUGCGAAUAGGCAUGGAGCGAACGUUGUACUUGCUGCGGAGGUUAGUGGAGAGUGGUGCGCUCAUCAGCACUCGUUGAACACUCGAUGACACCGUGAAGUAAGGGUGUUAGGAAAAAUGCAGCUGGAGGUUGCUCCCAAGAGGAUGUAGUUGCAGAAGAAGAAGACUUUGUGGGUGUGGUAGUGUGAUUAUGUGACUAAGCUUGACUGGCUAUGGAUGGAGAGACCCGUUUUGAGGGUUUCCGGCGAAAUUUAGUGGCGGGUAGUGGAUUCCAAUGAGUAUUGGACUGUGGUGGUGGAUAUGAGAGAGAAAAGAAGUGAUCAAGCUAGCACAAUCACUUGAUAUUUUGGCAUUCUUGGUAGAAUUAACAUAAAUAAAAGGCAUGAUUUUCAAGCAUCAAACUCAACUGAAACAAAGACAAAAUAAAUAGAAGUGGGAAAUAGACUUAACACAUUCAAGCGCCAAAACAAAAAUCCAAAUAUCAACAAGAAACAUGGUAUGACUGUAAAAAAAAAUAGAGAACCUAAGAUGUGAAAUGGUCAAACUUGAGCGAUUCCUCCUGAGCAAAUAUUGUCUAGCUUCCAGCAAGCUGCAAUCUCCCUCAUCUGUUGCUCAUUUUCUCAUCCCUCGCUAUCUCUGUUUUUUCACGUUAUGCCAUUUUCCCUUUAUUUUCCUUCCUCUCCAAGCUUCUACCAACCCCACUCGUUCCAUUGCUCCUUGCUCAGAAGCUGUUAAGAAAAAAAUAAAAAUAAAAAAUAAAAAAAAUCCCCCAUCUCAACCACCACCAUGGCAAGGUGGUGGUGUCCUUGGCCAUGCGUCCCAUGCAUGCAACUCACUUGGAAAGUCGACCACCUACUCCUCCAAGAUGUUGCUAGCUCUUCCUAUUAUGGUAAAAAAAUAAAAAAAAAAGGAAAAAAAACUUUUGGUCCACAAAGGGGUCUACAAUAAUAGAGUGAUCAAGUGUUUAGGUUGUUUAUUUCUUAUUAUUAUAUAAAUAUUGUUAAAUGUUAAAUUGCAUGUUUUUAUUAAUAUUUGAAAGGUUAGACUUAUUUAUAUUUAGAUGUUAAAAAUAUUUAAAAAUUAGUUAUUAUAUUUUUUAAUUUGACUUUAAAAUUAAUAAUAUAAAAAUGGUAAUUUAAUAUAUUUUAAAAUAUACCAAAAUAUCAUAAUUUAUUACUAUAAUAAAAUUUUAUAAUAAUUAAUUAUAUAAUUGGUUGAAAAUUGAUAAUUACAUAAUAAUUAGGAUUUUUAAUUAUACUUGGUAGUUAAUAAAAUGUUAGAAAUUUUCUUAGUUAAAACUUAUUUUUAUGUAACCUAUCUUGGGAUUUAUGAAUAAUAUAGUUGAGAUUAAUUUAUUAAAUUUUUAAUUUUUAAUUUGGGAAAAAUAUUAAAAUCUAAAUUUUAUUUUUUAAAUUAACUGAAAAUGUUUAUUCUAGUGAAUAAUUAGAUGAGUGUAAAUUAGGAAUAUAAGUUCAAGCUCAUGAACUAACUGAACCAAUUUUAACCAAUCCAUUGUAGCCUAAUUAGUUUGGUUUUUCAUUUAAAGACGUUUGGUUCAGCUUGCAAAAUAAAAAUAAAUAAAAAACUUAAAUAAGUGGUAUUUAUUUUUUUUUGUCUAAAGUCUGAAUGGAAUAUUAUUAAGUGUUUAGGUCAUUUAUUUUUUUAUUAAUGCUAAAUAUUUUUAAGUAUUAAAUUGCUUGUUUUUAGUAAUGUAUAAAGGUUUAAACUUAUUUAUUUUUACACAUUAAAAAUAACUAUAAAAUUAGUUAUUAUUAUUAUUAUUUUAAAUUAAUAAUUUAAGAAAUAGUAAUUUAAUAUAUUUACAACUAUCUCAAAAUAUUAUAAUUUAUUACCAUAACAAAAAAUUUAUAAUAAUUAAUUAUGUAAUUUAUACAAAAUUAAUAAUUAGAUAAUUAUUAGGAUUUUUAGUUAUGCUUGGUUGUUAAGAAAAUGUUAAAAAAUUUCUAAGUUAAAUUUUAUUUUUAUAUAAUAUAUUUUCAGAUUUAUGAAUAUUGUUGAGAUUAAUUAUUAAUUUUUUUCUUUUUAAUUUGGGAAAAAUAAGAAAGACUAAAAUUUUAGUUUUCAAAAUUAAUUGGAAUUUUUUUAUUCUAAUGAACAAUUAGAUAAGUGUAAAUUCAAGGACAUGAACGACCCUAAUUUGACUUCAACCAGUCCAAUCUAGUCUAAUUAGUUUGGUUUUCAAUUAAAGAUAUUUGAUUUAGUUUGCAAAACAAAAAAAAAAACACACCAAAAAAACAAAAACAAAAAAUGCUUACGUGUUCAUUUGAAAACAAUGAACCAAUGGGAAGUGAACCUACCUAACCUUGUCUAUUAUAUAUGCUACUUAAUCAAUGUCAUUCGGUUUGAAUUAAGAAAAUUUGUAGUAAAUUUAUUUUUUAGUCUAGAUUUUAUAAUUUUAUUAUUCAAUGAGGAGUAUACAUAAAUUUAUGAAAUUUAGUCUAAUUGAAAUUGGAUGAAUUAUGUAUGAGAUAAAAAUAAUGGCUAUUUGCUAUAGAAUGUUGAUUUUAGUUUUAAACUUUUUAGAUUUAAUAUAAAUUUAUUUUAGAUUAAUUUUUUAUCCAAAUUAAGUAAUUUUAAUAUUGUUUGUUUAAUUAUUAGUAGCAAUUCACUGAGAAUAUUUUAGCUAUAAAUUAUCUUGAUAAAAAAUAGAAUGAAUAAAUAAAGCAAAGCCUAUUGAACGUAUAGUAGGAUUUUUUAUGACAAAUUUACUAAUCUAUGAUACAAUCAUUUAUCACUCACAUUACACAAAAUUGAAAUAAAUUAUUCUUUAAAAAAAAAAAUUAAGAGAUGUGGAAAAUUUUCAAAAAUAAAUUUGGUUUAUUUUGUAUAACGAAUUAAAUUUGAGUACUAUGAUAAAGUUAAUGGUUGAAAGGAGAGAAAAUAACUUUUUUCUAGUAAGAUAAAAGUUAUAAAAAAAAUUACUUUUUCUGUUGAGACAAAAUUGUCUUUAAAAAAUGUUAAAUUAAAAAAAAACUAUAAAAAUAUAUUGAAUCUUAAAACAAGUUACUUUUAGACUUAAAAGUGUUGGAAAUCAAGCCCACGUCGCCUUCCUGCUUGUGCAUGUUCCUCCCCAUAUUUAGCAUCCUCUGUUUACUUCCCUAAAUUAGUGUAAUGUACAACCUUUAUUAUAAUUGAUUUAGGAGUAAUUCUAGCAAGGUAGUUUAUUCACUUUCCAUGUAAGAGUUUAUUCACUUUCCAUGUAACACUUUCCAUGUAAGGGAAAUUCCGUCCGUGAUAGUGUACCAUUCCGGAAUUGUCUCAUAUCUAUAGGAUAUUUAUUUAUGCUUUCUUUCAUUGUAAAAAAAAAAAAAAAAAAGUAUCACAGAAUGAAUUGAGUAUGUGUUCCUCCAUAGUUUGUCUUCAAAUUCUUCAUGGUAUCAGAGCAGGUUUAAUCCUGUCUCAUCGUCUUCAUCUUUAGUCAGUAUUUUUUUUUUCCUACUCAAUUCUAUUCUUCUAGUUUAUGCCUAAAUACGGUCCAGCCUUUGGAAUGGCUACCAACUCAUCAUCCUCUACUUCUGAUAUCAUCAUCUCAUCGUCUUCAUCCUCUCAUCAGAUGGAAACCUCUCAUCUUCCAAUCACAGCCCAUAAACUGAAUGGGCAAAAUUAUUUGCAAUGGUCUCAGUCCAUAUUAAUGUUUAUACGGGGAAAGGAGAAAGAUGACUACAUCACCGGAGCUUCGGCGGCACCAGAAACCACAGCAUCAACCUACAAAAAGUGGAUAGCAGAAAAUAAUAUGGUCAUGUCCUGGCUAGUCAACUCUAUGACCACUGACAUUGGUGAAAAUUUUUUGUCAUUUGAUACUGCCAAAGAAAUCUGGGACAUUGCAAAAGAAACUUUCUCAGACAAGGAAAACACAUCUGAAAUCAUCCAGAUUGAAGGCAUCCUCCACGAUUUGCGUCAAGGUAACCUUACGGUAACUGAAUAUUUCAAUACUCUUACUCGUCUAUGGCGUCAACUUGAUACGUUUGAGGUUCAUAACUGAAAUUGUGUUACAGAUGGUUUGUUGUAUAAAAAGAUUGUCGAAGGGAAACGUGUGUUUAAAUUUUUGUUAGGCUUGAACAAAAAUCUUGAUGAAAUCAGAGGAAGAAUCAUGGGAGUAAAACCUCUACCUAGCCUCAGAAAGGCAUUCUCUGAAGUCCAUCGCGAAGAAAGUCGGAAAAAUCUAAUGAUGGGAUCCCAUCAACAACUGAAUAUGGCAGAAAGCUCGGCUCUUAAGACUCAAUUUGCUCCUUUUGACAACUGUCAAAAAAUUAAAGGAGGUAGACCUUGGUGUGAUCAUUGCAGAAAGCCGGGACACUCAAGAGAAAUUUGCUGGAAGAUUCAUGGAAAGCCAGUAGAUUGGAAGCCACGUCAACCACUUGAGAAAGAAGGACGAGGCAAUCAUGUGGCUACCGAUGAACAAUCGCCACAACCUGAAGCUAGCCCUUUUAAUAAGUAGCAAAUGGAGAUGCUUCAGAAACUACUGUCUCCUCUUUUGUCAGUACAGUCACAAACUGGCUAAUCUUCCAACCAGGUCAUUGGUUCCGGAACCUUGGCUCACAAAGGUAAUUUUUUGAGUGCCUUCACUGCUGGUAAGAAACGUAAAAAACCUUGGAUAGUGGACUCAGGAGCAUCUGAUCAUAUGACGGGAGAUGCGACAAUUUUUGAUACAUAUAGCUCAUGUCCAAAUAAUUUAACAGUCCGAAUAGCAGAUGGUUCACUAUCAAAGGUUGCCGAAACAGGUUCAGUUGUGCUAUCAAGGGAUCUUACUCUCAACUCUGUUCUCCUUGUUCCUAACUUGGACUAUAAUCUAUUGUCAAUUAGUAAACUCACUAAGGAAAAGAGGUGUAUUACUAAUUUUUCCUCUACUCACUGUGAAUUUCAGGAUUUGGAUUCGGGGAAGACGAUUGGCAAUGCUGAGGAAUGCUCUGGACUCUACAUCCUUAAGGAGCGCCACGAUCCACAAGAACAACCUCAAAUGACAGUUGGUAGUAAUUCUUUUUCGGUUUCAUGUCAAAAUAACGAUAAUGCAAUUAGGUUGUGGCACUAUCGCUUAGGUCAUCCAAAUGUUAUGUAUCUCAAGCAUUUAUUUCCUUCAUUAUUUAAUAAAAAUCCACAAUCCUUUGAGUGUGAAAUCUGUCAAUUAUCAAAGCAAGUCCGGUCUCAUUUUCCCAUUCAACCCUAUAAAGAGUCUAGUCCAUUCUCAAUGAUUCAUAGCGAUAUCUGGGGUCCAUCAAGAAUAAAAAAUGUAACUGGUACUAGGUGGUUUGUCUCAUUCAUAGAUGAUCACACUAGAUUAACUUGGGUAUUCCCUCAUGAAAAGAAAAAAUCUGAAACGAGUCAAAUUUCCAAAAAUUUUAAAAAUAUGAUUCAAACCCAAUUCCAGUCAAAAAUAUAAAUUCCAAAAGUCCUGAUAAUGCUAGGGAUUAUUUCCAUUCUAGGAGAAUUUCUAGCACAAGAAGGGAUAGUUCACUUAAGUUCAUGUGUUGAUACCCCACAACAAAACGGAAUCGCUGAAAGGAAAAAUAGGCAUUUGUUAGAGGUGGCUAGAUCACUAAUGUUCUCCAUGAAUGUUCCAAAAUUAUUAUGGGGGCAAGCUGUCCUUACGGCAGCCUACCUCAUCAAUAGGAUGCCGUCUAGGGUACUAAAAUUCCAAACACCUUGUCAAACACUCCUAAAAUCCUUUCCGACUACUCGUCUCAUCUCCACCGUCCCACCCAAAAUUUUCGGGUGCUCUGUCUUUGUUCAUAUCAAUCAACAACAUAGAAGUAAACUUGAUCCUAGGUCACUCAAGUGCAUCUUUCUUGGGUAUUCUUCAAAUCAAAAAGGGUAUAAGUGUUACUCCCCGGUCACAAGAAAAUUCUACAAUUCAAUGGAUGUCACUUUUUUUGAAACUCAGCCUUACUAUCCUAAAAACGAUAUUCAGGGGGAGAAUUCAACUCAGGAAUAUCAAUUUUGGGAUCUUGAGUCAUUCAGUGAGUCACCCAUCACCACUGAAAAUCACAUUCCUCCAGAGUCAUUUAAUCAGCCCGAGUCCAUUGUUGACUUGUGGGAUAAGGACCACAUCCAAGAGGAAACGGAGGAAGGAGCACUUUCUCAACAAACCCAUGAGGCUGAACCGGGUCCUAAUCCAAGCAAACUUCCAGGUAACAACGCUCCUGAUGGUACUGUUGAUUCCGAGUUAGAAAAUGAUAUUCUUAAUAUGCCCAUAGCUUGAAGGAAAGGAGUUAGAUCAUGCACUCAGCAUCCCAUUGGAAAUUUUAUUUCUUAUGAUAAGCUAUCACCUACGUUUCGUGCAUUCACUUCUAGCAUCACAGAGAUACAAGUUCCUCGGAAUAUUCAGGAAGCUUUCAAGUAUCCUAAGUGGAAGGCGGCAGUCGAUGAGGAAGUUCGGGCGUUGGAAAAGAAUGGUACGUGGGAAAUUACUAACCUCCCAAGAGGUAAGAAACCAGUUGGGUGUAAGUGGAUUUUCACAGUAAAAUACAAGGCAGAUGGUAAUGUGGACAGGUAUAAGGCUCGGUUGGUCGCCAAAGGAUUCACCCAAUCCUAUGGCAUUGACUAUCAAGAAACUUUUGCUCCAGUUGCCAAGCUCAAUACUGUUCGUGUACUUUUAUCCUUGGCAGCUAAUCUCGAUUGGUCGCUUCACCAACUUGAUGUGAAGAAUGCCUUCCUCAAUGGUGACUUAGAGGAAGAAGUUUACAUGGACAUUCCUGCUGGACUUGAGAUGACAUCAAAUUUCAACAAGGUUUGCAGACUCCAAAAAUCCUUGUAUGGUCUCAAACAAUCUCCCAGGGCCUGGUUUGAACGGUUCACUAAGGUAGUGAAAGGGUACGGAUUCGUUCAAUGUCACUUCCCAGAAGGGAAGCUGGCAAUUAUCAUUAUAUAUGUGGACGACAUAAUUUUGACAGGUGAUCAUGAAGAGAAAAUUGACUUACUUAAAAAAUUACUGACAAAGGAAUUUGAGAUCAAGGAUCUUGGAAACCUCAAGUACUUUCUCGGAAUGGAGAUUGCUAGGUCAAAGAAAGGUAUAGCAGUCUCACAACGCAAAUACGUUCUGGACUUAUUGAAUGAAACAGGAAUGCUAGGAUGCAAGCCGACAGAAACACCUAUGGAUACAACUAUCAAACUGGAAGAAAGUGAUGGAAGUGCGCCAGUUGAUAAAGGAAGAUAUCAACGUCUUGUGGGGAAACUCAUCUAUCUUUCUCAUACAAGGCCAGACAUCGGCUUCUCCGUUAGUGUGGUAAGUCAAUUCAUGAAUAAUCCAACCGAAAAACGCAUGACUGCUGUGAUCAGAAUAUUGAGGUACCUCAAGAUGACACCGGGAAAGGGUCUCUUCUUUCAAAGAACAACAAAGAAAGAGAUUGAGAUUUUUUCAGAUGCAGAUUGGGCAGGUUCAGUGACUGAUCGGAGAUCAACUUCAGGCUAUUGUUCAUUUGUCUGGGGGAACUUGGUUACAUGGCGAAGCAAGAAACAGUCAGUGGUAGCCCGUAGUAGUGCUGAGGCAGAAUUUCGUGCUAUGGCACAAGGUAUCUGCGAGGGAAUCUGGUUGAACAGGCUGUUAGAAGAAUUACGGGUUCCAUUGAAGCAUCCCAUGGUGUUAUACUGCGACAAUCAAGCUGCCAUCAGUAUCGCUAAGAAUCCGGUUCAUCAUGAUCGAACUAAGCAUGUGGAGAUAGAUCGACACUUUAUCAAGGAAAAGAUUGAAGAAGGAGUUUUCAAAGUCAGCUACACUCCGACAAACUGUCAAACGGCUGACAUUCUCACAAAAGCUCUUGCUCGAGGUAACUUCGAAAAUCUGACAGAAAAACUUGGAAUGAUCAACAUCUACAACGCGGCUUGAGGGGGAGUGUUGGAAAUCAAGCCCACGUCGCCUUCCUGCCUGUGCAUGUUCCUCCCCAUAUUUACCAUCCUCUGUUUACUUCCCUGAAUUAGUGUAAUGUACAGCCUUUAUUAUAAUUGAUUUAGGAGUAAUUCUAGCAAGGUAGUUUAUUCACUUUCCAUGUAAGAGUUUAUUCACUUUCCAUCUAACACUUUCCAUGUAAGGGAAAUUCCGUCCGUGAUAGUGUACCAUUCCGGAAUUGUCUCAUAUCUGUAGGAUAUUUAUUUAUGCUUUCUUUCAUUGUAAAAAAAAAAAAAAAAAAGUAUCACAGAAUGAAUUGAGUCUGUGUUCCUCCAUAGUUUGUCUUCAAAUUCUUCAUAUUUUAGUCUUCAAAUUCUUCAAAAAGUAAAAUAAAUAGAUAAGCAUGAACUCAUAAAAAAAUACAAUCAAAACUUAUUUGUAAAUCUUUCUAUUCAACAAAUUAAAUAAAGCCUAGUUUUAAUAACACUAGCUAGGAUGCCAUAACCAAAUGAGAUAUAGGUGUUGGAAAAGAAAACAUGACUCUUUUUCUACCUAUUGUAUUUAAUUUUAUGUCACAAUCUAUUAAAGAAACUUUGUUUCUUUGAAUUUGCAUAUGGAUAACAAAAAGAAGAUUUAUGAUACUUUCUUGGAUUUAUAACAAUAAAACUAUUUCAAAUGUAUGACAACUUAUGAAGCACUAAUAGAAACUUAUCUCUUGAAUAUAUAACUUCCUUAUAAUUAUAUUACAUGGAAAUUAUGCUUCAAAUAAUAAUGUAAAUUUUAAAUUUUGAAUUUAUUUCUUUAAAGAGCAACUUAAAAGUUCAAUAGUUUAAAUGAAGUCAUUUCUAGAAGAGACUUUCUAUUUUACUUUAGCUAGUUUUGGAUUAGAAAUUUAUAACAUUUUAAUUUAUGCUUUGAUUAUUGUUCUAAAUCUAUUUGAGGUAAAAGUCAAUUAAUUAGAUGUUUGAUUAGUUAAUUAAGGUCAUUCAUGUGUUAAGCUCUAAGGUUUAACAUAUAAAAUGAUAAUAAUACCCUUAGCCUCCAGGUUUGAGGUGUCACAAUAUUAAAUAUGUGAAUAUUCAAGUUUUGAUUUGUACCUGGAGGAGAUAUUAAUUUUAUAUCCAAAAAUUCAAAUUUUCAUAAUUAUUAUUUCUUUCAUCAAUAUGAGAUAUAUAUCAUAUAUCAAAAAAGAGAGUAAUCUCACAAUAGGUACAUGAUAUACUUGAAAAACCAAAACAAAAAAACCUCCAUCUUUUAAAGGACAUUGUGUGUGAAAAUAUUUUAAUAAUAUUAUUAUAGUUUAUAACAAGUUAUUGGACCAACUCAAUUCAUAUUAUUGUAUCCCAUUCUAUAUCAUAAGCCAAUUGUUGGUACACGGCCAAUAAUGCUUUGUUUGACUAGCUUCCUUUGAGAGAACGACGAGUGUACUUGUAACAAAGAGUGUUUGGAUAAUUUUUCUAGGCACCCCCUUCGAAGCUUAAGUUAGUUUACGGAAGAGACAGACAAGAAUUUUUGGGAACUUGUGUUAUACUAGGGUUCUAAGGCACAUGUCUUAAUUUUUGGGAACUGCACACGCUUUGCUUCAUUUUCCCUUGAUACUUUUUCUUCAUUGCAUUCCAAAUAUGUUUGAGGUCCUUUAACUUCAAAGCUUCUAAUUCUACUCUCGGUAUAUCUAUCAACAUGACUCUAGUUGUUGGUUCUACUACAUUAGAUUCCAUAACGUUCUAGUACUCCUUGGAUCUUAGGAAAUUCUCCAUCAACAUGUCUCCAAUGAUCAUAGUGACCAUCGAAGCAUGGGAUAGUUGGUUGCACAAGAUUUUCAAAGGUCAUUGUUCUUCAGUGUUGUUGCUACAAAAAAGAAAACAAGUAAAAUAGAAAAAACUACAGGUACAGACUCUAUCGCACACCCCUUUUCCCUUGACCUAGACUUUUUUUUUUCUUUUCCUUUUAUUAUUUAUCACCCCCUCCUUUUCACAUUUUGAUGCCAUUGUUACAGAAUUACUAAGAAAAGUAAAUAAAGUUGCAAGUAAAAAAAAAAAACACACAACAAAGACAUAUUUUUUGCUAUAGAUUUUCAUUAACGAACAACCUUUAUAUAGACAAUUAAACCAAUGGUAAAAAGUAAAAAAAAUGGCAACAGACCAAGACCACUACCUAAAGUGCUCUAUAAUUAGACACAUAAUACAAUGAGAAAAAACUACUUUGCUAAACAAUACAUCACCACUACUACAUUACACAAUGUGCCAAAAAUAGACUCUCCUAAUAAUCAAGCUCAACAAAAGAUCAUAGUAUUGACCAUGAUACGUACAUACAAUAACCAUAAUACUAUUAAAAGAUCCUAUUGACCAAGACAACAAAUAACUCAAAAACUUAAAUAAAUUAAAUAAUAAUUUCAAUAAUUUGAAGAUUUUUAGUAUUGGCAUUAGGUCAUGGAGGGAGAAAAAGAAUGAUAUCAUGUGUCAAUUUUAUUUAUUUUUUAUGAUUUUUUAAAAAAUUUCAAUGUUUUAUUUUUAAAAAUUGGUGAAAACAACUUCUACUUGUUUUCUAUUUCACUUAUAAACAUUAUGAAUUUUUAAAAAUAGUUUUCUAUUUUAAACAUAAAAAGAAACUCCAAGGAAAGAACUCUUGUUUAAGAAAGGUGGCAAUUUUAAGUUAAAAGUUUAUAUAUAUGUUGAUUGGGUUGGCUCCAGGGUAGACGGAAGAUCGACUAUGGGGUAUUGCACCUUCUUAGGAGGGAAUAUAGUCACUUGGAGAAGUAAGAAACAACCAAUGGUGACUUGUUCUAGUGCAAAGGUAGAGUUUAGGGUAAUAGUGCAAGGAAGAUGCGAACUACUUUGGUUGAAGAUAAUACUCUCAAACUUGCAAGUGAGAGUGAAGAUGCUUUAUUGCGACAAUAAAGCAGCUAUAAAUAGAACACAAAUCUCAAUUCAACAUGACCAGACCAAGCAUGUGGAAAUUGAUAGAUAUUUUAUAAAAGAAAAGCUUGACUCUAGACAAGUUUGUCCUCCAUAUGUUUCAUCCUCUAACCAACUUGCAGAUGUGCUCACAAAAGGAUUAUCAAAUGCAAACUUUCAAUAGAUAAUUAGCAAGCUUGGGAUACGAAAUAUCUUGGCAUCAGUUUGAGGGAGAGUGUUAGAAAAGGAAAUAAUUUGUAGGAAUAGGCAUUUUUCCUAUCAAUUAGCUAUAUAUUUACAAUUGUAUUAUUCCCAUUGAUGUGUUCUGCUAUGUAUAGCAUGUUAGGAUAUUUUUCCUAGUUUAGAGCUCUAUAAGUCAACUAGUGUAUUCUAUAUAUCUUGUAAUAUUUUUUUCAAAGUAAUAUAUCCAUUUUUUAUCACUCUUUCACAAGUCUACACUUUAAAUUACACAUACUUUUAUAAUUUUCUUUUAAUUUCUCUAAAAUUUUUCAUAAAGCAAUUAAAUUUUAAAUCAAACUAUGUUUGAUACAUAAAAUUUAUUAAUUUUUAAAAGUAAUUUGAAACUUAAAAACUAAUUUAAUUAGUACUCGAAAGUUAUGGAACUCAAUAACAUUAGAAAGUCAUAGACCAAAAUUUAUUUAAAAUGACUUUGUUAAUUUCUUCUAUAUAUCAUAUUUUUAUAAAUUUUUUAUCUAGAUAAAUAAACUCCAAAUUGAGCAAGACUUAAUGUGUUAAAUUUAUUAAUGAGUAUAAUAAUUCUUUAUAAAAAAAAGGCAAAGGUUGAAUUUGUUAGAUGAAAAUGAAUUUUGACUGGCAAUUGUCUAGUUGUGUGUCUCGUUGUUCCAUAUAUAGCAGCAUGAGGACAUUAGUGGUUGCCAUAGACUGGUUGCUUUUUUGUGGCAGAGAAAGAGUUUCAAUUUGAGCACCCCUGGAUGAAUGGGGAAACAUGGCCAUCUUCAGGAGCAUAGAACUGUUAUUUGUACGAUGUUUUUGUUUUUAGCUGCCUACUCAAUUCCGAAACUGAAUUUGAAUGACUCCCUUGUAUUUUAGGUAGCAUUUGACAGUUGAAGUCAGUUAUGUUUAAUGGCUCCAUUAUAGUACUAUUGUCAUACAAAUAGAAGGGUGCAAUUCAAUUCUCAUAAGACAUGGAAACACGACUAUAAGAUAUUGGAAAUUGAUUUGAAGGUUCCCUUGGUACAUCCCAGGCACUAUAAAUCCUGUUUUUGUGUUGGGACAUUAAGCCUGCUACGAUUCUUUGAUUAUGCAAUUCACAGCAAUUGUUACUAGCUUCCUACAUAAAAAUGGUUUCUCAAGUAUUCAAUAUCUUGACUAGACAAUCUAAGGCUCUUUCUCACUGUUCUAUAACUCCAUAGAAUUCAAUAUCUUGAUUUGCUCACUCUUCUGGUCAUGUUAUUUGGAAUUUCAUGGCAUUUUCUUUUAUUGAAGUGCACCAUUUUUUUUUAAUUUUUUUUUUUGUAGGUAGCAAAGAGGAGGUAUUUUUUGAUUCGCAACCCUGGUUAGAAUCUGAUUGUGAAAAUUUCUUCAGCAUCAGUGCUCGUAAGAUUAACUUAAAUUUUUCAUGGAAAGAAAUUCAUUUUUUUCCUGGUUAUCUUCAGAGGAGUAUGGUGUGUUUUGCUGAGGGCCACAACUAAAAUAGGCAUUGCAGUAUGGGAAAAUUUCUUGGUUCUAUUUCAUGCAGAUUCAACACUACCCUAUCAUGGCAAUAUAUACUCCAAUGAACCAAAGCAGUUUCAGAGAAACUCCUUGACUUGAUAGAUCUCUUUCUAUGAACAAAACACCCAAUUCCAUGACUGAACCCUCCCCAUCUGAUAAGAAGAAACUGAUUGAGCUCUUCCAAGAGAGCUUUGACGAUGAUCCAUUUGAAGGCGAUCAAGACCUACAAGGAAUAGAAAGUAAUAUGGAAAAUGGAAGGCUGAAAGCCAAGGCUACCAUUUUUUUACUUUCUUCCAAAUAGAGGUUGCAGUAGUGAAAGAACUCCAAAUAGAGGUUACAAACCUGAGAGAGAAAUCCGCUCACUCUGCACAGCGUUGCCUUCCCGGUUUGGUUCGGAGUCUGAGCUUUAGUGAUAGGAAGAGGAGGCUCAGCCCUGCCCACAGUAGCUGUAGAAGGUAAGCCAAGCUUUGCUCUGUAUGUGCUUUCAGGUGAAGUUUUGCUUCAAAAUCAGCAUUACUGAAAGAAUUUGGGGUCUCUAAUUCCCUUGUUCAACUUUAUUUGUCCUUCUUUGGGCAGAGUUGUAAAGUGAUCCAUGAACCAGAUGCCUCGUUUCACUGUUUUAUAGGAACGAAAAAUGAUUGAAUUUGUAUUCAUUAGUCUGCCUCCAUGAUGUUAGAGUCCUGAUCAAUCUAUAAGUUUUGUUGUAAGUUGAUGGGUGCUGCCUCUGAAGAAAUUCUUCAAAGCCCCUUGUAUAAAGAGUCUUGGUUGGUGCUUCCCUGUCUCAUAUAAAAAUCAAUUGGCAUGGGAUCACAAUAUAGACUGAAGACGACUUGACCUCAGUCUUUAGCCUAUAUCGCUUCUGGCCUCUCUGUUUCCUUCCUUUCUGGCCUGAGACAUGCCUCCUAUCGUGCUUUUCCUCCCUGCCUCCUACUUUAUGAAAUAUUUUUCAUUGGUCUACAAUUAACUCAUAUCUCUAUCUAUAUUUCAAUAGAGCUUCUUCCUCGCUAUAAUUACAGUCUUUAUAAGUAACAGAACAUCUAAAAGAAAAAUAAUUACAAACAAAUAUUUCAAACAUACAAUUCUUUAACACUAGUACCAAAUCAAACCUUCAUUCACCAUAUGGAUUCCUCCAUUGUAUUCGAUCUGAAACAAGUAAAUACACGUAAUAAGCUUCAAAUUUCACAAGCUUAUGUUCAAUAUCAUAUAUUUUUGUAUGAUCAACCUAAUAGCAGAUCAAAAGUUUCUCUGUCCAUGACUUCAAUUAACAACAAAAAUAUUCACAAAGAUGAGGAAGUGUUUAUAUCUAAUGGUAUAAGUCAUAGUAAUCAUGAGAGUAUAUCUCUCCAUAAAUUUAGAGACUUCUAACCAAGCAAAUUGUAGUCCUAGCUACUUGCUUGUAUUUUGGCAUUUAAUCUCGGAGAUAUGUAUCCUUACAACUCCAUUGAGAAAAUCACUUUCUACAACUUUAGAGAAUUGAAUCAAUUAUAGAUUUAUAGAUUCCCUAGGACGCUUUGUUUAAGGGUUUAAACUCAGAAAUUGAUUACCUUAUACAUAUAUCAUUCUUUGAUCCUAAUAUAUCAUUCUCUUUAUUGAUAACAUUCAAUGGUCACAAAAAUAAGGACUUCGUUAAAAAAAAUGAAUCUAGUUGUUAGAAAGGAAAAACUUUUACAUGCAUAUAAGUUAUAAGCAUCUAAUUAAUCGGCAUUUAACACCAUCCUAUAAAGAUUAAUUUCAUCAAAAGAAUUCAAGUUCACUUCUAACUUAUCUUCAGUUCAUAAUAUGAUUUGAGUGCUUAAAGCACUACAAUUUUCGUAAACUCUAAAUUCAACAAUACGAUCAUUCAUUUUUUUAUUUUUUUUAUUUUUGUGAAUUUAAACCAUUUUUUCCAAUUAAUUAAGAAAUCAUUUAAUAAAAUUUGAGUAUAUAUAACAAGAUUAAUAGAAUGUGUGAUGAAGAUAGGUUUGCAUUACCUUAUGCAUUGGAAUUCAUCUUCCCUUUGUUUUUUUUUUUUUUUUUUUUUAUGAUUUUGUUAUUUUGAAAUCACGUCACCCUCUGCAAAAUAGAUGAAUUCAUUCUGAUGAUAAUUCACACAAAAAAUUAAAAUAAAUAAAUAAACAAGGAAAAAGAAAGGGAAAAUAUGCAAGAUAACUCACCUCUUCAACCUUGAGCUCCACCAUUUCUUUUCAUCUUCCUUCGGAAACGAGCCACAUUCACUGCAAUAAAGACAUACAUCCUAUCUUUCGCUUCACCAACAAACCGAAAAUAAGCAUGCCUCCAAGACUUUUUUAGAGCCAAAGUGCCACAUACAGCCCAAAAUCCCACCGGGAAGCCCAAUCCCAUGCUUGUGAAGAACCACAAUGUUUCCCACCCAUCGUCAUGAUCUUCCUUCUCAUCUUCCUCAUCUUUGUGAUCUUCAUUAGGAGUGGAGCACUGGGUUGACAAUGGAAGCCCACAAAGUGCCAGGUUACCCUCAUACAUGGAUGGAUCAUUGAAUGUAGGGAAUUGGUUGGUUGUUGGAAUGGGUCCUGACAGGAGGUUAUGCGACAAGUUCAAAUCGCUCAAUGAGGUUAUAGAAGCCAUGCUCAGAGGAAUUGGGCCUGAAAGGCGGUUGCUCGAGAGGUCCAGAGUUUCUAACCCUUGCAUGGCUCCAAUGUCCUCGGGUAUCUUUCCAGUCAAUUGGUUCCGGGACAAAUUCAAGGUACCCAAGGUUGAGAGAUUUUUAAUCCCAUGUGGAAUCUCUCCCCAUAAGUUAUUCCUAGAAAGGUCUAUCAACUUCACAAUUGAAAGUAUCCUCUCAAAUUCCAUUUCUUUUCCCUUCACAACUAGCUCCAUUCCCUCCGUGUAGUAAUAAUCAGUAUAUAGGUAAUCUGGAGAAGGAUCUAAUAAGGUCACAUGAUUCAUAGCACUCAAAUGGCCUAAGCAUGGAGGGAUGGAUCCUGAUAGAUUAUUAAGUGCAAGGUCCAAAAUGCGGAGAUCAGAAAGCCCACAUAGUUGCUCAGGAAUAUUUCCGGUCAGCAUGUUGCCUCGUAAGCGUAGCUGCUUCAGUGAUGACAUUCUUUCUCCGAUCCAUUUGGGUAUCUCACCUGAAAACCUGUUAUUUCCAAGAUCAAGGGAGUACAGACUGCAGUUUUGUAAGCUUGGAGAGAGUUCCCCAGAAAGAUGGUUGUCGCCCAGUUUCAACAAGUAAAUUACAUGGAUUGAACAUAUGGAACUUGGAAUCUCGCCAUACAGUCUGUUCUUGGAUAGAUCAAUGAUGCCAAGCAUUUCCAUAUCUUUCCAAUGAUUGGGAAUCUUUCCAGAUAAAUGGUUAUUUGAGAGAUCAAUAAUCCUCAAAUACUUCAGGUUAGUUAAUGAUGAUGGGAUGGUCCCAUUCAACAAGUUCCCCGAAAUAGUCAGGACUCUCAAACUUGAUAAUUCCCCAAUAUUGGACGGAACUGGACCUGAAAAUAAAUUGUUCCCCAAAACAAGAUAUGUCAAAUUAUACCAAAGUGGGAGUGGACCCUCUAAGCGGUUGAAACUUAAAUCUGCCAUACUCCAUCCAUGCGAUGUGCUGAAGGAUAAGGGACUGGGAGGCUUUCCCCUCAAUUGGUUCCUGGAAAGAUCUAACCACCCAAGCUGUGGAGACAACUUCCAAAGCCAUUCUGGUAUAGUGUCUGAAAUCCCAACAUUAUGGAGGAUUAUUUGGUAAAGUUCCUUCUGAGUUCCGAGCCAGGCAGGGAAUGUUUGAGACAGUAUGCAGUUGCCGAUUCUGAUAACCUUGAGACUGAAAGGAGGAAUCCAGUCACUUGUAAUAUCGAAAACCAGAGAGUUGUUUGUAGCCGGUGAUAAGUAUGAGGAGAAAUAUUCCAGUUUUAUAAGACCCAUGAAGUGAAUUUCGGAUACCCUCCCCUUCCAAGGAUUCCAAUCAAAUGUUAAGGUAAGGAGCUCUUUAAGUUGUCCUAUACUUUCUGGGAUGGUCCCAUUCAUUCCGUUGUGAGAGAGGUCCAAUUCCUCCAACAACAACAGCCUUCCAAUGGAUGCUGGAAUUGAACCCGAGAUUGAGUUGUCACUAAGAUCAAGAUAUCUUAAGUUGUCAAGGUUUCCUAUUGAAUCAGGGAUCAGGCCGCUCAAUUCAUUUUUAGACAAAUCCAGGUAAUUCAAAUAUUUCAAGUCAAGCAAGGAAUCACUUAUCUGGCCAAUUAAACGAGACAAGGGAAAUGCUGCUUCAUCGGAUUGAUAAGGGUUUUUGAGGUCUAGCUUUAUAACAUGUCCUGUCCCAUUAUUGCAAUCCACGCCUUGCCAUUUGCAACAAUCUCCACCAACCCAAGAAGAAAGCCGACCUGAAGGGUCUUCCAGACCACCUUUGAAUUUAAGAAGGGCUUUCCGCUCCAUCUCAAUGCAAACUACGUCCCUAUCACCAUCAGUGGAAUUGAUCACAAGGGCUUCAAGUAAGAAAAAUUUUAGAAAUAAAGGAACCAAAAGAAGGAUAAGAAAUAUGAUGAAGGUUUUCCUGGUCGCCAUUGCUAAUGCUCUACAAAGAUAGAUCACAGCAAAGACAGUAUUUCUUUAUAGGUAGAUACCAUUAGUCUUUUGUUGGAUUUAUUUAAUAGUAAGUCUUCAUAUAAACCAGCUCAAAAAAUUUAAGGAGCAAAGACCUUUCGGCCAUAUAUGGGCCAACCUCGUCUACCGCAUUCAACUAACAUUGCAAGAAAAAUAAUAAUGAAAACACUAGGAAAAUGUGAUUGCUUGUUUGACUCAAAAGCAGAUAGUAAAGUAUCUUGUGCUUCAUCAAGUUAACAGACAAGACUUUAGAUUUAUCGAAGUUUUUGAAUGGAUAGACAUGCUGCAAGUUCAAAUCAUAGCUGGCCCAAUUCAUAAUUAAUUAUACUAAUUACCAAAGCCUUCCAAGUUAAGUUAUUGUCAAAAUAAAAUAAAAUUGUGUAAGAGACUUUUUACUGUAACAUAUGUCAACUACCAAAUCUUUAAAGUUUUAAGUCAUUGUCCAAGGGAGAAAAAAAUCUAAGGAAAAAGUCUUCAUCUUUUUUCUUGUCCACAUGUCAUGGACGAUUUGUUUAAACGAAGAAUCCAGAUGUAUUAUAUAAUAUAUGUAUUAUCAUUAUUUUAUUUUAAUUUGAGAGAUACUUGAGGCAAGUGUAUUAAGAUACUUUCAAACUCAAGUCUUUCCAUGUGUGUGCUUUUACACUUGGUUCGGUGGUCCAAUUAAUGGUCCAAACAAUACUAAUAGACUAACUUCUUCUUUUGUUAUAUCAUUGAUUUACAAUACUAACAAGAAGAUGGAUAUUUAAAAUAAAUAUACAUUCAUGCAUAAGAUAAUAAAUAUGAAAAUAAUAUAGGUAAAAAAUACACUAAGAUAAUAAUUCGAUCAAUAUAAUAAAUAGCCAUUGGAAGCAUAUAAAAUUAACCAAUAAAAUUUUAUUUUUUCAUAUGUAACAUAUUUUUUAAUAAUUAAAUAAUAUAAUAUAAUUAUUUAAUAAAAUUAGAAAUAUUAAAAUCUAUAUAAAUAUAUUAUGAUUUUCUAAUUUUAUUUAUACAAAUAUCACAAGUUAAUUAUAAUUGAACCAUCGUAUUGAUUUUAACAUUUCAUAUUUAUUCAUUUGUUCAUUUUAAAAAUAUUAAUAUAAAUCAUUAAUAUAUAUUUAAUAAUAAUUUGACUUUUGUAACCUAAUCCAAAUAUUUAACAGUAAUUUGACUUUUGUGGAGUAAUCAAAUUUAUUUUGUUAAAAGAAAAUGAUUAAAUCUGAAAUUUAUUUACUUAAUGGUCUAAAGUUAAUUAACCCUUUGAAUUUUCUUUUUUUCUUUUUUUUCUUGUUAAGACAAGCGAAUUGUUUAUUUCUUAGAAAAUUAAAGAGAAAAUGUAAAUAAAAAAUAAAAAAAUUUUAAAAAAAUAAAAAAUUUAAAAUUUAAAAAAAAAUAAAAAAUACUAGAAUCAAUGUAUUAUAUUAUUUUUAUAUUCCUCUUUAUUAAUGAAAAAAAAUUUAUUAAAAUAUGCUGAGGUUAAUUGUUUUUAGUUCCUUUAUUUUAAAUUUUUUACUUUAUUUUCCUUCAAUGUUAUCUUUCCUAGUAAUAUAAAUGUGGAUUUGGGAAGUACAUAUGUCUAUAUAUGCCUAUCUUGUGUAUUUCAAAUUUAGAGCCGAAAUCUAGUCAAAGAGAAACAAUAACCCGAAAUUCAACCCGGUUGGCCAGCCACUGAUGAAAGGUCUCUAAAGAUUGGUGUCUUCUUCGCUUCACAGCGAUGAAACGCAUAGCCGGGGACGAAAUCACCGGCUAUCUAGUUCGGCUUUCAAAUCUCUAGUUUCGGUUCUCAUGCUAGCCAUGUUCGCCACCAUGACAUCGAUUUACGUCAUCUGCUGGUGAGUUCUCACAUUGUUUCGUAUUGUGAAAUGAUUUUCGUUUCUUAGCUGUAAUAUUGCUUCUGGUGUGGUUAAUUUUGUUAAUUUAGGUUUUUGAUUAUAAUUGGUCUAUUUUGUUCAAAAAUAAAUAAAUAAAUAAAUUGUUUUUAUGGAAAUAUGCUAUUAGUAGGCUAUGGCUGGAUUAUGAGAAUAGGGUUUAUUUGAUUAGAGAGCUUGAUAUUGUUAUUCAAUUUUAGCUUCAAAUUUUCUUCCCCACAAUUUUGUUAAUGCAUUUUUUGGGAUUAUUUUGUUAUCAAGAUUAAAUUAUAGAAUUAUAAUGAUACAAAGGGGGUCUUGACAUUGUAUGGAACUGGAAUCAGUCCAUCAUGGUUUAGAUUAAUUAUAUGUUCUAUAGCAUUACAUUGCAAUGCUAAAUAAACUAGUGAUUUGCAUGAGCUCAUGUUUUUUUCUUUUUUUCUUUCUGUUUUCGUCUUUUUUAUUUUUCUUUUAUUGAAACAAUUGGAGUUGAUACUAGCCUAUUUUCAUUUUUUGAAAUUAAUCAUUCAGAGUAAUUGACUAGAUAAUGGGUUUUUCCAUUUUAAUAGUUUUCAGGUGCAAUGAGCCAAUGACACACUGCAAAUUAUAGCAUGCAGGUAAAUAAAUUAUAGCUAUCCUUCCUUUAUGUGGGGUUUUUUUUGGGGCUUUUGUUAUAAUAGACAAAAUAUAAUCUAGAGGUCAUGGUGAUGUUUCUUCAAUUUUAUAGGAACAACAGAAGAAGUUAGCAGCCCUUGAGAUGGAGCUAGUUGUAGCACAACAGGAAGAUUUUAUCUCAAAGAACUUGUCAGAAAAUAAGGAGACUCCUCCUAAGAAAAAGCUUUGUUGUAGGAAUUAUGACAAAGUUUGGCCACAAGAACAAUAGAGAUGCAAUCCGUAGGGGAUGGAUGCCAACUGGUAGAAUACCCUUCUUUUUGUAAGUUUCGCUUUUUAUUCUUUGUAUGAUUUACAUAGAGAAUGACCCAGUUGCCACUUAACACAUUGACAUUUCUGUUAUAAGCAUAUAAGGGAUAAAAACAGGAGGCUUGUAGGCUGAACUCUUAUUAACAUGGAAACUUUUAGUGGACUUCCAUUUCUCUUCUAUUCUUUUUUCAUUGUUUUGUAUAUUUUCUUAGUUUGCAAUAGUCAUCUUUCAAUAGUUUGCAAACUCCAUCAACCAAUUUGAAAAGCCUUGGAGCUAAUAGGGGCAAAUUAUGAGAAGCUAAAAUCUUCUUUCUCUAGGAUUUUUCUGAAGUUGCUCAAUUGAAUGGAGAGCAAAAAACCAUCAAGUGCCCCUGCCCCUGCCCCUGCCCUGCACGUACCCUCUAUACCCCUAUUUACAGAAAUUUUGAGUUUGUCUUUAACGUAAUAAGGGAGACAAUAGUUUGUAUAAUAAUGAAACAGGAAGUAAUAUUGUGAUUCACUGCUGCAAAAAUUAAUAUUGACAUAACUUAUGUGCUAAACUGCACUUAUAUGCUUAGCACAAAAGUAUGUCAUUCUUCAUUUGAGAGCAUUACUUUAAACCUUAUAUGUUAACAUCACUUUUGCCAUAACUAAUCUUUCUUUCUUUCCCUUUAUCCAAGACAAUGCAUAUCAAGUGAUUGAUACUUAAGUUAAUAGCCUUAGCGCACACAUGGGGUGAAGUUUGAAUCCAGAAUUUCCCAAUAGUCUUAAUACGCUUCCUCAGGUGUGUUUCAAACUUAAGACGUCAAUGUUAAACCACCACUUUACCAAAAACUUUUAAGUUACUAAGUAAUAGGCCAGCAAUGGGAUAUUAAGGCAACUAACAGGUAGGUUAAUAGCCUGAGCAAUCAUCUUAUAAUGUUUAAUGGUUCAAAUAUUGACAAUAAAAACACUUACAAAAGCAUGAUGACUUACCCAUCGUUUUCAUACAGAUACUCUGGAAGCAACUCUUGCUACUCAUUUGAAUAAGCCUCGAGUUUAUAUUGGGUGUAUGAAAUCAAGCGAAGUUUUCUCAAAGUUGUGAGUAUAAUCAAAGUUUUUUUUUUCUUCUUCUAAUGAUGAGAAAAUGAGUUGUUUAUGAUAUUCUACUUUCAUAUAUUGUAUUAUCUUUCCGUAUUGUCUGAAUUAUGCAGGAUCCACAAGUAGUAAGAACCAGACUGGUAGAAACUUGGUGAUGGAAAAUCGUGAGUAAUUCUGUAUUGAUUUCAUCUUGUCUCUUAUAUUAAGAUAAGUAACUAUUACUUUCUAGUUCUGUUAACUAGUUAGGAAGUCUCUUAGUAUCUUAGAAUUCAUCUAAUAGGUGAUAGAAGUCCCAAUGAACAACUAGGGCAUUGUCCCAUAGGAGGCUUGCUUGAUAAAGAAUCAAAGUACCGUUUCUGAAGUUUUUUGGGCAUUUAAACAAUUUAUCAUUCCAUCAUAUUCUUGACAUCUGUUACACUUAAUUUGCCUACCCCAUGCACCCAUAUUUAAACCAUCUCAACUCUGACUUGUGUCGAGGUAUCCUGGAGUUGGUAGAGGGACGCCUUCUCGGGAAGUCAGGCUUACAUUGGCUGAAGAUACAUUUAGCAAAUUUAUUUGCUAGUGGAAUGGACAAGUUAUCGUAUGAGGGUUGGGUAGCAUUUACUGAGAAUCAUUUGGAAGAUAUCUUUGAUUCUGUAGACGUACCUUUGGAAGGAAGACGUUGGUGGUUGUCUGCCUAGGAUCCUCUCCAAUGUUCAUGUAUUAAUCUCUCAAAAGCAUUAAGAAGCUCCCUUCCAAAAACUACUAUUUCACACAUGCUUGUCCACCAGGUACUUCAUUCUUAGCAUGAUCAUAUUCAAACUGAGAAAUGUUUACCGAGUGAAAUCAAAUUAAUCCCACCUCCUUCCUACUCCACCCAACCCCACAAUAAAAAGGAAAUCUCAAAACUAGCUUUUAUUGGAAUUCUGUUCUAUGCAUAGGCAUAUCAUUUGUUAUCCUGUGUAUUUUGUAUGAACUCCUCCAAGUAACUAUAUAGCUCUUCUGCAUUUACACAUGGAAAAUGACAGUCACAUGAUUAUACAUACCCUUUAGAGUACCCCAUUUGUUACCCCAUCAUUAGGAGCAGAAAUAAUGGAUCUGCCACUUCUUUCACAGCCCUGUCUUAUGUUUGCGCUAUCCUACUAUAGUACGCUUGAGAGGAUAACAGACAUUUCCUUGAAUUUACUUUUGUUUUCAUAUUAAAUGCUUAGAUUCAGGUCAUUUGUUUGUCCAAAACUUAAUUUAAGAUUGUAUUGUUCUAUCUUUUUCAAGGAUGGCUCAUGCAAUGGCUUACGACACUAUGUUGCCCUUGGAAGGGACAAGGUAUUGGAAUUUUAUGUUUUUGGUUGAUUGUUGUGGAGUUCUGAUUAUGUGAUAUGGAAGCAUGGUUUUUGAUUAGUUAGACAUAGUUUUUCGCUCUUUUUCUGCUUUGAGGCUAAAUUUGUCUCAGCUUUGAUCUUCUCUCUUUUUGAUAGAAAGAAGGAACUUUGUUAAGGAAAGAUGGUAAAAGGAUAAGGAGUUGGAAAUUGAAACCCAAGAAAGAAACCAAACUUUGUUUGAGUUUAGUGCAAUUUAUUUAAUUUGACUUUUCAAGUAAUUUCAAAGUUUGGUUGUUUCAAGAAAGGGGAUUAUCAUUGGUAUUUGGCAAGUUCAAAGGCUAGGGCAGCAGAUCAGUCUCUGAAGACUGAAUUUUAGUUAGAACUUAGUAUUGGAGGAGAUAAUUUUUCUUGUUUAUUGAAGUUUCCUUAUCCUUUGACAGCAGAACUUUGAAUUGGGGAUCAUUAAUUGAUUAUGCAGUUCGGAUACAUAUAUAUAUAUAUAUAUAUAUUUGGAUUAUGCAAUAUUAGAAAUUAAAAUUUUGUUCUGAAAAAUGUAGCAGGACCUCUUCAAUAUUGAAAUGAGAAUUUUAAUCAAAAUAUUUGAAAAAAUAUAUAUUCAAGACUUCAGCUGUGUCCACAUAAUAACCUAUGGCACCGGGCAAGGAAAAGUGGCAUGCAUAUGAAGCCCUAUAGUUGCAAUUGACAAAAGGUCAUGUAUAUAAGUACUAUAUAGUAUUAAAUUUUGUAGAUAUCACACCUUUAUAGCAGCAACUAUCAGCUGUCCCAGCCACAUAUAGAGCUUUUAGUUGAGAAAAAAACAUGAUCGCGGGGAUAGCUUCACAACUUCUACUUGUAUUUUUUUACCAGUGGCUGCAAGUAUAGGAUUUAUUCUGCAUCCCUAUGGCCUUCGCCGCUAUAAACUUACAACACUUGCAACACUUGUAUUGCACAACUCUUUGUCAAUGGUUGUAAAAAAUAGUUUUCUAUUUUUUGAGAAUUGAAAAUAAGAAAAUCUUGUUUGACAAUAAGAAAAUAGUUUUUGUUCUUAAAAAAAAAAAAUGUGUUUUCAAUUGUUUUUUAUGAUUAUUUUUAAAAAAAUAAUAAGAUAAAUAUAAAGAAUAAUUAAAAAUAAAAUGUUACAUACAAAACUUAUUUUUUUGAAAAAUAUUUGAAAGCAAAAAAUACGUUAAAAAUAUUUCAAAUUCUUAAACAAAUUUUUAUCAUAUAAAUAUUAGAGAAUUGUUUUUUAAAACCAUUCUUAAAAACUUUUUUUUUUUUUUAGAACAAUUUUCAAAAUCAUUUCCAAGCUGACUUAUAACCCAUUUGACAGUGAUUUUAGAAAAUAUUUCUAAUAUUUUUAAUACUUAAAAAAUUUUAUCAUUCAAAUGUUAAAAAAAUUAGAAAUAUUUUCUAAACUUACUGUCAAAGACAUUUUUAAAGUAUGUUUGACAAUGCUUUUAAGAAGUGUUUCUAAUCUUUUUAAUACUUGAAAGAUAAAAAAUUUUAAGUGUUAAAACUUAAAAUUAUUAGAAGUCCUUCCUAAAAUCACCACCCAAUAAACUCUAAUUCUCAUUACCAGAGGCUUGUAGGGGCUUUUAUAAUUUACCUCCCAAUCAUGUUAAAUAUGUGGUAACCAUGUUAAGAGAUUUUAGGUUAGCAUUGGCUAGUUUGUGCUUAUAUGUACUUAAUUUUUGUUUUUAAAAAUAGAAAAUGAAGGUAACUUCAAUAUAAAAUAUUAAAACUUUUGGAGACUUAUUAAAAAAAUUUAUAGUGAUUUUUAAAGAUAUAAGAUGAGUUUAUACUUUUGGUAUAAAAUUUUCUAUUUUUAAUAUAAAAAUUAUUAUUACUUUUUGUGAUUAAAAAUAUGUAUAAAAAAAAAGGUCAGUAUAUAAAUAAUAAAAGUUGAAAGAACAUUUUCAAAUGUGGGCUAAGUCUAAUACUUAAUAUUAAAUCAUCUCUCAUUCAAAUAAUAGUCUUUAUAAAUAAUAGAAUAUCCUAAAGAAAUAUGGUUAUGGACAAAUAUUUCAAACAAAUUUCUCAAACACUAGUAUGAAAAGAAACUUUCAUUAACCAUGACGAGCUCCCUGUUUCAAUCUAAAACAUGUAAAUAAGUAUAAUUUACUUUAAUUUAAGCAAGAUUUAGAUUUAUAUUAUGGACCAUAUAGUAAACCUAAGAGAUGAUCACAAGUUUCUUAGUCCAUGACUUCAAUUAAUAGAAAAAAUAUUUAAAAGCUCAAUUUUGUUGGAAUUUUGUUCAAUUCAUUCUAGUUUGAGACUUUUUAUAAUUUCCCAUAACUUACACCCCAUUAAAGAUAUAAGAAUAUUUAGAGUUAACUAGAUAUUAGAUAGCAUAAGUAUAAAGAGUUAUGAAAAGGAUAAUAACUUUUAAUUGAAAAAGAUUUUGGAGAUCGAGUGCUCAAGCACUUGAAUCUAGCUUUCAAGGCUUGGAGCACUCAAAAGUGGGGUUUCCAAAACAUAAGUUUGCAUACAACCCUCAUUAAAAAUAAAAAAAUGAUUGCAUAUAUAUAUAUAUAUAUAUAUCCAUGGUUUAAAUAAAACAUUCCUUAUAUUUACAAUAAGUUUAUUUUAGAGUGUUGUUUUUAUAUUAUAACAAUGUUGUUAGGCCAUAUUUUGCUAAACAAAAUGAAGAGAAAACACAUUAUUUGGAAAAUAUUCUACAACUAGAGGUGAUGAGGUUUACCAUAUUUUUCAAUAAUGUACAAUUAGCUCAAGCACUUGAAGCUUAUACCAAAAAUAUAUUUCAAUCAAUAAUGGACAAAAUUUUUGAAUGGUACUUAGUGAUAAUCAACUACCAAAUUAACAUAAACAUAAAAGUUGAAAGGACAAUUUUAAGGCAUAGAUGACUCAAAAAUAUCAAAAGUAGGUUGAGUAUCCAACCUAAUAUUACAACUUUUCUCACUUAAAUGACAAUUCAUAAAUAACAAACCUACCUGAAGAAAAAUAAUUGUUUGCCAACAUUUCAAAGAUAGAGUUCUCAAAUACUACUAGUACCAAAAGCAAUCUUUAUUACCACCGAGAAUUCAUCAUUGUAUUCAAUCUGAAACAAGUAAAUACACAUGAUUAGCUCCAAUUUAAGCAACAUUUAGAUUUUCAUCAAAGAAUAUAAACAACAUGUUCAAUAUUAUUAUUAUUAUUAUUAUUACUCCAAUUUAAGCAACAUUUAGAUUUUCAUCAAAGAAUAUAAACAACAUGUUCAAUAUUAACAAACUUGGUUAUUGAGACUGUUUAAAUUCCUAUAGUUUUCAUACUUGUGGUAUUAACCAUACUCAAGUGAGUAUAUUUGUCAAUAAAUUUAGAGUUUCAACUAAUAACCUAUAACAAUCUAUAAUCUUAGUUGCUUGCUUGUAUAUUUUUUGGAGUUGAAUCUUAGAAAAAAUUACACAUAUCUUAACCUUCCCUAUGAAAAUCACAUUCUGCAACUUCAAAGAGUUGAACCCAAUUAUAAACUUCCUCAAUCCUCUUUCUAAUGACUCAAACUAGGAGAUUGAUUACCCUAUGCAUUGUAUUUAGGAACUUAAUUGUAGUAAGGGAAGAGAAACAACUUAUAUUCAUAUGCAUAGUUGAAGGGUCUACAAAUAUGUCGCUUACUAUAACAUGAUUCAAACAUUUAAAUGAAUAUACUUUUAACAAAAUCCGAGUCCAACAAGACAACAAUUCAAUUUCUUUUGUUAAUUUAAAACAUUAUUUCCAAUUCAAGAAUUUAAGAAAUCAUAUAAUAAAAUAUAAGUAUAAAAAGAUUAAUAGCUAACAAAUAUGUACCUAAACGGAGAUGGCCUUACACUACAUUGUAAUGAAAUUCAUCUUACCUUCUUUUUGUAUGAUGUUUGUUAUUUUGAAACCUUAUCACCCUCUGCAAAAGAGCUGAAUUCAUUGUGAUGAUAAUCAUAACACACCAAAAAUACAAUGAAAUUAAAAAACAAACAAGGAAGAAAAAAAAAAGGAAAAAGAAUGGGAAGUGAUGUAAGAUAUUUCACCUUUUUAGCCAUGAACUCCAUUUGCUUCCAUCUUCCUUUUCAGACGAGCCACAUUCACUGCAGUGAAGACAUAUAGCCUAUCUCUGGUUUCAUCAAUGAACCGGAAAUAUGCCUGCCUCCAAGACUUCUUUAGAACCAAACUGCCACAUACAGCCCAAAAUCCCACCGGAAAGCCCAAUCCCAUGCUUAUGAAGAACCAUGACAUGUCCCAUUCAUCUUCAUCUUCCUCCUCAUCUUUGUGAUCUUGAUCAUUUAAAGUGGAGCAGUUGGUGGAGCAGUUGGUUGACAAUGGAGGCCCAUAAAGUCCCAGGUUCGCCUCAUAAAUGGAUGGAUCGUUGAAUGUCGAGAACUGGUUGGUUGUUGGAAUUGGUCCUGACAGGCGGUUAUGCGAUAGGUUCAAAUGGUUCAAUGAGGUUAUAGAAGACAUGCUCGGAGGAAUUGGGCCUGACAGGCAAUUGCAUGAGAGGUCAAGAGUUUCUAGCCCUUGCAUGGCUCCAAUCUUCUCAGGUAUCUUUCCAGUCAACUGGUUUCGGGACAAAUUCAAGGUACCCAGGGUCGAGAGAUUUGUGAUCUCUUUUGGGAUCUCUCCCCAAAUGUUAUUACUAGAAAGAUCAAUCAAAUUCACAAUUCGCAGUAUGCUAUCAAAUUCCAUAUCUUGUCCCUUCACAACUAGCUCCAUGCGCUCUGAAUAGGAGACAUGCCCCCUGGUCAUGUCAUCAAAUUCUAUGCCUAAUAAGGUCACAGAACUUAAAGCAGUCAAAUUGCCUAAGCAUUGUGGGAUGGAUCCUGAUAAAUUAUUAAGUGCAAGAUCCAAAAUAUGGAGAUAAGAAAGCCGACACAGUUGUUCAGGAAUAUCUCCUGUCAACAUGUUGCCUCGUAAACGAAGUUGCCCCAAUGAUGACAUUCUUUCUCCAAUCCAUUUGGGUAUCUCGCCCGAAAACCUGUUAUUUCCAAGAUCAAGGGAGUACAACCUUGUGCAGUUUUGUAUGCUUGGAGAGAGUUCCCCAGAAAGAUUGUUGUCACCCAAUUUCAACAAGCUAAGUGAAGAUAUUGAACACAUCGAACUUGGAAUCCCACUUGACAGUUUGUUCUUGGAUAGAUCUAUGGUCCAAAGCUGGUGGAAAUUAUUCCAAUUCAUUGGAAUCUUUCCAGAUAAAUGAUUGUUUGAGAGAUCAAUUACUCCCAAAUCCUUCAGUUUACUAAUUGAUAAAGGAAUGCUGCCAUUUAACAAGUUACCAGAAACAUCAAGGACUUCCAAACUCGAUAAUUCCCCGAUGUUCAAGGGAAUUGGACCUGAAAAUAAAUUGUUUCCCAGAAAGAGCCAUGUCACAUUAAACCAAAGUGGCAAUCGGCCCACCAAGCGGUUGAAGCUUAAAUCCACCACGAAUGCUUCUGGGCUAAAAGAUAAUGAGUUGGGAAGCUUUCCAUACAAUUGGUUUCUAGAAAGAUCUAACCAAAAAAAAUCUAGUUUCCAAAGCCAUUCUGGUAUUGUAUCUGAAAUCCCCACAUUUUUUAGAACUAUUGUGUCAAGUCUCUUUUGAGUUCUAAGCCAGUUGGGGAACUUGGGAGAAACAUAGCAGUUGGAAAUAUCGAUAUUCCAGAGGCUGAAGGGAGGAAUCCAUUCAGGUCUCACGUGAAAACGGAGAGACUGGUUUUUGGGUGAUAAGUGUGAAGAGAAAUAUUCCAGUUUUGUAAGAUUACUGAAAUGAAUUUCAGAUAUUACCCCUUCCCAAGAAUUCCAACCAAGAAACAACUCAGUCAGCUCUCUAAGUUGUCCGAUACUUUCUGGAAUCGUCCCAUUCAUUAGAUUGAAUGACAAGUCAAGUCUCUUCAUGCGCAGCAAGUUUCCAAUCCAUGUUGGAAUUGGACCUGAGAUGGAGUUUUUACUCAGAUAAAGACUCUCUAAGUUGGUAAGGUGUUGAAUUGAAUUGGGGAAGGGACCAACAAAACUAUUAUAGCUCAAGUGUAGGGAUUUUAAAUUCUUAAAGAGCCCUAAUGAAUCUGGCAACUGACCACUGACUUGAUUAUCGCCCAAGUUUAACUCUUCCAAGGAACUAUUAGCGCAUGCUGAUAAACCAUUCACCAAUUCAAUUCCUUCACUUCCAAUAUGAUUGUACGAGAGAUCUAAGGUUACCAAGUUGUGAAGGCUUAGCAAGUUAACAUGGGGAAUCGGACCUUUAAUUGUAGCACCAUUUAAAUAAAGAUCCAUAAGGGUACUGAUGUUAAACAACCAGCCAGGCAAAGUAGUGUUGAAAUUGUUGUAGGAGAGAUCAAUGACCAAAAUAGAAGUCAAAUUAACAAACGGAUUGGAGUACUGAGGGAAAUGACUGAGUUCACAAUUGGACAAAUGUAAUUCUAACAAAAAUGGAAGCAUGUUUGCAGCUUGCAUCCAAUUUGUGGUUGCUUUACUAAGGUUCACAUGCCCCAUAUCAAGGUAUUUUAAAGAAGAAAGACCAGAAAGCCAAUUCAAAUUAUGAACCCUCAUUAAUGGAGCAGAAAAGUUGUAGUAGUAAUCUCCUCCACUAAGGUUAAGAUAACAUAACUGUGAUAAAUUUCCAAGAUGAGGAGGAAUCAUUCCACCAAAUGCUGCAUAGGAGAGAUCAAGGUAUCUCAAUCUUUCAAAUGAGCCCAAGAAAUUUGGAAUUGGAAUUCCUUGAAAAUCAUUAAAACUUAGGUCCAAGUAAUUUAAAUGUUUCAAGUCAAGUAAGGAAUCACUUAUCUCACCACCCAAACGUGAGAAGUCACCACCAGAUUUUAGGUCAACCUUGACAACAUGCCCUGUUUGGUUGUUGCAAUCCACACCUUUCCACUUGCAGCAAUCUGCACCAACCCAGGAAGAAAGCCUACCUGAAGGAUCUUUCAGUCCAUUUUUGAAUUCAAGAAGCGCUUUCCGCUCUACCUCAAUGCAGCCCUUGUUCAUACCACCAUCAAUGGAAUUGAUAAUAGUAGCUUCAGCUAGGAGACGCUCGAGAAACAGAGAAAGGAGAAAAAGAGUAAGAAGUAGAAGGGUGGUUUUCCAACUUGCCAUUUGAUGAAUGCAAAGUUGCAAAGUUAUUAGUGGGUGCUAUAUAAAUAAUUUAGUCAACUAUUUUAAGUCUUUUGGCCGCCAUAAAUAUAGAAGAAAUUAUCAAGUUCAAUCACAAUCGGAUCACAUAUCUCUUCUAUCCCUGAGUAAAUUAAUUCAAGACAUUAAUUACCAAGUGUUUGGUCCAAAGAAAAAAAGAAUUUUUUUUAUUCCUAAUUUACACUCAUCUAAUUAUUAACUAGAAUAAAAAAUUUCAAUUAAUUAAAAAAUUAAAAUUUAGAUUUUAAUAUUUUUCCCAAAUUCAAAAUUCAAAAAUUAAUAAAUUAAUCUCAACUAUGUUAUUCAUAAAUCCCAAGAUAGGUUACAUAAAAAUAAGUUUUAACUAAGAAAAUUUCUAACAUUUUAUUAACUACCAAGUAUAAUUAGAAAUCCUAAUUAUUAUCUAAUUAUCAAUUUUCUACUAAUUAUAUAAUUAAUUAUUAUGCAAUUUUAUUAUGCUAAUAAAUUAUGAUAUUUUGGUAUAUUUUAAAAUAUAUUAAAUUACCAUUUUUAAAUUAUUAAUUUUAAAAUCAAAAUAAAAAAUAUAAUAACUAUUUUUUAGAUAUUUUUAACAUGUAAACAUAAAUAAAUAUAACAUUCCAAACAUUAAUAAAAACAAGCAGUUUAACACUUGACAAUAUUUAUAUAAUAAUAAGAAAUAAGCAACUUAAACACUUAAUCAGUCUACUAUAUUUAAGUCAAAGUUAUGCCUAUUCAAAUUUCAAACAAAAAAUAAUUAAAUACCACCUUACACUUAUUAUGCAUUACUCAAGCCAUUUAUAUAUGUAAUAAAGAAUUUCAAUAUAUAUAAAUUUUCAUGAUAUUUUAUUUUCGUUUGGAGGAGAAAGUUUCAAAUAGCUUUCUUCAAUUAUUUAAAGUUAGUGACCGUCAAUACAAGAAAAUUUUGACACAAAUCUAAAAAGAAAAACAAUUUCCACACAAGUCUAAAAAUGUCUUUUAGGGAAAGUAUUAAAACAUUUUUUGAAUUUCUCCACCUCUUGAUUGUUUUCUUAGACAGUGACUCCAAGGACUUUUGUGACAUGUUGACUGUUGACUGAAACAAAGUCCUUGUCUAUUUGGUGUGAGUUAGGAAAAAAAAAAAAGGGAAGUUGCAUUUUUUUUUAAUGAAAAAAUUUAUUUUUUCUAAAUAAAAAAAUUCUUUUUUUUUUUAAAAUAAAAAAUUUCCUUAUCUAACCAAACCAAUUUUAACCAAUUCAUUGUAGCCUAAUUAGUUCAGUUUUUCAUUUAAAGACGUUUGGUUUAGCUUGCAAAAAAAAAAAAAAAAAAACAAAAACAAAAAACAAAACAAAAAACAAAAACAUGGUUAAAUAAGUGGUAUUUAGUUUUUCUCUAAAAUCUGAAUGGAAUAUUAUUAAGUAUUUAGGUCAUUUUUUUUUAUUAAUGCUAAAUAUUUUUAAGUGUUAAAUUGCUUGUUUUUAGUAAUGUAUAAAGGCUUAAAUUUAUUUAUUUUUACACAUUAAAAAUAACUAUAAAAUUAGUUAUUAUUAUUAUUAUUUUAAAAUUAAUAAUUUAAGAAAUAGUAAUUUAAUAUAUUUACAACUAUCUCAAAAUAUUAUAAUUCAUUACCAUAAAAAUAUAUAUAUAUAAUAAUUAAUUAUGUUAUUUAUAGAAAUUUAAUAAUUAGAUAAUUAUUAGGAUUUUUAGUUAUGCUUGGUUGUUAAGAAAAUGUUAAAAAAUUUCUAAGUUAAAAUUUAUUUUUAUAUAAUAUAUUUUCAGAUUUAUGAAUAUUGUCGAGAUUAAUUAUUAAUUUUUUUCUUUUAAAUUUGGGAAAAAUAAGAAAGACUAAAAUUUUAGUUUUCAAAAUUAAUUGGAUUUUUUUUUAUUUUAAUGAAUAAUUAGAUAAGUGUAAAUUCAAGGACAUGAACGACCCCAAUUUUUUUAUAAUGACUAAUUAUGCAAAGUGUAGAAAAAUAAUAAUUAGAUAAUUAUUAGGAUUUCUAAUUAUGCUUGGUUGUUAAAAAAUUUAUAUGCUAAAACUUAUUUUUAUAUAACUAUCUUCAAAUUUGUGAAUAUUGUUGAAAUUAAUUUAUUAAUUUUUAUUUUUAAUUUGGGAAAAAUGUAAAAAUCUAAAUUUUAUUUUUAAAAUUAAUUGGAUUUUUUUAUUCUAGUUAAUUAUUAAAUGAGGGUAAAUUAGAAAUCUAAGUUCAAGGACAUUAGUGAACCAAACUGACUUCAAACCUAACCAAUCCAAUCUUAUUACUUUUUAUUUCCAUUUAAAGAUGUUUGUUUCUAUUUUUAAAAAAAAAAAUGAUUACAUUGGUUUAGUGUUCAUGAACCAAUCAAAGCUAAACCAACCGAAUUUAUCUAUUAUUUAUCAAAAAAAUAAAAAUAAAAAUAAAAACAAUUACAUUGGUUCAGUAUUCAUUUCAAAACAACGAAUCAAUAGAAACCGAUCUAAUCAAAUCUAUCUAUUAUAUAUUCGACUUAAAAGGUGCAAAAUUUGAAGUUAUUUUUCGACUUCAUAUUUUGCUUCUCAUAAUUUACUAUAAAUUUAUGAAGUUAUUUUUUAGUUGUCAUAUUUUUUAAAAAUAUUUUAUUUUUUCAAAAUAAAUUCACUAAAUAUUAUCUCACAUGCAUUUGUGGUUCACUAAAUUUUUAAUAAUCAAAUUAAUAAAUUUGUAAAAGGAAAAUAUUAUAUUUUCUCCAUUUUGUUCACUUGAUAAACAUAUCUACAAAAAUGUCAAGCGGAUGUUUGAAAUUUACCUCUUUUUUUUAUUGUGUAAUAUUUGGUUGAUUGUAUUUAUAAAGCAUUAUAAAUCUCAAGAAAGUACACAGAGUCCUAAAUUAUUAUGAAUAAAAUAAAAUUAUUAAUUUAAAUUUAGUCUUUAUAUUGAAAAGUUAAAAUAAGUGAAAUGAGUUUGAAGUAGUUUAUAAAAAUAAUUUAUUAACUUUAAAUCUAUGUUAUAUUUUUUUUCUUUUUUUUUUCAUCCAAUUUUUUUUUUUUUUUUUUUUGAUAUUUUUUCCCUUGUAUUUCCCCCAAAUUUUGUCCAAACCAAACAUAAACUUGGAAAAUAUGUCAAACCAAUACUAGUAUUUGAGACUUAGAAAUUUUUUUUAAAGGAUUGGAUCAAGAUUCAAUCACGAUUAGACCACACAUGGCCCUUUUGCCCAUAAUUAAAUUAAUUUAAGAUAUUUUAUUUAUUAAGAUAAUUAUCAAGCUUUUGAAAUAUGAAGUUGUUGUCCAUCCAAAGAAAAAGAAAAAAUAUUUUAUUUAUUUAUUUUGCCUAACACACAUAUAGACUAAGAACUUUUCUUCGAUUAAAAGUCAAGAUGCCACAAAAGUCCUUGAAGUCAUUAUGAACAAUUACCUAGAAAAGAAAUUCAAAUAAUGCUUUAAUGAAUGGUGUAUAUAUUUUCUUUAAAAUGCAUUUUUAGACUCCUACUACAAGUUUUUCUCAUGGGCAAAAACAAAAAAUAAAAAAUAAAGCUUCAUUUUUUUGCCUAACUCACACGCAAUAGAGUAAGGACUUUGUUUCAGUCAAGAGUCAACAUGUCACAAAAGUCGGUGAAGUCAUUGUCUAAAGAAAAUAAUUAUAAAAUAAUAAAUAAUACUUUAAUGUGUGAUGUACAUAUUUUCUCCAAAAGGCAUUUAUAGACUCAUACAAUUUUCUCCUAUGGACCAUUUACCAACUUCAAUUAAUUGAAGAAAGUUACGGGAAUUUAAGUGAUAUGGCCUAUAAAGGAAAAUAAAAUGUCAUGAAAAUUAUUUAAAAUUUUAUAGAUAUUCAAUUUUUUAUUAUUAUUAUAAAGGGUUGGAAAACUGCAUAACAAGUCUAUGCCUUUUGGAAAAAUGUUUAUUAUUAUUACAAAAUAAACAUUUUGUGACGAUUGAUUAUGUAAUAGGUUAACAUUUAUUUUUAUGUAAUGUAUCUUUUGAUUUAUUAAUUUUUAAUUGAAAUUUAUUUUUGUAACGUAUCUUUUGAUUUAUGAAUUUGUAAUUGAAAUUUAAUUUUUAUAUCUGGUGGCAAUGCCAGUCACAAAACAAAAAGGUGAUGAAGACCUUUCGGCUCUUCAUGGGCCAUGUAUCACAAGCGUAUGAGCCAAUCAUGGACCCCAUCGUGUCCUCAACUUUAACCGUGGCUAUAAAUCUAAAUACUGAUGUAGAACCCUAUCUCAAAAUGGUCCAUUCGAUAGGCAUUAGGCACCUACCACAAGAAAAUUAAUGAAAACAAAAAAUGAAGUUUCAUUUUUUUUGCUUAACUCACACGCAAUAGACUAGUGACCUUGUUUUAGUCAAGAGUCAACGUGUCGGAAAAGUCUUUAAAGUCAUUGUCUAAGGAAAAUAAUCACAAAAUAAUAAAUAAUAUUUUAAUAUAAGAUGUAUAUAUUUUCUUCAAAAGGCAUUUCUACACUUCUACAAUUUUCUCGGACCACUUAACAACUUCAAUUAAUUGAAGAAAGUAUUAUUAUUAUUAUUAUUAUUAUUAUUAUUAUAAAGGGUUGAAAAAAUGCAUAACAAGUCUAUGUGGUAUUUAUUUAUUUUUGUCUAAAAUCUAAAUAAACCUAAAUUAUUAUUUUUUUUAUUUUAAUUCUAAAAUUAAUAAUUUAAGAAAUAGUAAUUUAAUAUAUUUACAAAUAUAUCAAAAUUCUUAAUUUAUUACCGUAAUAAAAAAUUUCUAACAAUUAAUUAUGUAAUUAGUAGAAAAUUUAUAAUUAGAUAAUGAUUAGGAUUUUUAUUUAUAUUUGUGUGGACCCCGUAUUUUGGCUCAUAAGCUUCCACUCGAUGGCGAGCUCGGUUUUUACUUGAAAAUGAUUUUAUUUAUUAAGAAAAAUGACUUGGAGUUGCCACUUAUUUUUGUUUUAUUUUUAUAGGGUAAACAAAAUAAAAAAGAAAACUCUAAGUGUAACUUUUUAUUUUCAGAAAAUGUGGUCUGUGAAAAACCGGAUCGGGAGUCAAGUUACUUAUCGGGAAGGUACGGAAAAGACCGUAGCACCCCUCUAAGUUCCUAAAGAUGGAUCUCUAUUAAUGAAAUGAAGCUGACAUGACAAUUGAUAAGAAAAUUGAUGGAUACCUAAAAUGAUCAUGCACAUGCGUAGAGAAUGACCAGAGUGAACGUGGGUGCGUACCUGAGCAACGAUCCACAAUGUGCUAUCAAGAAAGGGGGUUAGUGUACAAUAAUGAUCAUAAAAUAUGGUUCACAUGUCACUAAACAAAAUAUGAAAUCAUCAUAUAUCACAAUUCAAUCAAGUUGAUUUUCAAAAGGAAACAUCCAAUAAUGUUGGGCUCCCACCAAAGCCCGCUUUAUUCUUGCAUGAAUUUAUUCCGUAAAUUCCAUUAUUCGGAAUCACGGGAUUUAAUUCCUACUUAUUUUAAAACAUUUUGAGAAUCAAAGAAAAUUCGAAGAUGGCUUGCCGGAAGGAAAAAUGGCGGCCAAAUUUUAUUGAAAAUGAGAUCUUGGUAACUAAAAAAAAAAAACUAAGAAUAAAAGAAAAAGUGGAGGAGUUGGGAUUAUUUGAAAAACUGAAUUUGAAAAAAUAUUUACAUAAACGAGAUAUGGGGCAAUGAUUUUAAAAUCAAAGAUGAUGAAAAAUAAUAAUAAAAAAGAGGGCACGUGGUCUAAGGCCCAUGUCUAAGGUAACCAUGCAAAAAUACAUAAAUAGGAGAGUUGAUAAGGAAUAACCAUGCGGGAAUGGGUCUUUAGAGUGCUGCUGCAACUGCUACACCAGUAGCUCAUCACCUUCUCGAAAACUCCACCAAUGAUAACAAGAAGUAUAGUCCUAGGAAUCUUUUGAUAAUUGAAGAAAGAACGUGAAUGGCACAGGCUCUGAUUGCUUGCUCAAAACCUAGAAUAAUUGCAACUAUGUGUCAAUUCUUAGCUGCUUCGUUCCCGAACUAACGGAACCUUGCUAUCUCCAAAUGAUGUGAGAGAACAAUCAAAGCCUUAAACUCUUCCUCCAUUUGCACUCAUUUUGGAAUUACAAAGAGACAAAGGCUGAAAUCUGGAGCUGGCAUUGCCAUGAAGGGUCUUUGCCAAAAUCUGAAUAGCGAUUUGGGUACUCAUGCGCUCUGACUCAAGUUGGUAGAGGCGGCGAGGGCAGAGAUUUACAUCCAAGGCAUACAUUUGUGGAGACGCCACUAUUGAGAUAUUAGGAAUGCUUUCCUUAUAUCAUUCUUUCCUUAUAUCAUUUAGUGUUGAGAUAUUAGGAAUGUUUAGAUAUUAGGAAAGUUGAGAUAUUAUGAAUAUUGAGAUAUUAGGAAUAUUGAGAUAUUAGGAAAGUUGAGAUAUUAGGAUAUUAGUUGUUAUUUCCUUAUAUCAUUCUUUCCUUGUAUCAUUCUUUCCCAUUCUUAGAAUGGUGAUUACCCUCUAUAUAUACUCUGUACAUGAACGAAUGAAAGAAUGAAUGAAAAAACUAUCAUUUAUCAAUUUGAAGAUGGUAUUAGAGCCAUGGAACUGAAAUCCUGGAUAUUUUGUCGCUAUGGUAGUCCGACAGCGAUCAACCAUCCUAAGACAAGCCCUAAUAUUGAUAAGUCAACCUUCAAAUGCACUCACUGCAAUAAGACUGGUCCCACUAGUCUGGAUAUCCCACAAUUUCAAAGCAACGACUCUUGGUAUGACCAGGAAAACAAUGAGGAACCGAGGGUUUGAACCAUGGACCUUUAGAUCAUGUUUAGGCUAUCAACACUUUGUUAUUAGUGAUAAUAAUCGUGAUCAACGGAAGAAGGAUUCCAAGAAAACCUCGACUGCAACUAUUGCCGAAAUAAAAACAUAGGCUAAUGUUGCUGAGAAAGCUUCUGCAUUGGUAGCCGCUACUGAUCAUAGUGGUAAGUUUUUAAAUACUUUUACACCUGUUAUUAAUAGUGCAUGGAUAAUUGAUUCUGGUGCUACAGAUCAUAUGACUUUUGAUUUUAGACAAGUUUCACCCCUUAGACCUUCCUCACAAAAAAUUGUUUCCACAACUAAUGGUAACACAACCCCAGUCAUUGGGGAAGGAUCCUUAACUCUUACUGAUACUUUGAAUUUGGAUUCUGUUUUAGUUGUUCCAUAUUUAGAUUACAAUCUUUUGUCAGUUUCUCAAAUCACUGCAGUCUUAUCUUGUAUUGUCAUUUUUUGGUUUGAAUUUUGUGUGAUUAAGGACAUCCAAACAAGACAGACGAUUGGUUGUGGUAUUAAGCGGGGAAAACUCUAUUACUUGGACUUGCAGUCAAAGGAUUCAAAUAAGUUGCAACAAGCUUUAAUGGCAGAUGGAUUUGAGGGGGAGAAGAAAAAGUCUGAAAUUUGGUUGUGGCAUCAACGUCUGGGACAUGCUUCCUUUGGUUAUUUAAAAAAAUUGUUUCCUAAUUUGUUUGCAAAGAGUGAUAUUUCUGGUUUCCGUUGUGAUAUUUGUGAAUUGGCUAAAAGCCAUCGUGCUUCAUUUCCGUUAAUUUUGAAUAAAAGUCCGUUUCAUUUUAUGGUUAUACAUUAUGAUGUUUGGGGCCCAUCCAAAGUCCUAACUUUGAGUGGCUCAUGUUGGUUUGUUACUUUUAUUGAUGAUUGUACCAGAAUGACAUGGUUAUGUGAUUACUACUCAAAAAAUGCUCUUUGAUAGCUUGUAAUAAACUCUUUUAAACACUUUUGAGUAGUAGUUAUUGCAUUUUAAUCCAAUUAACAUGUUAAGGACCCUUGCAAUCAAUUCUAAUCAAAUUAUGUUAAGUUUUGGUGUUUUGAUAGCCUUUUGAUCACCAAAGCAAUCCGAGAUUGAGGAGAGUUAUAUGGAAUCUUGGGAAAAGCAAUUGGAAGCUCAGAAACAUGAAGAACCGAAGCUUUGAAGUCCUUUGCCAUAAGUAAAUCCGGAAUGCAAGGAGAAGAAGUAAAGAGAAUCUGCCAUGAAGCAUAUUCUUGAUGACAGUCGUGUCAGCCACUUUUGGAGCACUUUCUAAAGUCCAAUUGAUGCAUGCUAUAUGUCAUUUCAAAGCUCAGGAAGUCAACAAUCCAAUGCUUCAAAUGAUACACAAUUUGGAGUUGAAACGAAGAAGUUACAGCCACUGCAAGUCAAUCACUCUAAGCUGAAGAAAGCAUUUUGCAAAAGUGUUGCGAAAUCACCCUUUUGUUGCGAAGUGAUUUCGCAGCCUUUUUGUACAGUGUGGUGGAUUUCCUCCUGAAGUUGCCCGAUAUGUGCGACAAGUUGGAAGCUGAGAACCUCAAGAUGAAAGCCAACUUCGCAGCCCUGCGAGAAUAACCUUUUGCUGCGAAGUGAUUUCGCAGCCCUUUUUGUAUUUCUGCGAAAUCUCGCAGACAUCAUUUUCUCUUGCGAAAUGGUCCUUAGUGCGUCCCGAUAUUUGCUACCGACAUUGGGAGAUAUUUUCCAUCAGAUUUUUGUUGUCUAAAUCCCAAAAUUCUCCUUGUAAGCCACCAAUUACAAGAUUCCUUAGCUUUUAAGUUAGUAAAAAGAGUAAAUAUCCAUGUAAUAAUUAGUUUUGUAUUAUGUUCAUAUAUAAAUACCCCUCGAGAGCCUGUUCUCAGGGAGGAGACCUUUUGUAAAGUUUUGGAAAAGCAAGUAAAGUUCAGGUCCUUUGUUUUGCCUUAACUUCUCACUUUGUAUUUUUUUUAUUUCUUACUAAGUUAUGCACUCUCUAAGGAAUUUUUCCCAGAGAAUGAGUAACUAAACCUUUAGUUUCUUAGAGCUAAGGUUGCCGGUGAAGGUUCCAAGUGCAAGAAUGCAAAGCUCUGUGGUUUCAGCCAUGAAUGAAGAGGAAGUGAAAUCCUUUAGUGAUUUCUAUGUUUUUAGUUAACUUAAAACACCUUAGCGUCACCUAGGCCAACACUUGGUAAGGCAAGUGAUCUCCAACCAUGGAGAUGCACUAGUUUACCCCUUGCGAGCCUCUGGGAGGUGACUUUAAGGUAGGAUUUUCUGGAAUUGCCAACACUUGGUAAGCUUUUGGACUCCAAGGAGACAUCCAUUAGUUAUCUCUUGCGAGCCUGAGAAGGGAAGUCCAAGGUUAAAGAUCACCUUGAAUGGUUAAGGCUUAGUGAGAGGUUUGAACCAUUGCAAGUUGCAUCAGUGAGAUAAUUAAAGUUGAAAUCUAAUUAAAGGAUGUAUCUGUACAACACCGAUUAGAGAAUUGACUAUAUGUUGAAUCUCUAACGCGAGGAAAUGAACCAUCUGACCGGAGCUAUGUCUUUUGCAUGAGGAACCACCCCAAUGAACCUGACCCUCUAAGGAAUGUUUUUCUUCCUAAGUUAUUCCCAUUACUUGUUUUGUGAGUUAGUUUGAAUCUAAAUCUUUUCCAAUCAAGGUUUGAGUUUUCUUUCUUAAGCUAACCUUGAAAUGAAACACUACCAAUUCACUUUGAAUUAAUAUCAUUUGUAAUUUGGAAACCCUUCCCAGUGAACGAUCCUAGAGCCGUUAUACUAUAAUAGCUUUUUCUUUGCUACCCUAGUAUAUGGUGUAAUAGGUUAUAAAUUUUGUUGAUUACUCCCUCAAUCAAGGAGCACCAGCUGGACAUGAAUCAGCUGAGACACCAAUUGGGCACGAAUCAUUAUGCUUGAUGAAGACCAAAGAUGAAGUGAACUUGUUGUUUUAAAAUUUUCAUAAAAUGAUUGAAACUCAGUACAAUGCAAAGGUUCGGGUUCUGCGUAGUGAUAAUGGUGGAGAAUAUCAAAGUUCUGAUCUUCAAAAGUAUUUGGAAGGACAUGGCAUCAUUCAUCAGACUACUUGUUCCAAUACACCCCAGCAAAAUGGAGUCACUGAACGAAAAAAUCGGCACUUGUUAAAGGCUGUUCGUGCUUCCUUGAUAGCAGCAAAAACACCGAUAUCUUAUUGGGGAGAAGCAAUCACAUCUGCCGCAUACUUGAUCAAUCGGGUACCUUCUAGCUCAAUUAACUUUCAAACACCUCUCCAAGCUCUUACUAAUGUCGUAGUUGCCCUAACCAUCCCAAAUCUACCUCCUCGUGUUUUUGGUUGCGUGGCAUUUGUGCAUCUACACAAGCACCAACGCACCAAGUUAACUUCCCAUGCAUUGCAAUGUGUGUUUGUUGGAUAUGCAUUGCACAAAAAGGGAUAUCGAUGUUACCAUCCUCCAACUCGACAAAUGUAUAUUACAAUGGAUGUAGUGUUUCAUGAAGAUUCAAUGUAUUUUUCAUCUGAGUCUGAACUUCAGGGGGAGUACCAUAAGGAAAUUCAGACUCUCGAUUAUGAUUAUCAUAUCUCUGAGGAAGAUGAAUCUAGACAAUCUGAACUAGUGAACUAGGAAGCGGGUAAGUUGGAUAUGAGUGGUCAAGUAUUUGGGUCCGAAGAUGUCUUCACUGAAAUACCAAACCAAACGUCGUCUGUUGAGGGUGUUCUUAAUUUGGAACCUGAUCCAUUCAUGAAAUGGUUACUACACCGUCAUAAUAGAGGUAUUCUUAAACCCACAUAUGAACCUGAAUUGUCUACCAAAGUCAAAUAUCCCAUGAGCAACUAUGUGUCUAACCAUCGUUUGUCUGAAUCAAAUAAGUCAUUUGUAAAUCAAUUAUCUACUGUAGCUAUUCCUAACAGUGUGCAUGAAGCCUUAGCUGAUCCAAGGUGGAAAGCAACCAUGAAUGAAGAGAUGAAAUCAUUGCAGAAGAAUGAAACAUGGGAACUCGUAGAAUGUCCACCAGGAAAAAAGCCAGUUGGGUGUCGUUGGAUCUAUACUGUGAAGUACAAGGCAGAUGGUAGUAUUGAACUAUUUAAAGCAAGACUGGUAGUAAAAGGGUACACUCAAACUUAUGGAAUUGACUACACAGAGACAUUUGCACCUGUAACUAAGAUCAACACAGUUCGAGUAUUACUGUCUUUAGCUGCAAACCUAGAUUGGCCAUUACAACAAUUUGAUGUGAAAAAUGCCUUUCUACAUGGUGAGUUAUCUGAAGAAGUAUAUAUGGAUCUUCCACCAGGAUGCAUGGUGUCAGAAAAGCAAUGUCAGAAGGUGUGCAAAUUGAAGAAGUCAUUGUAUGGGUUGAAGCAAUCCCUGAGAGCAUGGUUUGGAAGGUUCACAAAGUCAAUGAGAGCUUUUGGCUAUCGUCAAAGUAAUUCAGAUCACACUUUGUUCCUGAAAAAGCAACAUGGUAAGAUUACGACACUCAUCAUAUAUGUGGAUGACAUGGUAGUUACAGGAAAUGAUCCUGAAGAAAUAAAAGCUCUACAAAAUUAUCUAUCUAUAGAAUUCGAAAUGAAAGAUCUAGGUCAUCUGAAAUACUUUCUUAGGAUUGAAGUUUCUUGAUCAAGUGAAGGAAUUUUUCUGUCUCAAAGAAAGUAUGCUUUAGAUCUUUUACAGGAGACUGGAAUGUCGGGAUGUCAACCUGUUAAUACACCAAUAGAAGAAGGUCUGAAAUUGUGUGUUGAGCCUAAUCAAGUAUCAACCGAUAAGGGAAGAUACUAGAGACUUGUGGGGAGAUUAAUGUACUUAGCUCAUACAAGACCAGAUCUUGCUUAUACAUUGAGUGUAGUGAGUCAAUACAUGCAUAAUCCUGGAGAGCAACAUAUGAAUGCAGUCAUGCGUAUUUUGAGGUAUUUGAAGAAUGCUCCUAGGAAGGGAAUUUUGUUCGCUAAAAAUGUUGAUCAUCAGAGUAUAGAAGUAUAUACUGAUGCUGAUUGGCCGGUGCAGUGGAUGAUAGACGAUCUACAUCUGGUUACUUUACCUUUGUAGGUGAUAAUCUUGUGACAUGGAAAAGUAAGAAGCAGAAUGUCGUCGCUCGUUCAAGUGCAGAAGCGGAAUUUAAAGGUAUGGCUCUAGGACUUUGUGAGGCAUUAUGGCUAAGACUCCUCUUACAGGAUUUAGGUUACCUAUCUAGCCAACCAAUUCGAUUGUUUUGUGACAAUAAAGCCGCAUGUGACAUUGCUCAUAAUCCAGUACAACAUGAUCGUACAAAGCAUGUCGAGGUGGAUAGAUUCUUCAUUAAGGAAAAGUUGGAUGAUAAGAUUAUGGAAUUGCUUAAGAUUUGAUCAGAAGAUCAAUUGGUCGAUAUCCUUACCAAAGCUGUCUCAAGUCAAGUGUUCUCAAAAUUUUUAGACAAGUUGAGCAUGUGUGACAUCUAUGCACCAACUUGAGGGGGAGUGUUGAGAUAUUAGGAAUGCUUUCCUUAUAUCAUUUAGUGUUGAAAUAUUAGGAAUGUUUAGAUAUUUGGAAAGUUGAGAUAUUAUGAAUAUUGAGAUAUUAGGAAUAUUGAGAUAUUAGGAAAGUUGAGAUAUUAGGAUAUUAAUUGUUAUUUCCUUAUAUCAUUCUUUCCUUGUAUCAUUCUUUCCCAUUCUUAGAAUGGUGAUUACCCUCUAUAUAUAUUCUGUACAUGAACGAAUGAAAGAAUGAAUGAAAAAACUACCAUUUAUCAAUUUGAAGAGCCACUUCCUGAAUUGCAUUUACAGCGGACAUAUUGGAUGAAUUGUCUUUAAAAAGAAAAGUAUUUAGGACUGCCACUCUCUUUCAUACAAAAAAUCAUGCGUCCCACAAUAUCAGUGUUUGACACUCCUUCUGUGCACUUGAUCUGCUUGUAGUGACCAGCCCACAUCCUAAAAAAAUCUAGGUAAUCUCUCCAACGAGCUCCGGUGUCAACGAUUUGACAUGUCUCUUCAUGUAAAUGGCUAACUGAUUCUUGUCCAAUACUGAUUGCACUUGAAGCUUAAAUGUAUCAACGAUAUCAGCCACUUCGAUGACUUGAUGCAACCUAGAAGUCCUUCAAGUCAUAACUCACAAACUUGGACAGUUUCUCAUGAAAACAGUCACCUUGUAGCCAACACGAAACUCAAAACACAGUCUCACAAGAACAACUUCAACCAUCGCAUCCAUUCUCUCAUACGGAGAUCCCAAGAGGAAUUUAAAAACGUGCAUCUGUUGGAAUACAUUUGAAGGAAGUAUAUUUCUCGGGGCAUCAAGAGUUGUUACAAAUCUCAUCAUUAAAAUGACUGGAACCUUGACCACCCAUUCACUCAACAUGAGAAUGAAAUCUGAUAACACGGACCCACAACAUCGCUUCAUAUCAUCUAUUAUCACAACCACCGGCUUGUUGUAGCUGCCCGAAUCACUACACCAUGAUGCUAAAAUGGAUACAUCAGCUGCGUCCAAAGCAACCAUUAGAAACUGUCUCAACAAACCUCUGAGACAGCCGCCAAUGCCAUUAUUAGCCAAAAAAUUAAUGUAUGAUAAGUUAGCCACAUGACAUCCAUGAGAUUUUAGAUGCAGACCGAACUCUUCCCAACGUCAUCAAAUCAUCAAUGUAACCCCAUAUUCUAGGUGAAAACCAAACCAGUGAAUAGUUGCCUUAAGAUGGAUGUUCCUCAAAACAUCCUUAAUAGUGGACUCAAUAUUUGGCCAAACAAAAUUGAAGGCUUCCAUUCGUAAGUGCUCAUGGUGAUGAUCAUCCCGUUCUUUAUCCGUGCCAAUUUCCAUUUUCUCGGCAUUUUUGACUGAGAUUGGAGAUGAGUCAAUCUUCUUCCUGAAAUCUAGCUUUGAUCCAACAAGUCUCGAAGUUCAAAGCAAACGCAAAUGCUCAAUUUUUCUCAUUAAAUGCACUCGACGGUGUUCUUAUAACCCAAGUCCCGUAUGCAUGAAUAAUAAGAGCGGAUAGAUAUGAAAGAUAGGGGAUGUAGCCAACGGGAUGGGUGAUGAAGAAAAGUGGGAUAGAUGGGUUAGGUCAAUAAGAGAGAUAAAAAGUUAGGUGUGAUCACGGGUAUGAGAGAAAUGGUAAGCUCAUAUGGGAUGAACUGUGGGUGUCAAUUAUGAUGGGUAUGAACGACAUGUAAUGGCAUGUAAGCGGUUGGAGAAAUGUGUGAUGGACGUUAAUGAGGCCACGUAUGGCCAUGCAACAAUGGAGGGAAUAGGUUUGAGGUGCACUUGGAAAAUGGGUAUGUAAUGUGGUAAAGAGAGAGAAAGUGAAUUCGGUGGUAGUGGGCAUGAGAGGUUCGGUGGAUGUGAGUGAAAGUGUCCAUAGGGGGUGGCCAUGCAUGCAUGAUUCCAAUGCAUGUAGGUAGGUGACUUUGGGAUUCCAAUGGAGAUGAGCACGACACGGGUAUGGUGGUUAUGACGGAGGAUGGUGAGUAAGGGAAUGAGCAUGGAGAUGGAUGUGGUGUAUGAAGGUUAGUGAGAAGUGGGUUAGCGACGGAAACAUGAUUCUAGUGCGUGCAUGAGAGGGAAAUGGGUAUGGUGGAGGAUGCUUGAUUCCUGCAAGCGUGAGUGAAUGAUGGGUAUGGCUAGCACGAAGGACAGAAAGAUGGUGAAACGGAGCGGGUUUGAUGGGUCUCGGGAUGGAUAUGAUAGAUGGUGGAGAAAAUGGGUUAGUGGGGGUGUGAAUUGAUUCGUGCCCAAUUGGUGUCUCAGCUGAUUCGUGUUCAGCUGGUGCUCCUUGAUUGAGAGAGUAAUCAACAAAAUUUAUAACCUAUUACACCAUUUACUAGGGUAGCAAAGACAAAGCUACUAUAGCAUAGUGGCUCUAGGAUCGUUCACUGGGAUGGGUUUUCACUUUGCAAAUGAUAUUAAUUCAAAGCUGAAUUGGUGUCUUUUCAUUUCAAGGUUAGCUUUAAAAGAAAACAUAAAGAUGUUUGAAUGAAAAAGGUUUGGUUUUAAACUAACCAAAAAUAGUAACUGAUUUUACUUACAAAGAAAAAUGUUUCUUGGAGUUUCAGAUCACUAGGCUCAGAUUCCUCAUACAAAAAGGGAGUUUCGGUCACUUGUUUCUUUUCCUCGCAUUAGAUAAUUAACAUAUAGUUCCUUCUCCAACCGGUGUUGUACAGAAACUUCCCAUUAAUGGGUUCAAACACUAAAUCUCUCUCACUGAUGCACCUUGCAAUGACUUGUGCCUCUCACCUAGCAUUUGCCAUUCAAGGUGAUCUUUAACCUUGGACUUUCCUUCAAAAGCUCGCAAUAGAUAACUAAUGGAUGUCUCCUUAGAGUCCAAAAGCUUACCAAGUGUUGGCUAUUCUAGAAAAUCCUACCUUCAAACCACCUACCAAAGGCUCGCAAGGGGUAAACUAGUGAAUCUCCAUGGACGGAGAUCACUUGCCUUACCAAGUGUUGGCCCAGGUGAUUUAAAAGCGUUUUAAGUUAACUAAAAAGAUAGAAAUCAUUAACGAGUCACACUUUCUCUUCAUUAAUAACUAAAACAACAAAACUUCCAAAUUAUGCAUGUGGAAACUUACCCGGAUUUCCUCACUCCAAGAGACGAAGAGCCUAGCCUCUCAUCCUCUGAGGAAAAAUCCUCAGAGUUUGUUUGGCUAGCAAGAAAAUGAAAAUGAAAGAGAAGGAAAAACAGAGCAAGGCUCUGUAUAUUCUAUAUAUUUAUAUAUCUAUCUAUAUGAUGGAUCUCCUGGAACAAGCUCCUCCGAGAGUCCUCCAAGAGUCCCAUUUUUUAGUGUUUACAAGAGAGUUUAUAUAGGAAGGUAAUUUACCCUUCCUUGGAUACUUCUUAGCUAAGGAAUUACAUAAGUGGUUGAAUACAAGGAGAAAAUGGAAAUUUAGACACAAAAAUCUGAAGAAAAAUAUCUCAAAGUUUCGGUCGCAAAUAUCGGGAAGCACUAAGGACCAUUUCGCAGGUGAAAACGAGGUCUGCGAAAUUUCGCAGACGCACAAAAAGGGCUGCGAAAUCACUUCGCAACAAAAGGCUGAUUUCGCAGCGCUACGAAGUUGGCUUUCAACUUGCGGUGUUCGGCUUCCAAUGUGUUGCAACUAUCGGGAAACUUUAGGGGGAAUUCCACAGCACUGUACAAAAAGGCUGCGAAAUCAUCUUGCAACAAAAGGGUGAUUUCGCAACGCUGUGCAAAAUUCUUCCUUCAGCUUAGAGUGAUCGGCUUGCAAUGGCUGUAACUCCUUCAUUUCAACUCUGAAUUGUGUACCGUUUGAAGCAUUGGAUUCUUGACUUCCUGAGCUUUGAAAUGGUAUAUAGAAUGUAGAAAAUGGACUUCAGGAAGUGCUCCAAAAGUGCGAAAGAAGGCUGCAGCUGCUGUCCUCUGUUUUCUUCACUCUAUUUUCCUCUCUCCAGUGCUCUUUCCUUGCAUACUUUGAACGACUAAGGCAAAGGACUAUGAGGCUCCAAAGCUUGGUUCUUCAUGAAUUUGAGCUUCCAAAAGCUUUGCCAUGAACUAUAUACAACUCUCCCUCAUUCUUAAAUUGCUUUGGUGAGCAAAAAGCUAUCAAAAACACCAAAACUUAACACAAUUUGAUUAGAAACGAUUGCAAGGGUCCUUAACAUGUUAAUUGGGUUAAAAAGCAAUAACUACUACUCAAAAGUGUUUAAAAGAGUUAAUUACAAGGUAUGAAAUAGCACUUUUUGAGUAGUAAUCAUGAAUGAAAGGCGCAUGAGGAUACAGUGAGUGCAUAGGAUCAAUGAUAUUAAGCGAUGUGGGUUAGCGAGAAAUGGGUAUGGAGAAGGUAGUGGCUCUCAUGCACGUGGGUGGAUGGAUUUGGGAUGCUAGCAGAUUAGAGGAAGCUUGGGGGGGGGGGGGGGGGGGGGGGNNNNNNNNNNNNNNNNNNNNNNNNNNNNNNNNNNNNNNNNNNNNNNNNNNNNNNNNNNNNNNNNNNNNNNNNNNNNNNNNNNNNNNNNNNNNNNNNNNNNGGGGGGGGGGGGGGCGCAUAUAUGGCGUACUAAAGAUGAGACAAAGGGUCGGCGGAUCUUAUGUGAACCGGAGCAAAGGGGUGCACCCAUGAUUCUGUGGAACCUGGUAGCGGCUAAAACACCGACAGGCUCACCAGCAGGGAAGGGAUGCUCGGAGUUAGUUCUAGUCUUCACUCCAUACUCAAAUUGGAUAGUUGAAUUGCUACAAACAUUCCUCACUGUACCAUCAUAACAGAUAACAACAUCUCGAAGAGUGGCCAUUAAGUUUUUAAACAAAGUUCCUAGUCCAGACAAGCCCCUUGAUGAUCGUACAAUUAUUUCUCGUGGAAAUUGAAUGAACCAUUUCCUCAUAAGGAUCUAAGCCAUGGGAGAAACAGUUUCAUGAAAAGGAUACUUGCUUUUGAAUUAGAUAAGCCAUGCCCUCAACCCAGAUCCUGGAAUAGAACUUACCCUUUUCUGAAGGUUGUAGUCCUAGGAACCCCAUUUGUUGAACUACCUUGUUAAUAGCCGAAUCACUCUUAGAAUCAUUUAAAUUACCCAGUGCAGAUGAAUUCAAAAUUAAAUUAGCAACAAGAACCUUGGUAUGUCUCAAGUGAUUCUCUGCCUGCAACUCUAGCAAUUCAUUAUACUUCGACCUUAAGUUAUACAACAACGAUGAAAUGUCCUCAACCUUUUUUUGGAUAUUCUGUAUGACCUCCCUGGGAUCGGAAGAAUCCUCCAAGCUGACACUGAAACCCUCUGAAAAUAAAUUUUCCAUGAACAAAGGCGGUAAUGAAUCAAAGAACUUCAAGACCUCAUUGGGACCUUCCUCAGAGAAAAUGGAUGUGACAAUUUCAUUUACCAAAGAUUGCAACACAUCUCUAUUAUAAUCAACUUUCAAUAUAACACUUUUGCUAAUCGAGUGCCUCUUUCCAAUACAAUCAAAAUGAGGAGGUAAGGCAGUUUGCAUCUAUGGAAUGGACUUGAGUUUUUCCGUAAGCACCUCGACCCAGAUGACCAGUAUGAAGUGCGACACUCAACAUUUCAAAAAAAAAACUUAAAAGAAAAAAACAUGAGAAGAAAACAGAGCAUGUACACAUAUAUAUAUAAAAAGAAGGCUGCUAAGUCUCGCCCCAUUCCACAGAUGUCAAUGGGAGGGGUUUAGGUGGAACCAAAAGGAAACGUGGUCAUGAUCUCCAAAAAUCAAAUGCAGUGAUGAAUCUACACCCAGAACACUCCAAAACAAAAAAAUAAAAAUAAAAAUGCACAAGUAGUCUUCAAGUGUCAAAGGAAUCCACAAAUGAAAAGAAACAUAGGAGCAUGUACGAAGUGCGACACUCAACAUUUCAAAAAAAAAACUUAAAAGAAAAAAACAUGAGAAGAAAACAGAGCAUGUACACAUAUAUAUAUAAAAAGAAGGCUGCUAAGUCUUGCCCCAUUCCACAGAUGUCAAUGGGAGGGGUUUAGGUGGAACCAAAAGGAAACGUGGGCAUGAUCUCCAAAAAUCAAAUGCAGUGAUGAAUCUACACUCAGAACACUCCAAAACAAAAAAAUAAAAAUAAAAAUGCACAAGUAGUCUUCAAGUGUCAAAGGAAUCCACAAAUGAAAAGAAACAUAGGAGAACUGUUCAAAACGGGAGAAAUAAAACAGACUGAAUCCUCUUUGGCUUGCUCUCCUCUCCUCUCCGUCUCCUUCCCUCCCAGCUAUCCAACUCCACCCCCCCCCCCNNNNNNNNNNNNNNNNNNNNNNNNNNNNNNNNNNNNNNNNNNNNNNNNNNNNNNNNNNNNNNNNNNNNNNNNNNNNNNNNNNNNNNNNNNNNNNNNNNNNUUUAAAGGGGGGGGGUUUGGGGGGAACCAAAAGAAAAGGGGGGGCGGUCCCCCAAAAAAAAAAGGGGGGGGGAAAUCCCCCCCCGGACCCCCCCAAAAAAAAAAAAAAAAAAAAAAAAACCCCAAGGUUUUUUAAAGGGUCAAAGGAACCCCCAAAAAAAAAAAAAAAAAGGGGAAACUUUUAAAAAGGGGAAAAAAAAAAAAGGAGAAAUCCUUUUGGGGUUGUUUUCCUUCCCUUCCCGUUCCCUUCCCCCCCAAUUUUCAAACCCCCCCCCCCCCCCCCCCCCCCCCCCCAAAUAUCUCUCAAAACCCCUGUUUUUGUCUUCCCCAGCAAGCCAUACUACCCACUCCACUAUGCAUUGCUUAGGGAGGAUGUCAUCCUCAACCACCACCAUGGUCGCCUUUGCCACACGUCCAUACAGCUAGUUUCUUCUCCAGAAAGAGGUCCCUUCCACUUCAAAAAAAGAAAAAAGGAAAAAAUUUCUCUCCCGAGUGGUCCCAAAACGAAUGAAAAACCCCUGGUCUUUGAAGAGGUCUACAGUUUGAUUGUUAAGAAACUAUUAGAAGUUUUCUAAGCUAAAACUUAUUUUUAUGUAAUGUAUUUUAUGAUUUAUGAACAUUGUUGAGAUUAAUUUGUUAACUUUUUAUUUUUAAUUUGGGAAAAAAAUAAAUAUUAAUUUUGGAAAUUAAACAAUGGAUAAUAUAAUGAUAGAAUAAUAUUUUUUCCAUUAUGUUUGUUUAAUAGGUAGAUUCACAAAAUAUUUCAGACUUGUAUUUGAGAUUUACCAAUUUUUUCAAAUGAUUGGAUUAAGGUUCAGUCAUGAUUGGAUCAUAUAUAUUAUAUACUAUUCUAUUCAUGAGUAAAUCAAAUGAAUGAUGUAAAUUACCAAGUUCUGCAAACUUCAAGCAUUGCCAAAAGAAAAAAAAAACCAUUUUUUUUAUACGACAUAGACUAAGGACUUUGUAUAAGUCAAUAAUUAAGAUGUCAUCAAAGUCCUUCAAGAAAUGUCCAAGGAAAUUUUAAAAAUCAUGAAAAAAAAAAAGUUAUAAAUGGUGUUUUAAUGUAUUAUAUACAUAUUCUCUUCAAAAGGUAUUUUUAAACUCCUCUUAGAAUUUGCUAUUCCGACAUUCUUUUUUCUUUUUCUUAUCUCAAUUUAAAUAGACUUUAAUUUAACUUAAAUUUAAAUAGUAUGAAAUAUUAAGUGAUUUGUUUUCAAUUUUUUUUUCUUUGACUUAAUUCUUAAAAAAUAUUGUUUUAAUAUUUAAGUCAUUUUAAAGAUCGUUUAUUUGUUUAAUUUAUUAUUUUUUAAGACAAUUUUAUCUUAAUAGAAAAACUAAUUCAUUGUUUUUCUUUUAUCUUAAAUUUUAAAUUAACUUGUUUUAAGACUUAAGUUAGAAUUAAAAUUUUAAAUUUUAAAAAAACAAUAAACCCUUAAACUAUAUUUGUUUAUGAAAUUAAACUAAGAAAAAUAAUUUUUUAAUUAAUGGUUUCAUUGUGGAAAUACAAAUAUAUAUAUAAUAAAAAUAAAUUAAAAUUUUAUACAUUUUAAAAUUAUUUAAUUUAUAUUUAAUAAAAUAAAUAAAUAAAAUAAAUUAAAAAAACAUAUUAACUUCAAUUUUUUUUCCUUCACUUUUUUCUUCCCAUCUAUUUUUGUUCAUUUCUUUCCCUCACUUCUCCCCUCAAAAUUUUAAAUUUAUUUAACCAUUUUAAGUCUUCGUGCCAAUGCUAGUCAUAAACAAACAAUUGAUGAAGACCUUUCAGCCCUUUGUGGAGCAAGUAUCACAAGAAUAUUGAGCCAAUCAUGAACACCAUCCUGUCCUCAACUUCAUCUGUUGCUAUAAAUCUAAAUACUGAUGUAGACCUGUGGACCCCGCAUUUCGGCUCAUGCGUUUCCCACUCGAUGGCGAGCUCGAUUUUGAUUUCGAAAAAUUGAUUUUAUAUUGAUUAAGAAAAAUGACUUGGAGUCGCCACUUAUUUUUGUUUUAUUUUUAAAGGGUAAACAAAAUAAGAAAGAAAAACCCUAAGUGCGACUCCUUGUUUUGGAAAAGGUGGUCUGUGAAAAAUCGGAUUGGGUUCGGGGGUCAGGUUACUCAUCGGGAAGGUACGGUAAAGACCGUAGCACCCCUCUAAGCCCCUAAAGUCGGGUCUCGACUAUUAAAAUGAAACUGACGUGGCAACUGAUGAGUAAAUCAAUGAAUAUCCUGAAUGAGCAUGCACACAUAAGAAUCGAGACAUGCAUAGACAACGGUUAGAGGGAAAAUGGGUACAUACCUGGGCCACGAGCCACCAUGCGCUAUCAUUAGAGAGGGUUAGUACACCAUAUAGAGCACAAAACAUAUCACAUGCAUCACUGAACAGGGAUUAAAAUUGUUCGAAAGAACACUUGAUUUUUGAAAUUCAUUUGAGAAUCGGAAUCUUAGAGAUCAUUUGAAAAUUGGAUUCUUAGGAAUUAGAUGUAAUGAAAUUUUUAAGAGAAGUAAAUGGGUAAGUAUGGAAUAAUGUUACUAAUUAAUCAAAACGAUAUUUGGACGGAUGAAUAGUGAAUAGUGGGAUUUUGAAAAUUAAGUUUGAAAGUCGGAUCUCUGAAUAAUUGGACUCUAAUUAUUGGAAUUUUUAGAAGGAAGAAAUAAGUAAACGUGGAAUUUAUAACAAUGAUAACAAAGGCGACAUUUGGAUGAAUAAAAGAGAAUGGUGGAAUUUUUUAGUCUCAAGGUUAAAUUUGGAGGUCCGGCUUUGAAGAAUUGAAUGUUAAUGAUCGAAAUAAAUAAGUAAAUAAGUAUGGAGUAAUGAUACUGAUGAACCAAAAUAAUGUUUAAACGAAUAAAAAAAAGAGGAUAGUGGAAUUUUUCUAAUUGAGAAUUUGAAUUAGGGCGUUGGAUUUUUUAAGGGACAUGACUUUGACUAAAUAGGUAGGUAUGUGAUUAUAAUACUAAUUAACGAGAAUAACAUUUCGGUGAAUAAAGAUGGAUAGUAGAAUUUUUGGGAUUAAAGUUUUGAUUAAGGCAUGGGGUUUUCGGAAGAUUAGACUUUGAAUGGAUAUGGGAAUAAUGUUUCUAAUUGAUGAAGAUAAAAUUUAGAUGAACUGUAGAAUUUAUAAGAUUGAAAAAUAAGAUUGAAAAAUUGAAUUAAGACAAGAGAUUUUUGAAGAACUAGGUUUUAAAUAAAUAGACGAAUACGUUAUAAUAAUCCUAAUUGAUGGAAAUAAGAUUUAAACGAAUUACUGAGAAACUAAAUUAAGACAGGGGAUUUUGAAGGAUUAGAUUUUAAAUAACUAAAUAAAUGCGGGAUAAUAAUUCGAUUUAUGAAAAUAUGAUUUAAACAAGAAUUAAAUUAAAACUUAGGAUUUUUGAAAGAUUGACAUAGAUAGAUAGGAGAAUAUAGGAUAGUAGUUCUAAUUGAUAAAUAUGAGAUUUAAAAGAGUUUUUGGGGAAUUAAAUUAAAACAUGUGACCUUUUUUAUAGAUUGGGCUUUGAAUAAAUAAUAAAUAAGGGAUAAUGAUUUGAUUUAUGAAAACAUGAUUCAGACAAGAAUUAAAUUAAGACUUAGGAUUUUUGAAGGAUUGACAUAAAUAGAUAGGAGAAUAUAGGAUAGUAGUUCUAAUUGAUGAAUAUGAGAUUUAAAAGAGUAUUUGAGGAAUUAAAUUAAAACAUGGGAUUUUCUUAAUGGAUUAGACUUUAAAUUAAUAAAUGAAUAUAGGAUAUUAAUUCAAAUUAAAGAAAAUAACGUUUAGACAAAUAGUGGGAUUUUAGGAUCGAGAAUUGAAUUAUGACAUUGGAUCCUUUUUUUUUUAAGGGUUGAAUUUUGAAUAAAUAAACUAAUAUAGGAUGAUAAUACUAAUUAACGAAAAUAAUCAGUUAAAACGGGAUAACAAGGACAGUGGAAUUUUUAGGAGUUUGAAAAUUAAGCUAGGACAUUGGAUUUACGAAGGGUUGGAUUUUAAAUUAGUAUAUAAAUAUGGGAUACUAACUCUAAUGGGUGAUAAUGAGAUUUGAACUAAUUAUUGAAGAAUUAAAUUAAGACACAUGAUUUAUUUGGAAGCCUUAGACUUUAAAUAGCUAGACAUAUAUGGUGAUAAUUCUUAAUUGAUGAAAAUGGGAUUUAAAUAGAUUAUUGAAAGAUUAGAUUAGGAUAUGGGGUUUUUCAAGGAUUAGAAUUUAACUUUGAUGACUGAGAUUUUCAAAAGAUGAUAAAUAGAUGCGUACGAAGUAAUAAUAAUAAUUAACAAUCAUAAUGUUUAAACUAGUUAAAUUAGAUGAAAUAAGCUCCAAGAUAAAAAUAUAAUUAACAAUAGUAAUUUGUUCUUUAAUUGCCUUUAAGAUGAGUUAACUAAAUGGGUAAAAAUAAGGUAACAAAUAAAAGGAAAUGAUUUGAUUAAUUAAUUAUGGAAAUUAGAGGCUUUGUUUUAUUUUUAAAAAAAUGAUUAUUUAGGAAUUGGGCAGCCUGGAGGGCUUACUUGUUCACAAACUUGGGCUUGGUGCUCCAACCCAAAUCCAAAGCUACCAUGGGCGGGCUCAAAAACCCAUCCCAAACCCAAGCCCGAAACUCCAUCUUCUUCCUAGCUUACCCCCCUCUAAACGCACACCAUCCUCAGAGGAAGCCUUCAUGGCCAGCAGCAAGGUGGAGAGAGGAGCCGUGGCAGCGGUUCGACGGUAUCCAGAAAGUGUCGUCGUCAUGGUGGCUGAUGCGAGUGCUCACCUAGCCGGAGCGGGUGAUGGCGGUUGGUGAGGCGAGCCAGCGCCUCGCCGACGUGGUGCGCACAGCAAGAAGACGCAGGGAGGGAAGGCCGGCGUGCAUGGAAAGUUGCGAAGCUCUCCGGGCCUCUGGCAGACGUGCCGCCGAUGGAGACGGCGAGGGCGAUGGCGAAUAAUGAGGAGGGAGAUGGCGGAGGCAGCUUGCCUGCUUGGAUCCCACGCGUGCAGAAGAGUGGCUUUGGGAGCCCUUGCGGAAAUGGGUAUGGCGACUAGAGGAAGAAAAGGUGAUGGGGAAGAAAGGUGAGGGUAACGGCCAUGCCGGGAACAUGGGUGCACGGCUAUGGGGCUGCUGAACAAAAGGGACUGUUGGGGAUAUGCAUGGCAGCAGCCUUUCGAGUGCCAGUGACGUCCGCUUGAAGGGCAGGGUUCAAGUAUGGAUCCUUCAAGGCACUCUCGACUUCGGGGUUGGUAUUCUCUCCGACAACGAAAUGUCUGGGCAACUGAUUCCUCAAGUUUGAUGGGUCCAGAACCCUUUUAUCGAUUUAAAUCCAUUGCCUGGCUCCCCUUAGAUGGACAUCAGAAACAGGGGAAGGAGAGGAAACUACAAGAAAAUAAAAAGGAGGGCACCAGCUGACCAAACAACUAAGGCAAACAAACCUAUGUUUCGCGCUUGGAUCCAUGGGCUUCGCUGUAGGUGGGUGGAUCCGGAUGCAUUCCACGGGAGCGAGGACAAAAACAAAACUCUCCCAUGAAGUAUAGUGCAACAGAAACAGAGCCGAGUUGCUCUCAAAUCAUCCCGAGGAAAAUAAACGAGCUAGCCACAAUGAAUUCAUAGACCAAAUGGCGACCAUAAAACUGAACGUAUAACCAAAAAAUCCGUAAACACUAUCCAGAAAAAAGAGGAAUAGGAAUAUGUACCGAUAAAAUGAGUUCAAUGAUUCAUGGAAGACAUACCUUUCCUUUCUUCUCUCUCGGCGGAUCCUCUUGCGGACGUCCUCUGCUGCCCAAAAGUCCUCCUUCCUCCCUUCCCUUUUCUUCUUUUCUCCUCUGUUUUUCUUCUGUUCCUGUCUUCCUCAGCAAGCCAGUCGUAUCCCGUCCAAUCUGCCCCCCGAGAGCCGCCCACUUGAGUCCCCUCUCUGCCCCAAAAACCAGCUCCUGACCAUCAUGUCGAGCCCCGGGAAAAAGGUAGGAAAAGGAAAAGAAAUAAAAUAAAUCCAAAUAAAAAAAUCUCUGCCUCCAGGGGGGUCUACAAGACCCUAUCUGAAAAUGGUCCACUGGAUAGGUACCUCCCACAAGAAAAUUAAUGAAAGCUAGAAAAAUGAAAAAAAUAAAAUAAAAAUUAAAGCUUCAUUUUUAUUUUUUUUUUCCCAACUCACAUGGAAUAUAGACUAAGACUUUGUUUCAGUCAAGAGUCAACAUGUCACAAAAUUCCUGAAGUCAUUGUCUAAGGAAAAUAAUAAAUAAUACUUUAAUGUAUGAUGUAUAUAUUUUCUACAAAAGGCAUUUCUAGACUUCUACAAUUUUCUCCUAUGGACCACUGACCAACUUCAAUUAAUUGAGAAAGUUACGUGAAUGAAGGGACUUCCUACUCCAUGUUAAGUGAUAUGACAUAUAAAGGAAAAUAAAAUAUCAUGAAAAUUAUUAAAAUUUUUAUAUUUAUACAAUUCUUUAUUAUUAUUAUUAUUAUACAUAAAGGGUUGGAAAAAUGCAUAACAUGACUAAGUGGUAGUUUUUUUUUUUUUUUGUCUAAAAUGUAAAUAAAUCUAAAUUAUUAUUUUUUAUUCUAAUUCUAAAAUUAAUAAUUUAAGAAAUAGUAAUUUAAUAUAUUUACAAAUAUAUACAAAAAUUUAAUUUAUUACCAUAAUAAAUAUUUUCUGACAAUUAAUUAUGUAAUUAGUAGAAAAUUUAUAAUUAGAUAAUGAUUAGGAUUUUUAUUCAUGUUUGGUUGUUAAGAAACUAUUAGAAUUUUUCUAAGUUAAAACUUAUUUUUAUGAAAUGUAUUUUCCGAUUUAUGAAUAUUGUUGAGAUUAAUUUCAACAUUUUUUUAUUUUUUAUUUUUUACUCUUCAUAUGGAUAAUAGAAAGUGGAUUUGUGAUGCUUUCUUGGAUUUAUAGCAAUUAAAACUUAUUUCUUGAAUAUACAAUUUAAAAGUUCAAUUGUUAAAAUAAAGUCAUUUCUCAAAGAGAUUUCCUAUUUUACUUUAGUUAGUUUUGGAUUAGAAAUUAUACCUUUUAAUUUAUGCUCUCAUUAUUAUUCUAAAUCUAUUUGAGGUAAAUAUCAACUAGCUAGAUGUUGGAUUUGUUAGAUAAGGUCAUUCAUGUGUUCAGCUCUCAAGUUUGAUAUAUAAAAUCACCAUAGUACCCUUCACCUCUGUGUCAAGGUAUCGUAGUAUUAAACUUUUAAAAAACAUUAUAAACUUGAUGCAUUGGAACGGUAUGAUCAUUAUUGUUGAAUGAAUCUAUCAUUUUUUAUUGAGUGAAUAGCUUAAUUUAGAAUUUUUACGAUUUUUGUUUUAGUUAGAACUUUUAGACAAUAUUUGAUUCCUGAAAACUUGAAGGGAAAAUAUAAGGGAAUAAAAUAGAGAAGAAAAAUAUAAGGAAACAAAAGAUUUAAAAUCACUCAUUUUAACUCAUGUAAAUACUAAAUAAUUUUUAAGGGGUUGCUAUUCGCAACAUCUCUUUUGCUAAUGUAACACUUUUUUGUCAUAUUUUUUUUUUCAUAUAUACCCUUUUUAAUAAAGAACUCUCUCUAACCUCCUCUCAACAUAUUAAACCUAAAUUCUAGUUAAUUAAGGGUACGAAUCACAUACGAAAUACAAUGAAUAACGAAAUUCAAUCAUCUUAUGAUAAUUUUCAGGUAAGAUUUAUAACUUUUAUUUUUUUUAUAAAGAAGUAUAUUGUUUUGACAUUUUUUUAGGCUCUUGAUUACAUACUUUGUUUUAUGAGUCUUUACUUUGCAUACACAAAUAAUUAUUACAUUACUCAUAUUCUUAAUCAAUCUUUAGUUAUAUGCAAUAUUUUUGUUUGGGUUACAAAAAAAAUCAUAUCGAACACAAUAAAAAAAAAUAUUUUUUAAAAAACCAUUCCAAUUAAAUAUUGUUUAUUUUAAAAUUUUAAUAAUAAUAUUUAUUUUAAAAAAUUGAGUUAUGAAUUUCACAUUAAAACAUUGAAUAUAAUAAAAUCAUUUUACAUAAUAUACUUUUGGUGAAAAUAUAAUUUUAUAAUUUAUUAUUUAAAGAAAUUAUUUUGUUUUAAAAUAUAAGAAGAAUAUGAAAAACAAUUGAGUGUGAAAAAUAAAAUAAAUGAAAAGAAAAAAACACAAAGUUUACUUGGGGUGGGAGGUUGAGUAGGUAGAGAUGAAAAGAAAGAUAACAAUAAAAGAAAAAGAAUGCUAAAAUGUAGGGUGGGGGUUGGGAAAAAGAAAAGAAAAAUAAAAAAAGGGUGCAAUUGGGACAUGAGGUUGGGGAGGAGAGAGAGGAGAGGAGAGAGGAGAGAGAGGGGAAAGGAAUAAGGAAGGGUAGUUUAGGAAUGUAAAAUAUCAUAUUAGUAAAAAUGGUGUUGCGAAUAGCAAUUGAGAUUUUUAAAUGUAUAAAUUUUUAACUAAUUUUAAUUAUAUUUAAUUUUUAUUGAUAUUUUCGAUGAUAUAACAAUCCAUAACAUAAUCAUUUUUCCUAUUAUUAUUUUUUCUUUUCUUCGCACUUUCAAGGAAACAAAAAUAAACACCGAGUAAAAUUAUGAUUUUAAAGGUAGCUUGGUUAACAUUGUGUAUACUUUUUGUUGAACUCUUUUCGAAGUGGAAUUUUUGUUAUAAAUUUAUCUAAAUACCUAAAAAAUCUCGUAAGCAACAACAAUUAGGUUUGUGUUACAUCUCAUUUAACAAUUAUUGUAAAGCUAUAAUGACUAGAUGGGGUUAGAUAGUACACAAUUUGAACCUUUGGUUUCAAAAUUUAAUCAAAGAAAAUUCAGUAACCAAAUGUUUAAAAUUUAGGAAUGAUGAUGGACAGGUUUUGAAACUAUUUCAAAUUUUGAUACAACUAUAAAUCUAGAAGAAAUGAAGACCUUUUAGCAUAUAGAAGAAGUUUCACCAAACUAAUAAUUAACAUAUAAAUAAGUAGGAUGAGUGUUUGAGACACUUCUCUUUUUGUUGGAUUCGGUUCUAGUCUGACUCAAGGUUAAUAUAUUUUUAAUUUCCACUUUGUUCAUUUAUGCAUUGAUUCAAAAAAAUAUGUCAUGUACUAAUGUUAAUUCAAGAUACUAAUUACCAAGUUUUUGAAACAUGAAGUCAUGGUCCAAAGAAAACGAUACAAUAUUUUAUUUUUUGUUUCUAUUUCUCCAUUCUUUUGCUUAACUCACACGAAAUAGACUAAGGACUUUGUUUUAGUCAAGCAUCAAGAUGUCACAAUCACAAAGAAAAGAAAUUCAAACAAUGCUUUAAUGCAUGUUGUGUAUAUUUUCUCCAAAAAGCAUUUUAGACUCUUGUUAGAAUUUUCUCCUACGGAUUCUUUACUAACUUUAAUUAAUUGAAGAAAGCUAUACCAAAUUUCCUACUCCAUGUUAAAUAUUAUCGCCUAUAAAGGAAAUAAAAUAUCAUAAAAAUCAUUUAAAAAUUUAUAUAUAUUCAAAUUUUUUAUCAUAUAUAUAAAGGGUUGGAAAAAUGUAUAACAGGUUAAUGUGGUAUUUAUUUUUGAUCUAAAAUUUGAGUAGAUCUAAGUUUGACUUAAAUCUACUUAUAUUAUUAAGUGUUUAGGUUGCUUACUUUUUAUCAAUGUAUAAAUAUUGUUAAGUGUUAAAUUGCUUUCUUUUAUUAAUGUCUAAAGAGUUACACUUAUUUAUUUCUACAUGUUAAAAAUAUCUAUAAAAUUAAUUAUUAUAUUUUUUCUUAUUUUAAUUUUAAAAUUAACCAUUUAAGAGAUAUUAAUUUAAUAUAUUUAUAAAUGUACAAAAAUAUUAUAAUUUAUUAUCAUAAUAAACAUUUUAUAAUGACUAAUUAUGCAAAGUGUAGAAAAAUAACAAUUAGAUAAUUAUUAGGAUUUCUAAUUAUGCUUGGUUGUUAAAAAAUUUCUAUGUUAAAACUUAUUUUUAUGUAACUAUCUUCAAAUUUAUGAAUAUUGUUGAGAUUAAUUUAUUAAUUUUUAUUUUUAAUAUGGGAAAAAUGUAAAAAUCUAAAUUUUAUUUUUAAAAUUAAUUGGAUUUUUUUAUUCAAGCUAAUUACUAAAUGAGGGUAAAUUAGAAAUCUAAGAUCAAGGACAUUAGCCAACCAAACUGACCCAAACCUAACCAAUCCAAUCUUAUUCAUUUCAAAACAAUGAACCAAUAGAAACCGAUUCUAAUCAAACAUAUAUAUUAUAUAUUAGACUUAAAAUAUACAAAAUUUGAAUUUUCAAAAUUUGAAGUUAUUUUUUGAAGAGACUUCAUAUUUUGCUUCUCACAUUUUACUAUAAAUUUAUGAAAUUAUUUUUUAGUUGUCAUAUUUUAAAAAAAAAUAUUUUAUUUUUUCAAAAUAAAUUCACUAAAUAAUGUCUCACAUGUAUUUGUGGUUCACUAAAUUUUUAAUAAUCAAAUUAAUAAAUUUGUAAAAGAAAAAUAUUAUAUUUUCUCCAUUUUUUUCACUUGAUAAACAAAUCUACAAAAAUGUCAAGCGAAUGUUUGAAAUUUACCUCUUUUUUUUUGCUUUUUUUUUUUUUUUUGUAAUCUUUGGUUGAUUGUAUUUUUAAAAGCAUUAUAAAUCCCAAGAAAGAAAUAUUUUUUUCUUUACCAUUAUAGUUCCAUAGUGUUUGAACUUAUCUUUACCAUUUUUUUUUCUUGAUCUAACUACAAGCUUGACUACACAAACUUUGUCAACAAUGAGAAUAAAAGUGAGGAGGGUGAUGAAGUUCUCCCUAUACUCUCCUCCCCCUUUUUAACUUUCCACGUUUUAAUUGUAUAUCCCCCCUCAACAAUAUAGUUUUAAGGUAUGUACACUUUAAUCCUGAUGGACUAAAGGCCCAUAAUUCAUCUCAAUGGGUCAACUAAAAUAUUAUGAGGAAGGUGAAGCCAUGGGCCUCUGCACAAUACAUUAAAUUGAUUAUGGCCCAAAACAAUACCCAUGCACAACCAAAUAUAGUUUACAAUAUACGUAGUCCACAAAAAACAUUUGACAUUAAUAGGUGAAUUUAGGUGAUUAUGCUAGUCCAAGAAACAGUAAAAAAUUUUAUUUGAAAAUUUAUAUAUUUUCAAACUCUUAAUUCCUCUUUAUAAAUGUGGAUAAAGUUAGAGAAGUAAUGAUAAGAAUUAUUAAAAUUUAUUAAUCUUGAAGAGAAGUAUAGAAAAUGGGAAAUUAAUGAGAAUUUUAUUAUUAUCUUUUUUAGUUCCUUUAUUUUAAUUUUUUUUUCUUUAUUUUCCUUCAAUGUUGUCUUCCCUAGUAAUAUAAAUGUGGAUUUGGGAAGUACAUAUGCCGUUAUAUGACCCAAAAAUUAUUGGUUAUAGAAUACUAUAAAUUCCAUAAGAACAUAAUUCACAUACAUUUUGUCUCAAAGUUAAAAUAGUCUUACUAGUUGUUAUAUAUCUAUUGGUGCAGUAGAUUUUGAGCUUGUCUUAAAAGCUCUCGCCUAUUGAUGCCCUUAUCAACUACUUCGCAAACCAAUUUGCCAAACUUGCAACACAAGAUGGUUGGGUGGUCAUCCCGCACAUCUCCUAUGGUCAAGUAAGUGGAUAACAAGAAAAGGAAGUGUUGAGAGUAGAUGGAAAAAUAAAUAUGGGAAUAUGGGUGAGAGAAUAUGAUAGGUGAAGCUUAUUCUCUUUGUUAGAGCUUGAUCGUACCUUUAUAUUUCAUUACCCAAUGAUGUUAAGCUAACUAUUAUGAGGUAAGUAGUUACUGUCAACCCCUUAGCCACUUGACUCUACUAUGGAGGAAAAGACCUCAUAGGUAGGCCUUGCACCCAUGAGAGCCUAGGUGGAAAGCCUGGAGAUUUGGUGGUUCAAACUCCAGGGGCUAAGUGAGGAGGUCGCGGGCGAGCCAGACGCGUACCGCGAGCGGGUCAGAUGCGCAUCGCGAGCGCGCAUUGCGGGCGAGCCAGACAUGCACCACGUGCACACCAUAUGGGCAUCGCACGUGCACCAAACUUAGGUGGUGCAGAUGAAGGUUGAGGAACUUUUGAAAUUUUAAUUUAUAUUUAUUUAUUAUUCCAUUAUGUCUCCUCAGGCAUAUUGAUGUCUCCUCUAGAAACAAUGAAAAUGACCCGUAUUGCUCUUUAAGGGGGGAUAGGUGACUCAAAGGGGGGAGCACCAAGGGAAAGCCUUGACCGCACCAAGGGGCCACCAUGGCACGACCUUGGGCGUGCCUAGGACACAUGGACGGGACUCGAGCAUGCACACAUGGGCUCCACGACAUGUGUAGUAUGCACCCCGUGACCGCAACUGCACGGGGCCUGGUGCGGCCUACCUCCUCCGCGCGCAGGCACGAGGGCACCUAAACCUUGUGCGGUGAGCCAGUUGAGGAAACCAUGGGCACAAUGCCAUGGCUUGAUGAGGCACCAGACAACAACUAACUCACACCCAUGAUGCCUACGCACAGCACAGGGGCGUAAUGCCUUGUGAACCAAGAGGGAUCAGCCAUGAGCACAAUGCCAUGGCUCAUUGCUAUGGAGUUGGACCUGACAAUGGAAGUAAGCAACACGCCCAAGCCAUGGGCACCUAGACAUGGCAUGGGCUCACACAUCAGUGUGGGGAAGGCACACCGAUGCACUAGACACUUGGUCAGCUGGUUGGUGCACGUUGCCUGGUUCAGAAGGUCUUGAUCAAAGACACGCUGGUAGUCACCAAGUCACAAGAGGUACCUUGCGGGGAGGAAACAGCUUGCUAGGGGGACUCUCCAGCAGCUUGGUGAGAAAGGCUUGAGAAGAUGGCAAUACAGCUAGCUAGUGGCAGCUAGCUAGAACAGCAAGUGGCCAAGUCAAGUAGUCAACUACAAUUGACUUGCAAUUGGUUGAGGUGUUGAUGGUUGGUGCAAGUGGGUGGUUCACGAGCAGGCUAUUAUCUGGGUGGUGGGUGGUUAUGCAAGGUAGUUAUGGGCAGUUCUGGCCAGUUGCAUAACCACUAGGUUGGCUCCAACCUUUGAAUUUGGAAAAUUCAAAUAUGUAACUGCAGGCUGAGUCUUUUAAAAGGGUUCCUGCAUCCUUGAAACAGAGAGUCAGAGAUUGGGAUAGGGUUCUUCUCUUAAUGCUUGGGGUGUGAAGCAUUGUACUCUGACUCAGGGGACUAAUUUUAUCUUGUAGAGUGAAUUAAUACAAGUUGGGAAAGGUUUCCUGUAAAUCGUUGGUGUUCCUAUUACUGUGCUUUUACUUUGCUUUUACUCUGUUUUUCUAAAAGCUGGGAAGGAAGGUUGGCUAAGGAAGGGUCCUUAGCACCACACACUCGUGAAAAAUUUAGUGUGAUCUUCAGAGGUGUGACAAUUGGUAUCAGAGCUCACAUCAGAGAUGGUUGGUGGUAGUGCAAUGGACGCCCUGCGGGAAAUGAUGACUCGGAUGGAAGAAGGGUUGGGAGAAUGGCCACGUGAGGAUGACACUGUGGCUUCGUGGGCAGAACACACCGUGGGAGAAAUUCAAGUGCAAAGGAGUCUGUUGGAGACCCAUGACAAUUUCUUUGAGGAGAAACUUGCUGGGUUGAAAUCAGAGAUGCAGUCCCUAAUGGAUGACUUCAAGGGCGCCUUGCAGUCCUAUGGAGAGGACAUUGCAACCCUUAAGAAGGCUAUGUUGUAGGGGUCCUCGUCAGGUUCUGAAGCCCCUUCCAAAGUCUAGGUCCCAGAGCCUAAGGGCUUCAACGGUAACAUGAACGCGAAGGAGUUGGAGAACUUCUUGUGGGACAUGGAACAGUUCUUCAAAGUUGCUCACAUUCCUGAUGGCGAGAAGGUGUCCAUCACUAGUAUGUAUUUGACUGGUGAUGCCAAACUAUGGUGGCGAAACAGGAUGGAAGAUGAUGCAGAGUCUGGAAGGCCCUAAAUCACCACUUGGGAAACUCUGAAGAAAGAAUUGAAGGAUCAGUCUUUCCCACCAACACUGCUUGGGUGGCUAGGGAAACACUGAAAAGGCUCAGACACACCGAAUCUGUGAAGGACUACGUCAAGGAAUUCAGUUUCUUGAUGCUCGACAUAAAGAACAUGUCAUAGGAGGACAAAGUCUUCAAUUUCAUGUCUAGAUUGCAAGGGUGGGCUCAGAUGGAACCUAGGAGACAAGGGGUUCGUGAUCUCCCUGCUGCCAUGGCUAUAACAGAUUGUCUGGUAGACUACAAAAUGGGUGGCGCCAUCUCCACCAUGCAGAGACCCAAGUCAGAAGGCUAAGGCUGAGGGUAAGACUUCUAAGAAGUCUAGGUAGAAGAAACAGAACAAAAAGCCUACUACAGGGGGAAAACCAGUGGAAAAUACCAUAAAGUUUGUGCAACAGACCAUUUAGAUGGCAAGAUGCUUCAUCUGCAAUGGCCCUCAUCGAGCCAGAGACUGCUCUAAAAGAGAGAAACUCUCAACCCUUGUGACUGCAGACGACAAGUGAGAGUUUGACUUAGAGACCCCUCCUAGAGUCAACCCAUUGCAACUCCUGAACAGGAUUAAUGGUGAGACCCCAGUCCAAAAGUCCUUGAUGCAUGUCCAUGCAGUUGUAAAUGGUGUGCAGAUGAAGGCCUUGGUGGACAGUGGUGCCACUCACAACUUCGUGGCCACCAGAGAAGCAACCAGGUUGGGAUUGAAGUUGGAAAAGGAUACCAGUCAGAUCAAGGCAGUCAAUAGUAAAGCCCAGAAGAUCCAAGGUGUAGCCAAGAAUGUCCCCAUGCAAAUUGGUGACUGGAAGGGCACGUGCAACCUACUCUGUGUACCCUUAGAUGACUUUGACUUGAUCCUUGGUGUAGAUUUCCUCUUGAGGGUUAAGGUGGCCUUGAUCCCACAUCUUGGUCGACUGAUGGUGUUAGAAGAAAAGUAGCCUUGCUUCGUGAAGGCCUUAAGGGCAAAGGAUGGUGGCAAAGGUCAGCCUGAGAUGUUGUCUGCCAUCCAAUUGAAGAAGGGAUUGAAGAGGGGUCAGGAGACAUAUGUUACAGCCUUGAUCAAGAUCAAGGAGUGACAGUUUGUGGAAGUCCUUGAUUUAGUGGUCAAAAUCCUUAAGGAGUUCAGAGACGUGAUGUCUGCAGAACUUCCCAAGGAAUUGCCACCCCGACGGCCUAUUGACCACAAGAUUGAACUGCUGCCUGGAACAAAGGCCCCAGCUCAAGCCCCUUACAGGAUGUCUCCUACAGAGUUGUUGGAGUUACGUAAGCAAUUGAAGGAAUUGUUGGAUGCAGGCCUGAUCCAGCCCUCAAGGGCCCCAUAUGGUGCACCAGUGUUGUUCCAGAAUAAGCAUGAUGACUCUCUCUACAUGUAUGUGGAUUAUAGAGCUCUCAACAAGGUGACCAUCAAGAACAAGUACCCGAUCCCCUUGGCUGUUGAGCUGUUUGACAGACUGUCAAAAGCCUUUUACUUCACCAAGUGGACCUGAGAUCGGGCUACUGGCAAGUGCAAAUUGUAGAAAGAGAUGAGGGGAAGACCACCUGUGUAACUCGGUAUGGAUCAUACGAGUUUCUGGUAAUGCCCUUUGGACUGACUAAUGCCCCUACUACAUUCUGCAAUUUGAUGAAUGAUGUUUUGUUUGACUAUUUAGAUGCAUUUGUGGUAGUAUAUCUAGAUGAUAUUGUGGUUUACAAUAAAACCCUAACAGAACAUGAGAGACAUUUGAGAUUGGUGUUCCAGAGAUUGAGGGAGAAUAGGCUUUAUGUGAAGCCAGAGAAAUGUGAGUUUGCUCAGGAGGAGAUCACAUUUCUGGGACACAAGAUCAGUGCAGGCCUGAUCAGGAUGGAUAAAGGCAAGGUGCAAGCUAUUAUGGAGUGGCCAGUCCCUAGCAAAGUGACUGAGUUGCGGUCUUUCCUUAGCUUGGCCAAUUACUACAGAAGGUUCAUUAAGGGAUAUUCAAAGAGGGUGUCUCCCCUUACUGACCUAUUGAAGAAUGACAACCAAUGGGAUUGGAGCAUGCAGUGUCAGAUGGCUUUUGAAGGCUUGAAGGAAGCCAUCUCCACUGAGUCUGUGCUGUGGUUACCAGACUUGGACUUACCCUUUGAAGUCCAAAUAGAUGCCUCAGAUAGAGCUUUAGGUGGAGUCUUGGUGCAAGAAGGGCACCCUGUGGUGUUUGAAAGUAGGAAACUGAACAAUGCUGAGUAGAGGUACUCCACUCACGAGAAGGAGAUGACGACUGUGGUUCACUGCCUGCAAUAGUGGAGGCACUACUUAUUGGGAAGCAUUUUUACAGUGGUCACUGAUAAUGUGGCCAACACCUUCUUCAAAACUCAGAAGAAGCUGAGUCCCAGACAGGCACAAUGGCAGGAGUUCCUGGCCGACUUCAAAUUUGAAUGGCUGCAUCAACCAGGAAGACAUAACACUGUGGUUGAUGCCUUGAGUAGGAAAGAGGUGAUUGCCUACAUCAUGACCCUCUCAAAAGUCAUCUUUGACUUCAAUGAGAAAAUCAAGCAAGCUGUAGAGUAGAAUGCUGCAUAUAGUAGGCUGAAGCAAAAAGUUAAGGAGGGUGUGAUCAAGAGGUAUUGGCUAGAGGGAGACCUCCUUGUGGCAAAAGGAGGAAGAUGGUAUGUUCCUGCAGGCGGCCUAAGAAAGGAGUUAAUGCGGGAAACUCAUGAUGCGAAGUGGACAGGCCAUUUCGGUGAAGAGAGGACUCUGGCACUACUAGCUAGAUCCUACUACUGGCCUAAGAUGGGUGAGAAUGUUCAGGCAUGUGUGAAAUCCUGCCUGGUUUGUUAGAUGGACAAGACUGAGAGGAAGAAGGCUGUAGGGUUGCUGUAGCCCCUCCCCAUUCCAAAAAGACCUUGGGAGAGCAUUUCCAUGAAUUUUAUCACUGGAUUUCCGAAGGUUCGUGAUUUUAAGUCUAUCUUUGUUGUUGUAAAUAGAUUCUCUAAGUAUGUUGUGUUUAUACCUACCCCUGAUGCUUGCCCUGUGGAGGAAGCAGCUAAGUUGUUUUUCAGUAAUGUUGUCAAGCACUUUGGGUUGCCUAGGAACAUAGUCAUUGAUCGGGAUGCACGAUUCACAGGCCGAUUUUGGGUUGAGCUGUUCAAACUCUUGGGUUCAGAGUUGAAGUUUUCUACAACCAACCACUCUCAGACUGAUGGGAAGACCGAGAGGAUAAAUGCCUUGUUGGAAGAAUAUCUCAGGCAUUAUGUGAUAGCAACACAAAAGAAUUGGGUGGAUUUCUUAUAUAUUGCCCAGUUGUGCUAUAAUCUACAAAGGAGCUCAGCAACAAGGAUGAGUCCCUUUGAGCUGGCUAUUGGGGUGCAACCACGGAUGCCUUUGGAGGUGGCUAAGCAAAAAGCAGGAGAAAGUAGUCCUGCAGCUUACAAGAUGGUUUAGUUCCGACAGGAGAUGUUUGAUGAAGCCCGGGACAGUCUAGAGAAGGCAGCUAGACGAAUGAAGAAGUAUACGGAUUGUGAUCGUAGAUCCUUGGAAUUUCAGGUUAGGGACAAGGUCCUCCUGAAAUUGACUCCUCAGAUAUGGAAGAAAAUUAGCAGCAAGACAAGGUAGAGGGGUCUAAUUCCUAAGUAUGAUGGACCAUUCGAGGUGAUAAAACGGGUUGGGCAGGUGGCCUACAUGUUGACGUUGCCUGAGAGGCUCAAGCUUCACCCAACUUUCCAUGUUAGAUUUCUGAAGCCUUACCAUGAGGAUCUGGAUGCAGAGAUGGUGCAGACAAAGCGGGCCCCUCCCUUGGUCAUGAAGUAGUUUGAUCGAGAGAUAGAGAAGAUCUUGGAUCAUAGGACCAUGAGACAUAACAAAAAGAACCGGCGAACUGAUUUCUUGGUUCAGUGGAAAGGAACUUCAGAAGCAUAAGCUACUUGGGAGAGGGAUGUUACCUUGUGGCAAUUUGAGAUGGCGGUCUAGGCAUACUAGCAGACUAAGUCAACGAGGGCAUCGACUUCACAAGCGAGGGUAGGUUUGUCAGCUCCUUAGUCACUUGACUCUACCAUGGAGGAAAAGGCUUCAUGGGUAGGCCUUGCACCCAUGAGAGCCUAGGUAGAAAGCAAUGAAAGCCUGGAGAUUUGGUGGUUCAAACUCCAGGGGCUAAGUGAGGAGGCCGUGGGCGAGUCAAACGCGCACCACGAGCGGGCCAAACGUGCACCGUGCGCGCGCAUUGCGGGCGAGCCAGACAUGCACCGCGUACGCACCAGAUGGGCAUCGUGCGCGCAUUAGACUUAGGUGGUGUAGAUAAAGGCUGAGGGACUUUUGGAAUUUUAAUUUAUAUUUAUUUAUUAUUCCAUUAUGUCUCCUCAAACAUAUUGAUAUCUCUUCCAUAAACAAUGAAAACAGCCCGUAUUUGCCUUUAAGGGGGGGUAGGUGACUCAAAUGGGAGAGCACCAAGGGAAAGCCUUGAUCGCACCAAGGGGGCACCAUGGCACCAAGGUGACUCCUAGAGUCUUCAUAGGGAUGCCUUCUCGGGAAGUUAGGCUUACAUUAGUUGAAGAUACAUUUAGCAAAUUUAUAUGCUGGUGGAGUGGACAAGUUAUCAUAUGAGGGUUAGGUAGCAUUUAUUGAGAAUCAUUUGGAAGAUAUCUUUGAGUCCGCAGAUAAACCUCUGGAAGGAAGAUGUUGGUGAUUGUCUAUCGAGGAUCCUUUUCAAUGCUUGUCAAUGUGUAUUAAUCUAUCGGAUGCAUUAAGAAGCUCCCCUCCAAAGACUACCAUUUCACACAUGCCUGUCCACCAGGUACUUCAUUCUUAGCAUGGUCACAUUCAAACUGAGAAAUGUUUACCGAGUGAAAUCAAAUUAAUCCCACCUCCUCCCUAGUCCACCCAACCCCACAAUAAAAAAGAAAUCUCAAAACUAGCUUUUAUUGGAAUUGUGUUCUAUGCAUAGGCAUAUCAUUUGUUGCCCUGUGUAUUUUGUAUAAACUCCUCCAAGCAUAUAGCUCCUCUGCAUUUACACAUGGAAAAUGACAGUCACAUGAUUGUACAUAUCCUUCAGAGUACCCCAUUUGUUACUCCAUUAUUAGGAGCAAAAAUAAUGGAUUGACCACUUCUUUCAUAGCCCUGUCUUAUGUUUGUGCUAUCCUACUAUAGUACGCUUGAGAGGAUAACAGACAUUUCCCUGACUUUACUUUUGUUUUCAUAUUAAAUGCUUAGAUUCAGGUCAUUUGGUUAUCCAAAACUUAAUCUAUGAUUGUAUUGUUCCAUCUUUUUCAAGGAUGGCUCUUGCAAUGGCUUACAACACCAUGCUGCCCUUGGAAGGGACAAGGUAGUGGAAUUUUCUAUUUUUGGUUGAUUGUUGUGGAAUUCUGAUUAUGUGAUAUGGAAGCAUGGUUUUUGAUUAGUUAGACAGUUUUUCACUUUUUUUUUUGCUUUGAGGCUAAAUGUGUCUCAGCUUUGAUCUUCUCUCUUUUUGAUAGAAAAAAGGAACUUUGUUAAGGAAAUAUGGUAAAAGGAUAAGGAGUUGGAAAUUGAAACCCAAGAAAGAAACCAAACUUUGUUUGAGUUUAGUGCAGUUUAUUUAAUUUGAUUUUUCAAGUAAUUUCAAAGUUUGGUUGUUUCAAGAAAGGGGAUUAUCAUCUGUAUUUGGCGAGUUCAAAGGCUAGGGUAGCAAAUCUGUCUCUAAAGAGUGAAUUUUAGUUAGACCUUAGUAUUGGAGGAGAUAAAUUUUUAUUUAUUUAUUGAAGUUUCCUUGUUCUUUGGCAAUAGAACUUUGUAUUGGGGAUUAUUAUUUGAUUAUGCAGUUUGGAUACAUAUACAUAUUUGGAUUAUGCAAUAUUGGAAAUUCUAAUUUUGUUGCUUCAACUCCCUAUCAAAAAAAAUAAUUUUGUUGCUUCAACUAAAGUUUUAUAUAUGUAAUAGAAAAUAUAUACCGGAAAAAGUGGUACCUCUUCAAUUUUGAAAUGAGAAUUUUAAUUAAAAUAUUUGAAAAUAUAUAUAUUCAAGACUUCAGCUGUGGCGAAAUAUAAGUUGUGUCCACUUAAUCUAUGGCAGCGGAUAAGGAAAAGUGGCAUCCAUAUGAAGCCCUAUAAUUGCAGCUGACAAAAGGUCAUGUCUAUAAUACUAUGUAGUAUUAAAUUCUAUAGAUAUCACACCUUCAUAGCAGCAACUAUCAGCUCUCCCAACCACAUAUAGAGCUUUUAGUUGAGGAAAAAACAUGAGCACAGGGAUAGCUUCACAACUUCUUGUGUUUUUACUGGUGGCUUCAACUAUAGGAUUUAUUUGCAUUCCUAUGGCCUUCGCAGCUAUGAACUUAACUUCUUGUAGUGUGUAACACUCUCGCCUCGUGUAUGAUUGCAUGAACUUGCAACACAUGUGCUGCACAACUCUUUGUUAAUGGUUAUAAAAAAUAGUUUUAAUUUCUAUUUUUGAGAAUUGAAAAUAAGAAAAUCUUGUUUGACAAUAAGAAAAUAGUAAACAAUUUUUUUAUUUUUAAAAACAGAAAAGUUUUUGUUCUUAAAAAAAAUGUUUUAUGAGAACAUAUUUUAGUUGUUUUUAAUUGUUUUCUAGGAUUAUUUUAAAAAUAAUAAUAAUAAGAUUAAUAUGAAGAAUAAUUAAAAAUAAAAUGCUACAUACAAAACUUAUUUUUUUUGAAAAAUAUUUAAAUGUAAAAAAUAAGUUAAAAAUAUUUCAAAUUCUCAAACAAGCUUUAUUUUAUUUUUUUUAGAAUGGUUUUCAAAAUCAUUUUCUAACUAAUUUAAAGUAUACUUGAUAGUGAUUUUAUGAAGCGUUUUUUAAUUUUUUUUUAAUACUUGAAAGAUAAAAAAUUUUAAGUGUUAAAAAGAUUAGAAACCAUCCUAAAAUCACUACUAAAUAGACUCUAAUUCUCCAUUUUAGAGGCUUGUAAGGGCUUUUAUAAUUUGCUUACCAAUCAUGUUAGACAUGUGGUAACCAUGUUAUGAGAUUUUGGGUUAGCAUCGGCUAGUUUGUACUUGUAUGUACUUAAUUUUUGUUUUUAAAAAUAAAAAAUGAAACUAACGUCGAUAUAAAAUAUAAAAACUUUUAGAAACUUACGUUACUUCAAAUUUCAAAUUUUUUUAUAGUGAAUUUUAAAGAUAUAAGGUGAGUUUAUACUUUUGAUAUAAAAAUUUCUAUUUUUUAUAUAAAAAAAUAUUACUAUUUUUUGUUGUAAAAAAAAGUCAAUAUAUAAAUAAUGAAAGUUGAAAGAACAUUUUUAAUGCAUAGAUUAUCUCAAGGGUUCAAAUGUGGGCUAAGUCUAAAACUUAAUAUUAAAUCUUCUCUCAUUCAAAUAAUAGUAUUUAUAAAUAAUAGAAUAUCCUAAAUAAAUAUAGUUAUGGACAAAUAUUUCAAACAGGUUUCUCAAAUAUUAGUAUCAAAAGAAAAUUUCAUUAACCAUAACAAGCUCCCUGUUUCAAUCUAAAACAUGUAAAUAAACAUAAUUAAUUUUAAUUUAACAAGAUUUAGAUUUAUAUUAUGGACAAUAUAGUAAACCUAAAAGAUGAUCAUAAGUUUCUUAGUUCAUGACUUCAACUAAUAGAAAAAAUAUUUACAAGCUCAAUUUUGUUGGAAUUUUAUUCAAUUCAUUCUAGUUUGAGACUUUGUAUAUUUUCCUGUAACUUACCCUCCAUUAAAGAUACAAAAUUAUUUAGAGUUAACUAGAGAUCGGAUAGCACAAGUACAAAGAGUUAUGAAAAGAAUAAUAACUUUUAAUUGAAAAAGAUUUAGGAGAUCGAGUGCUCAAGCACUUGAAUCUAGCUUUCAUGGCUUAGAGCACUCAAGUAUUGCUAGGAAGUACCCAAUAGCAAGCAAUCAAGUGCACUUGCCUCGUGCUUGAGUACUCAAAAGUGGGGUUUCCAAAAAAUAAGUUUGCAUACAACACUCCUUGAGAAAAACAAUGAUCGCAUACAUGUAUAUGAUCCAUGGUUUAAGUAAAACAUUUCUUAUAUUUAUAAUAAAUUUAUUUUAGAAUGUUGUUAUUAUAUUUGUGAAACCAAGGUUUGGUUAAUCUUGAUUUUGAUGAUAACAAAACAAGGUUUAGAACUAAUGACUACAUUUUAAGUGUGAUUAGGCAAGAUGACUUCUAAAGUGGAAAUCCAAAGACAAAUCAAGUCAAGGAGAAAUCAUGAAGAAGAAGACCACCUCAAAGAGAAGAGUUUUUCAAGACCAAAGCUUCUUAAGUCUCUUUGUAAGGUUGUUGGUGCACUAGGAUUUCCAUGCAUUAUUUUCCUUACUUAUGCACCUAAAUCAUCCAAGAGUUAUUUUGUUUUAAAUAUUUUUAAAAUUGGAUGAUUUCAUGUUUUCAACUAAAACCUUGUGUUAAAUGUUGUUUCAAACUUGUUUAAAAGGUUAUAAAUUGGAAAAGUUGGUUGUUGAGCAAAAAACGGCUCAAUUGCCUAAAUCGGGUGAACCGUAUGAACAGUAACCGGUCGACCCCUAGCUCAACCGGUUGAGGGUAUGAACAGUAAUCGGUUGACCCAUGAACGGUACCCGGUCGACCGGUACAAAAUUUUCUCUCUCUUCCAGAAUGCUUGUUCAACCGGUUAAGGUUGAACCCUAACCGGUUGAGGUCCGGUCGAGGUCCGGUCGAGGCCUAACGGUCACCUGCCAACAUUAAAUGCUAACGGCUAGUCAACCAGUCGACCCAUAUCUCAACCGGUCGAACCUCCAACGGCUAGUUUAGCUUUUUUCUUCUAUAAAAAGGCUCCAAUCUUCAUUGUUUCAUGAGCUUAACCUUCCCAAAUCAUUCUUGAUUAUAUUUGAGCCUUGGAAGAGUGUUUUUGAGUGCACCAUUGUUUCAUAACUUGCAUAUCUUUAGUGCACCAUUCAAUCCUAGUUUUUCUUGUAUCAUUUGAGCUUAAAGCUAAUACUAGGAUUUUGUGAGAUCAAUCAUUUGUAAACCUUGAGAGGAAGUUUCAAGAAAGGGAUAUCUCUUGAGAAUUGUAAAGGGUGUUUGGAAGCCAAAAGUCCAAGAGGGUGAAUUGGAACCAUAAUCCAAUUGUAAAGAGAUUGAAACCUUGGUUGAAGCUUCAAGAUAGUGGAACCCUCACUCGGUUAGGAGGUUGAGGAGAGUGGACGUAGGCAAGGAAGUGUCGAACCACUAUAAACUCUCGUGUUUGCACUCUCUCUUCCCUAACUCUUUUAAUUUAUAUGCAAUUGUCUUUAUUUUGCUUAUCAUAUACUUGCAUAUAAAUUGUCUCUUAUUUUUACUUAGUUUAAAUUUGAAAAAGAGACCAUCACCCUAUUCACCCCCCCUCUAGGGUGACUACCAUAGGUUGGAUUAGCCUCAAAUUCCUAACAAUAUUAUACCAAUGUUGUUAGGUCAUAUUUUGUUGAAUCAAAUGAAGAGAAAAUAUAUUAUUUGACAAAUAUUUUACAAUUAGAGGCAAGGUUUGAAAUAUCAGUAAAUACAAAUAUAUUAGUACUUAGAUUUUACGGUUAUAUCGAAAAUAUUGAAUAAAUAUCGGUGAACAUUUUGACAAAAAUAUAGAUCUUGUUUUAAAAUUCAUGAAAAUACUUAAAAAAAACUUUCAAAAAAAUGAUAAAAUAAAGAAUAAUAUAUAUUAAAGUUAUUUUGUAUGCUUAAAUUCUUUUAAUAUAUUCGUAUUUAUUUAUUUUUAAAUUUUAAAAAUACUUUUAUUGAAAGAUGUUUUAUUACAUUUUAAAUAAAAAAUUAAAUUGAUUUAUAUAAAAUAUCCAAAACCAUUACCCGAUAAAGAUGUCUUUUGUGUGGGGAAGUAUUCGUUGCCAUCCAUGCAAAUCAAACCCACCUUUGAUCUUUAUUCACAAUUUCAUAUAUCAUAUAUAUGUCUACUAAACUUAUGUAUGUUUAUAGCUAUAUAUAUAUAUGGGUUUGUACAUGUGGAUGUGUGAAUGAAAAGUUGGAAAAUAGUCUCUAUUGUUCUUUAUCGAAAUGAUAGCUAGGGUUUCUAUUCGUCUCUCAUUCUCUGUAUUGUUUUGUUUCUCUUUCUUGGGGACUUACCUUUGUUUGUGAAUCGGAACCUAUGCUCAAUCAGCUUAAGAAUUACCCAGUAGUUUGUUUGAAUCAGGGGGAGUUUGGGUGGGAGAGUCUUAAGGUUUGUGAUUUGGGGGGUUUUGGUGUUGUGGGAGCUGAUUGGUGUCUGGGUUGGGAGGAAUCUAGGGUUUGUGAUAUGGGGUUUUGGUGUGGUUGAGGUGGGGAGGGAAAGAUUGAAUCUUGGGGAUUGUUUUUGUUGGUGGGGUUUGGAAGAUGGUGGAGAAUCGUGGAUCAGGUGUCGUCUGAUCGCCGCUUUUCUGGUGGCAAGCAACCAUCCGAUUGGAGGGGUGGGGGCUUUUGUAUGGAAACUCGGAGCCCCAAGUGGGCGGAGGCGUCCUCAACAGCCCGUUCUUCUGGACCCACUACCCGGUCAACCAAGCGAUCUCGUAUCUCCUUUUCUUCUUCAAUGAUCCCAAUUUCAUCGAACCCCAACGCCCAUGCUACAGUGAAAAAUUAAUUUUGAGGGGAGUGGAGCUACACUUUGACCGAAGCCAACGUUGACCGAUAGAAAUAUCGGUAAAUUUCCCAACAAAUCGGCAAAAACCGAUAUUUCGGCGACAAUUUCAGAAAAAGAGCAAAAUUCCUUCCAAUUGAUUAUCUGUCCUCAAUAUCGUAUCGAGCUUCACCGAUAACCGAAAUAUCGGAGAAAUUUCGUCGAUAAAAAAGACAUUUCAAUCACUGACUAGAGGUGAUGAACACUGAUGUUAGUAAUUAGGUUUGCCAUAUUUUUCAAUAAUGUACAAUUAGCUCAAUCACUUGAAGCUUAUACCAAAAAUAUAUUUGAAUCAAUAAUGGACAAAAAUUUCUGACUGGUACUUAGUGAUAAUCAACUACCAAAUUAUCAUAAACAUAGAAGUUGAAAGGAUAAUUUUAAGGCACAGAUGACUCUAAAAUAUCAAAACUAGGCUGAGGUGGUGUUUGUUUUUUUACUUAAUUCUAAAUAGAACCUUAAUACUUAAUAGUGUUAAAUAUUAGGUUGUUUGAUUUUGUAAUAUUUUAUUUCUAUUAAGUAUUAAAAAGUAAAGAAAAAUCAAUAUGUUAUUUUUUCCGUUUAGAAAAAACUAUAUAUUUUAGCUUUUUCUAUUUAGUAAAAAGUCUAUAAGUCAUGAAAAAGUAGAAAAACAAACAACCUAAAUUCUGAAAACAAAUUGCUUUCAGCAAAAAACAAACACCAUCUGAGUAUCCAACUUAAUAUUACAACUUUUCUUACUUAAAUGACAGUUUACAAAUAACAAACCUACCUAAAGAAAAAUAAUUGCUUGCCAACAUUUCAAAGAUAAGUUCUCAAACACUCGUGCCAAAGAAAUCUUCAUUACCACUAAGAAUUCAUCAUUGUAUUCAAUCUGAAACAAGUAAAUACACAUAAUUAGCUUCAAUUUAAGCAACAUUUAGAUUUUCAUCAUGGAAUAUAAAUAGCAUGUUCAUUAUAUAAUUAAUUAAUUAAUUAACAACAUAAUAUUAACAAACUUGGUUAUAGAGACUAUUUAAAUUCUUAUAGUUUUCAUACUUAUGGUAUUAACCAUACUCAAAUGAGUAUAUUUGUCAAUAAAUUUAGAGUUUCAACUAACGACCUAUAACAAUCUAUAACCUUAGCUGCUUGUUUGUAUAUUUUUUGGAAUUCAACCUUGGAAAAAAUUUCAUGUAUCUUAAUCUUUCCUAUGAAAAUCGCAUUCUAUAACUUCAAAGAGUUGAACCCAAUUAUAAACUUCCUCAAUCCUCUUUCUAAUGACUCAAACUAAGAAAUUGAUUACCCUAUGCAUUGUAUUUAGGAACUUAAUUGUAGUAAGGAAAGAGAAACAACUUAUAUUCAUAUGCAUGGUUGAAGGGUCUAAAAAUAUGCCCCUUACUAUAACAUGCUUUGAACAUUUAAAGCAAUAUACUUUUAGUAAAAUCUAAGUCCAACAAGACUACAAUUCAAUUUCUUUUGUAAAUUUAAAUCAUUAUUUCCAAUUCAAGAAUUUAAGAAAUCAUAUAAUAAAAUAUAAGUAUAAAAUGAUUAAUAGCUAACAAAUAUGUACCUAAACGGAGAUGACCUUACAUUACAUUGUAAUGAAAUUCAUCUUACCUUCUUUUUGUAUGAUGUUUGUUAUUUUGAAACCUUAUCACCCUCUGCAAAAGAGCUGAAUUCAUUGUGAUGAUAAUCAUAACACACCAAAAAUACAAUGAAAUUAAAAAACAAACAAGGAAGAAAAAAAGAAGGAAAAAGAAUGGGAAGUGAUGUAAGAUAUUUCACCUUUUUAGCCAUGAACUCCAUUUGCUUCCAUCUUCCUUUUCAGACAAGCCGCAUUCACUGCAGUGAAGACAUAUAGCCUAUCUCUGGUUUCAUCAAUGAACCGGAAAUAUGCCUGCCUCCAAGACUUCUUUAGAACCAAACUGCCACAUACAGCCCAAAAUCCCACCGGAAAGCCCAAUCCCAUGCUUAUGAAGAACCAUGACAUGUCCCAUUCAUCUUCAUCUUCCUCCUCAUCUUUGUGAUCUUGAUCAUUUAAAGUGGAGCAGUUGGUGGAGCAGUUGGUUGACAAUGGAGGCCCAUAAAGUCCCAGGUUCGCCUCAUAAAUGGAUGGAUCGUUGAAUGUCGAGAACUGGUUGGUUGUUGGAAUUGGUCCUGACAGGCGGUUAUGCGAUAGGUUCAAAUGGUUCAAUGAGGUUAUAGAAGACAUGCUCGGAGGAAUUGGGCCUGACAGGCAAUUGCAUGAGAGGUCAAGAGUUUCUAGCCCUUGCAUGGCUCCAAUCUUCUCAGGUAUCUUUCCAGUCAACUGGUUUCGGGACAAAUUCAAGGUACCCAGGGUCGAGAGAUUUGUGAUCUCUUUUGGGAUCUCUCCCCAAAUGUUAUUGCUAGAAAGAUCUAUCAACUUCACAAUUGGCAAUAUGCUAUCAAAUUCCAUAUUUUGUCCCUUUACAACUAGCUCCAUGCGCUCCGAAUAGGCGGCACGACCACUGGGGUCGUCAAAAUUUUUGUCUAAUAAGGUCACAAAACUUAAAGCAGUUAAAUUGCCUACGCAUUGUGGGAUGGAUCCUGAUAAAUUGUUCACUGCAAGAUCCAAAAUGUGGAGAUCAGAAAGCCAACACAAUUGCUCAGGAAUAUCUCCUGUCAACAUAUUGCCCCGUAGACGCAGCUGCUCCAGUGUUGGCAUUCUUUCUCCAAUCCAUUUGGGUAUCUCCAAUCCAGUGUAGACAAGCUUGUGCAGUUUUGUAAACUUGGAGCGAGUUCCCCAGUAAGAUUGUUGUCACCCAAUAUCAACUGAGUAAGUGAAGAUUUUGAACACAUCCAACUCGGAAUCCCACCAGACAGUUUGUUCUUGGAUAGAUCUAUGGUCCUAAGCCUGUGCAAAUCAUUCCAAUUCUUUGGAAUCUUUCCAGAUAAAUGAUUGUUUGAGAGAUCAAUUACUUCCAAAUCCUUCAGUUUACUAAUUGAUGAAGGAAUGCUGCCAUUUAACAAGUUACAAGAAACAUCAAGGAUUUCCAAGCUUGAUAAUUCCCCGAUGUUCAAGGGAAUUGGACCUGAAAAUGAAUUGUUUCCCAAAUACAAAGAUCCCACAUUAAGUCGAAGUGGGAGUGGGCCCCCCAAGCGGUUGAAACUUAAAUCCACCAAUGCGUCUUGGCUAAAGGAUGAUGAGUUGGGAAGCGUUCCAUACAAUUGGUUUCUAGAAAGAUCUAACCACGAAAAAUCUUGUUUCCAAAGCAACGCGGCUUCAUUUUUUAACUAAAGCCGCGAUUGGCAACCGCGGCUUUAGUUCAUUUUUAUUUAAAUUUAAAAUUUAAUUAAAAAAUUAUUAAAUUACAAUUUAUGAAUGAAAUUUAAAAAUAUACUUAAAUAAUAAAUUAUUUAUAUUUAAAUUUAAAAUUCUAGUAUUACUUCAACAAACAUAAAUUGAUAAAUAGAAGAUAUUAUAAAUGAAUAUUUUAUUUAUUAAUAAAUUAAUAAUCUUAAAAUAAUAAAUUUAUAUAAUAUAUAAAUAAUAUAUAAAAUUGUAUAAUUUAUUAAUUUAAGAUAUUUAAUUUGUUAAUUUUUAAGAUAUUAAUUUAUUUAUAUUAUGAUAAAUUUAUCUUUAUCGAAAUAAUAGUAUAGUAGUUAAUAACUGAGAUUUCAAUUAUAAUAUUUUUUUUACUUUCAAAUUUAAUUAAAAACUAUUGAAUUACAAUUUAUGAUUGAAAUUUUAAAAAUAUACUUAAAUAAAAAAUUAUUUAUAUUUAAACUUAAAAAUCUAGUAUUAUUUCAACAAACAUAAAUUGAUAAAUAGAAGAUAUUAUAAAUGAAUAUUUGAUUUAUUAAUAAAUUAAUAAUCUUAAAAUAAUAAAUUUAUAUAACAUAUAAAUAAUAUAUAAAAUUGUAUAAUUUAUUAAUUUAAGAUAUUUAAUUUGUUAAUUUUUAAGAUAUUAAUUUAUUUAUAUUAUGAUAAAUUUAUCUUUCUCGAAAUAAUAGUAUAGUAGUUAAUAACUGAGAUUUUAAUUAUAAUAUUUUUUUUACUUUCAAAUUUAAUUAAAAACUAUUAAAUGACAAUUUAUGAUUGAAAUUUUAAAAAUAUACUUAAAUAAAAAAUUAUUUAUAUUUAAACUUAAAAAUCUAGUAUUAUUUCAACAAACAUAAAUUGAUAAAUAAAAGAUAUUAUAAAUGAAUAUUUGAUUUAUUAAUAAAUUAAUAAUCUUAAAAUAAUAAAUUUAUAUAACAUAUAAAUAAUAUAUAAAAUUGUAUAAUUUAUUAAUUUAAGAUAUUUAAUUUGUUAAUUUUUAAGAUAUUAAUUUAUUUGUAUUAUGACAAAUUUAUCUUUAACAAAAUAAUAACAUACUCUUAAGCCGUAGUUGUCAUAUAUAGAUUUUUUUACAAAAUUAGUUAAUGAAAUUAAUUACAAAAAGUCUACUACAAAAUGUAAUUUUUAAUAGUUUAAUUAAAGUCACAAAAAAUAUCCACUAAACAUUAAUAUAGUGGAAAAUAAAAAACAUAUAUAAUCUCACAUGCCUCCACAAAGAGAGAACCUAUGUGUAAUACUCUCUUCCUUUUUGGACGCCCCUCUCUAACUGUAGCAGGUACUGCAUGUGACACAUGAAUAACAUCUGUCUGUGAUGGGGCUAGAGCUGGAAAUGGAGGUGGUGGUGGAGGUAGCAAUCUAGGUCGACGUAAGCCCCGCCUACCCCUCGGAAUGACUGGCGGUAAAUCUAGCUGAGUAGUCCGCCUAUUUGAUUAUAGAAAACCAUCCUAGUGUUGUCAAAUAUCAAGCAAUCAAUUACACACAAAAUGUAAUCACAGCAUUCAAAAGAUCACCAACCAAAUCACAAAUGAAAUUUAAUGUCAAUGAAAGUACGUAUUUUCAUCUUUUGAAUGGCUCAUAAUGAUCAUGAUGAUACAAUAAGUUUCUUGAUGAACUUAACACUAUCAAAGAGUUCUAAGCAGGAUGAAAAAUAAAUAAAAAGUGAAACCAUGACUAGUUAGCAACUUAGCUUACCUCAAGUGAAUCAAGAUGUUCCAAGGUUUCAAUAGUUAUAUUAUUAUCAUCCAUUAUUAAGUAUUUACUUUGACUUUUCCAAUCAAUAUAAAAAACAAACAAUAAAACAACUAUUCCAAUUCCAAAGUUUCAAAUUUCAAACCAACCAACUACCCUUUUGAUUUGAAUAAUUAACAAUUACUAGGGUGGGUCCCCUUUCUUAUUCAAAAGCCAACAAUUAUCUAAUUGAAUUUUUUUUUUUUGAUAAAUAAAGAGAAAUUUUUCUAAUUGAAAUUUGAUAAUUGAUUAAUGAACAUCAUGCAUAACUGUGGUAUUAUGUUGACUUGUUAUGAAAUUAAAUAAUAUUUUUUAACAAAAACAAGAUAUUAAGUAAAUUAGCAAUUGAAAAUAUGAAAAUAAAAAUAAAUAACACUAUAUUUUAUAAAAUUUAUUUAAAAGUGAAGUAUUUAAAUAUGAUAUAUUUAUAAAAAUGACUCUACUACACCUUCAAACUUUAAUUCUUAUAUUCAUUUAUUCAUUUAAAUAUUCAAAUAUAUAAAUAUUUUAUAAAUUUAGUAAUUUACUUAAUAUCAAUAGGAAAAUUUAGUAAUAUUAAUAUAAAUUUAGUAAAUUCAGUUAAUUCCCUAGGAAAAGUGAUAAGCUGAUGUACCAAUACCAAAGCAAGCCCAUAAUAAUAAUUCCACAGGAAAAUUUCAUAAUAAUAAUAUGAUAAAAUUAUUUUUAUUAAUAUCUUUUUUAUUUAAUCUUUAAUUUUAUUAAAAAUUAUAAUAUAUUCUAUUAAGAUGAGAUAAAAUUGUUCUCAUGAUUUGUUUUUUUUUUUUUUAACUCUAUUAAAUCUAAAAAUCAAAAGGCUACCCACUUCUCUCACUCGGGCAUGAAGAACCCCUUUUCUGAAGUUGCCCUCCAGCCGGGAGAAUCCCUAAAAAAGCCCUUCUCUCACUCUGCCACUCUCAAUCCUCGCAGGUACUAAUCUAAUCAUAUUAUUAUUAUUAUUAUUUGCAACCCCCCUUUGAUUCCCAAUAAAAUCCAUGCCCCAUUCGAUUUCCGCGAAAAUUCAUCCUCGUUUGAUUUCCGAGAAAAUCCAUGCAAAACCCCCAAGGAAAACCAAAAAAAUUGCUUUUCUUUUGCUCUCUGUGUUUUUUGGAUCCGUUUUAGGGGUCUCUUUGCUGUUGUGCCAUUGGAUUUAAAUUUCAAGAACCCUAAAUCAAAACUGAGAAACGGGAAAAAUCAAGAAUUUUUUUCUUUCUGUUUUCAUUCUCGUUUCCCACUUUUCUCAGCAUCCAACGGGAAAAAUAAAAAUACUAACAACACAUGAUAAAAAAAAGCUCAGAUCUAAAAAAAAUUAACACUAACCUCAACCUCCAACGUCUCCCUCAGUGGCCCACUGGUGGGGCUAGGAUUUUUAAGGAAAAAUGAGCACGGGCUAGGAAUAGAGAGUAGCUCGGAUGGAAGUUGUAGCUCCAACGUCUCCCUCAGUGGCCCAUUGAUGGGGCUAGGGUUUUUAAUGAAAAAACCACACGCAGAGCACAGGGGAAGAGAGCAACUCGGAUGGAAGUUUGGGAUUGGGAAAGAAAAAAUGCAGCUGAAGUUUGGGAAAGUAAAAAAUAAAAGGAAUAAAAAAUUACUUUGUAUGCGGACUCAAAAUGGUUAUUUUGAACAAUUGUUUGAAAAGUAGGUCAUUCUGAACAUUAUGUUUCAGCGGAAGGCUAUUUUGACCCAUUAUUCUUGGUUGAACCAUGUAGAUCUUAUGUCAAAGGAAAUUGGGCUGUCGGGAAGCCAUCUUCCUCUGUGUUGGUCACCGUGCCUAGAAGUGGAGAUAGUUGAGUCGAUUGUAUCGACCAUGGCCUAAAUGAAGCUGAUCCUACAGCGUGAACCAUUAGUUACAGGGAAGAGCAAUGGCAAAUGGAAAGCAGUACCGUCUUAAUCCACAUGCACAAGAACCAUGCAAGUGUGACCGUCCAUCAUUUCUAUACCAUUAUCUCACAACACCCCCCCCCCCCAUGCAUUUCAUCAUCAUCAUACCCAUGUAGCCUACCUACCAUCCCAUUUCGUUUUUCAUCUACCAUCUACUUCCUACUCGUUUAUCUCUCUACACCACAUAUCUAUGUACCCCAUCUAUCUUUUCAAACCUCUCUCCAAUCAUACCCUAUACCCGCUCUCUUUGCCUCAUUUCUCCUUCCCCAUCUGCAUGUCUAUAUUUCACACCCGUUUACUUUAUCACUCCAUCAUCACAUCUCCUAUACCCAUCGCUUGUAUACGUUCACAUCCAUCCCAUUUCACCAUAUCCAUCUACCCGUAAAUCCCAUUCCAUAAUAGCCAAUUUUCACUCCUUUAUUAUCCUUCAAUACCCACUGUUUGUCCCCCACCGACUUGAUUCCUAUGCUUACCCAGGAGCAUGCAACUACUUUUCUUCACAGCCACCACCAUUGCCAGGCUGCUCAGCAACUGUUGAACAACACUUUCAACGAGGAACUAUCCAGCUACCAGCGAAGCUUUCUCAGAAGCACCAUCAACUCUGGGAAAAUCAAUCAGCACAGAAUGUUUCAAUUGUGGACUGUUAUUAGUCAGUUGCAAUCAGAAUUGGCUGAUUAUAAGAGCCAUUUAUGGAAGUUAGAAGCAGAGGCGUCAUCUGCAAAAGUGACAAGGACAGAGUCUCACUCUCCCUUUCUUUCUCUAUCAAGAAAUCACGGGUUGAGAAGAGGUGAAGCAUGGGAUCAUUGGCGAAGAAGGGUUUGCAGCAGUACCUUUGACAACUUCAGUGUCACCCUUUGAGAACUAAGACCAUUAUAGCGGCUAUGUUGUCAGUUGUCAGUGACAUAGUUUCUCCAAAGCUAUCUGGUAUGCAGAAACUUCAACUGAAGCGUCUUCUUCUCAAAGUGCUUCUUGGAUCUGGUUAUCUUAGGCCCUUCGGACAUUUUCUGCAUACACUAUUGGAUAGGCUUUUUAAAGGGAAGAAAGAUUCAAAGACAGUGGCCAAGAAGGUGGUCCUCGAACAGUUGACUACUUCAACUUGGAACAACUUUGUAUUCAUGAUGGAGAAGUGGUUGGAGUUGUCAGUGAUUAAAAUAAAGGUGUUUUCAAUAAUAAGUGGGCUUGGCACGAAGCAGACAUGAAUAGGGUUGUUGAUGACCUGGUUGCUUUCUCUUCAUCCUACAGUACAAAUGGCUUGGCUUCGCCUAUUGCCGUUUCCUUUUGCUCUCCGUUUGAUACAUUGGAGGCAGACCACCAACCUUUUGGUUAUAUCAUACCAGGAAACGAAGGACCUGGUAAGGUGCUGCAUUCUUCUUCAGCAUCGGCAGAUACAUUGUCAGAGAAGAAAGUUUCUGGAUCUUUGGCAAAUUUACCUGUUAAUGUUGAAGGGAAAUCAGGAGAUCCACUUCCUUACUCCCUCUUGCCACCAAUUAUCAUUCCCAAUAUUAGCUAUAGUUUGAGAUGGUAAUGGUACCCCAUCACCCUCUUCAAUGAGCUCCACCAUCUUAAUUCAGAGGAAGGCAUGAUAGAGAUCUUGAAGGAGAAGGGGAAGGAAUUAUUGGUGCUGCGGGGACUGCUUGCCUUGGAGAUAAUUCUGUAGAGUGCUGUCAAUGGCGAUCUACACUGCGCUGUUAGUGGCUUUCUCAUCGCUAUUUCUGUAACAGCUGGAGUACAAAAGAGGUGGAGAAUGCUAGUAACCAUCAUGAAGCUUUCGAUACAUAUGGCUUUGAAGGAGACUCACCUUCGGGCUAUGCACAGAUGCAGUUGAUGAGCUAUUGGAAUGCAACUCUUGCUUUGCCAAUUGUACUAACUUGCUUGAAACAAAGUGGCGAGCGAGAGAACCACCCUGUUUUAUCAGCUGUCACUGUUUCUGCUGCUCAAAUAAUAAAUCCUUGUCUCCACAUUGAGGCUUUACAAAGUUAUGUGGGACCCUCAUGACAAUAGCUUCCAAAUCGAAAAUCCCAAGAUAUGAGGCACUAAUGCAACAAAAUGCUGCAAUAUCUGAGCGUGGUAAUGCUUUUCUGGAAUGCGACAAUGCUAUUGCUGCCCUUCGAUCUUUAGAAAGUGUCGUCUCAAUUCCACGUGGAACGAAAUGCAUGGAUCACCUCCCAAGUCACGCAGCUAAUGGAGGGGUGGAACUUGUAACUGACAGACAAGAGAAAACUCCUGCCAAAGCAGAAACUGCAGUCCUGUUUGAGGAUCUUCGAGAGCUCGGUAUUCUUAUCAGAAAGGGAGAACUCCAUGGAAACGUCUUCAGAAUAAAGCCACCUAUGUGUUUCUGCAAAGAUGAUGCUGAUUUCCUUGUUGAUGCUUUAGAUUGCAGCGUAUCAAAAUUGUGAGGAUCAAAUCUUCCAAGAGCUGGAGGUGAAGUCUUCACGCCCUUUGGCACCCUUACAUCCCUUCUUUAAUUUCGAAAAUAACUUUUUCUAAAUCCCUCUUUUCAAAUAAUUUUCUAAAUUUAAUUUGUUUUAAAAUAAUUUCAGACUCUUUUAUAUUUCCUCCUUAGCAUUAUUUUUAGGUUCCAAAAAUCCAUUUUUUUUAAUAAAAUUCUGCUACCAUUUUUCUUCAUGGCGAGCAAUUUUCACAUUUUCUCUAUUCUUAGAAGGUUUUGAGAUAAGCAAGGAUUCAAUUUUGUAAUUCCAAAAUAAUGGGGUUAUUGGAAUUAAUUCAUGCAAAAUAAAUGGGCUUUGGUGGGGGCCCCACAUAAGUGACUUUAUAAUUGAUUUAUGGAUUGAUUGAUUUAAUUGUCCCGCAUGAUUGAUUUUAUUCUACUCUAUAACAUGCUCGAAAUUAUUUCUUAAUUGUGCACUAACCUCGCUUUUUGAUAGCAUAUUAUGGCUCGUCGCCCAGGUACGUAUCUAUUACCCUUCUAGUCUUUCUAUAUGCAUGCUCUAACUCUCAUACGUGCAUCAUCGGUCUGGGUAUUCAUUGAUUUACGCAUCAAUUGCCACAUCAGCUUUAUUUUAUUAGUAGAGACCCGACUUUAGGGGCUUAAAAGGGUGUUACGAUCUUUACCGUACCUUCCCGAUAAGUAACCUGACCCCCGAGCCCGAUCCGGUUUCUCACAGACCACCUUUUCCUAAAUAAGGAGUCACAUUUAGGGUUUUUCUUUCUUAUUUUGUUUACCCUUUUAAAAAUAAAAUAAAAAUAAGUGGACUCCAAGUCAUUUUCUAAUAAAUAAUAAAUCAUUUUUUUUUAAUAAAAGUCGAGUUCGCCAUCGAGUGGGAAACACAUGAGCCGAAAUGCGGGGUCCACAGCAAUAUUUUUGUUUGGGUUACAAAAAAAAAUCAUAUUGAACACUAAAAAAAAUAUUUUUUAAAAAACCAUUCCAAUUAAAUAUUGUUUAUUUUAAAAUUUUAAUAAUAAUUUUUAUUUAAAAAAAUUGAGUUAUGAAUUUCACAUUAAAACAUUGAAUAUAAUAAAAUCAUUUUACAUAAUAUACUUUUGGUGAAAAAAAUAAUUUUAUAAUUUAUUAUUUAAAGAAAUUAUUUUGUUUUAAAAUAUAAGAAGAAUAUGAAAAACAAUUGAGUGUGAAAAAUAAAAGAAAUGAAAAGAAAAAAAAAACACAAAGUUUACGUGGGAUGGGAGGUUGAGUAGGUAGAGAUGAAAAGGAAUAUAAAAAUAAAAGAAAAAGAAUGUUAAAAUAUGGGGUGGGGGUUGGGAAAAUGAAAAGAAAAGAAAAGAAAAAUAAAAAAGGGGUGCGGGACGUGAGAUUGGGGAGGACAGAGAGGAGAGGAGAGAGGAGAGAGAGGAGGAAGAAAUAAGGAAAGGUAAUUUAGGAAUGCAAAAUGUCGUAUUAGUAAAAAUGGUGUUACGAAUAGCAAUUGAGAUUUUUAAAUAUAUAAAUUUUUAACUAAUUUUAAUUAUAUUUGAUUUUUAUUGAUAUUUUCGAUGAUAUAACAAUCCAUAACAUAAUCAUUUUUCCUAUUAUUAUUUUUUCUUUUCUUGGCACUUUCAAGGAAACAAAAAUAAACACCGAGUAAAAUUAUGAUUUUAAAGGUAGCUUAGUUAACAUUGUGUGUACUUUUUGUUGAACUCUUUUCGAAGUGGAAUUUUUGUUAUAAAUUUAUCUAAAUACCUAAAAAAUCUUGUAAGCAACAACAAUUAGGUUUCUGUUACAUCUCAUUUAACAAUUAUUGUAAAGCUAUAAUGACUAGAUUGGGUUAGAUAGUUCACAAUUUGAACCUUUGGUUUCAAAAUUUAAUCAAAGAAAAUUUAGUAACCAAAUGUUUAAAAUUUAGGAAUGAUGAUGGACAGGUUUUGAAACUAUUUCAAAUUUUGAUACAACUAUAAAUUUAGAAGAAAUGAAGACCUUUUAGCAUAUAGAAGAAGUUUCACCAAACUAAUAAUUAACAUAUAAAUAAGUAGGAUGAGUGUUUGAGACACUUCUCUUUUUGUUGGAUUCGGUUCUAGUCCGACUCAAGGUUAAUAUAUUUUUAAUUUCCACUUUGUUCAUUUAUGCAUUGAUUCAAAAAAAAUAUGUCAUGUACUAAUGUUAAUUCAAGAUAUUAAUUACCAAGUUUUUGAAACAUGAAGUCAUGGUCCAAAGAAAACGAUACAAUAUUUUAUUUUUUAUUUCUAUUCCUCCAUUCUUUUGCUUAACUCACACGAAAUUUGUUUUAGUCAAGCAUCAAGAUGUCACAAUCAAAAAGAAAAGAAAUUCAAAUGUUGUGUAUAUUUUCUCCAAAAAGCAUUUUAGACUCUUGUUAGAAUUUUCUCCUACGGAUGUUUUACUAACUUUAAUUAAUUGAAGAAAGCUACAUGAAAUUUCCUACUCCAUGUUAAAUAUUAUAGCCUAUAAAGGAAAAUAAAAUAUCAUAAAAAUCAUUUAAAAUUUUAUAUAUAUUCAAAUUUUUUAUUAUAUAUAUAAAGGGUUGGAAAAAUGUAUAACAGGUUAAUGUGGUAUUUAUUUUCGGUCUAAAAUUUGAGUAGAUCUAAGUUUGACUUAAAUCUACUUAUAUUAUUAAGUUUUUUAGGUUGUUUACUUUUUAUCAAUGUAUAAAUAUUGUUAAGUGUUAAAUUGCUUUCUUUUAUUAAUGUCUAAAGAGUUACACUUAUUUAUUUCUACAUGUUAAAAAUAUCUAUAAAAUUAAUUAUUAUAUUUUUUCUUAUUUUAAUUUUAAAAUUAACAAUUUAAGAGAUAUUAAUUUAAUAUAUUUAUAAAUAUAAAAAAAAUUUAUAAUUUAUUAUCAUAAUAAACAUUUUAUAAUGACUAAUAAUGCAAAGUGUAAAAAAAUAACAAUUAGAUAAUUAUUAGGAUUUCUAAUUAUGUUUGGUUGUUAAAAAAUUUCUAUGUUAAAACUUAUUUUUAUGUAACUAUCUUCAAAUUUAUGAAUAUUGUUGAGAUUAAUUUAUUAAUUUUUAUUUUUAAUUUGGAAAAAAUGUAAAAAUCUAAAUUUUAUUUUUUAAAUUAAUUGGAUUUUUCUAGUUAAUUACUAAAUGAAAGUAAAUUAGAAAUCUAAGUUCAAGGACAUUAGCCAACCAAACUGACUUUAAAUCUAACCAAUCCAAUCUUAUUACUUUUUAUUUUCAUUUAAAGAUGUUUGUUUCUAUUAAAAAAGAAAUGAUUACAUUGGUUCAGUGUUCAUGAACCAAUCGAAUCUAUCUAUUAUAUAUAUAUAUAUAUAAAAAAUGAUCACAUUGGUUCGGUAUUCAUUUCAAAACAAUGAAUCAAUAGAAACCGAUUCUAAUCGAACCUAUCUAUUAUAUAUUCGACUUAAAAGAUGCAAAAUUUGAAUUUUCAAAAUUUGAAGUUAUUUUUUGAAGAGACUUCAUAUUUUGCUUCUCAUAAUUUACUAUAAAUUUAUGAAAUUAUUUUUUAGUUGUCAUAUUUUUUAAAAAUAUUUUAUUUUUUCAAAGUAAAUUCACUAAAUAUUGUCUCACAUGUAUUUGUGGUUCACUAAACUUUUAAAAUCAAAUUAAUAAAUUUGUAAAAGAAAAAUAUUAUAUUUUCUCCAUUUUGUUCACUUGAUAAACAAAUCUACAAAAAUGUCAAGCGAAUGUUUGAAAUUUACCUCUUUUUUUUUUUUUUUUGUAAUCUUUGGUUGAUUGUGUUUUUAAAAGCAUUAUAAAUCCCAAGAAAGUAAUAUUUUUUUCUUUACCAUUAUAGUUCCCAUAGUGUUUAAACUUAUCUUUACCAUUUUUUUUCUUCUUGAUCUAACUACAAGCUUGACUGCACAAACUUGGUCAACAAUGAGAAUAAAAGAAUAAAAGUGAGGAGGGUGAUGAAGUUCUCCCUAUACUCUCCUCUCCCUUUUUAACUUUUAUAUCCCCCCUCAACAGUAUAGUUUUAAGGUAUGUACACUUUAAUCCUGAUGGACUAAAGGCCCAUAAUUCAUCUCAAUGGGUCAACUAAAAUAUUAUGAGCAAGGUGAAGCCAUGGGCCUCUGCACAAUACAUAAAUUGAUUAUGGCCCAAAACAAUACCCAUGCACAACCAAAUAUAGUUUACAAUAUACGUAGUCCACAAAAAACAUUUGACAUUAAUAGGUGAAUUUAGGUGAUUAUGCUAGUCCAAUAACAUAAUUUCAACAUAUGAUUACAUUUUACUCUCCCUUUAAUGUUAAAUGACCAAUCAUGAAACAACAAAAAGUUUUAUUUGAAAAUUUAUAUAUUUUUCAAACUCUUGAUUCCCCUUUAUAAAUAAUGUGGAUAAAGUUAGAGAAGUAAUGAAAAUAAUUAUUAAAAUUUACUAAUCUUUAAGAGAAGUAUAGAAAAUGGGAAAUUAAUAAAAAAAUUUAUUAAAAUUUGCUGAGGUUGAUAUUUUUUAGUUCCUUUAAUUUUUUUUACUUUAAUUUCCUUCAAUGUUAUCUUUCCUAGUAAUAUAAAUGAGGAUUUGGGGAGUAUAUAUGCUGUUAUAUGACCCAAAAAUUAUUGGUUAUAGAAUAGUAGAAAUUCCAUAAGAACAAAAUUCACAUACAUUUUAUCUCAAAGUUAAAAUAGUCUUACCAACUGUUAUGUAUCUAAUGGUGCAGUAGAUUUUGAGCUUGUCUAAAAAGCUCUCGCCUAUUGAUGCCCUUAUCAACUACUUGGCAAACCAAUUUGCCAAACUUGCAACACAAGAUGGUUGAGUGGUCAUCCAGCACAUCACCUAUGGUCAAGUCAAUGGAUAACAAGAAAAUGAAGUGUUGAGAGUAGAUGCAAAAAUAAAUAUGGGAAUAUGGGUGAGAGAAUAUGAUAGAUGAUCGAAGCUUAUUCUCUUUGCUAGAGCUUGUUCGGACCUUUAUAGUUCAUUACCCAAUUAUGUUAAGCUAACCUUACCAUGUUAAAAAAUUGGAAAAUAUUAAGGAAUUGAAUUGGUAACUAUUGACUUCCAUCUUGAUUGUUGACUUUGGCAAAAUUAAUUUAGAUUGUUGGACCAAGAUAUAAAGAAAUAAGGUCAAAGUAUAAAUGUAUGAAUAAAUAAAGGUACCAAGUGGUGACCAAGACACCGAUUGGUGAUGUCUUUUCAAUAUCUAUCGGAGAAAAAGUACCUUUCAGUAUUAUGGUAAGAUCCUAAAACCCUUCUGUAUGUCUAGUGAUUGUUCAUUUUCUGGGGCAUCGAAAAGAAUUGUUUCUCCAACUACAUUACUACCAUCAAUGACGAGGCCUAGAUCAACGACCAACUCUGAUUCUCUCUUUUCUUCUCCGAAAUACUCUUGUGUAUUUCAAAUUCGGAGCCGAAAUCUGGUCAAAGAGAAACAUAACCCGAAAUUCAACCCGGUUGGCCAGCCAUUGAUGAAAGGUCUCUAAAGAUUGUAGUCUUCUUCGCUUCACAGUGAUGAAAUGCAUAGCCGGGGACGGAAUCACCUACUAUCUGGUUCGGCUUUCAAAUCUCUAGUUUCGGUUCUCAUGCUAGCCAUGUUCGCCACCAUGGCAUCGAUUUAUGUCACCGGCCCGUGAGUUCUCACACUGUAUCGUAUUGUGAAAUGAUUUUCAUUUCUUAGCUGUAAUAGUGUUUAUAGUGUGGUUAAUUUCGUUAAUUUAGGUUUUUGUUUUGUGAUGCUUUGAUUUUGAUUAUAAUUGGUCUAUGUUUUUCAAAAGAAAAAUUGUUUUUAUGGAAAUCUGUUAUUGGUAGGCUGUGGUUGGAUUCUGAGAAUAAGGUUUAUUUGAUUAAAGAGCUUGAUAUUGUUAUUCAAUUGUAGCUUCAACUUUUCUUCCCCACAGUUUGUUAAUGCAUUUUUUGGGACUGUUUUGUUAUUGAGACUAAAUUAUAGUGAUACAAAGAGGGUCUUGACAUUGAAUGGAACCAGAAUCAGUCCAUCAUGGUAUAUGUUCUAUAGCAUUACAUUACAAUGCCAAAUAAACUGGUGAUGUGCAUAAGCUCUUGCCUUUUUCUUUCUUUUAUUGAAACAAUCAGAGUUGAUACCAGCCGAUUUUCAUUUUUUGAAAUUAAUCAUUCAUAGUAAAAGAGGUAAAUAUCUAUACUUACCAUUUUAAUAGUUUUCAAGUGGAAUCAGCCAAUGACACUGAAAAUUACAGAGUAAUUGGGGUUCUUUUUUUGGGGCUUUUGUUAUAAUAGACAAAAUAUAAUCUAGAGGUCAUGGUGAUGGUUCUUCAAUUUUAUAGGAACAGCAGAAGUUAGCAGCCUUUGAGAUGGAGUUACUUGCAGUACAACAGGAAGAUUUUGUCUCAAAGAACUUGUCAGAAAAGAAGGAACUCCUCCUAAGAAAAAACAUUUAGCUGUUGUAGGAAUUAUAACAAAGUUUGGCCACAAGAACAAUAGAGAUGCAAUCCAUAAGACAUGGAUACCAACUGGUAGAAUACCCUUCUUUUUGUAAGUUUCUCUCUUUACUCUUUCUAUGAUUUACAUAGAGAAUGACCCAGUUGGCACUUAACAAAUUGACAUUUCUGUUAUAAGCAUAUAAGGGAUAAAAACAGGAGGCUUGUAGGCUGAACUCUUGUUAACAUGAAAACUUUUAGGGAACUUCCAUUUGUCUUCUAUUCUUUUUUCAUUGUUUUGUUUAUUUUCUCAGUUUGCAAUAGUCAUCUUUCAAUAGUUUGCAAACUCCAUCAACCAAUUUGAAAAGCCUUAGAGCUAACAAGUGCAAAUUAUGAGAAGCUAAAAUCUUGUUUCUCUAGGAUUUUUCUAAAGUUGCUCAAUUGAAUGGAAAGCAGAAAACCAUCAAGAGGCCCUGCCCUUGCCCCUGCCCUGCACCCUCUAUACUCCUGUUUACAGAAAUUUGGAGUUUGUCUUUAUUGUAAUAAGGGAGACAAUAGUCUGCAUAAUAAUGGAACAAAAAGUAAUAUUGUGAUUCACUGCUUCAAAAAGUAAUUUUGACAUAACUUAUGUGCUAAACUGCACUAAAAUGCUUAGCACAAAAAGUAUGUUAUUCUUCAUUUGAGAGCAUUACAUUGAACAUCAUAUGUUAGCAUCACUUUUGCCAUAACUAAUCUUUCUUUCUUUCUUUCUUUCCCCUUAUCCAAGACAAUGCAUAUUGAGUGAUUGAUACGUAAGUUAAUAGCCUUAGCACCCACAUGGGGUGAAGUUUGAAUCCAAAAUUUCCCAAUAGUCUUAAUACGCUUCCUCGGGUGUGUUCGAACUUAAGACAUCAAUGUUAAACCACCACCUUACCCAAAACCUUUAAGUUGCUCGGUAAUAGGCCAACAAUGGGAUAUUAAGGCGACUAAUAGGUAGGCUAAUAGCCUGAGCAAUUCUCUUAUAAUGUUUAAUGGUUCAAAUGUUGACAAUUAAAACAUUUACAAAAGCAUGAUGACUUAUCCAUCGUUUUCAUACAGAUACUCUAGAAGCAGCUCUUGCUCUACCCAUUUGAAUAAGCCUUGAGUUUAUAUUGGGUGUAUGAAAUCAGGUGAAGUUUUCUCAAAGUUGUGAGUAUAAUCAAAGGGUUUUUUUUUUUUCUUUUCUCUAAUGAUGAGAAAACGAGUUCUUUAUGAUAUUCUAUUUUCACAUAUUGUAUUAUCUUUUCAUAUUGUCUUAAUUAUGUAGGAUCCACAAGUAGUAAGAACUAGACUGGUAGAAAUUUGGUGAUGGAAAAUCAUGAGUAAUUCUGUAUUGAUUUCAUCUUGUCUCUUAUAUUAAGAUAAGUAAUUAUUACUUUCUAGUUCUGUUAACUAGUCAGGAAGUCUCUUAGUAUCUCCGAAUUCAUCUGAUAGGUGAUAGAAGUCCCAAUGAAUAACUAGGGCAUUGUCCCAUAAGAGGCUUGCUUGAUAGAGAGUUAGAGCACCAUUUCUGAAGUUUUUUGGGCAUUUAAACAAUUUAUCAUUCCAUCAUAUUCUUGACAUCUGUUACACUUGAUUUGCCCACCCUAUGCACCCAUAUUUAAACCAUCUCAAACUCUGAUUUGUGUUGAGGUAUCCUGGAGUUUGCAGAGGGACGCCUUCUCGGGAAGUCAGGCUUACAUUGGCUGAAUAUACAUUUAGAAAAUUUAUAUGCUGGUCGACUGGACAAGUUAUCAUACGAGGGUUGGGUAGCAUUUAUUGAGAAUCAUUUAGAAGAUAUAUUUGAUUCCACAGACAGACCUCUGGAAGGAAGACGUUGGUGGUUGUCUGCUGAGGAUCCUUUCCAAUGCUUGGCUGCAUGUAUUAAUCUCUCAGAAGCAUUAAGAAGCUCCUCUCCAUAGACUACUAUUUCACACAUGCCUGUCCACCAGGUACUUCAUUCUCAUCAUGGUCACAUUCAAACUGAGAAAUGUUUACUACCGAGUGAAAUCAAAUUAAUCCCACCUCCCUCNNNNNNNNNNNNNNNNNNNNNNNNNNNNNNNNNNNNNNNNNNNNNNNNNNNNNNNNNNNNNNNNNNNNNNNNNNNNNNNNNNNNNNNNNNNNNNNNNNNNACUAGUUUUUAUUGGAAUUAUGUUUCUAAGCAUAGGCAUAUCAUUUGUUGCUUGUGUAUUUUGUAUAAAAUCCUCCAGGUAACUAUAUAGUUCUUCUGCAUUUACACAUGGAAAAUGACAGUCACAUGAUUGUUCAGACCCUUCAGAGUACCCCAUUUGUUGCGGAGCAGAAAUAAUGGAUCUACCACUUCUUUCAUAGCACUACCUUAUGUUUGCGCUAUCCUAUUGAAGUAGGCUUGAGAGGAUAACAGAUAUUUCCCUGACUUUACUUUUGUUUUCAUAUUAAAUGCUUAGAUUCAGGUCAUUUGUUUGUCCAAAACUUAAUCUGAGAUUGUAUUGUUCUAUCUUUUUCAAGGAUGGCUCGUGCAAUGGCUUACAACACUAUGCUGCCCUUGGAAGGGACAAGGUAGUGGAAUUUUCCGCUUUUGGUUGAUCGUUGUGGAGUUCUAAUUAUGUGAUAUGGAAGCAUGGUUUUUGAUUAGUUAGGCAUAGCUUUUCACUCUUUUUCUGCUUUGAGGCUAAAUUUGUCUCAACUUUGAUCUUCUCUCAUUUUGAUAGGAAAAAAAUGAACUUUGUUAAGGAAAGAUAGUACGAGGAUAAGGAACUAGAAAUUGAAACCCAAGAAAGAAACCAAACUUUGUUUGAGUUUGGUGCAGUUUAUUUAAUUUGAUUUUUUUAAGUCAUCUCAAACUUUGUUUAAUUUUGUUGCUUCAACUAAAGUUUUAUAUAUGUAAUAGAAAAUAUAUACCGGAAAAAGUGGUAGGACCUUUUCAAUUUUGAAAUGAGAAUUUUAAUUAAAAUAUUUGAAAAAAAAAUUUCAAGACUUCAACUGUGGCCAAACAUAAGUUGUGUCAAGAGAAUAAACCUAUGGCAGCAGGCAAGGAAAAGUGGCAUCCAUAUGAAGCCCUAUAGUUGCGGCUGACAAAAGGCCAUGUCUAUAAGUACUAUAUAGUAUUAAAUUAUGUAGAUAUCACACCUUUAUAGCAGCAACUAUCAGCUGUCCCAACCACAUAUGGAGCUUUUAGUUAAGGAAAAAACAUGACAACGGGGAUAGCUUCACAACUUCUACUUGUGUGGGGUGGCUGCAACUAUAGGAUUUAUCUGCAUCCCUAUGGCCUUCGCCGCUAUAAACUUACCUUCUUGUAGUGUGUAGCACUCUUGCCUCGUGUAUGAUUGCAACACAUGUACUGCACAACUCUUUGUUAAUGGUUGUUAAAAAUAGGUUUCUAUUUUUGAAAAUUGAAAAUAAGAAAAUCUUGUUUGACAAUAAGAAAAUAGAAACCAAUUUUUAAAAAAAUAGAAAAUAGGUUUUGUUCUUAAAAAAAAAAAAUGUUUUCAAUUGUUUUCUAGGGUUAUUUUUAAAAAAAUAAUAAGAUAAAUAUGAAGAAUAAUUAAAAAUAAAAUGCUACAUAUAAAACUUACUUUUUUGAAAAAUAUUUGAAAGCAAAAAAUACGUUAAAAGUAUUUCAAAUUUUCAAACAAACAUUUAUCAUAUAAAUCUCAUAGAAUUAUUUUCGAAAACUAUUUUCAAAAAAUAUUUUUUUUUAAUGAUUUUCAAAAUUAUUUUCAAACUAACUUAAAGUAUGUUUGACAGUGAUUUUAUGAAGUAUUUUUAAUCUUUUUAAUAUUUGAAAAAUAAAAAAUUAUAAGCGUUUCCUAAAAUCAUUACCUAAUAAACUCUAAUUCUCUUUACUAGAGGCUUAUACGGGUUUUUAUAUUUUGCCUCCUAACCAUGUUAGAUAGGUGGUAACCAUGUUAUAAGAUUUUGGGCUAGCAUUGGCUAGUCUACACUUGUAUGUACUUAAUUUUUGUUUUUAAACAUAGAAAAUGAAAGUAACUUGGAUAUAAAAUAUAAAAACUUUUAGAGACUUACAUUAUUUCAAAUUUCAAAAUUUUUUAUAGUGAUUUUUAAAGAUAUAAGGUGAGUUUAUACUUUUGGUAAAAAAAAUUUCUAUUUUUUUAUAUAAAAAUUAUUACUACUUUUUGUGAUAAAAAAAUGUAUAAAAAAAUGUCAAUAUACAAAUAAUAAAAGUUGAAAGAACAUUUUCAAUGCAUAGAUUAUCUUAAGGGUUCAAAUGUGGGCUAAGCCUAAAACUUAAUAUUAAAUCUUCUCUCAUUCAAAUAAUAGUCUUUAUAAAUACUAGAAUAUCCUAAAUAGUUAUGGACCAAUAUUUCAAACAAAUUUCUCAAACAUUAGUAUCAAAAGAAACUUUCAUUAACCAUGACGAGCUCCCUAUUUUAAUCUAAAACAUGUAAAUAAACAUAAUUAACUUCAAUCGAAGCAAGAUUUAGAUUUGUAUUAUGGAUAAUAUAAAUCUAAAUAUUUUCUUAAAAGAUGAUCAUAAGUUUCUUAGUCCAUGACUUCAAUUAAUAGAAAAAAUAUUUAUAAGCUCAAUUUUGUUGGAAGACUUUUUAUAUUUUCUGGUAACUUACACUCCAUUAAAGAUUCAAGAUUAUUUAGAGUUAACUACAGAUUGGAUAGCACAAGUAUAAAGUUAUGAAAAGAACAAUAACUUUUAAUUGAAAAAGAUUUUGGAGAUCUAGUGCUCAUGCACUUGAAUCUAGCUUUCAAGGCUUGGAACACUCAAGUAUUGCUUGAGAGUACCCAAUAGCAAGCACUCAAGUAGUGUACUUAUCUCAUACUUGAGCACUCAAAAGAGGGGUUUCCAAAAAAUAAGUUUGCAUACAACACUCAUUAAAAAAAAUGAUUAUAUAUAUAUAUAUAUAUAUAUAUAUAGGGAGAAUUGUGUUUUGGGCCCAGCUGGGCCCAAAAAUUAACAAAUGGUCCAUAUAUGUUACAGAAUUAAUAGAAAGGCUAUGAGAUAUUGAGUGACCUAUAUACCCUUCAAAUUUCCAAGUCAGAUUGCUGUAAAUUAAAAGGGAGAAUUGUGUUAAAUGUGAAAUGCCAUGUCACCUGACUACAAAAAGGGUCACCACCAUCCUACCCCUUUAUCUCUCUUCGUAAACACCAUGAUCAAAGAGGAUGGCCACUGUGAAUGUCCCCCAACCGAUUUCUUCGGCAGGCGAGGGUUGUGAGCAAGUCAAAAAUCAGAAAAGCCUUGCAUCUAUUUUAUCAUCAUCAUCAUUUCAAAAUCCAAAUGACAGUGGGUGUAAAUUAUUUUCUCUCACAUUUUGAUUUGAUCAUAUCCAUCUUGGGUCAUAGGAAUGAAGCAUGAGGUAAGUAAAUUGAAGAAACUUACAAUGAAUAUUUUCGAAAAGAUCUCCUAUUAAAUGGCAUUUCACCUGUUUGAAAAUUCUUCACUUUAUAAUCUGGUUGUUGGCUUUAUAGUGUAGGCAAUAAAUGGGUAUGGUGGAGACGGUGAGCUAUGGGGAUUAGUUAGCGUACUUAUGAUGAAUAGGAAAGUAAAUUGGGUUUCAUUUUCCCCCUUUUCAGUCAGCCAUGACAUUGGGAUGUGGUUAACCUGGCCAUAUGCACUCUUUAAGUUAUAGGUAGGUCAAAUUCCUGCAACUGUACAAGGCAUUUACACCAACUGUACAAGGCAUGUACACCAACUGUACAAGGGUGUGUAUCUUAAGGGAUUUCGAGUGAUUUUUAAGAACUUGCUCAUUUACUUUUUCCAAUCGUGGGGGACAUUCCUCACACUUAUUGGUUGACAACAUACUCAUUGCAUGCAUUUUAUUUGAUAUCUACCAUGUUAAUUCAUUGUUUUAUCUCCCCUACAUUACUUAUGCGUAUGAACGGAAAUGAGGGUUCAUUUUUUCCUCCUUUUCCCUCAUCCACGAGAAUGGAAACAUUGUUGCCCCACCCAUAUGCACUUGUUCGGUUGUCCCUUCGGUGGAUUGCAUAACUGUACAAGCCAUUUACACUAACUGUACAAUCCAAAUGUGUUAACUGUACAAGUGUGUUCAACCCUACCUAUAUUGAAGGAUUUCAACUUUUUUUGAAAACAAUCGUUGCUCAUUUCCUUCUUUUUUUUUACUAGAGGGACAUCCCUCAUAGUCAUUCCUCAUUUCCCUUUGUACACAUUCAAAUGCCUUGUGGUAGCCCACUUAUGUUGCAUAGGAACCUAAAUUGGGUUUCAUUUUCCCCCUUUUCACUCAGCCAUAUCUUUGGAAUGUGGUUAACCCGCCCAUAUGCACUCCUUUAGUUGUAUUUAUGUGGAAUUGCUCCAAGUGUACAAGGCCUUUACACCAAGUGUACAAGGCCAAUGUACUAAAUGUACAAGGGUGUGUAUCUUAAGGUAUUUCAAGUGAUUUUGAAUAACUUAGUCAUCAACAUUUUCCACUCGUUGUGAACAUUCCUCACACAUAUCGGUUGACAACACACUCCUUCCAUGUAUAUUAUUUUAUUUGUACAAUGUUAGUUCAUUGUUUUAGCUCCCCCACAUUACUUAGGCGUAGGAAUCGAAAUGAGGGUUAAGUUUUUCCUCCUUUUCCCUUAUCCAUGGUAAUGGAAACAUUGUUGCCCCACCCAUAUGCACUUGUUCGAUCGUCCAUUUGGUGGAUUGCAUAACUGUACAAGCCAUUUACACUAACUGUACAAUCCAAAAGUGCUAACUGUACAAGUGUGUACAACCCUACCUAUAUUGAAGGAUUUCAAUUUUUUUGAAAAAAAUUCAUUGCUCAUUUCCUUAUUUUUUUGCUAGGGGGGCAUCCCUCACAGUCAUUCCUCAUUUCCCUUUGUACACAUUCAAAUGCCUUGUGGUAGCACACUUAUGUUGCAUAGGAACCUAAAUUGGGUUUCAUUUUCCCCUUUUUCACUCAGCCAUUUCUUUGGAAUGUGGUUAACCCGCCCAUAUGCACUCCUUCAGUUGUAUUUAAGUGGAAUUGCUCCAACUGUACAAGGCCUUUACACCAAGUGUACAAUGGCAAUGUACUAAAUGUACAAGAGUGUAUAAGGGUGUGUAUCUUAAGGUAUUUCAAGUGAUUUUGAAGAACUUAGUCAUCAAUAUUUUCCACUCGUCGUGAACAUUCCUCACACAUAUCGGUUGACAACACACUCCUUCCAUGUAUAUUAUUUUAUUUGUACAAUGUUAGUUCAUUGUUUUAGCUCCCCCACAUUACUUAGGCGUAGGAACCGAAAUGAGGGUUAAGUUUUUCCUCCUUUUCCCUUAUCCACGAUAAUGGAAACAUUGUUGUCCCACCCAUAUGCACUUGUUCGGUUGUCCCUUUGGUGGAUUGCAUAACUGUACAAGCCAUUUACACUAACUGUACAAUCCAAAAGUGCUAAUUGUACAAGUGUGUACAACCCUACCUACAUUGAAGGAUUUCAACUUUUUUUGAAAAAAAUUCAUUGAUGGUGGUGUUUACUUAUUGUUGGUUAGUGUUAUGACAAACAAUUUCUGUCUCCCUCUAUUCGCCUUGUUAUCUUGGGUAACAACACAUAAUUUCAAUAGACCAGUUUGUUGCCUUUAUGAAAAACUCUCAUUUGAUGUUGAUGUGAGGACAAAUAUCUUUGAGGUAUUUAAUUCAACAGCUUCAUGCAAAAUCAGAUAGUUAAUUCACAUUCUAUGGCUUUAGAGGUUUAUUUUCUCUUAAUUUUCAUCCUUCCAAUAUUCUUAAAUUAUGAGUAUGUUCACUUCUUUUGUUUGUAAGACGGAUUUAUGACUCUGCAUCAAUGGAAAAUUAUGUGCACAAUAUGGAGUGACGGAUAAUAGGAGAACUUAAACGAUUACAUGAGGGUGUCGAAUUGCACCUUUUCCUUUUCGUUUUUAGAUGAAGCAAAUAAAUGAUCUUUUAUCCUUGAACUAAUUGUUUUUCCCUUUAUGUGUGCAGGUGGGUUGAUUCUUGAAGUGGGAACUUUGUCACGAUUAAUACAAAUAAUUCAAAAUAAGAGGCUUAACAUCAGAUGAAAGAUGAGAAGAGAAAAACAGAGAAGUCUAGAUGAUCAAGAUAGUUUAUUUUAUAGGAAGCCAAUCUAUGUUAAGAGUUGGAUAAUAAGAUACCAACCUUCUUUUAAGUUUUUACAUUGUAACUAUUUUCAUUAAAUAGUAUCAUAUACGUUUCGGGACAUGUAAUUAUGCAUUUCAUUCCAAUUAAAAUUCCAAUGUAUUGAACUUAAAUUUUGGUUAUUUCGCAGUUUAUCAGCACAUGUUUCUUGUUUUUAAAUUUUGUUUUUCCUCCGUUUAUAUUGGUUGUUGGACAAAUAAUGACUCAUUCUCAUUUCAUGUCGUUCUCCAAGUUUGCUGAAGAAUUUCUUUACUUGAUAAUUUUAUUAAGUCAUUAAAUACAUUAAUCAUGUUUGUUAAGAUAAUUUCAUAGCCCAUAUUUUUAAUAUUAAAUUCAUUUCAUUAAUUAUUUACUAUUUAUAUCUCUAUAUCAUUUUAUAUGUACACCUUCAUAUUUAUUACAUAAUUUUUAUAGUCAAUAUUGUGUAGUACUAUAUGUUUGCAAAACUUUAAUUAUGAAUAUGUAAUAAAACAGUUACUAAUUAAAGAGUAAUAAAGAUAAAUGUCAAACUCAUUUACUUUUUCUAAAAGGGACAUUCCUCAUUUCCCUUCGUACACAUUCAUUGGAUGAGAUAGCGCGCUUAUGAUGAAUAGGAACCUCGAUUUGGUGUCAUUUUUCCCCAACUCGGUGAGCCAUGACAUUGGAACGUGGUUAACCCAGCCAUAUGCACUAGUUAUGUUGUAUCUAGGUUGAAUUUCUGCAACUGUACAAGGCAUUUACACUAAGUGUACAAGGCCAAUGUACUAAAAGUACAAGGGUGUACAAGGGUGUCUAUCUUACUUUUUCCAAACGUGGGGAACAAUCCUCACACAUGCUGCUUGAUAACACACGCAUUGCAUGCAAUUUAAUUGAUGUCUACCAUGUUCAUUCAUCCUAUUAGCUUCCCUAGUAAUGAUGAAUAUGAACCGAAAUUAGGGUAAACUUUUGUGUCAUUUUCCCUAGUCCAUGGUAAUGGAAACAUUGGUUACCUACCCAUAUUCACUUGAAAAUAUGUACCUAUUAGGGAUUUGGUGACUGGACAAGGCAUUUACACUAAGUGUACAAAGCAAAUGUGCUAACUAUACAAGUGUAUACAGGGGUGCCUAUCUUGAAGGAUUUGAAAUGCUUUUGAAAAAAUUGCUUGCUCGUUUAUUUUUUCUAAGAAGGACAUUCCUCAUUUCCCUUCGUACACAUUCAUUGGAUGAGAUAGCGCGUUUAUGAUGAAUAGGAACCUCGAUUUGGUGUCAUUUUUCCCCAACUUGGUGAGCCAUGACAUUGGAACGUGGUUAACAUAGCCAUAUGCACUAGUUAUGUUGUAUCUAGGUUGAAUUUCUGCAACUGUACAAGGCAUUUACACUAAGUGUACAAGGCCAAUGUACUAAAAGUACAAGGGUGUACAAGGGUGUCUAUCUUACUUUUUCCAAACAUGAGGAACAACAACAGCCAACAUACGAACCCAGAGGACUAUACAAAAUUCAUUGUGCUGAAACUUAUGGAAGAACUCACAAAACAUCAUUAUGGGGUUGAGCUGCUUUAGUUCAGGAAUCCCAGCAAGAGAGACAUCUUGCUUUGUAUGAAAAACACGUCCUUCAAUAAUUGUAACAGUUGUAAAUUAUGAAUUAUAGAGGUAACCUGCCUGUAAUCUAAUGAGAAUUGACUUGAUAGAUUAGCUUUUUAACCAAGUACUUAGUGAUGAAAAUGUGUUUUGUGCUUGAACGGUGUCAUUCCCAUUAGUCCAAAAUUUUGGGAUGAUGAUCGCCAUUUUUCGAUGUGUUGAAUGAUUACUUUUAAGGUGUGGAGCUACUGCAUUCUGAGAAUGGUUAAUAAUAAUUUUUAAAAUCAUACAUAAUAACUUCCAAAAUAAAGACUAAUAAUUUUCAAGUGAUUGUGGAUUAUUCUUGAGUUUCCCUUUUCUCUUGUCUGAACUUGCUAGUUCCCAAUACUAAAGUAGGAGUCCAUUGAUAAUUUAAACACAAAUAUUGACUAUAAGUCUCUGAAAAACCUUAUUACUAUAAUCAAUCAAGCCAAUAUCCACCCAACUAACCCAAGGGCAAAGUGGGUUCUUAUUACCAAGCCAUGAGCAAUUUUGCCCACAAAAAAAACCUAGGACAAAAAAGGGAAAAAGCCACACGAAAAAAUGUUUUAUAUAUAUAUAUGAAAAAAAAAAAGAUCUCAAACCACAUGGCAUCCACAUGAUUGAGAAACACCAAUUUAGAAUUUAUUUUGAUAGGGGAUUUACUUUAUAGAAUAUUUUUUUAAAACAAGUUAUUUUUGUUCAAAACCCCCAUGAACAUGCAGUCUGAUGAUGUACAAGGCAUAAGAGUAGAGAAAUGAAAGGAAUGGAUAUUCAUGGCAUAUUUUCUAGUGCAAUUUUCUAAAAGAAUAAUGGCGUAUUUUCUUAUGACUGUAGACAGUUGAUGGAUGAGAUCAAUUAGUCAUAAUUCUACCCUUAUUGCAAGAUCAUUCUUCGCCGAGAUCCUUUUGCUUUCCCUUCGGGGCUUUGGAUUCCUGAAUUGUAAUCCUUUUCCUUCUCCCUUCCAAUUAAGGAAUGCAAGCACGCAACCUGGUUUCACCCACACAUCUUGCCCUCUUAUAUAAAGCCACCACCGAAGGCCUUAUGAACUAAACAGAGAUAUCCAGUUUAAUUUAAGAACUUUGUCAAAUGAAGAAAGUAAUUGCUCUGGCAGAAAUAUCAACUGAUUUAAUUUCUGACAGUCGUACAUCAACCUCCAUAGCAUUACAUCUACUAAAAGGGUUCCUAUUCUAGUUUCACAUGUAGAAUUGCAUUUAUAAUUCAUACACUACAUUCCAACUUCAACCAAACAAAAGCUAAAACAAAAGGCCUAAGCUAGAGCCAUUUGCAUUUCAGCACCCAGAUUGCCUAAGCCUGCAUUGAGGCUGUGUACACCCAAGGUUGCCAGGAUUGAUGAUGAGCCCCUGAUGAAGCCAAGGUUUCCAUCUUCACCAUUGGAACAACCAACAGCAAGUGAUCAGAUAUUCAAUGGCAAAUCGGGUGGGCACGACACUACCAACAGGCACUGCAUGACUUGUGGGCACGUCGUGUGACACUGGCAACAUGUGAUGGCAUGCUCAUGUGCUUCAAUUAAGUUACGGGCUCCGACACUCUGAAACUUUCCCUAAGUCGCUAGAGGCUUUAGACGAAUUUUUCAAGUGAUAUAACUUUCCCUUCGAAACUUUCACCGACUUCUAUUGAACAGCAGAAGCUAAAACGGGCACAUGAAAAUAUUUUGUAUAACACAAAAAAAAAAUACCUUGCGCUUCCAAUAAGUAUAUCCAAACAAGACUUAUGUCACGCAAAUUGUGCGACAUGCAGGAAAAGCUAGAGAGGUAGAUGUCUAAGGUGAAGAGAAGUGAUGAAAAUGUACAACAAACAUGAAGGAUGGUUUAAUUCAAGUCAAUCAGAACCCAGUUGACCCAACUAAGGAAGAGUAUGAUGCAUUCUCAUCACUGGCUGUUGGCCUCUUCUCACCAUCCCUGUUUGAUGCUCCAUUCCCAAUUUUGGGAAGCAGCCCUGUUUCUAGACCAGCCAUAUCAUGCAACUCUAAUCGUCGCUGUUUUGCUUCUUCUAUAUCACCUUCCCAGCAAGUUUCGGAAAUAAUUUCAAGCGCUUUCUCCAUCUUAUCCUCUGUCACAAGCUCUCCAUUUUGCAGGAGGACAAGGUAAAUUUGUUCAGCAGAAGCCUUCCGGAUCUAAGGGAGAUAGCAAAAAACCAAUCCAUCAGCAAAGGACGAUUUAUUAUAUAAUUGAGAGGCAAAAUUUUUAAGGUUUAAAAUUCAGUAAAAGUGAUAAUAUUUUGUGUGCACCACAUACCUUGGGAUAUCUAUGGCCCAGGAAAGUGAGAAGAUGAGAAAAGGCUCAGGUGUUGACGGAUUCUGGAACGGAAGCAAUAUACCCAAGUAUUGCAAUGCCAGCAUAUAACUUGGAGAAAUCCUUUGUCGCUUUCAAUUCCACUGCCAGAGAAUCCAAAACACCAGCAUAGAAGAUUGGAGUAUGGCCCUGGAAAUUGAGAUAUCUUAAAAAUGUGUUGACACCAAAGAAUUAAAACUACUGACAUAUAAUUCCAUAAAGGAAUCAGGAUCAUGCAAAAACCAAUAUUAGCUUAAUCUUUCUGAUUACAAGAAUUUAGUCGGAUAGAAAAUUUUAUUAACAAUUCCAGAAUUGCAUGAAGGGUUCAUUGUUGUCCUGGAACAUCUAACUGUCCUGUCAUUUUCACCUUGUUUCUAUUUUUUGGUCUUGGUAUGGAUUGAAGUAGAACAGAAAAUAAACUAACCAAGUCCAGGGAAUGCAUUCAACCAACAUGGGAAGUCAAAACAAAUAUAAAGUUCUCUUGAAUGAAAUGAUAAAUUUUCCACUAACAUUGCCUGACAAGGGACACCAUUUAUCUGGCAUGCUUUCACAUCUCAAGAAAUUGAGACUUCUGAAUUCAAUAUUCUAGGGAAUCAUGAAUUUAUGAACCAGUCUAUAUGUCAGCACAAAAACUGAGCUGAUAAGAUCUAGAAAAGAAAAAAUAAUGCAAGUGAUCAAAAAACUACUUUGAUUAAAUUAGUAAUUCUUUUGCAUCAGUAAGCCAGAUUUCAAUUUAAUGGCUUGAAAGGUCAGGAUUGUCUGUGUAUUAUAGAAAAAUGCAUAGAAUUGGAGAAACUCUUCUGGUUGGAUGAAAUGAUAGAUCCUAUUACAAAAAAAAUUAAAUUUUAAUAUUUUAAUAAAUGCCUCUACAAUAACCAUUCUUUCAUACAAUUAACAAUGAUGUACCAAUAGAAUCAAACAGAAAUCUUCAAAUUGAUAGCAAUGAACAAAAAAUUGAAUGGGAAAAAAAUUGAAACAUUCUAUCAUCUGUGAAUUAGCAUAGCAAUAAAAGGAGAGUGUCAACUAACCUCCAUGUUCAAUAAUAUCUUUUUGCUGAAAAGAAUCUCAAUGGUCUGAAAUACAGAGGUAAUUUCAUUAAAAAUAAUUCAUCUGAAAGAAGAUAGGGCCUAAAUCUGAGAAAAAAAUAUCUAUAGAAGAGUGGAAGUAGAGGUGUAAACAUGCAAAAGGAAUCAUGGAAACCCAUAUAAAUGCACAAUAUGCAACAGCAAAGUAUAGGCUAUUGAAAUGCAAAAGAUGCAAUAAAUACGAAAACAGAGAGAAUCUAAAAGCUGAAGAUAUAUCUUUCAAAAGCACAUGGGAAGGGCAUGUUUUUGUCUAGGGAUGAACCAUUGCAGAGUCUAGGACCACAAGAUAUAGCAUUCCACUUGGUUGAAUUUCUCAUCAAUCACAUUUUUCUUUCAUCAGUUUCAAUUCUCAAUUUUCGUUAAGAAAUCUAAAUAGUGGAGAAUGGCAACCCUGUACAAGAAACAGCAUAGUGGUGAUUAAAAAGUGCCUUUUGCAUUAGGUGAAAUAUGGAAGUAACCUAUGCCCCAAUGGGUAAGGAGAGAACAACGCAUAGACCCAACCAUGGCUAGAAUAUGGAUGUCUAGAGAUGAGCAUUAAUAUAUUCUUAAGGCUUCGUUUAAAGCAUUAUGAUUUGUAACAGAAGUUCCUUUGUGGUGAUGGGUAAUAGAUUCAAAACCAACAAACUCACUGGCAGAGUAACAUUGAUAAGCAUUGGAAAUAUGUCUAACUGCAAAAUCGAACCCAUAGUGCUAGUUGUUCCAAAUGAAAACACAAACUACUAAAAACAUAAGCUGUGAAAGCAAGAUAUAGCAAGAAAGUGAACUAUAAACAGUCCCCACCAGAAUGCCAGCAAAAUGAUCCUAAAAAUGUAGGUAUAUACUGACUUUAUUUCUGGUUAAUUUUAAUAUGAUAAUGUAUUGGUCUAGUUACUAUAAUGGUAUAGUGGGGGUUCAGUAGAUCUGGGUUCUAUCAGUGCAUGCAUGCACAAAACAACAGAACAGACUUACUUCCAGGGAUCAUCCCCAACAAGAAGUACAUCAUUCUCAUAAUCCACAUACACCAUUUUCCAACUUGAGCCUUUCUCGUCGUUGAGCACAUCUUCAACUCCAAGCAUGCAUUCAAUUGCCUAGCAUAAUUCUUCAUAAUUCUUAAAACUUGCAACAUCAAUUGACCUCCCAACUGAUCCCAUUUUUUGAACCUGCCAUAGCAAAAAAUGCCAUCAAAACCAGAACUCCCUGUUUUCUAAGAAAAAAAUCCACCAAAAAAGAAUGUAAAACAGUUCGUUGGCAAACAUAGAAACGUCAAUGUGUAGCGAAAUGGAGUUUGCAGUGACAUUAUGGUAGUAACAAUAUGUUAAAACUAAACUGGGCACACACUGGAUCAAGGAGGCAUGUAGGAGUGUUGUUGACUUGUUUCAAUAUACUUCAGGUGGUAAUGAUGGGCAUGCCUCAAUCUUUUUGAUGAAAAAGAGACAAUGUAGUCAUUUAAAGAUAUACAAAUUGUUAGUUAAAAAAAAUUUGUAUCAGCAGAAAUAAUACAUGGUACUGUAAAACAUACCACAAGGUGAGUCUACCACAAACCAGUACGCAUGUGGCACACAUAUAGAGACCAGGAAUCAAUAAUAAGUUAAUGUCUAUAUGGAAAUGAGCUCUCAAAUACUACUCUAUCAUGAGACAUUGCAUCUAUGAAUUUACUUGACACAUUGUUCUUAACACAAAUUUUUAUGUUUUAAACAAAAAACAAAAUUUGCCGAUGCUAAAUAUACUGAUCACUUCCAAUCAGGCAAGAAAAUAUUCAACCUCAGAUACUAAGUCACACCAAAGCUUAUGGGGAUCCCAAUCCAUUUAUAUGGAGCCAGGAUUGUGGCUCUACAAUGAUUGGCCAAUGGUUAUUUAGCUGAUGAUUCCUAUACAAUAUCCUAAAUUAAAAAGACCUACAGGAGAAACAAAUUAGAACAAGUGAUCUAGAGUUAUUCAGUAUUGGGGCAGAUUUAGUCCAGCGCCACCCAGAAACCAUGCUUGCACUUUUAACCGACAAAAUAAUUUAUUACAGGACAAAAUAAGGAGAGUUGAUUUCUAUAGUAGGAUUGAUAAGUUACCUUCUCAUUUACCAAUUCAGUGAUGACAGAUGCACAUUGCUGCAAUGACUUAAUCCUUGUCAUGCAGUGAGUUGAUGGUUGCUCUAAAGCAUCUCCUAUAUCCAUGGAUCCUUGUGAAGUCCCAGAAGAUGCCGAGCUAUGACUUUCCAAGCUUCCAGUAUAACAUGUGUUAGUGAUUCCUGCACCAGCAAUUGGCAUUGGUGCACUUGAUUUGGUCUUCAUAUUUACAGAUGUUAGAGGGGCACUCCCUGAUUUGCAUUGUGAAUGACUUGGCUUGGAAGCAAUAGCUGAGGAAGAUGAUACAUCCAUUGGGGGUCCAGAUACAAAAACAUAAUCUUGAUCAACCAACUCCUCCAAUGAAUCCACAACUGUGGAAUCCAUACAAAUAAGAUAAUAAAAAAGAACAUAAAUUUUAGCAACACGUUUUUUUUUAUAAUAGAAUAUUAAAAUGAGCAAUGAAAUAUUAUUGAAAACAUUGGUACCUCUUGAACAACUUCUCAUUGGUCUUUGUUCCAUGGAUUUUAGAGGUUCUUUGACAUUCUCAUUUGAAGGCCUAAGAUUGUCAAUCCUAAAGCCAGUAAUUUCUGGUUUAUGUGAUGUACUGUUGUAUUUAAAAGCAGGAUCCGUGUUGUUCGAAGUGUUAAAUAUUGUUUCCCUUAUAUCAACUUUGUUAUCAAGAGAAAAUCCAUAGGUAGACUUCAUUGAGGACCUCUUCCUCAAAAAUGAUGGGCUCCCUUCAGCACCACUAGAAUCAUCAUCUAGAGGAAAAGACAUACAAUCCUCUUGAGAACUUGCCUCUGUUUUUCUCACAGGAUUGCAUUCAGAAAAAGGAAACCCAUCAUUUAUUCUUGAUGAUCUCCUACUAUUGCAUGCCACGAAGGAUUUUAACAUGAGUAAAUAAUGAAAAUAUCAUAUGCCAAGAUCGAGAAGAGUAAAAAAAAUUUUCUCCUUUACCUUAACGCUUCAUCUGGUUGCUUUUGAGAAAGGAAUAGGUGGUUAAACAACUCUUCAAAUGUUAGUCGUUCCACUGCAUAUACAAGGACAUAGAAGGGUCAAAGAGCUAUUCAACCUCAAUAAGCCUUUAGUUUUAGAACUACAGUGAUUUCUUUUUGGCACAAUCAGAUAUCAUAUAUGUUUCACUUUUGUAUCAUCUUUAGUUGUUUUAGGCUUUUCACUUGGUGCCAUUAAGAAUUCCUAGCAACAAACAGGUUUCCCCAAUAAAACACACACACACACACACACACACACACAUAUAUAUAUAUAUAUAAAUGCUGCCAGUUUCGAGCUAAAUUCUGUGAAAUACCUGGAUUGCGGCGCAGCAAUUUCUGACACAAAUCUUUGCAGUUAGCACUCAAAGCAUUAUUAUCAGGAGGGAAAUGCAAUUCACUAUAUUUAACAAUGUUUUGGAGCAACUGCUCAAGAAACAAGACAAAAGGUUAAUCAAGGAAAAGUUAAGGGCACAAAGAAAGACAAAUUAAACAUAGCUACAGAAUUAUUACUACUUAAAUUAAACACAAAAAGAAUCAAUAAUUAAACCAAGUUGAAAACCCAACCACUACAAAUGAUUAUUUCAGAUGUGCUAAAAAAAAUAAAAAGAAAAAAAAAACCUGUAUAUGAUUGUUUCUUGUAAACGGUGUUCUUCCAGUCACAAGUUGAAAGAUAAUGGCACAAACACUCCAGAGAUCUGCCUGCGUAUUUGGUUGAAGUUAAUAGGAGAAGGUUAUGCGAGAAAAUGGAUGGAUUCUUACAGAUGGAGAAAGUAAAUAUCACCUUUGCGUCAUAUUUCUGAAGUUGCAUUAUCUCUGGCGCCAUGUACAAUGGUGAACCACACAAUGUUUCUGCAAGACCUCUAGGUUGUAGAGAUCUGCCAAAAAAGAAUCGGAACAUAUAAACUUAUUGAAAGGACCUUAACUAUAUAACCCAUUUAGCUGUACUAGAAACUAGAAACGUUAAACAAAAGGAUUUUUAAAAUGAAAGAGAACAGGUUUCAUUUCAAUGAAUAUUUACACCCUUUGAAAUCAGCAAUCUUCAAUACUGAAUUGUUGUCAUUUGUGGAGAGAAGAAGAUUUUGUUCCAAGUAAUACAUAUGCCAAAUGGAAUUAGAUCUUAUGCAAUGCCUCUUUUGCACAGGAUGUACAACAUAAAGAAUACCCAUCACUAAAAUUCCCAUCGUAUUUGCAGAGGAUAUAAAUUUUGAUGGGCAUGCCCUAUAGAAAAUUUAAAAUCAUGACAAAGUCAAACACAAAACAAGAGCCAAUAUAUAUAUUUAUAACUUUUUUAUUAAAAAGAAAAAGUAGACAAGAAAAAAAGCAUGCCUGGGAUUGUAGAAAAUGGUAAAUGGGCUUCGGUUAGCCGCAGCAUGAGAUGUAGCUGCAAGAACUCCAAUAUGCAGGCUAUCAGUGGACAGAACUGAUGAUGGCAAUGAUGUUUGUUGACGGUUUGCACGCCUCACACCAAACAAUAGCUGUGAUUUCUCUUCUCUUGUGAUGACAAUGAAUACAAGAUAAUGAGGUUAGCUAAAAUAUAUUUUUUAGAAUGCAAUAUAUUAUUAAACAAGCAUUAAACAUGUGCCUAUGAAAUAGACUUGAGUGAUUGUCCAAUAUGGAUACAUCAUACAAGGGUCAAAACUUUCAGAUGUCCUAAGAGUUUCUUUCGACAGUUUCAAGGAUGACAAACCACAUUAGAAACUUUCCCAAUAUUGGCACAGGUUGUCACCAAUCUCAUACACAAGAUGUUAAAAACAGAAUAAGGGAAAAAGAAAAAGAAAACCUAAUUAUUGCGUGCCUACAUAAUCAGAACAUCAAACUUGAAUUCUGGUUUCAUAAAAACUUGGAUGCAUAAUAAUCAGUCAACUAAAAUGAAGCCAUUAUUUGACGUCUACCUAGACCACAUCUAUGUGGAACCUAAUCAUACUUAAGCUAGAAAUAACUUUUUAUGAAAAUUUCCAAUGAAUGUUAUAUAGUACCUAGUUUAUGAUCAUCUUCAAACUUAAGCAUGGCGUGUCAUGAUUAUCAAGAAAUAAAGGUUCCCUCACCAUCAGCAAUUUGCUAUCAUUCAAGUUUAAAUACACUUAUGUUAUUAUUCACAGCCAAAUAUCAAUGAUUGGGGUCAAGAAAGGGGAAUAUCUCAUCAUGAUUAACAAAAAUAUUUACCUCGAUGUUGCCUACAUCCCACAUUGGUUGCCUGCAGCUAUUUUGAUCAUCUAACAUAUUUCCAGCCUGCUUGUUACAAUGAAAAGGUGAUAACUCACUGGUUUUUGUUCUCUAUCUUUCAGAACUGUUGGAAAAUGAAUGUUGAAUGUCCUCUGGUUUUCCUUUUUCCUUGCCAGAGCUGCCUUCAAAGUACCAAUCUGAAAUAAUAGUUCAAAGUUUUCAGAAUAAUAAAUAAGAAUUGAGAAGAAUGAUAAAUAAUGAGAGCAUUCAGAACCUGUUCUUUCAGCUCUUUCACAUCUGCACUAUCCUUGUUUACACGAGCAGCAUCAAGUUCUACAGUGGCAAAUCGCUCUGCAAAUUUAACUGUGCUAAUUGUUUCUCCAUCAGCAUCCGGUUCAGGGCUAAUGUGAACAAACAUUAGUGUCUUGGCUUGCCCCCCUAAAGAGAAUUACAAUCCAAAAGCCAUAUUAUAAUUUAAAAAAUAAAAUUAAAGAAAACAGAAUCAAAUAUGAGGUUCAUACUCUGAAAAUGCAUUAGUUUAUUCUUACCAAGUGAGUCUUGAAGAAGUUUUGUUACUUAACUAUUCCUGUAAGGGACAUGUGGACUCUUCUGGGCAAGGGCAGAGAUGACAUCCCCUAAAACAGAGAGAGAUCUGUUAAUAUGCUGUGCCUCCUUUAGUCUAUCUCCAUUGACCUCAAAUUUGUCUACUCUCUCACUGUCGGCCUGAUCAACAAGAUGCAUACAGCCACGAAGAAUAGUUCCUGACAUCAAGUCUCUUCCUGAUUCAUUCUAAUAAUAUUUAAUUCUCUCUAUUUACUUAUUAUGCAAUCACAAUCAACUUAAGUUAAAAAACAAUCAAACUCUGACUAAUCCCAUAAUCCCAGUGUUCAUUUCCGCAUAUGACACCAAAAAAAAAUUUAAAGAACUACAUUUGUCCACCAUAAAUUACAUACAAAUGUUAGCACUUUAUACAGUUUUAUCACAAAUUACAAUCCCCUUUAAUCUCUCCGGACAUGGUCUCGGUGUGCAUUUUGUGCUGAAAGCAACAUACUCCCCAUAAUCUUCAACCUGUAAUGUUUCAAUUUCCCCUGCAUUCAUUCAAGUUGAUAGCAACAAAUCAGCAAAUUAAUUAAUUAGGCUUUUCUAACUAUUUUAACAUUAAUGAGAUAGUCAUAGAUAAUUCCUCCUACGUACCACAUCGAUUGAUUUGGAGAACCCCCCCAUUGACCACAAUUCCAUGAAUUUCAUUACAAAAACUCCGCAAUCGUGCCUACGUCAAUAUAAUUACCAAAACGUUAUUAAGUGUGGAAUUAUAAAUAAGAGAUGAACUUAAAAUAAGUUGCAAUCCUAUACAAUAUCCCGGACUGCAAGGUCAACACUCACUCAUUAGGUUGGAGGGGUACAUCAGGUGUUAUGAAAUUCAAUGUCCUCAAAUCAUAAGGUGAUACCUCUUUUUUGUGGGCAGCCAACCACAAGACAACCUUGGCCUGAAACAUUUAUUAACGCAACAAUUGAAAUUUUUAUGGGAAGACAUACCUAACAAAUUAUUAGUUGUUGCUUGUUACUUUACCAGAUUUUGUUGAACUCCACUCAACAUUGUCUUCUUCCUACCAGGACGAGAAUCUAGCAGUUGGAUUCUCUUGUUUGCUAGGUCAUAUACGUACAAUGUCCAAUGGUUCUUUAUGAGAACCGGUAAGAAGACCUGCACCAAUAGACUGCCAUUAAACAUACAUCUAAAUAUUGUACCUUCAUGCAAUAAAAAUACAAAUCCAAGCAUUAAACAUAGGAAUCCACCUCGUUAACAUUGACAUAUGGAAUAUCCAUCUGAUACAGAUGUGGUUCAAAGUGUCCUAUAACUACCUCCCUCACUAAGUGUUUUGCUUGGGAGUGGAUUAUCAUUUCCUGCAUGUCAAAUAGGGGAUAAUAUCAGGUUUGUCAUUGUAGGUGAUGCUUGGUUCAAGACAAAAAAUAAAGUUAAGCAAGGAUUUAAUGGAAUAGUAAUCAUUACAGCUAUGUAGGGGGAUAGAAACAGUUUCGACUUCGAUUCAUGUUCAUACUGCAACAAUCUACAGUAGGCAUCGACGACCUGAUUUCAUAUAUCAUAAAAGUGUAAGCAACUAAUUAUAUUAGAACCACACUUUCAUUUUCAAACUUAAAAUAAUGCAUAAAGAGGGAUAAGAAGUGAUAUGCACGUCGCUUCCUAUCCACCCAUUCCCUUCGAAGCAGCCCAAAUUACCUCUGGUUAGGAUAGUGUCAUGCAUAGACACUAGUUCCUCAUUGUUACAAACACAUACAAUUUAGUUUUUAUGUUUUCACGAUCAUACAAUGAGAGGAGUGUCAUUGAAGUAUGUUACCUAGCAUCCAAAUCCUCUCCAAAUACCAGUGCAACUGCUUGUUUUAGGUCGAUUUUGAUGGCAGAUUGUUUGGUUUGUGGUUGGGAUAUGUAUGGGGACAACAGGUUUGGAGCCAUUCGACACACUCGACGUUUUCGGACGUUCCUAUUUGUGGGGACAACAUUACCUUCUGGUUGUUCUUCACCAUCUGCAAUACGAGAUUUAGAACUAGUCAGCAAAGGUAUACAUUAUGAUUGGGUACUUGGGUUGUUAACCAUAUGGGUGUUUGCAUAAAUUUUAUCACUUACUGCUUACUACAUUAAUGGGUACACUGGACUGCAACUCAUACUCAGGGGCGACAACGCGAUCUGGUGUGUCUAGCACAUGGUUUGCAGCAUGCGAAGCCAUGUACUCAUCACCAAGAAAUGCAUGGUCAUUGGUUGUGGGAGUGUUGGCUGGUGCAUAGCUAGAGUGACCACCCACAUCUGAAUUUACCCCACUAUGUCUUCGAGUCCCUAACUUAUGCAUAAGGCCACACAUUAUUCUCAGCUGCUGCUGAAUGCCCCGUUGAUAUUGGUCAAUUGCUCGUUCUGCAUCAUGAUAUUGAUGCCAUAUUUCCUAUGACAUGAUAUUGAUGUCAAUUUUUGAGAACAAAAUGUGACAACAACAUAUUUCUUUGUAGUUAAGAAGUAAAAAUAAAUUACAAUGACAAUGAAAUGAACAUUUAUUAAGUUUUUAAAAAAUUAACAACUUACAUCACUAUUUUCAGCAUCAACAUUUGUGUCAUGGUCCACAUUAGUCUCUGGCUCCAUAGUUCUCUCUACGGUUGGAGAUCUCUAGGACGCCUAUAAUUAGCACUGAAGAUUAGUACUUAAAUAAUGAGUGUUAUGCUGGUAAUGACAAUAUAUUUAUGCAUGCAUCACUUACAAAAUCAAUCUCAGCAUGUCCGAAUGCUCCAAACUCCUUUAUCUCAGCGACUAGUCAUCGCUUAAUCAAAUCAUCGGUCCAUGCCAAUGCUGGGGGCACUGUAAUGGGGACUUGGACUGAAGGAAUUUGGAAUUUAAUGACAUAAUGCAGCUGCAUAAUAAAUACAAACAUCAGUAGGCAAAUGUGACUAUGUUGUGCAAUAAAAUUAUAUAACAAAAUGGAAGACAAAGAUUGAAUAAGUUCACUACCUGUAGAAAUAAAACGCAGCCAUGUACCCAAGAGGUGUUAGACUGUUGGUAUUGCCUAAUUCCCUCAAUUAGUUGGUCAAGCACAAACUGGGCCCAAUUAACGUCAUUUCGGAAUCCAUCCUCAUGGAUGGUAUGCCACAAGUUACGGCAACCAUUGAGCCUAGAUGUGGGGGCCAACAAUGUGGCACAUGCGUAGUAAAUGAAUGCUUUACGGAACUCCUCGCCUAUAGGUAAGUUCAGGAGUUUCUCCUCGCAUGCCCGAAUAGUCCCAAAUGGAUGCUCUGAUGAUGUAGAGGUCACCUGCAAAAUCCGCCCUUCUGUUGGGAGGCCGAAAAUGAGGCCAACAUCGGUGGCUGUAACAGGAUAGUGUUUCUGGGCUGAGAACUCUAUCCGUCUAAAUCCAACAUUGAAAUGUUGGAUUAGAAAGAUACAAAUGUUGUGGCGCACCUCUAUGCAGUCUAAGUUUAAGAGACCUCCAAAUUGGAGGUCUCUUAUGGCUUGUAUUUUUUCCUCUGGUAACCGGUUGUAGAGUUUCUUAAAUCUUGCAGCUGAGCAUCGUGUAAACAUUGAUGUGCCCUGCAUGCAAUGUUUGACAACAUGGACAUGUUAGGAAUAGCGACAUUUUUGCAAUUGGUAAUGCAAAAAAUAAGUGAAAAAGUAAAGCUGUCAUUUCUCAAAGUUACAAAGACUUGUCUGCUUGUAUUUAGAAAUAAUAUACAACAGGGUAAGACAUUAGAUGGGGUUGGGUGCUACUGACAGUGAGAUAUCCUGUAAGAAGGAGGAUUGUAAAUUUAUGAAUAAGCCUAUAUAGAAUAGACAAUAACAGUAAAAAUGUACAGAAUAGACUAUAAAAGUACAAAACUAAAUAUGAGAAUACUACAUGAUAUAUAAAAGAAAGAAAUCAAAUCAAUUUAUGGAAAUAAAUUGACUAAUUCUAUUAGAGAAAGAAACCAUCAAAAAAUCAAUGAAUAAUCCUAUUUAAUUCUCAUUUAGAUUGUAAGACAACUUGAUAGAACAAAAAUCCUUGGUAAUGAAUUUGUGAUCUUCAACAACAACUAACAAAUGGAGUGAACAGAAAAUGCUAUGGAAAAGCAGAUUUCUUUCAUUGCCUUAACAUGCUUACAAUAAAAUGCUUGAGAAAGUGGAAAUAAAAGCUCACAAACUGAAAGGCCUUGUAUUCGUAUUCCCUCGCACACACUGGGUUUUGUGUCAGGAAUCAUCUUUACAAUAAUUCUAUUCCCCCAAGUGUUUUCCACUAUAUUGAACAACAUGGUGGCUACUAAGGGUCUUGCAUUCAUGGAUGUGAGCAAGAGAAAAAACUCAAAGAGAUCUCUUUGUUUUCCCUGUUCUUUUCAUUCUUCUGGCUAUUUAAAAGGGGUUUAACCUGCUCCUUUUGAUACUUCUGACAUACACAAAAUCUAGAGGAACUGCUAGAGCAAGCACUAUUAUGUGGUGAAGCAUUACACUAGGUAAGGAAGUUCAUUUUGACUUAAAACUUUUAUAGGUUUUAUAAAAUAUGGUUUGAGGUGACACAACCGAACAUACUUUUAGUAUAUCCAUUAGCAUUAAUCCCAUCCCCAUCACCAUUCCUACCACAACACCUCUCUUUAUCCUUUCCUCUACCCUCCUCCCUCCUCCUAGAGGACAUGGUUUUUGCCUAUCCCCACAGCUAUAUAGCGAAGACCAUUAGAUCCCUAAAGCAUAAUUUUAUAUGGCGUUAGUGAUUCGUGCCCAGUCGGUGUAUCAACUGAUUCGUGUCCAGCUGGUAUCCUUGAUUGCGGGAGUAAUCAACAAAAUUUAUAACCUAUUACACCAUGAACUAGGGUAGCAAAGACAAAGCUACUAAAGCAUAGUGGCUUUAGGAUCGUUCAUUGGGAUGGGUUUUCACUUCACAAUUGAUAUUAAUUCAAAGCUGAAUUGGUGUCUUUUCAUUUCAAGGUUAGCUUUAAAAGAAAACAUAAAGAUGUUUGAAUGAAAAAGGUUUGGUUUUAAACUAACCAAAAAUUAGUAACUGAUUUUACUUACAAGGAAAAGUGUUUCUUGGAGUUUAGAUCACUAGGAUCAGAUUCCUUGAACAAAAAGGGAGUUCCGGUCACUUGUUUAUUUUCCUCGCAUUGGGGAUUUAACAUAUAGUUAUUUCCCAAAUCGGUAUUGUACAGAUGCUUCCCAUUAAUGGGUUCAAACACUAAAUCUCUCUCACUUAUGCACCUUGCAAUGGCUCAUACCUCUCACCUAGCACUUGCCAUUCAAGGUGAUCUUUAACCUUGGAUUAUCCGUCAAAAGCUCACAAGAGAUAACUAAUGGAUGUCUCCUUAGAGUCCAAAAGCUUACCAAGUGUUGGCUAUUCUAGAAAAUCCUACCUUCAAACCACCUCCCAAAGGCUCGCAAGAGAUAAACUAGUGCAUCUCAAUGGAUGGAGAUCACUUGCCUUAUCAAGUGUUGGCCCAGGUGAUUUAAAGGCGUUUUAAGUUAAACUAAAAAGAUAAAAACCAUUAACGGGUCACACUUUCUCUUCAUUAAAAACUAAAACAACAAAACUUCCAAUUUAUGCAUGUGGAAACUUACCCAACUUUCCUUACUCCAAGAGACGAAGAGUCUAGCCUCUCAUCCUCUGAGGAAAAAUCCUCAGAGUUUGAUUGGCUAGAAAGAAAAAGAAUGAGAAAACAAAAGCAGAGCAAGUGCUCUGUAUUUUACUUCCUUGCAAAACUGUACAAAGGAUUGAUCUCUGAGAACAAACUCCUAGGAUCUAUGAUCGAUAAUAUAUUCGAUAUAUUUUUUAUAUAUUUCAUGUAAAGGAAAUUACAAACUAUAUAUAAGGGUUUAUUCACCCUUUUUCCAAACUUAAUAACUAAGGAAUCCUAUAAUUGGUGGGCUACAAGGAGACUUUGGGAAUUUAGACAUAAAAUAUCUAAAGCAAAAUAUCUCAAAAUAUUUAGAGCAAAAUAUCCCAAAGUGUCGGUCGUAAAUAUCUGGAAGCUUCAGGAGAACACCGCAGCACUGUGCAAAAUGGCUGCUCUCCCAUUCGGGUAGGCGGCUAUCAGAUGAUCCGGAUACGUCCGUCCGAAGAAGUUGAAACACUCUCCUUUUCUAUCCGGCGUCAGAAUUCCGGACGUGAACAUUCGGGUGGAAGUGGCGGCAGCCAGGUACAAAUUGGCGGCAGCCGGGUACAAAUUGGCGGUAGCCGAGUCCAAAAUGGCGGCAGCCGGGUGCAAAUCCUAUCCAGAUAUGUGGUCCGGACGCCCUCCGAUGGUGUAUCCGGACGCCCUGUCCAGGUAUACUCCUUACAUGGAUUCCAAAGAACUCUCCUCCAUCUCAGAUUUGCUUUGGUGAUCAAAAAGCUAUCAAAACACCAAAACUUAACAUACUUUGAUUAGAAUUGAUUGCAAGGGUCCUUAACAUGCCAAUUGAGUUAAAAGGUGGUAACUACUACUCAAAAGUGUUUAAAAGAGUUAGUUACAAGCUAUGAAAUAUCACUUUUUGAGUAGUAAUCAUUUAGUGAACCACAUUUUCCAUAUUACCAAAUUGUACACAAAUAUUACCCGACAACUUACAAAACUGAUAUAAUAGUAUUUAAUAAAUAAACGUUGAAUUGUUAAAACUUCAAUAUUAGAGAACUUUCCAACAUAACUUAUACAUGGUAACUAUAAUAAGGGGAGAUGAAAUUUUAUGAAAUUUCAUGCAUAAUAUAUAUAUAUAUAUAUAUAUAUAUACUAACUUAAAAGGUAUCUCAAAAUGAAAAUUUCAUAAAAUGAUUUCAGAUUAUAUAUAAACAAGGGAGUCAUUUGUUCACACCAAUUCUAAUAUGUAAAAUAUCAUAAAAUGAAAUUUUACCCAUUUUGAUACCAACAUGCAUUCUGAUUUAUGUUCUCACAAUACAUUAAAAUUGCAUGACUAUAGAUUAUAAGUUCUUGUGGCACUCUACUAGAGAAGCCAAAACCUCUCAAAUAGUAUGUUGGCAACGGAAGAAUGCAAAAAACAACAAAGAUAAGCAAGUAUGAUGAACCAUACCGAGAGUGGGAGUGAACUGGCAGCAGAACCAUCUAGGUCAUUACCAGCCAUUGUUAAUAUUAUAACUGCAUCAUUGGGCAUAGAAAAGUAGAAUGUUAUGCACAGCUAAACUGACCAACUGAAUAACUAAACAGCAAGUAUAGUACAAUACUAUGAAAGUUCAGCUAAGUGACAAGAAAAAUGCACGCAUCCAAUGAUGUGAGUAGGACAUACUUAAAAUAGGGAAGUGAAAGUAUACAUCAAGUUAAAAGAUACCACAUUGAAAGUGCAAUUUCAAAUUAAAUCAGUAAUGAAAGCAACUCCAAAUAACGAAAAUUAAAAAGUAGUCUUAUAAAAAAAAAAAAGUAGUGCAUCGUGUCUAUAAUAAGGACAAUACAUAACAUCCAAAAGCAACAACCCCAUGACCAUAAAGCAAAUAAUGGAACAAUGAGGGAUCGUACACAAAAUGAAAACCUUACAAGCAAAGAAAUGAACAUGUCACGACAAUGGAUUAUUACAUUUAGACCGAUUGUGACCUAUGCCAUUGCAUCGAGAGCAAUGAAUAGCUCUCUUAUGGCUAAAUUGUGACUCAAUACGCCUUUGUCGGGGUCUUCCUGGAGGACGUCUCACUUGCGGGGGUUGGAGACUAGGAAAUACGUUGCCUUGGCCAUCUUGCAAAGUCCCAGCCUCACAAACUUUAGGCAUGUUGUGUGUUGGUAAUGGUUGAAACUGACCCGAGUAAAUCAAAUGUUGGGUGGAGACUUUAAAACAUGGGUCGAUAUAGUCAUACACAUCGUGUCUCAAUGUGCGGAUCACAGCACAUACAUGUGGACAUGGCAACCUGGACAUUUGCCAUGUUAGACAUGUACACUUAUGUUGCUGCAUAUCCACAACCAAAUAAACAUCUCCAGUAAAAACCUUGAACGUCCCACCCAAAUAGGGCAUCACAGUAAUCGGAGCAGAUCUCGUGAUAUUUGACAUUAGCUUUUCCUCUGUUUUAGGUCCAACCACGCUCUUCCACUUAUCUGUACCACGCAUAUGGGUGUCCAACAUGGCUACAAGCUUAUCCAUGUGCAUCAACAACAACAUAUAAAUUGUUUGGUGUCGUUCCUCUCUUAACCACGCAUUGAAGGACUCUGCAAUAUUAGUUGUCAUUUUAUCCCAAUGUUUUUUAAGGAACUUUGAUAUCGCCCAAUGCUCCGGACUAUUCUCCGCAACCCACCUUGCUAGGUCGCCAUUAAAAUGCACAAGUUUUUCAAACGCCUCAUUGUAGUCUAUAUCCAACCGAGCAUAUGCAAUGUUGUCUAAAAGCAGCAAAACAUCUUCUUUCCCUUUCUUUUCCCUAAUGUUUUGCCUAUUGAAGAAGCUUGAAAAGUUCUCUUUCACAUGUCAAUAACAAUAGGCGUGAUUUUCUACCCCAAACAACUCCGAAACACUACGCAAUAUCCCUUGAUGUCUAUCUGAUAUAAUAAUUACUUCUUGACCAUCUAGGAUCCCCUUCAAUUUCUCCAAGAACCAAUACCAAUCCUCAUAAUUUUCUGAACCAACCACACCCAAGGCUAGAGGGAACAUUCCAUCAUCUGCAUCAUAUGCAAUGGCAGACAAAAGAGCUCCUUUGUAUGGACCACUUAGGUGGCAAGAAUCAAUAGCCAAUAUCGGUCGAUACCCCAUGGUGAACCCUUGAAUUGAAAAUGCAUGGGCAAUGAACAAUUGCUUGAAGUGGCCUUCAUGAGAAGUGUACUCGACAAUAGUUCCAGGGUUAAUUUCCCUUAGCCUAUGGCAUAACCAAGGCAAAAACGCAUAGGACGCACGUGGAGAUCCAUAUAAACGCUCUUUUGCCUUCUCUUUAAGAUGCCAUGCUUGGUUAUAAGUCAAUUGAACUCCAUGAUCACGUUCAAAAUCCUUGCAAAUUUGUCGAGGAAGGUAUUCUGGAGUUGUUCUAAACACGUCUUCAACAACAACAACACCUCUCUUGGAAGAAACCCGCACCUUAGAUGAACACUCAUCUUGAGCUAUAUGAUUAUGAUUAACUUGGUAAGUAUAAACUCGCAAUAUUUCAUUUCCUUCAACAGCAUGAGCUGUUAUCUUCCAAGGACAAUCCUCAACCGAACACUUUACUGACAUAUGAGUAGGUGAAUUUUUCUUGUACUUGUAUUGAAACCUUCCAGCUAAUGACAUUUGGUAUAUUGCAUUCCGAAACUCAUCUUCAUUCUUAAAUGUAUGUCUGGAACCUAAUAUUGCCUCACGAAACCGAUUCGAUUCCAAAGGGGUGUACUCACUAUCUGCACAACGCGAUGCAAAACCUCUUGAUAACAUCAUAGUAUUAGGACUUGCAUCGCAUGAUGCAUUAGACGAAGGAAACGUAGGAUGUGGACCUCUGCAUUUACAUUCAUAACCAAAAUUAGACUACAUAAUGCGUAAAAUUGAUAUUCAUAAAAUUUUAAAUAGACAUCCAAGUGAAAACGCAUUACCCAAGUGCCAACUGUGUAUUCGGUAUAUUUGCCUCUAUGGCUUCCACAUCGGGUGACUCGACUAUGUACACAUUUGCAAAGUCAUCACUGUGGGAAACCACGUUAUCCAAGUCAUCCUCAUCUUCUAAAUCUUGGAUGACUCUAGGGUUAAACUUGAGGGUGUAGUGCAUCCUCCUCACAUGAAGGGAAAUGUCGAAUUUUUCUAAGACCUUGUGAGUGAAUUCUUCAAAUGCCAUUCCUUUAUAAAUGUGAAUACCUUUGCUUCUUCCACCAACAUAUUCCCAAAGGCCAUCAUUUUUUUGGACAAGUUUGCCUCCCACGAAAAUAUAACAGUAUAUUCUAUUUGUGGCAUCCAUCAACCUAUUGAAAUAAAGCACAAAUUUAUAUUGUUGAACAAACAAUAAUGCAUAUUCAAUGUGAUCUUAAAAGUUUUUUCAUCUCACAAUAUACUAUGUUCCCAUAUGAAAAAGUUAUAUUUUAAAAAAUGUAUAUACAAAAAAAUGUAACUUUAAAGUCUUAAAAAAUAAUUUUUGUUGCUCCUUUUGAUUAUUCUAACCAUUGUCAACAGUAAGAUUAUUUUAAGAUAGGCACUAAUAAACAAACAGUGAGUUGAACUAAGAUAUGAAGACCGAGCUUCUCUCUUCUCUUGGACUGAUAAAUACUACCUAACCUAAACAAAACUAAAAAUAAUAAUAAAAAUAAAAAACAAAAAUGAGAAAUGUAAAAUUGGAAUGGAAAUUAAAAGAUUGAAAUUAAUAGAUUAAAACAAAUCAUUAAAUUAAAAACUAAGAAAGGCUAUAAAAGGAAAAAAAAUGAAAGAUUACAACUAAAAACUAUGUUACUUCUACUCCUACUUCUAAAAAAAAAUCUCUAACUUAUUUUCCCUAUCAUUCCCCUUUACUUAUAUAUUCAUAGUUCACAUUUUUAUAAGCAAAAACCUCUCUCUCCAACUACUUUAGUGCUACCCAAUUUGACACUACUACUUACCUAUGCUAAUAAUCUAAUCGUGUCAAUACUUGGAACUUUAAGACAAAACAUCACAACAAUAUCUAGUAAAGUAGGAGGAUUUUGUGUCUGAUUUGACAUAAUACUCCAGAACAUAUAUAUAUAUAUAUAUAUACACCAAAAAUAUUGGAAUUAUGGAACUAUAAGACAUUCAAUAGGAAAUAAUCCCCCACGUUUUAUUAAGCUCUGACCUAUACUUACACUAGGUAGAAAACAAAUUCUCAUUCUCACUCAAACCCUUAGACAAUUUCUAUUGGUACUACUAUAUCAGACAUGCCUACAAACUUAUUCAAAGAGAAUGGAGAUAUUUAAAUAUUAAUUAUAAAGCGUUGCUUUGCAAAAUAAUAUGAAGAGAUAAUAGCCUAAAAAAUGUAACAAAUAUAGAAUUCUCUUCUAAACUAUCAUGUCCUACUUUAGAUGAUUCAUACAAAACCAUAAGCAAUAGUUUAACACAUUUAAGGUUUAAGGGUAAAAAAAACUAAUAGAUAAAAAGAGAUAAAUCUGUUACUUGUGCCUACAUCUCAAGCCAAGGCACCAUAAGAAAACUUUAGGGUUUUUAGGUUUUCCAUUUCCCCUUUCCAUUUUUCCUCUCCUGGUUUCUAGCAACCAAUUAAACAAUUAUAAAUUAUUUUCAAGUAUAUAUGACAAUUUUUCACAAAUAUUUUUUUGAAUUUAAAAUAUACAAAUAGCAUGAAAAAAAAAUCUAAAAAAAAUUACAAAAAUAAAAUCAGAUCGAUUAAGCCAUGAAUCAUGAGUUGCAGGUAAAGUGCAUUUUCUGUAUUCUCAAGGCUUAAAGAAAAAAUUAUGGUUCAAAAUUUUUCCUUCUUUUUCUCAUUAUUUUCUCAGCAUCCGAAUAAUAGUAGCAAACCAAGAAGUCAAUUAUUGAAUGGGAAUAGUAACUUGAACUCCGGAGAUCAAGUUGAACACAGUUUAGAGAUUUGGACUAAGAAAAUUUUAGGUCGAGAUUUAGGCAAUCUACUAACCUCAAAUAUGCAACAAGAGAGACCCAACUGAAAUCCAUACCUUAUUCAAAUUUUCGAGAGAGACGAAUGCGAAAAAAAAUGAAAGAGCCACAGAGAUUGAGAUGCAAGCGAUGGAGGUGCUCGGGAGGAAGAGAAGAAAAAGGCUUCUAGGCUUGAAAUGUUGAAGAGAGACCAAAAUUAGGGCAAAUUUCCAAAAAGCCGCAGAGAUUGAGAUGCAAGCGAUGGAGAAACUCGGGAGGAAGAGAAAAAACGGCUUCUAGGCAGAGAAGAAAACGGCUUCUAGGUAGAGAAGAAAACGACUUCUAGGCAGAGAAGAAAAUGGCUUAUAGGCUUGAAAUGCUGAAGAGAGCAAAAUUAGGGCAAAAUUCCAAAGAGCCGCGGAGAUUGAGAUGCAAGCGAUGGAGGAACUCGGGAUGAAGAGAAGAAAACGGCUUCUAGGCUUGAAAUCUGAAGAGACACCAAAAUUAGGGCAAAAUUCCAACCUGGAUUUUUUUGUUUAUUAUUUUUUUUUCAUAAUCAGCAAAGGUUAUUUUUGGAAUUAAUAAAAGUGCAUAUCCUUCUUUUUAAUUUUGACACUUCCUAUGGGUUUUCAACUUAAAUGGGUCAGUUAGAUGGACCUUCUCUUAAUUUUUGGGCCCAACUGGGCCCAAAACACAAUUCUCCCAUAUAUAUAUCUAUACACACACAUGAUCCAUGGUUUAAAUAAAACAUUUCUUACAUUUACAAUAAUUUUAUUUUAAAGUAUUGUUAUUAUAUUACACCAAUGUUGUUAGGCCAUAUUUUGCUAAACAAAAUGAAAAAGAAAACACAUUAUUUGGCAAAUAUUUUACAACUAGAGGUGAUGAAGACUAAUGUUAGUAAUUAGGUUUGCCAUAUGUUUCAACAAUGUACAAUUAGCUCAAUCACUUGAAGCUUAUACCAAAAAUAUAUUUGAAUAAUAGACAAUUUUUGAAGGGUACAUAGUGAUAAUCAACUACCAAAUUAACAUAAACAUAAAAGUUGAAAGGACAAUUUUAAGGUAUAGAUGACUCUAAAAUAUCAAAAGUAGGUUGAGUAUCCAACUUAAUAUUACAACUUUUCUCACUUAAAUGACAGUUUACAUAUAACAAAACUAUCUAAAGAAAAAUAAUUGUUUGCCAACAUUUCAAAGAUAGAAUUCUCAAACACUAGUACCAAAAGAAAUCUUCAUCACCACUAAGAAUUCAUCAUUGUAUUCAAUCUGAAACAAGUAAAUACACAUAAUUAGCUCCAAUUUAAGCAACAUUUAGAUUUUCAUAAUGGACUAUAAACAACAUGUUCAAUAUUAUUAUUGCAAUUAUUGUUAUUAUUAUUAUUAUUAUAUAAUUAACAACACAAUAUUAACAAACUUGGUUAUAAAGAUUGUUUAAAUUCCUAUAGUUUUCAUACUUGUGGUAUUUAACCAUACUCAAGUGAGUAUAUUUGUCAAUAAAUUUAGAGUUUCCACUAACAACCUAUAACAAUUUAUAAUUUUAGCUGCUUGCUUGUAUAUUUUUUUGGAAUUCAACCUUGGAAAAAAUCACACGAAUCUUAAUCUUCCCUAUGAAAAUCACAUUCUGCAACUUCAAAGAGUUGAACCCAAUUAUAAACUCCCUCCAUCCUCUUUCUAAUGACUCAAACUAGGAGAUUGAUUACCCUAUGCAUUGUAUUUAGGAACUUAAUUGUAGUAAGGGAAGAGAAACAACUUAUAUUCAUAUGUAUAGUUGAAGGGUCUAAAAAUAUGCCUCUUACUAUAACAUGAUUUGAACAUUUAAAGCAAUAUACUUUUAGUAAAUCUAAGUCCAACAAGCCAACAAUUCAAUUUUUUUUUUGUAAAUUUAAAUCAUUAUUUUCAAUUCAAGAAGUUAAGAAAUAAUAUAAUAAAAUAUAAGCAUAAAAAGAUUAAUAGCUAACAAAUAUGUACGUAAACAUGGAUGGCCUUUCAUUACGUUGCAAUGAAAUUCAUCUUACCUUCUUUUUGCAUAAUGUUUAUUAUUUUGAAACCACAUCACCCUCUGCAAAAUAGCUGAAUUCAUUGUGAUGAUAAUCAUAACACACCAAAAAUACAAUGAAAUAAAAUAAAUAAAUAAAUAAAUAAACAAGGAAGAAAAUAAAGGAAAAAGAAUCGUAAGUGAUGUAAGAUAUGUCACCUUUUCAGCCAUGAACUCCAUCUGUUUCCAUCUUCCUUUUCAGACGAGCCACAUUCACUGCAGCGAAGACAUAUAACCUAUCUCUGGUUUCAUCAAUGAACCGGAAAUAAGCCUGCCUCCAAGACUUCUUUAGAGCCAAACUGCCACAUACAGCCCAAAAUCCCACCGGAAAGCCCAAUCCCAUGCUUAUGAAGAACCAUGACAGGUCCCAUUCAUCUUCAUCUUCCUCCUCAUCUGUGUGAUCUUGAUCAUUUAGAGUGGAGCAGUUGGUUGACAAUGGAGGCCCACAAAGUCCCAGGUUCGCCUCAUAAAUGGAUGGAUCAUUGAAUGUCGAGAACUGGUUGGUUGUUGGAAUUGGUCCUGACAGGAGGUUAUGUGAUAGGUUCAAAUGGUUCAAUGAGGUUAUAGAAGACAUGCUUGGAGGAAUUGGACCUGAAAGGCAGUUGCAUGAGAGGUCAAGAGUUUCUAGCCCUUGCAUGGUUCCGAUCUUCUCAGGUAUCUUUCCAAUCAAUUGGUUUUGGGACAAAUUCAAGGUACCCAGGGUCGAGAGAUUUGUGAUCUCUUCUGGGAUCUCUCCCCAAAUGUUAUUGCUAGAAAGAUCAAUCAAAUUCACAAUUGACAGUAUGCUAUCAAAUUCCAUGUCUUGUCCCUUCACAACUAGCUCCAUGCGCUCUGAAUAGGCAAAAUGACUCCCGGGGUUGUCAUCAAAUUCGAUGUCUAAUAAGGUCACAGAACGUAAAGCAGUCAAAUUGCCUAAGCAUUGUGGGAUGGAUCCUGAUAAAUUGUUAAGCGCAAGAUCCAAAAUGUGGAGAUAAGAAAGCCCACACAGUUGUUCAGAAUAUCUCCUAUCAACAUGUUGCCUCGUAAACGAAGUUGCCUCAAUGAUGACAUUUUUUCUCCAAUCCAUUUGGGUGUCUCGCCCGAAAACCUGUUAUUUCCAAGAUCAAGGGAGUGCAGCUCUGUGCAGUUUUGUAAGCUUUGAGAGAGUUUCCCAGAAAGAUUGUUGUCGCCCAAUAUCAAGUUAAAUAAAGAUAUUGAACACAUCGAACUUGGAAUCCCACCUGACAGUUUGUUCUUGGAUAGAUCUAUGGUGUCAAGAUUGUGCAAAUCAUUCCAAUUCUUUGGAAUCCUUCCAGAAAAAUGAUUGCUUGAGAGAUCAAUUUCGUUCAAAUCCUUUAGUUUACUAAUUGAUGAAGGGAUGCUGCCAUUUAACAACUUACCAGAAAUAUCAAGGACUUCCAAACUCGAUAAUUCCCCGAUGUUCAAGGGAAUUGGACCAGAAAAUAAAUUGUUUCCCAGAAAGAGCUCUAUCACAUUAAACCAAAGUGGGAAUCGGCCCACCAAGUGGUUGAAGCUUAAAUCCACCUCGACUGCUUUUCGGCUAAAGGAUAAUGAGUUGGGAAGCUUUCCAUACAAUUGGUUUUUAGAAAGAUCUAACCAUGAAAAAUCUAGUUUCCAAAGCCAUUCUGGUAUUGUAUCUGAAAUCCCCACAUUUUUAAGAACUAUUGUGUUAAGUCUUUUUUGAGUUCUAAGCCAGUUGGGGAACUUGGGAGAUACAUAGCAGUUGGAAAUACGGAUAUACAAGAGGCUGAAAGGAGGAAUCCAUUCAGGUCUCACGUGAAAACGGAGAGACUGGUUUUUGGGUGAUAAGUGUAAAGAGAAAUACUCCAGUUUUGUAAGAUUACUGAAAUGAAUUUCAGAUAUUACCCCUUCCCAAGCAUUCCAAUUAAGAUACAACUCAGUCAGCUCUCUAAGUUGUCCAAUACUUUCUGGAAUCGUCCCAUUCAUUAGAUUGAAUGACAAGCUAAGUCUCUUCAUCCGCAGCAAGUUUCCAAUCCAUGUUGGAAUUGGACCUGAGAUGGAGUUUUUUCUCAGAUAAAGACUCUCUAAGUUGGUAAGGUGUUGAAUUGAAUUGGGGAAGGGACCAACAAAACUAUUAUAGCUCAAGUCCAGGGAUUUUAAAUUCUUAAAGAGCCCUAAUGAAUCUGGCAACUGACCACUGACUUGAUUACCGCCCAAGUUUAACUCUUCCAAGGAAUUAUUAGUGCAUGCUGAUAAUCGAUUCAGGAAUUCAAUUCCUUCACCUCCAAUACUAUUGUAUGAGAGAUCUAAGGUCACCAAGUUGCGAAGGCAUCGUAAGUUAACAUGGGGAAUCGGACCUUUAAUUGUAGCACCAUUUAAAUAAAGAUCUGUAAGGGUACUGAUGUUAAACAACCAGCCAGGCAAAGUAGUGUUGAAAUUGUUUCCGGAGAGAUCAAUGACCAAAGCAGAAGUCAAAUUAACAAACGGAUUGGAGUACUGAGGGAAGUGACUGAGUUCACAAUGGGACAAAUGUAAUUCUAACAAAAAUGGAAGCAUGUUUACAGCUUGCAUGCAAUUUGAGGUUGCUUUACUAAGGUUCACAUUCCCCAGAUCAAGGUAUUUUAAAGAAGAAAGACCAGAAAGCCAAUUUAAAUUAGAAACCCUCAUUUGAUAUUCUCCUCCAUGAAGGUCAAGAUAACGUAACUGUGAUAAAUUUCCAAGAAGAGGAGGAAUCAUUCCACCUUUCAAAUGAGCCCAAGAAAUUUGGGAUUGGAAUUCCUUGAAAAUCAUUAAGACUUAGGUCCAGGUAAGUUAAAUGUUUCAAGUCAAGUAAGGAAUCACUUAUCUCACCACCCAACGGUAAGAAGUCAUGUUGUCUGAGGUCAACCUUGACAACAUUUCCUGUUUGGUUGUUGCAAUCCACACCUCUCCACUUGCAGCAAACAGCACCAACCCAGGAAGAAAGCCUACCUGAAGGAUCUUUCAGACCAUGUUUAAAUUCAGGAAGCGCUUUCCGCUCUACCUCAAUGCAAGCCAUGUUGAGAUCACUGUCAUUAGAAUUGAUUGUAAGAGCUUCAACCAUGAGAAACUUCAAAAACAGAGAAAGCAAAAGAAUAAGGAGUGGAAUGGUGGUUUUCCUACUUGCCAUUGAUGAAUGCAAAGUUGCACAAUUCUGAAUUGAUACCAUAUAAAUAAAUAAGAUUAGAGUCUUGGUCUAAUUUGUUUAACUAUUUCAAGUCUUCAUGCCAUCUAUAAAUAAAUGCAACAAAGACCCUUCAGCCAUAUAUGGCCCAUGUACUCCAUCAUAUCUGCAAUUAAUUUUACAUGUCACUUCUGACCAUAAUUUUAUCCUUCUCUUUCUUCAUAACAUCUUACGGCUAUUGAAACAUGUAUUAUUAAAGAAUCUAGACGGCAAUAAAAGCAUAAUUUAUGCCCAAAAAUACCCACAAAGUAAUGGCAUAUUAUAUGAUUCAAGUGUCUAAAGCUCUAUGCUAUGUAAGUGGAGUAUUAUCUUUUAAAAAUAUUUCUUGAAUGAGCCACCAUCAUCACAAACUUGUUAAAAUAUGAUCACCUUAAAACUUGAAAGUGAUCCAAAUAAUGGAUGUUUUCACUGUUUUUUUUUUUCUCUCUUUCAAAAAUGUGAUUUUUUUUUUUUUUUUGAGAAAUCGUUUCAUUUUUUCUAUCAUGCUAAUCCUUAAAUUAUAUUAAUCAAUGAGCAUUUGGCACACUAAUUCUAUUUACAUUGGAUUCAGUUUCAAUCCUUCUCAAUGUUAAUACAUUUUUAAUUUUGAAAAAUAUAUGAUGCACGAUAAUCUAAACAAAGAAUAAUUUUUUCUCUAUUUUAUUGAUCUAAUAGAUUGAUUUAGAAAAUAUGUUAGGCCAAUACUAGUGUUUCAAAUUUACAAAUUUUUUUAAAGGAUUGGAUCAAGGUUCAAUCACAAUUGGAUCACACAUUUCUCUUGUCCAUGAGUAAAUUAAGCUCACAAUAUUAAUUACCAAGUUUUUGAAAUAUGAAAAUGUAGUCCAAAGAAAAAGAAAAAGAAUCUUCUUUUUAUUCUUUUUUUAUUUUUUAUUUAAAUGGAAAAAGCUUUAUUUAUUUAUUUGCUUUUACAUGGAGUAGACUAAAGAGUAAUGGCUUUGUUUUAGUCAAGAGUCAAGAUAUCACAAAAAUCCUUUAAGUCAUUGUCUAAAGAAAAACAAUCACCAAGAAAAUAAAUUUAAAUAAUAUUUUAAUGUAUGACGUACCUAUUUUAUCUAAAAAAACAUUUUUAGACUCUUGCUAGAGUUUUCUCAUAUGAACCAUUUACUAAGUUUAACAUGGAUUGCGUAGGAAGUAUAAUUAAUUGAAGAAAACUAUAUGAAACUUCCUACUCCAUGUUAAGUAUUAUAUAUGUUGAAAAUAAAAUAGAAAUUUAAGUAAUAUUCUAAUGUAUGAUGUAUAUAAUUUAUCUAAAAAAAUAUUCUGAAACUCCUACCAAAAUUUUCUCAUGUGGACUGUUUACUAAGUCUAAUAUGGAUCAUGUACGAAGAAUAAUUAAUUGAAGGAAACUACAUGAAACUUUCUACUCCAUGUUAAGUAUUAUAUAUGGUGAAAAUAAAAUAUAAAUUUAAAUAAUGUUUUAAUGUAUGAUGUAUAUAUUAAAAAAAAAUUAAAUAAAACAUUUUUUGACUUUUGCUAAAAUUUUCUCAUGCGGACUAUUUACUAAGUCUAAUAUGGAUCAUGUUGAAGAUAAGUACAUGAAACUUCCUACUCCAUGUUAAGCAUUAUAUAUGGUGAAAAUAAAAUAGAAUUUUAAAUAAUGUUUUAACAUAUGAUGUAUGCAUGUAUUAAAAAAAAACAUCUUUUGACUCUUGCCAAAAUUUUCUCUUGUGGACCGUUAACUAAGUCUAAUAUGGAUAGUGUAGGAAGAAUAAUUAAUUGAAGGAAGGUACAUGAAACUUUCUACUCCAUGUUAAGUAUUAUAUAUGGUGAAAAUAAAAUAGAAAUUUAAAUAAUAUUUUAAUGUAUGAUGCAUGUAUUAAAAAUAGAAAAUCAAAAACAUUUUUUGACUUUUGCCAAAAUUUUCUCAUGUCGUUUACUAAGUCUAAUAUGGAUCGUGUAGGAAGAAUAAUUAAUUGAAGGAAGGUACAUGAAACUUCCUAUUUUAAGUAUUAUAUAUGGUGAAAAUAAAAUAAAAUUUUAAAUAAUAUUUUAAUGUAUGAUGUAUGUAUUAAAAAAAAACAUUUUUUGACUUUUGCCAAAAUUUUCUCAUGUGGACCAUUUACAUGGUUUAAUAUGGAUCGUGUAAUAAGAAAAAUCAAUAUUUUCAAAAUCAGAUCGGCCAUUGAAGUAGAAAAGUUACCGAUUCAUGGUUCACUAGUCAAACCGACGGUCGAACCGAUGAUGUCAUAAAUAUAUAAUUUAUAAAUUAUUAAAAUUUAAAAUAAUUAUAAAAAUAAAAAUAAUAAUUUAUAUAUCAUUUUAAAAUUAAAAUUUUAUUUGAAAAUCAAAAAAUUAGUUUCAAAUUAGAAAUUCAAAUUAAAAUCAUAAUUUUAAUUUUAAUUUUGAAAUUUUGAAAUUUAUUUUUAAAUCAAAAAAUUAUUUUAAAAUCAUAAUUUAUUUAAAAUUGUGAUGUUUUGAUUAAUUUAAAUUAAAAUCAUAAGUUUUAAAAAUCAUAAAGUAAAAAAAUAAUAAAUAUAAAAGAAAAUAAAUUAUAAUUAGAUGAGGUAAAUAAAUAAAUAAAUCAAUCUAGAAAGGAAGGGAAGAAAUGGUGGCCCAAAAUGGGAAGAAUGAAGGAUUGGGAGGAGGUGGUUUUCAGAUGGGGGUGGGACUUCUAGUGGGGAAGGGUUUUCGCCGCAAGGGGAUAGGGGGUUUUGCCACUGAGGGAGCGACGUCUAACCGACCAGUGGCCGAUGACAGCAACUCGGUGUCGAUGAUAAUAGGAGGUAGUAGCUAGGGCAACCGUGCGAGAGGGGUUGUUGGGAAGAAAAAAAAAUGAUUGAACCGGAUGAUUCGGAGGGAAUCGUUUGGUUAGUCCAGUUUGUCAAUCAAACUGUCAGUUCAAUCGAUCCAAUUCUGAUUUGACUACCUUCCAACCUAAUAGACCAAACCGAAUAGAAAUUGUUACUGACUGGCGAUCGAACCGAUUAGACCAACCAGUCCGAAUCGAUUUUUAAAAACAUGAGAAUAAUUAAUUGAAGAAAGCUACAUGAAACUUCUUACUCCAUGUUAAGUAUUAUGGUGAAAAUAAAUAUAAAUUUAAAUAAUGUUUUAAGUAUGAUGCAUGUAUUUUAUCUUUAAAAAAAAAAAAAUAGUGUCUUGCAAGAAUUUUCUCUUGUGGAUCAUUUACUAAUUCUAACAUGGAUUGUGUACGAAGUAUAAUUACUUAAGGAAGCAAAAUGAAACUUCAUACUCCACGUUAAGUAUUAUGGCCAAAUAUAUAUAUAUAUAUAUAUCAUGAAAAUUUAUUUUAUUAUAUAUAUAAAGGGCUAGAAAAAUGCAUAUAUAGUGGGUGUCAUUUUUUUUUGUUUAAAAUAUGAAUACACCUGAAUUUGACUUAAUCUAAAUAAAAUUGAAUGUUAUUAAGUGUUUAAAUUAUGUGUUUUUACUAAUAUUUGAAGUAUUAAGCUUAUUUAUUUUUUACAUAUUAAAUAUAUAUAUAUAUAUAUAUAUAUAUAUAUAUAUAUAUAAUUACUAUAUUUUAUUAUUUUAGUUUUAAAAUUAAUAAUAUAAAAACAUUAAUUUAAUAUAUUUUUAAAUAUUCCAAACUAUCAUAAUUUAUCACCAUAAUAAAAAAUUUAUAAUAAUUAAUUAUAUAAUUAGUAGGCAAUUAACAAAUAGAUUUCUAGUUAUGUUUGGUUGUUAAGAAAAUAUUAAAAAAUUUCUAAGUUAAAACUUAUUUUUAUAUAACCUAUCUUUGGAGAAAGAAGGGGUGAAGGUUUUAAUGAAUUUGAAAACUAUAUAUUUAGAUUUUGAUACGUUUUCCUAAAUUCAAAAUUCUGAAAUUAAAAAAUUGACCUAAAAAAUAUUCAUAAAAAUAUUUUUAUUCUAGUGAAUAAUUGGUGAGUGUAAAUUAGGAGUGUAAGUUCAAAUGUAUAACCCACCAAACCAACUUCAAACCUGUCCAAUCUAGUUGGGUUUGUUCAUUUUGGCUUUUCAUAGCAAUUCAUGAGAAUAUUUUUAUUCUAAAUUAUCUUGAUAAACAAUAGAGAAAAUAAAUAAAAACAAAUUUAAGUCAUACUCAUAUUUUUUUAUGACAAAUUUACUAAUUCAUGGUAGAUUAAUUUAUUAUUCUAAUUACACAAUGUUUAAGUAGUUUAAUUUUUUAUUUUAAAAAACAAGAAAUAUCUAAAAAUUUUAAAAAUAAAUUUAGUUUAUUUUGAAGGAGGAAUUAGAUUUGAAUAUUAUAAUAAAUUUAAUAGUUGAAAAAAAUGAAAUUUUAUUUUCUCAAAAAAUUUCACUAUUCCUCUUAAAAUAAAAUUAUCUCUGAAAAGUAAUAACCUAAAAAACAAACCAUCAUAAAAAUAUAUUAAUUAUAUUACAUGGAAGUUAUGUUUUAAAGAAAUAAUAUCAAUAUAAAUUCCAAAUUUUGAAGUUAUUUCUUUAAUAAAUAACUUAAAAGUUUGAUAAUUAAAUUGAAAUUAUCUUUUGAAGAAAUUUCCCAUUUUACUUUUCACAAUUUCCUACAAAGUAAGAAAUUAUUUUUCAAUUAUCAUAUUUUAAAAAAUAUUAUAUUUUGUUCAAAAUCCCCAAGGAAUAGAUCCAUUGAAUAUUAUUUCACACGUGUUUAUUGUUCACCAAAUUUUCAAUUAUCAAAUUAAUUAAUGUAAUGAAAAUUAUUGAAAUAUUACUUCUUGUUUUUUUAAUCUAACAAGUACCUUAUGUGCAUAGAUUAGGGUAUUUUUAUAUACCCAGAAAAAGAACACCUUGUUGGUCCAGUUAAACAGUUCAAAUUGCUUGCCUUUUUUUUGUAGUGUCUAAAAUGAUGGUUGUUUGCAAUUCAGAUGUUGCUUUCGAUUUGUUCUCUGUUGAUGUACAAGACGACUGAAGCAAGUAUGAGACAACUGCAAUGAACUGAACCCAAAAGUAGGUCAUGAGUCAAGUUUUGCAUUUUUAUGUGUGGGGGCAGACCCUUUCUGUCUCUCUCUCUAAUCUCUAUCUCUCUCUUCAAUCCUAAAAUGGACAAAAAAGAAAGGUCCAAAACAUGCUUUCAAUUGAAAAGAAGAAAUCUCUCUCUAUGUCUCUCUAUCUCUCUCUUCAAUCCUAAAAUGGACAAGAAAGAAAGGUCCAAAACAUGACGGCCCUCAAUUGAAAAGAAGAAAAAACAAAGACUCAACUUUUAUAUUGUUUGAAUGCAAUCACACUCGUGGAUUUUCUAAUGUUUUGAUUCUAUUCUAAUCGAGCACUUACCAAUUUUGAUAAUUAAAGAAGACAAAUUUUCCAUUAUUAAAGUUUAGGAGUGAAAGUGUGGACAAUUACCCUGGUUUGAUUCGUUCAAUUUUAAGUAUAAAAUCAAAUCAAAUCAAAUCAGUCUUACAUGCUUUUAUGUAUGAAUGAAGAAUUGAACAAGUUAGUUACCAAAUCUUUAAAGUUUAGUCUUGCCGACAUGAGAGAAAAAACAAAAUUCCUUGUCUUGUCCACAUGUUGUGGACAACUUGUUUGAAUGAGGAAUCCAUAUGUCACCAAUUAAGCUCUAAGGUCACUGUCCCAAGGAAAGGUUCGAGAAAAGAAAAUGAUGAAAAAUUCAAAUGGUGGUUUAAUAUAUAAUAUAUAAUUUAUUAUUAUUAUUACUUUAUUUUAUUUUAAGAUGAGAGGUUCUUCAAGCAAGUGUAUUAGGCCAAUUUCUUCUUUUGUUACAUCAUUUAUUUAUAAAAAAAGAUAGAUAUUUAAAAUAAAAUACAUUCAUAUAAGAUAAUAAAUAUGAAAAUAAUAUAGGAAAAAAAAUACACUAAGAUAAUAAACAACCAUUGGAAGUAAAAUUUUAUUUUGCUUAUAUAUGGUAUAUCUUAUUUAAUAAUAAAUACUAUAAUAUAAUUAUUUAAUAAAUUUAGAAAUAUUAAUAUAUUUAUGUUUUAUUGUUAUAAUAUGGCAAAGAUAGAAACGCAUUUUGAUUAUUUGUAUUUUUUAAUUUUAUGAUGAUUAAAUUAUAAUAUUAUAAUUUGUUUUCUUCUACUUUCGUGAAAUCAAAUAUAGGAAAAGUACUCUUAGACAUUUCAAAGCGAUGAUUGUUGAUUUUAAACAAGAUAAAAAACAUUAAUAGUUUGUCAAAAAUUGUUAUUCGAUUUUCUAUUUGCAACAUGAAGAUCCAAAAAAUUCUUAGUUCCUAUAAUGUUUGAACAUAUCUUUACCAUUUUUUUCUUCUUGAUCUAACAACAAGCUUGACUGCACAAAAGUGAUGAGGGUGAUGUUCUUCCUAUGCUCUCCUCUCCCUUUUUAACUUUUAUAUCCCCCCUCAACAGUAUAGUUUUAAGGUAUAUCACUUUAAUCCUGAUGGACUAAAGGCCCAUAAUUUAUCUCAAUGGGUCAAAGUGAAGCCAUGGGCCUCUUCACAGUACAUUAAAUUGAUUAUGGCCCAAAACAAUACCCAUGCACAACCAAAUAUAGUUUACAAUAUACCUAGUUCACAGUACAUGAAAUCGUUUCUCCAACUACAUUGCUACCAUCACUGACGUCCUCAUCACUAACGAGGCCUAGACUCCGAUUCUCUCUUUUCUUCUCCGAAAUACUCUUGUGUAUUUCAAAUUCGGAGCCAAAAUCUGGUCAAAGAGAAACAACAACCCUAAAUUCAGCCCGAUCGACCAGCUAUUGAUGAGAGGUCUUUAAAGAUUGUAGUCUUCUUCGCUUCACAGUGAAGAAAUGCAUAGUCGGGGACCGAAUCACCGGCUAUCUGGUUCGGCUUUCAGAUCUCAAGUUUCGGUUCUCAUGCUAGCCAUGUUGACACCAUGGCAUGGAUUUACGUCGUCGGCCGGUGAGUUCUGGCACUGUUUCAUGUUGUGAAUUGAUUUUUGUUUCUUAGCUGUAAUAGUGCUUUAUGGUGUGGUUAAUUUCAUUUAUUUAGGUUUUUGUUUUGUGAUGCUUUGAUUUUGAUUAUAAUUGGUCUAUUUUUUUCAAAAAAAAAAAUUGUUUUUGUGGAAAUCUGUUUUCGGUAGGCUACGGCUGGAUUAUGAGAAUGGGGCUUAUUUGAUUAAAGAGCUGGAUAGGAGAACUAGUCAGGUGUUAUCUUUACUUUUAUGUAUUACCAUUUGUUAUUCAAUUGUAGCUUCAAAUUUUCUUCCCCACAGUUUGUUAAUGCAUUUUUUGGGACUAUUUUGUUAUCGAGAUUAAAUUAUAGAAUUAUAAUGAUACAAAGGGGGUCUUGACAUUGUAUGGAACCAGAAUCAGUCCAUCAUGGUUUAAAUUAAUUACAUGUUCUAUAGCAUUACAUUACAAUGCCAAAUAAAUUAGUGAUUUGCAUGAGCUCAUGCCUUUUUCUUUCUUUCUUUCUGUUUUUGUCUUUUUUUUUUCUUUUAUUGAAACUAUUUGAGAUGAUACCAGCCUAUUUUCUUUUUUUGAAAUUAAUCAUUCAGAGUAAUUGACUAGAUAAUGGGUUUUUCCAUUUUAAUGGUUUUUGUGUGCAAUCAGCCAAUGACACACUGAAAAUUAUAGCAUGCAGGUAAAUAACUUAUACCUAUCCUUCCUUUAUGUGGGGUUCUUUUUUUGGGGCUUUUGUUAUAAUAGACAAAAUAUAAUCUAAAGGUCAUGGUGAUGGUUCUUUUAUUUUAUAGGGAACAACACAAGAAGUUAGCAGCCCUUGAGAUGGAGCUAGCGGCAUCACAACAGGAAGAUUUUGCCUCAAAGAACUUGUUAGAAAAUAAGGGGACUCCUCCCAAGAAAAGGCUUUUAGCUGUUGUUGGAAUUAUUACAAAGUUUGGCCACAAGAACAAUAGAGAUGCAAUCUGUAAGGGCAUGGAUGCCAACUGGUAGAAUGCCCUUCUUUUUAUAAGUUUCGCUCUUUAUUCUUUGUAUUAUUUACAUAGAGAAUGACCCAGUUGGCACUUAACACAUUGACAUUUCUGUUAUAAGCAUAUAAGGGAUAAAAAUAGGAGGCUCGUAGGCUGAACUCUUAUUAACAUGAAAACUUUUAGUGAACUGCCAUUUCUCAUCUAUUCUUUUUUCAUUGUCUUGUUUAUUUUCUCAGUUUGCAAUGGUCAUUUUCAAUAGUUUGCAAACUCCAUCAACCAAUUUGAAAAGCCUUGGAGCUAACAAGUACAAAUUAUGAGAAACUAAAAUCUCGUUUCUCUAGGAUUUUUCUAAAGUUGCUCAAAUGAAUGGAAAGCAGAAAACUAUCAAGAAGCCCUACCACUGCCUUGCACCCUCUAUACCCCUAUUUACAAAAAAAUUGGAGUUUGUCUUUAAUGUAAUAAGGGAGACAAUAGUUUGCAUAAUAAUGGAACAUGAUGUAAUAUUGUGAUUCACUACUGCAAAAAAUAAUAUUAACAUAACUUAUGUGCUAAAUUACACUUACAUGCUUGGCACAAAAGUAUGUUAUUCUUCAUUUGAGAACAUUACUUAUGUUAUUCUUCAUUUGAGAACAUUACUUUAAACCUUAUAUGUUAGCAUCACUUUUGCCAUAACUAAUCUUUUUUUCUUUCUCCUUAUCCAAGACAAUGCAUAUCGAGUGAUUGAUACUUAAGUUAAUAGCCUUAGCACCCACAUGAGGUGAAGUUUGAAUCCAGAAUUUCCUAAUAGUCUUAAUACGCUUCCUCAAGCGUGUUCAAACUUAAGACGUCAAUGUUAAACCACCACUUUGCCCAAAACUUUUAAGUUACGCAGUAAUAGGCCAGCAAUGGGAUAUUAAGGCGACUGACAGGUAGGCUAAUAGCUUGAGCAAUUCUCUUAUAAUGUUUAAUGGUUUAAAUGUUGACGAUUAAAACACUUACAAAAGCAUGAUGACUUACCCAUCCUUUUCAUACAGAUACUCUGGAAGCAACUCUUGCUACUCAUUUGAAUAAGCCUCGAGUUUAUAUUGGGUGUAUGAAAUCAGGCGAAGUUUUCUCAAAAGUUGAGUAUAAUCAAAGUUUUUUUUCUCUAUUGAUGAGAAAACGAGUUGUUUAUGAUAUUCUACUUUCAUAUAUUGUAUUAUCUUUUCAUAUUGUCUGAAUUAUGUAGGAUCCACAAGUGGUAAGAACCAGAUUGGUAGAAAUUUGGUGAUGGAAAAUCAUGAGUAUUUCUGUGUUGAUUUCAUCUUGUCUCUUAUAUUAGGAUAAGUAAUUAUUACUUUCUAGUUAUGUUAACUAGUCAAGAAGUCUCUUAGCAUCUCUGAAUUCAUCUGAUAGGUGAUAGAAGUCCCAAUGAACAACUAGGGCAUUGUCCCAUAAGAGGCUUGCUUGAUAGAGAGAAGUUUUUUAGGCAUUCAAACAAUUUAUCAUUCCAUCAUAUUCUUGUCAUCUAUUACACUUAAUUUGCCUACCCUUGCACCCAUAUUUUAACCAUCUCAACUCUAAUUUGUGUCGAGGUAUCCUAGAGUCUGCAUAGGGAUGCCUUCUCGGGAAGUCAGGCUUACAUUGGUUGAAGAUACAUUUAGCAAAUUUAUAUGCUGGUGGAGUGGACAAGUUAUCAUAUGAGGGUUAGGUAGCAUUUACUGAGAAUCAUUUGGAAGAUAUCUUUGAGUCCGCAGAUAAACCUCUGGAAGGAAGACGUUGGUGAUUGUCUGUCGAGGAUCCUUUUCAAUGCUUGGCAGCGUGUAUUAAUCUAUCAAAUGCAUUAAGAAGCUCCCCUCCAGAGACUACCAUUUCACACAUGCCUGUCCACUAGGUACUUCAUUCUUAGCAUGGUCACAUUCAAACUGAGAAAUGUUUACCAAGUGAAAUCAAAUUAAUCCCACCUCCUCCCUAGUCUACCCAAUCCCACAAUAAAAAAGAAAUCUCAAAACUAGCUUUUAUUGGAAUUGUGUUCUAUGCAUAGUCAUAUCAUUUGUUGCCCUAUGUAUUUUGUAUAAACUCCUCCAAGCAUAUAGCUCCUCUGCAUUUACACAUGGAAAAUGACAAUCAUAUGAUUGUACAUAUCCUUCAGAGUACCCCAUUUGUUACCCCAUUAUUAGGAGCAAAAAUAAUGGAUCGACCACUUCUUUCAUAGCCCUGUCUUAUGUUUGUGCUAUCCUGCUAUAGUAUGCUUGAGAGGAUAACAAACAUUUCCCUGACUUUACUUUUGUUUUCAUAUUAAAUGCUUAGAUUCAGGUCAUUUGUUUAUCCAAACUUAAUCUAUGAUUGUAUUGUUCUAUGUUUUUCAAGGAUGGCUCUUGCAAUGGCUUACAACACCAUGCUGCCCUUGGAAGGGACAAGUUAGUGGAAUUUUCUGUUUUUGGUUGAUUGUUGUGGAAUUCUGAUUAUGUGAUAUGGAAGCAUGGUUUUUGAUUAGUUAGACAGUUUUUCACUCUUUUUCUGCUUUGAGGCUAAAUGUGUCUCAGCUUUGAUCUUCUCUCUUUUUGAUAGAAAAAAGGAACUUUGUUAAGGAAAGAUGGUAAAAGGAUGAGGAGUUGGAAAUUGAAACCCAAGAAAGAAACCAAACUUUGUUUGAGUUUAGUGCAGUUUAUUUAAUUUGAUUUUUCAAGUAAUUUCAAAGUUUGGUUGUUUCAAGAAAGGGGAUUAUCAUCGGUAUUUGGCAAGUUCAAAGGCUAGGGCAGCAAAUCAGUCUCUAAAGAGUGAAUUUUAGUUAGACCUUAGUAUUGGAGGAGAUAAAUUAUUAUUUAUUUAUUUAUUUAUUGAAGUUUCCUUGUUCUUUGGCAAUAGAACUUUGUAUUGGGGAUUAUUAUUUGAUUAUGCAGUUUGGAUACAUAUACAUAUUUGGAUUAUGCAAUAUUGGAAAUUAUAAUUUUGUUGCUUCAACUGCCUAUCAAGAAAAAUAAUUUUGUUGCUUCAACUAAAGUUUUAUAUAUGUAAUAGAAAAUAUAUACUGGAAAAAGUGGUAGGACCUCUUCAAUUUUGAAAUGAGAAUUUUAAUUAAAAUAUUUGAAAAAAAAAUAUUCAAGACUUCAGCUCUGGCCAAAUAUAAGUUGUGUCCACUUAAUAACCUAUGGCAGCGGACAAGAAAAAGUGGCAUCCAUAUGAAGCCCUAUAAUUGCGGCUGACAAAAGGUCAUGUCUAUAAUACUAUAUAGUAUUAAAUUCUGUAGAUGUCACACCUUCAUAGCAGCAACUAUCAGCUCUCCCAACCACAUAUAGAGCUUUUAGUUGAGGAAAAAACAUGAGCGCGGGGAUAGCUUCACAACUUCUUGUGUUUUUUACUGGUGGCUGCAACUAUAGGAUUUAUCUGCAUUCCUAUGGCCUUCGCAGCUAUGAACUUAACUUCUUGUAGCGUGUAACACUCUUGCCUCGUGUACGAUUGCAUGAACUUGCAACACAUGUACUGCACAACUCUUUGUUAAUGGUUAUAAAAAAUAUUUUUCUAUUUUUGAGAAUUGAAAAUAAGAAAAUCUUGUUUGACAAUAAGAAAAUAGUAAACAAUUUUUUAUUUUUAAAAACAGAAAAGUUUUUGUUCUUAAAAAAAAAAAAAAAGAUUUUUAUAAGAACAUAUUUUAGUUGUUUUUAAUUGUUUUCUAAGAUUAUUUUUUAAAAAAAUAAUAAGAUAAAUAUGAAGAAUAAUUAAAAAUAAAAUGCUAUCUACAAAACUUUUUUUUAAAAAAAAAUAUUUGAAAGCAAAAAAUAGAUUAAAAAUAUUUCAAAAUUCUCAAACAAGCUUUUAUCAUAUAAAUAUUAGAGAAUUGUUUUUUAAAACUGUUUUCAAAAACUAUUUUUUUUUUUUAGAAUAGUUUUCAAAAUAAUUUCUAAACUAACUUAAAGUACGUUUGACAAUGAUUUUAGGAAACGUUUUUAAUUUUUUUAUAACUUAAAAGAUGAAAAUUUUUUAGUAUUAAUUAUAAAAAUUAGAAGCCUUUCUAAAAUCACUACUAAAUAAACUCUAAUUCUCUCUACUGGAGGCUUGUAGGGGCUUUUAUAAUUUGUCUACCAAUCAUGUUAGACAUGUGGUAACCAUGUUAUGAGAUUUUGGGAUAGCAUCAUCUAGUUUGCACUUGUAUGUAGUUAAUUUUUGUUUUUAAAAAUAAAAAAUGAAACUAACUUCGAUAUAAAAUAUAAUUUUUUUUUAAACUUACGUUACUUCAAAUUUGAAAAUUUAUAGUGAUUUUUAAAGAUAUAAGGUGAGUUUAUACUUUUGAUAUAAAAAUUUCUACUAAAAAAUAUUACUAUUUUUUGUUGUAAAAAAAAUGUAUAAAAAAAAGUCAAUAUAUAAAUAAUAAAAGCUGAAAGAACAUUUUCAAUGCAUAGAUUAUCUUAAGGGUUCAAAUGUGGGCUAAGUCUAAAACUUAAUAUUAAAUCUUCUCUCAUUCAAAUAAUAGUAUUUAUAAAUAAUAGAAUAUCCUAAAUAAAUAUAGUUAUGGACAAAUAUUUCAAACAGAUUUCUCAAAUAUUAAUAUCAAAAGAAAAUUUCAUUAACCAUGACGAGCUCCCUGUUUCAAUCUAAAACAUGUAUAUAAACAUAAUUAACUUUAAUUUAAACAAGAUUUAGAUUUAUAUUAUGGACAAUAUAGUAAACCUAAAAGAUGAUCAUAAGUUUCUUAUUUCAUGACUUCAAUUAAUAGAAAAAAUAUUUACAAGCUCAAUUUUGUUGGAAUUUUAUUCAAUUCAUUCUAGUUUGAGACUUUGUAUAUUUUCUGUAACUUACCCUCCAUUAAAGAUACAAAAUUAUUUAGAGUUAACUAGAGAUUGGAUAGCACAAGUAUAGAGAGUUAUGAAAAGAAUAAUAACUUUUAAUUAAAAAGAUUCAGGAGAUCGAGUGCUCAAGCACUUGAAUAUAGCUUUCAUGGCUUAGAGCACUCAAGUAUUGCUUGGAAGUACCCAAUAACAAGCAAUCAAGUGCACUUACCUCGUGCUUGAGUACUCAAAAGUGGGGUUUCCAAAAAAUAAGUUUGCAUACAACACUCCCUAAGAAAAACAAUGAUUGCAUACAUAUAUAUGAUCCAUGGUUUAAGUAAAACAUUUCUUAUAUUUAUAAUAAGUUUAUUUUAGAGUGUUGUUAUUAUAUUAUACCACUGUUGUUAGGCCAUAUUUUGCUAAAUCAAAUGAAGAGAAAACACAUUAUUUGAUAAAUAUUUUACAAUUAGAGAUAAAGUUUGAAAUCUCAAUAAAUACAAAUAUAUCGGUACUUAGAUUUUAUGGAUAUAUAAAAAAUAUUGAAUAAAUAUCGGUGGAUAUUUUGACAAAAAUAUAGAUCUUGUUUUAAAAUUCAUGAAAAUACUUAAAAAAACUUUAAAAAAAAUGAUAAAAUAAAGAAUAAUACACAUAUUAAAGUUAUUUUGUAUGCUUAAAUUCCUUUAAUAUAUUCGCAUUUAUUUAUUUUUAAAUUUUAAAAAUACUUUUAUUGAAAGAUGUUUUAUCAUAUUUUAAAUAAAAAUUAAAUUGAUUUAUAUAAAAUAUUCAAAACCAUUACCCAAUAAAGACGCCUUUUGUGGGAGAAGUAUUCACCGUCAUCCAUGCAAAUCAAACCCACCUUUGAUCUUUAUUCACAAUUUCAUAUAUUAUAUAUAUGUCUACUAAACUUAUGUAUAUAUAUAUAUGUAUAUAUGGGUUUAUACAUGUGGAUGUGUGAAUGAAAAGUUGGAAAAUAGUCUCUAUUGUUCUUUAUUGAAGAACGAUAGCUAGGGUUUCUAUUCGUCUCUCAUUCUCUGUAUUGUUUUGUUUCUCUUUCUUAGGGACUUACCUUUGUUUGUGAAUCGGAACCUAUGCUCAAUUAGCUUAAGAAUUACCCAGUAGUUUGUUUGAAUCGGGGGGAGUUUGGGUGGGAGAGUCUAAGGUUUGUGAUUUAAGGGGUUUUGGUAUUGUAGGAGCUGAUUGGUGUCUGGGUUGGGAGGAAUCUAGGGUUUGUGAUAUGGGGUUUUGGCGUGGUUGAGGUGGGAAGGGAAAAAUUGAAUCUUGGGGAUUGUUUUUGUUGGUGGGGUUUUGAAGAUGGUGGAGAAUCGUGGAUCAGGUGUGAUCUGAUCGCCGCUUUUCCGAUGGCAAACAACCAUCCGAUUGGAGGGGUGGGGGCUUUUGUAUGGAAACUUGGAGCCCCAAGCAGGCGGAGGCGUCCUCAACGGCCCCUUUUUCUGGACCCACCACCUGGUCGAGCAAGCGAUCUCGUAUCUCCUCUUCUUCUUCUUCAACGAUCCCAAUUUCAUCGAACCCCAACGCCCAUGCUACACUGAAAAAUUAAUUUUGAGGGGAGCGGAGCUACACUUUGACCGAAGCCAGCGUUGACCAACAUAAAUAUCGGGAAAUUUCCCGAAAAAUCGGCAAAAACCGAUAUUUCGGCGAUAAUUUCAGAAAAAGAGCGAAAUUCCUUCCAAUCGAUUAUCCGUCCUCAAUAUCGUAUCGAGCUUCACCGAUAACCGAAAUAUAGGGGAAAUUUCGUCGAUAAAAAAGACAUUUCAAUCACUGACUAGAGGUGAUUAACACUGAUGUUAGUAAUUAGGUUUGCCAUAUUUUUCAAUAAUGUACAAUUAGCUCAAUCACUUGAAGCUUAUACCAAAAAUAUAUUUGAAUCAAUAAUGGACAAAAAUUUCUGACUGGUACUUAGUGAUAAUCAACUACCAAAUUAUCAUAAACAUAGAAGUUGAAAGGAUAAUUUUAAGGCAAAGAUGACUCUAAAAUAUCAAAAGUGGGCUAAGUAUCCAACUUAAUAUUACAACUUUUCUUACUUAAAUGACAAUUCACAAAUAACAAACCUACCUAAAGAAAAAUAAUUGCUUGCCAACAUUUCAAAGAUAAGUUCUCAAACACUCGUACCAAAUAAAUCUUCAUUACCACUAAGAAUUCAUCAUUGUAUUCAAUCUGCAACAAGUAAAUACACAUAGUUAGCUUCAAUUUAAGCAACAUUUAGAUUUUCAUCAUGGAAUAUAAAUAGCAUGUUCAUUAUUAUUAUUAUUAUAUAAUUAAUUAAUUAACAACAUAAUAUUAACAAACUUGGUUAUAGAGACUAUUUAAAUUCUUAUAGUUUUCAUACUUAUGGUAUUAACCAUACUCAAAUGAGUAUAUUUGUCAAUAAAUUUAGAGUUUCAACUAACAACCUAUAACAAUCUAUAACCUUAGCUGCUUGUUUGUAUAUUUUUUGGAAUUCAACUUUGGAAAAAAUUUCAUGUAUCUUAAUCUUUCCUAUGAAAAUCGCAUUCUGUAACUUCAAAGAGUUGAACCCAAUUAUAAACUUCCUCAAUCCUCUUUCUAAUGACUCAACUAAGAAAUUGUAGUAAGGAAAGAGAAACAACUUAUAUUCAUAUGCAUGGUUGAAGGGUCUAAAAAUAUGCCCCUUACUAUAACAUGCUUUGAACAUUUAAAACAAUAUACUUUUAGUAAAAUCUAAGUCCAACAAGACUACAAUUCAAUUUCUUUUGUAAAUUUAAAUCAUUAUUUCCAAUUCAAGAAUUUAAGAAAUCAUAUAAUAAAAUAUAAGUAUAAAAAGAUUAAUAGCUAACAAAUAUGUACCUAAACGGAGAUGACCUUACAUUACAUUGUAAUGAAAUUCAUCUUACCUUCUUUUUGUAUGAUGUUUGUUAUUUUGAAACCUUAUCACCCUCUGCAAAAGAGCUGAAUUCAUUGUGAUGAUAAUCAUAACACACCAAAAAUACAAUGAAAUUAAAAAACAAACAAGGAAGAAAAAAAGAAGGAAAAAGAAUGGGAAGUGAUGUAAGAUAUUUCACCUUUUUAGCCAUGAACUCCAUUUGCUUCCAUCUUCCUUUUCAGACGAGCCACAUUCACUGCAGUGAAGACAUAUAGCCUAUCUCUGGUUUCAUCAAUGAACCGGAAAUAUGCCUGCCUCCAAGACUUCUUUAGAACCAAACUGCCACAUAUAGCCCAAAAUCCCACCGGAAAGCCCAAUCCCAUGCUUAUGAAGAACCAUGACAUGUCCCAUUCAACUUCAUCUUCCUCCUCAUCUUUGUGAUCUUGAUCAUUUAGAGUGGAGCAAUUGGUUGACAAUGGAGGCCCACAAAGUCCCAGGUUCGCCUCAUAAAUGGAUGGAUCGUUGAAUGUCGAGAACUGGUUGGUUGUUGGAAUUGGUCCUGAUAGGCGGUUAUGCGAUAGGUUCAAAUGGUUCAAUGAGGUUAUAGAAGACAUGCUCGGAGGAAUUGGGCCUGACAGGCAGUUGCAUGAGAGGUCAAGAGUUUCUAGCCCUUGCAUGGCUCCAAUCUUCUCAGGUAUCUUUCCA
rnacentral:lncRNA from 1 species